UGAUGAUUGUUAGCACGCAGGGACUGACAAGCAUUUUAUAUCAACAUUUUGGGUGAUAGGACUCUCUCAAGUCUCGACACUUCUUGCAGUUGCACUUGCUUACCCCGUGAAUUCUUGAACUUUUGUACAUGGUGGCGGUCGAAGACACCUGGUCGACUCGUUGUGGCUGCUGAGUCCGGUUGGUGUCGCAACCGAGUGGAAUUGAAGAAGCCGGUCUCUUUGACGCCUCUUGACUCAUUAGGGCCAUGCUGCAUUUCCAGUUUUCGCCAUCGCCAUUUCUAUUUCCCACGCUUGUUUCAGUUCUCUUUGCUCUUCUUCCUGUGGGUCUCUCCCUGUCUGCGAUUUGCUUGACCAGAAUUCCAUGGACAAGAUAGAAUGGUUUGUUGGGGUUCUAAGUCGUUUCUUUAAUUAUGGAUUGCUUUUUAGCUGUCACAACUGUUUUUGGAACGAGAUCAUUACGGAGCAAUGCAGGGCAAGGACUUCGUCUUCACUCUGUCUAACGGCCUCAGGCAGAGGAUCUUAUCAUUCCAUGGUUUAUUGGAUUUGAUAUUGGAAUGAGAAUUUAAAUUUCUUUUGCGAUCCUGACUUUAUUCUCUCAACGGUGAAGAGUCUGAAUGUCUGCUAAGAAUGACUGACUUCAAAUACCAGAUUACCAGGACAUCAAGUUAGGAUGCAGGGGAGACCUCAUCAUUUUCAAGCUAGAUAUAUGAAUUACCCCCGUGGCUGAUUAGAGAGAGGUACUCUUCUUCACUUCAACAUUUCUGAUCCUUGGAUACUUAUAAGAUUCCUCGCUUAAAUCAGUUACUUCAGGAUUGAUGUGUAUCUUUUCAAUUGGUUUUGACAAUUCAUUCAAAUUGCCCGUCUUGGAUGGAGAACUGCAAAAGUUUAGUACAAACAGAUUAAGCAUUUGCAGAAUAAUGCCGCGUCAAAGGCCUAAUCCAAUGCACGAAAUCUACAAGUUAUAGCCAGGAAUGUCUCUAAGAUGGGAUAGGACAUGACAUGAACAGCAUCAUACAUAGAACAGAUAUGACAUGACAUUGAUACAUCUUUUCUAUAAUCAUAAGUUAUUUCAGCCUUAUAAGUGACUAUUGUCUCAAAGAAUAUCAUUCUCCCAUUUCAUUCGACUCAAAAGGUUCAACUCAAACAUGAAUAUCUCAGGCUAGAGCAGAUUGUGAACCCUAUUUCCAGGCUUGUUGUCUUCUAGUAGCUGAUCUAGUCAUAUGUUACCAGAGACAAAGAUGUCAAUAUCCUCUUUAAAGCGUACUAUGGUGAAUUUAAUUAAGCUUUUCUGGAAAGUUAUAAUGGAAGAACUUAGACUUAAGAUACAAUUGCAAGUAAAAGUUAGUAGUUUCAGCUGAAAUGCUAUCAUUUCACCAACGGCAAGAAAAUGACUGCGAACAUUGGAAGAUUUUUCACUUAUGUAAACAUAUGCAACUGGGAGAGUGUCCGAUGUCUCAAUACAAACUACGACAUACAAUCAAACAGAAAAUAUCUCCUUUUACCCCAGUUGGAAGUCCAUUGGAUAGCAAAAGAGUGAUAACCAGAGGACCUUUAUAUGGGAAGGAGGUAAUAUUUUUCCUUUUUCUUUCCUCUGUAAUUGAACAUGAUCAAUGAUAGGAUUAUCCUCACAGUCAGGAAUUGUCUCAGGAAGACGAGAUCUUGAGCCCCAGUGCUCGUUUAUCUCUAAAUAUCAUCCUUUGCUUCCUAUAACCUUCUUUCUACUUUGUUCUCCCUCAGUCAUGGGUGAAUCAAGAUUAAAGCCAUCCAACCUGGAAAGCCUAAAUGACUGCCAAGAUUCUAAAUUGUAAUUGCGAUUCAAGUUUGACCACCAAAAAAAAAAAAAAAAUUCACUAGUCAAGACAUUUGUUUCAAAUGUUUCCCUUCGGUCAAAAAUAUAAUCUUAUGUAUCGAAGAAUAAUCCCAUAUGGAUGCAUUUUGAAGCUGUCUUGCUCAUUAGACAAAGAAAAGCUUUAAUUGGAAUUUCCUUCACCAGGUGAUUCUGCUUCAUUUCAGUCCUCGUUGUUUGAAGAUUUCUUAGAUGGGAGGGAAAAAUCAAGAUCUGGCACGUCCACUUUGAACAAUGACAACUUGUCAUAAUCAGCAUCCAGGUAAAAUCGACAUGACUGAAAUAGGUUUUUUCAUAUUUAAUCCACAGAAAGCUGAGAUAUAACCCUCUCUCAUAAUAAUGGACCUUGCAAACAAGCAUUCAUGCAUCUUCAGUGUCAUCCAUCAUUCGGAUGAUAUUUGAAGUGGUGGGAUGUAUGUAAAGCAUGGCUCACUUAAUCACCACGGGCAUUAUUCUCCACAAAGAAGUAAUUGUAUGGGGAAUACACGUAAUCAACACUAGUUUGAAGAUAAGAAUAUCCAAGUUAGAUUCCACAUCCAUACUAGUUUACUAUCUAACAGCAUAUACUUUAAUUUUCACUUACAGUUUAUUAAAGUCGAAUUCCUUCAUCCUGCCUUUGCCAACUACAUCAAAGCUAAAAUCUAUUGUGUCAUCUACUGCCAUGGACGACGACCUCAAGGAGAAAAGGAACUCCAGUCCAAAUUCAGCAUCUGUUGAUUUAUGACCAACAUAUCAGAUUGUCAUAUGACAUGGCCAGAAAUAUGUAUAAACAAUCUUCCUUUUAAGAUUAAGAACGCUUUGAUUUGAUUUUCGAGUACAUACAAGGCAUGCUGCACUAAUUUUUACCGUGACAUCCAAAAGAGCAAUUAGGCAGGCCAUAUUAAAUUAACAAUAAUGUCCUAAACAAAUUAAUUAGAGAGCUAUGAAUUCUUGUGGUACCAUCCCACAUCUGAAAUGAACUGACUGAAUUCUUAGAUUUGUCAAGCUUACGGAGUACCUAGUAAUGAUUUAUCCUCUUCCUAAUUAACCACUGCAAUUUCCUUAGGUGAUUCUGCCAUCUGCAAGGGAAAGAGUGAGGAUAGCAUAAGCGAAAGGAGAAUCCCAGUGGCCCCGGAAUUUGCUAAAGAAAGGGGAAAACAAAAUUGGGAACCCCUUUGAGUUGGCUAUAGUACACAGCACAGAAUGAAUUACUAGACUGAGACGAGCAUAGGAUCCACGGGUACCUUACUUGCCAUUGUGACAGCGGGCAUGCUCGAGCGAGGCAGAGAGAGAUCGCCUGCAUUCAAGUCGAGAAUCGAUGCUGAACUGAGACGAAACGUGAAUGGAAAUGGAGAUCACGUUUCCCGGAUGAGAGAGCAGCGAACUGGUUUUCUGAGGUUUUGAAUGGCAACCGUAUAUAUAGAGUAGCUUCGAAUAAAUUUCCGAUUUUGCCCCUUCGGUGGGGAUCAUUUUUCACGAAGUUGCCCCCGAUAAUGCUCUAAUAUGUCUCAAAUAGGCCUCUCGAUUAAGUCUUGCAUGGGCCUCGAUCCUUUUGAUCCAAACAAAUAUUGGUCGUUGUCACGUGGGCCCACAUUGGCGCGAGCAUGAUCAACGGCCCUGACAGAAUUGAGACACGUGGACACGGGAGUUGUUUGUCAUUCGUUAAUCAAAUUUGUGGAUCCAAACGAGUCUUUAGUUUUUUGCAACAACUCUAAAUUUGAAAAAACAAAUGUCGAUUGUAUGGUUAAUGUAGUACCAACGAGUAAUCAUGUUAUCUAGGCAAUUUGAAUUUUAUGCGUCUCAAUUAACUUUAGCAUUUGAGUUUUGAAAUUGUCAAUUUACUUUUGAACAAUUUCUUCACUUGUCAACGGUAUAAUACAUGCAAUUGUUAGAAAAAAUUCAUUUUAGAAAAUAGGAGUAGUCACUUAUUAGUCACCAUGUGCUUGAAUAAGAGAGUAUUUGCCGGGGAAAGGAAAGUUGCAUUCAUAGUCUCUAUUUGAGAUAAGAAACCGAUAUUACUUGUCUUUGGAAUGGUAUUUCAGAAUCUCAUCUUGUAUAAUUUAAACAGAAGUUCCGAAUAUUGCUUUGAUUGCAAGGCAUGUGAAAUAGAAAGUUUGAAAUUGGGUCAUGGAUCUUUUCCUACUUCUUCGAAGGUAGGGAUCAGAGAAAGCCGAAAAGAAAACAACUUAAUUUCUUAUCCUCAGCACCUUCGCAAUUUCACACUUGAAAUAAUUGAAGGUAGUUUGAAUUACACAUGAAUGUAGUAUCUUGAAGGAUUGCUUCAAUUACAUGUAAAGUUGACAUUUAUCUUCUUAAUCGAGGGCCCCGUAGCACAUCAUCCAACCAAUUGCAAGUUGACAUGUGACAUAAUGAAUAUUCAGGUACUACUAAAAUGCACAUGAUUAUGAAUUAAAUUAGCAAUAUAGACCAUAGAAAAUGCAUGAAAAGUAUAAACUUGAAGAAUUAUUGUAGAAUCCAAACAGAUUUUGACUGUCAAUUACCUUGGAUACAUACUUGGAAACCACAUGGUCAAAUAACCUUGAUGGAUUCGAGAUAUGUAGACUCAGGUCUAGGCAAGCAUUUAUCCUCACGUUGAUAAAAUGUGUGUUGAACUCGUCGAUUGCUUUUCAAGCCCAUCUCACAUGCCCAUUGUCGCACCAAGGAGAGAACACUUUUGUCUGAGAGUAACCUAAAGCUGGUUUGAGUAGGAAUUAAAGAAACUCACAAGAAGAUUUACGUCUUAUCAUUAUAUAAAGGAGGAUUUGUUAAAGUUGUGUUGUAUUACAUUUGCUCCACCUCUUCCGCUAUUGGGACAAUGGUCUUAACGUCCCAGUAAAGCAUUAACUGUUUGCUGAGCAAGCCCAUCGCUGCAGCUUCAGUAGAUACGAUCAAGCCGACAAUUCACCUAAACCCAAGCUUGUCCUCAUAGAGAGAUUAACUCAAAAAAAAAAAAAAAAACAAAAACAAAAAAGCGUAAUUAUGUCUAUUUGUGGCUCUGUCGUACACUUUGCUCCACAAAUAUGAAUGGGUUGGUUGUGCCUCUUGAAUUUUAUGUUGAAUGUCCAAGUUUUGUUUUUCUCUGAUUAUUUUUAUCUUGAAGUAAAUAUGUUUUUGCGAGCUUUAUGAAUUUUUUAGCAAGCCAUCUGUUCGUGUAGGUAAAGAAUGCAUAUAUGCGCGACCGACUUUUUCUUCUAGUCAACAAGAAGUUGCGAAAGCUUUUAGGAAGAAACUGGACGAGAGGGGGGAGGCAAAGCCCUGCCCUUGUAAAACUACGCGUAGAAAUUGAUCUUGCAAAGGAAGAAGUAGAAGCAAUGAAGAUGAAUUUCGAGGAUAGGGAGCGUGAAAUGGCGGGAACUAGAGGAGACUGCUAACACCUUCACCACCAUUUAUUACUGUGGAAUGGAAAAUUUGCCACCGCAAAAGAGGAUGGAUAUUGGCGCGGCGGCGAGUUCGACGGCAUCAACAUCCAUGGCAACAAUGACAAUAGCAUCCAAAAAUGAAGGCUUUGAAAAAGUUGAUGAUGGGGGUCUACAUCUUUCGCACAAAUGGUUUAAGACUAAUCUGUUCUAAGUCGCACUUAGAUGCUUUCUUAGAAGGACAUGGAGGUUCAGGGAAGAUUCCCAGUAGCAUCUCCUACUUCAAAUGAAACGAAACAAAGAACUAAUUUUGUCCGAUACAAAGACAAAAACCAAGGAACAACACUAGAAUCAACAGGUGGAGCUACGCCUAGACAUCACAAAGGAAACAACGAACGACUAAUCAUCAAUUCUCCAAGUCAAAGCAUGGUGUCUUAUCAGACGAUACAGACACAAACUCCCUUCCCUCAAGAAGCAUAGUCAUCUUGAUUCUCGUGCAGUAAAGAACAUAAUGCAGAUCUCUGUUCGUCUUCUUCUGGUGGGCUUUAUAUACGUCGUGGGUUGUGGAUGGCGGCAGAGAAGGAUAUCCAUCACUGAAAACGGAGUCUGUUUCUCUAUUAUUCUUAUAUGCUUUGUUGGGACAUUCUUGUUGCAUUACUUGAAAUUGUAUUGGGUACUUGACCGGCUUUCACUGAUCCUGCGGCCGAUAACCAACGUUAGACAAAGAAUUCACUAACCGUCAUGUUCAUCCUUCUUCAUGCAAAAAAUCUCGUGAAAUAAGAUCAAAUCUUUGUAAAAAUUUGUAACCCAGCUUUUCUUUUUGGUCGCACUUUUUGCUUGAAAUCUAGUCUUAUCUUAAAUUCUUGAUAUCACUUUUGCACGAAUUACUUAUUUUGUUCGGAGCAUUACCUAUUGUGUUCGGGUAACUUAGCAAUAAGGAGAAAACUGAUGAUAUUAAGUGCAGCACAUUUUAUAUAUUCAAUUAUCAAUUAUCAUAACUUUAUAAAUUAACUUGAUUAAUUGAGUAAUAUGUUGAGGAAAAAGCCAUUGCCCAUGCAGCACAAUUUGAGUAAUUUCGGGCUUUUUGGUUAACCAAAAUUACUUUUUUGAACCCAAUACUCUGUCGGUUAUAUAGGGCUCGAAUGAUAACCAUUUGGCUAGAAACUAAUUUCUAGAAGAGAAAUAGAUUUUUCUAUUUCUAUUCUUGGAUGAAUUUCUAAGAAAAAAUAUGUGUUUUGUAAUGAUACAAAAUUUUUAUUUUUGAAAUAGAAAUUCGCUUGAUAACAACACAAAAUUUCUUUCACCUAAGUGGUGGUGGACGGUGAAUAGCAGCAGAUGCUGGCCGACGAUCGGUGGUUAAUAGAUGAUGAUUGGUGGCCGGCAACCGAUGGAUGGAGAAUGGCAGCAAACAACGGCGACGGCAGUUGAUAGACGAUGACCGAGCGGACGAUAGAUGACGGCCAGUAGUGAUGGAUGGGUUGCUGGCUAGAAGCAAAGACGAAUGAUGAGAAGUAAAAAAUUCUGAUUUCUAUUCCAAAUCUAAUUUUAGAAUUAAUUCUAUAAAUAACAAAAUGAAAUAAUUCUAUCAAACUAGAUUUCUAUUUCAGAAACAAAUUUAGAACAAAAAAAUAGUUUAGGAAUAGAAAAAAAUGGUUAUCAUAUUUCAACUUUUAGAAAAAUUACUUUGCUUUUUGGUCUUCUGAGGAGUAAACAUGAUUUCAACUUUUAGAAAAGAGGAGAGCUUCUGUUCUUCUUUUCAUAUAUGGUGUUGAUCAUUGACAUGGAUAUUCGUUUAGCAAGUAAUUUUUUAAUAAGUUACUACAGUAUUUUCGAAAGUAUCAACUCGUAUUUACACUUCAAAAUUUACUAAUUGCUUUCAUAACCUACCAAGUUUAUCAAACUAGUGUUGAAAACGCUUAGAUUAAAAGCAAAUAAUUUUGAUAUCCAAACUAAUCGUCAUUGUGAUGGCACAGAUUGUUUUCUUCACUCUGUGCCCAGUGGUCGACCUCCAUUAUCAGAACCAGAGCCUCGUUCAGUUGAAACAACCUUGACAAUUGAAGCAUUUUCAUAGCUGAAAACACAUAGGACAUCGUUGAGAAGAUAUAUACCAGUCCAAAAAAAGGUGCACAAGUAAAAUAUCUAUGAAAGGAUGCAAGGGGGAUCAUCGAAUACCUCCAAAGAGGUAUGGAACACAUUAUAACAAGAUAUUCAAACCAUGUUCGAGACAUCACGCAACAUGCUCGGAAUAUUACAAAAUUAGAUUGAAGAGUGGUGUUCAAAUAAUGAUCCAGUUUCCUAGAGUAGUCCACCACAUUCAUUGUUUUAUCUCCGACACUAUCAAGCACAUUGUGUGGCUUAGUUGCAUCAGGCGAUGUAUAUUUAAUUAGUAAAAGAAAUAUCACCCGCUAUCUUUAAAAGUGGCAGAAUCCUACUAGACUCAAAUUUCAGCUCGAUCACUAUCAAUGGGAGAGAAUUACCAAAAAAGUCAUAAAUCUAUUAUAAUUAUGUAAAUUCAGUCAUAAAUUUUUUUAAACCAAUUUAGUCAUAAAAAUUUUCCAAUUAUGUUAAUUUAGUCAAUCUAGCCAAAUUUUACAAGCUGAUGUUGAUGUGGUAAUUUUUUAAUGCUGUUGACACCUAAAUUUUUGCCCAAAAAUAUUUCAUGUUAAAUUAUUGCAUAUAGAUUAUUUUUGCAUUUAAUAUAGUGUUUUAAAUGGAAGAUGUUUUUACAUUAAAAAAAUUGAAAAUAUAUAAAAAAAGAUUAAAAAAAGAAAAGAAAAAAAAGUUGGGGCCAAUGAUCUAAAUGUGACUAGCCAAGCCCCGGGAGGUCAGAUUGGAAUUUAAAUGGCAAGUUGGGGCCAAAAUGUAAUUUCCAGAAGUUGAGGGACCAAUUCGCAAAUUUUGCAAAAUUUGCGCCCGAGCCCGUAAAUCAUCAUCUUGGUCACCAAUUAAGUUGAAAUUGAAUUUGGGCCAAGUCGAAUCAAUCAAAUUGAGCCAAAAAGACCAAAUUUGUAUUGAAUUGGGUAUUUUUGGAUAAGAAAAUGACCAACUUUGAGGACUUUCUUGCAAAAUUGGGCGGGUAAAAUUGAAAAUUCUGGUCGAGAUAUUAAAUUAAUAUGCAUGAGCUUGCUAAUUGAUCAAAAAUCGCAACCAAAUUGAUGGAUUAAAGCACUCAAACUAGCUGACAAAUCUCAGUCCAUAAGUUAGUUUGAUUUCGGAGUUGCUGAGUAAGCAACUUGGUGGCCCCACCAUAUCCUUCUCACCUGCCCAACCAACCUGAUCUUUGCACGUGAUGGAAGAACGUAAUGAUUAGUACAAGUGGACGGAAAUUGGCCAGGGAUAAGCUGCUAAUUGCAUGGGAAAGUCGCAGCAAAAUCCGCUCACUCAACAGCUGCGAAAUUUGAAAAUUUUGGCUAAGUCAGAAAGUGGGUGAGCUGGGUCAAUUGACAGGCUUGGCAGGUGGACAAAAGCCGACCAAGAGAUUGAUGAAUUAGAGGGAUAAGAUCACGGAAGCAAGUUCUUUCAAGGGAGGAGAGAGAGGAGACGAGAGGGAGAGGAUAGAGUUCGCGGUCAUCCCCCAAAGAGGCCCUGAGAAGCAACUCCAGAAAAGCAAACACAGAAAUUCCAAAUCAACCUCCAGAGAUAAAAGGGAAAUUUUCGCAAGCUUGCAGCCAAAAAUAGUCAAAACCUUCAACUAGAGAGUGAAACUUCACUCAAAUAUAUUUCCACCCAUAGGUAUCACGUCCCAAAUGGAGUUCGGGAAGGUCUCCUAAAGCCCCCCGAAAAACAUCCUCCUGGCGGGCCAAGAAACACUGAAAAUUUUUCCAAGUGUUGAGCCUGGUUGGUCACGAGUGAGAGAAAGCGAGUGUUUUUGAGAGAGUUGAGAGAUAAAGGAAGAAAAUCCAUGACUUACAAGACAAACUAGAAUACAUAUAGUUUGGUUUUGUUUUAAUUUGGCCAACAAAAGAGGUUUUGAAGCUUGAUUUUGGAGGUCAAUGAAAACCUUCGUUAUCAUUUCUUUCUUUGCAGAUCUCGUUUUCCAGUUGAAGAAGCCAACUUCCACGGGCCCCCGAGGUAAUUUCUCGGCUUCCUCGGCCAAAAGCCACUUGAAAAAGAAACUAGGAAGCAAUGUAAGAAUAUUAGACGUAUUUUUGGUCAAUUUUGAACAUGUUUCAACCAUGAAAAAUCAAGAGGAAAACUAGUCCAAGAAACUGAUUUUGAGGUUGGAAUUUUACUAAGUGUUGAAAUCUCUUCAAGAGUUUUGCAUGUGUGCUUCUUGGAGAGGUCGUUUUGAUGUUUUUUGGUGGGUAAUUCUCUAUGAUCUUUGUUGCAUUUUAAAGCUCAUGUUACCUACUUUCAUUCGGAUUAAGUAGUGUUUCCCUUAGAUCUCGUAUGUGAUGAGUGUUGGGGCUUGAAUAUGGGCAUUCAACCUGUUUGCUUGACUUGGGUUGAAACCCAGAUUUGCAAAAUCAGCUCAAAUCCGCAUAUUUGAUGACGAUUUUAGCUUGGUUCUAAUGUGUGUUAAGCUAUGAUCUCUAUCUAAUAUUGUUCUUUGCAUGUGCUAGUAUAACCUUGAUAUUUUAGUCCCACACGAGAUUGCUUAUGAGUGGAGAUUGAAGGCUGCAAACAUGGCUUGAGGAGGCUAUUGGGGCUCGUUUAAUGCACACCAAGUGUUCGACACGCCCAAACUAAACUUCGAUCUCGAAACGGUCGAUUUGGGCUUGAUUAUUGUGAUAUUCUUGUGUUGUGUUACUCCAUGUUAACAUAGACUGGUUUAAGGAAUUUAUUAAUUUUAAAAAAUAUAAUUAAAAAAAAGAGAAAAAUAUGAAAAUUUCAAAAAUAUCAAAAAAUGUUAGAUAGCAUCAAAUUGGGAUAGAAAUGACAUAUAUGAAAUUUUCCUAAUUUUAAAAGGUCAUUUUCCUAAUUUAAUGCUAUUUUGGUAUUUUAUGACAAUUUUUGUAAAUAAUCCAUUUUGCGUAGAUUAAAACUAUUUAAAGUAAUUUCAUGCAUAUUUGAAUUCUCAUUUUGCUCAUGGGGUCCUGUCCCGGGGCAUGAUAACAAGACCAUGUAAUAUUAUUUGCCCGACUUAUAUCGGGUUUACCUUUUCCGCGUUUAUUUUCAAGUCAUUUCAAUUUCUUGGAUGUUUACUUACGCGCCGCUUUUCAUUAAUUUGAGUGUAAAUUUCUCUUCUAAAUUAUGUUAGGAUUAGUCUAGACAUUAAAAAAAAAACUACAAAAACAUUUGUAUGGACACUUAGUGGUUUUAUAAAUAUUAUAAUUGGUAAUCAAGAUUGUGUGGCCAUUUAGAUAAACAACUUUCCAAGUUAGUGGUACCGCAAGGGCGCUAAUAGAAACAUUAGCGUAAACAAGUCCCCGUUCCUAGAAAUCUCUAGUUGCGUAGGAAUCGAGACAACACUCAUGUGUCUUGAUUGGUUUCUAGCCGACCCCGAUAGGCUAGUGGCAAUUCCCAGAAUUAUAUAGAUUAUUAAGAACUAAAAAUUCAAAAUCCAAUGUCGCGCGAGGUAUGGGCUUGGGAGAGCUCGCGCCUAAUUUAGGGCCAUUAGUCCGCCUCUUUAGGCAAAUACCCCUAAACCUUCUUCAUUUUCCCCUGGAUAGAAAAAAAAAGAGGUCGUGAAAAUUAUUAUUUUUUAUUAUUUUAGAAUUUUUGUAUUCUUUUUGUAUUCUUUUUGUCUUUUCUUUUUUCUCUUCUCUCUCUUUUGGCAUCAUUUUUUCGCAAUGGCUAGCAAGGCUUUGGCCAGGCUUGCCAACCACUAAGCAAGGGCUUAGCUCUCCAGUGCCUCAUCGGCCACUACAAGUAAAAGAAGCCAAAGAGGAAGAAGAGAAAAAAGAAAAGGAAAAAGUAAAAAAAUCAAUAAAAAUUCGAAAAAAAAAAUAUAUAAAAAAAUUAUUUGAAAAUUUCGAUGUUAGUAUCAACCGAACGGCUAGUGCUGGCUAGCAUCCGCGUCAAUGGUGCCCAGCCAAAUUUGGCCGGAUGAACUGAAUUUGUACAAUUGUAAAAAGUUUAUGAUUAAAUUUGCCAAAAAAAAAAGUUUAUGUCCAUCCAAACUUUUAGUUCAAUCUCCUCAAUAAUCUUUUCAAAUCCAGUUUUUGUCGAUAUUCAACUUUGCUUUGAGGCUUCCAUUAUCGGCCUUCUCUUGUUGGAUUGACGUCCUCACCGAAUGUCCUUUUUUUUUGGCUUUUAGCCCCGCAAGAGAAAGUGUCCCUUUCUUGGAAUCUUAACAAAUGAUCCACUUAGCAAUCUUUGCAACUUGUUGAUAAAUAAUAUAUGAUGGAUAAGUGCGUUCUAGGUCCUAAAAUUUGUUACGAAAGUGUAAUUGAGUCUUGAAACUUCAAAAAAAGUGUAAUUGAGUCUUAAAACUUAUUAAAUUAGUACAAUCAAUAUUAAAGACGUAGGUCAUAGCUCAAUGUUAAAUCGAUCUCAACAGAUGCUGAAUUUGGAAAGGAGUUCCUUACCUCCCGAAAGUCGUUGUCUGUGGCAGAAGAUGACGGAGUGGAUUUUAGUUUUGAUACAAUUGGCAAGGCAAGAUAAAGAAAUUCAACUUUGAUAAACUGUACAUGAACCUUAAAGUAAGUUAAUAAGUCGGUAUGGAUGUGAAAUCUAACUUUAAUAUUCUAUCUUCAUACUUGUGUUGGUUACAUAUAUUCACCCCUGUACAAUUACCUCUUUGUGGAAAUUAAUGUCCGUGGUGAUUAAGUGAGGCAUGCUUCACAUACCAUUCAACCACUUCAAAAUGUCCAUUAAGUGAGGCGUGAUUACCAAGCAAGAAGUGAUGUUAUCCAAGCACUGGAUAAAAUAAACAAUGAUCCGAUAAGUAACGGGACCUUAACAAUCUAGAAGUGAUAUUCUAAAAUGUCCAUAAGAAGUAGGAAAUAUGGGUCGUUGAGAAAGUGGCUGAAACUUGAAACAAGGGAGUCAAGUAACUUUUCACGACGAAGACCAUAAGCGCGAAUGCUAUUGGUCGACAAGAAAGAGGCCCCGUCUUGAGAAAAUAAUUGCGCGGUGAUGUGAAAUUUCAGCUAGAUUGGGUAUUCUUAGAAAAAUAUAAAAUUUUCUAUUUAUCUAUUUUUCUUUCUCAACUUCUUCUUUCCUUGUAACCACUGUUGAUAUAUAUUGGAUAUUUUUAGGAAAAUCUAAUUUUGUAAUACUCCAAGCAUGCUGCGUGAUGCCUCGGACAUGGCUUGAGUUUCUUCUUAUAAUGUGUUACAUGCCUUUUUCAAGAUAUUCGAUGAUUCCUUGCAUCCUUCUGUAGAUGUUUUACUCAUGCACCUUCUUGUGGACAAGCAUAUUUCUUCUCAAUGAUGUCCUAUAUGUUUUUGGCUAUGAAAAUGCUUCAAUAGUCAAAGUUGUUUCAAUUGAACGAGACUUUAGUUCUGAUUAAUGGAGGUCGACUAUUGGGCAUAGAGUGAACAAAAUGAUCCAGGCCAUCUUGGUGACGAUAAAUUUGGAUUUUAAAAUUAUUUGCUUUUAUCUAAGCAUUUUCGACAUUAGUUUGAUAAUAUUGGUAUGUUAUGAAAACAAUUCGUAAAUUUUGAAGUGCAAAUAGGAGUUGAUACUUUCUAAAAACUGUUAUAGUAACUUACUAAUACAUUACUCGCUAAAUGAAUAUACAUGUCAAUGAUCAAACACCAUGUGUGAAAGGAAGGACAGUGGCCCUCUUCUUUUCUAAAAGUAAAAAUUAUGAUGGUGCCUUGGAAGACCAAGAAACAAAGUGCUGGGAGUCGCUGAGAAAAAGCAUACUCCUAAAUGGCCGACAGAGAGUAUUGGGAUGGUCAAAAAGGCAAAGUUUUUUUGUUUUUUUGUUUUGUUUUGUUUUUUUUUUUUUUUUUCAGGAGGAACUGCUUUGACCGAGAGCUGCCACGUAAACCUUUAGGUGACGCUAGCCCAUGACCCACCACCAGGGCGCCACGCGUAAUACACCUAAUGGUCUGCCAGCUUCCCUGCAACUUGCGUUGCAGGAGCUUCAAACACCUGAUAUUUCCCUUCAAAAGCAGGGCCUACCUAGUAGAAUCACCACGGCCGGUGGUUCAAAAAGGUAAAGUUGGUUACCAAAAUAGCCCAAAAUUACUCGGAUUGUGCUGCAUGGACAAUGGCUUUUUCCUGAACAUGUUAAUCAAUUAAUCAAGUUAAUUAAUAAGUUAUGAUAAUUGAUAAUUGAAUAUUCGAAACGUGCCGUAGUUGAUAUCAUGCUUUGAAAGGAGAACGUAAGUUUUCUUUUGAUUGCUAAUUUACACAGACACGACAGGUUAAUGCUCCAAACAAAAUAAAUAAUUCGUGAAAAAGUGAUAUAAUGAAUUUAGGAUAAGGUUAGCGUCCGACAAUAAUUAUGACAAAAAAGAAAAGUCAGUUGACAAAUUCUACCGAGAUCUGAUCUUAUUCCACGAGAUUUUUUUCACAUGAAGAAGGAUGAACAUAGCGGCUGAUGGAUUCAAAGUCUAAUAUUGGUUACGAGCCCCAGGACCGUGAAAGCCGGUCGAGUACCUAAUACAAUUUCAAGUAAUGAAACAAGAAUAUCCCAACAAAGCAUUGGAGGUCGUUCUCUGCCGCCAUCCACAACCCACAACGUACAUAAAGCCCACCAGAAGAAGACGAACAGAGUUCUGCAUUAUGUUCUUUACUGCAUGAGAAUCAAGAUGACUAUUCUUCUUGAGGAAAGGGAAUUUGUGUCUGUAUCGUCCGAUAAGACAGCAUGCUUGUAAACAGAGAUUUCGCUGGGUACCUAAGUGUCAGACUAUUGAAAUUCCUCACAAAUUUCAUGAUUGCCAGUGGAUAAUGCUCUUAAGCUAGAUUAGCAUCAGCCUGUGCAGCACUUUUGUAGCAAUUUUCAAAUGAAAACUUUUCAUUCUUCAUCAGGAUAUCUUAGGACUGUCAACAUUUUCGCCCCCAUCUAUUUCUUUAUGUUGGAAACGUUAGAACUACGAAAAGAAAAUGGAAUAGGGCGCGGCCGCGGAGAACAAUGGUUUCAACAUCAAUGACGACAAUGAUGGCAGCAUCCACGAAUGGAGGCUUUGCAAAAGAUGAUCGGGCUCUACCUACAUCUUUCUUGUGAUCUCAAUUUGUCUAAAAUCAAUCUGUUCUGAACAUGAAAACAUUUGUUUCGAGAACUUGUCUUCAGUAGUCGUUGAAAAAGGCUAUGUCACACUUUGAAGCUUUCUUGGAAGGAUAUUGCAGGGUUCAAGGAAGGUUCCCAGAAGCAUCUCCUUACUCAAAAGAAACAAAGCAAGAACUGAUAUUGUACAUCAAACUGAGACUUUCUUUUCUUUUUUUUUCGACAGGUAAAGUUACUUUUAUUUUUCCAAACAUGGGACCUGCAACUUGCAUGCGCAUUUGAAGAAGUAUUUAGCCACUAACUUUGGUUUUUUUAAUUAUCCGCCAAUAGCAUUCCAUCUAUGGUCUUCCGUCAAAAAAAAAAAAAUUUCUCUUCUGUUUCAAUCAUUUUAUAGGUUCAGGGAAGGUUCCCAGAAGCAUCUCCUAAUUCAAAAGAAACAAAACAAGAACUGAUUUCAUACCUAAAACGGAGACUUUCUUGUUUUUUUUUUCCCAACGUGUAAGAUACUUUUAUUAGACCGAUAUAAGGAAAGGGUGGAUCAAAGAGAAUAAAUACAAUAUUGUGUUUAAAAAAGCAAAGAAAAUAAAAAAGUAAUAAUACUUGGAAUGAGGUAAAUUAAUGCAUAAUGAAAGUUUAAUUCCUUGAUUUCCACGUAUGUCAUGCCAUAAUCACGUUCUUCCGAACUGAUGCACACGGGGCCUGCAACUGCACGCGCGACAAGCCAGCUAGCUGUGACCGUCCUCAGAUGUAAACGUCCUCAAUUGGCUCCUGCUAAUGGGGCCUUCAACUGCAUUCACAAGUGAGUCGACCACAACUUUAGUUUUUAUUUUUAAUCAUCGACCAAUAGCAUUCGAUCUUAUGGUCUUCGUCGUAAAAAAUCGCUACAUCCUGUUUCCACCAUCUUUUCAUAGACCCAUAGAAUUCUCCUAUAACUACAUUAUUUGCUCAUAACGUGUUGACGCGGAAUAUUUUCUGUUUCCACCAUCUUUUCUUAGACCCUUAGAAUUCUCCUAUAACUACAUUAUUUGCUCUUACGCGGAAUAUUUAUCAUCGAGCGAGAGAGGGAGAGAGGGAAAGAGAGGUCUGCUUAGCUGAGCAAAUUACGGCUAUGGCAAGCUCAAAUGCUGGAACAUCAUGGGGAAGCGAGUACCAAGUGUUUCUGAGUUUCAGAGGACCCGACACUCGAACUGGAUUUACCGAUGUCCUCUUUCAUAGCUUGAUUGACGUUGGAAUCCACGUGUUUCGAGAUGAUGAAGAACUCCGUGUCGGUGAAAGAAUUGAUGAAUCACUGCUGCAAGCGAUCAACAACUCCAGGAUCUACAUACCGGUCUUCUCUCAGAACUAUGCUUCGAGCCAAUGGUGCCUUUGCGAGCUCGCACAAAUCGUGGCAAACACCUUGAAAUCUGAAGGUAAUAAAGAGAUCCUACCUAUUUUCUUUGACGUGGAACCUAACGAUGUUAAAUUGAAGACCCCACUAUAUCACAAUGCCAUACUCAAUUUGGAGCACGAGAAGAAGUUGAGCAACGAGCAAGUAAAUGUUUGGAGAGAGGCCCUCAUGGAGGUUGAUGCCAUAAAGGGGUGGGAGGUGAAGAAAUACAAAGGGUAAGCUAGCUAUUUUCAAGAUACUUGUUUCCCCAAUUUUCCUUAACACUUAAUAAUAGAUCUCAAAAUUCCAGUAUGAUUGAGGUGGGAGUUUUAUUAAAGUAAUACUAAAUGAUGAAUCUUUACGUCUGCAAAACAAAAUGUGAAGACAUGAUAUUCAACUUCUACAGUUGUUGCUUGACAAUUGCACAAAUUUUUAUACAACAAUUUUGCUCGAAAAUCCCAAGAUUGCUACUCUCAUGUUGAAAUCAAGUUGAAUUUUGGGUCAUGACAUAGCAUCAACGUUGUCGAGGGCCUAAAAGUAUGUUUUGGAGAGACCUUAAUCUCCAAUAUGGACUUUUAGAAUAUCACUCCUAGAUUUAAGGUCCCAUUACUUAUCAGAUCAUUAUGUAGUUUAUCCAGUGCUUGAACGGCAUCACUUCUAGUUAGGCAAUCGUGAAUUUUCUCACUAAAAUGGAUUUUCCAUUGUGGCAGCCACGGAGAACUAAUCAAAUUGGUAGUUGCGAAGGUCAUGGAAUGUUUGAAGUCAAAACAUAGAUUGGUGACUGAAUAUUUAGUUGGAAUCGAUGAUCAAGUAGUAGCAGUAAGCAAAUUAUUAGAUGUCGAUUCCGAUGGUGUGAGACUCGUUAAAAUUUAUGGCAUGGGAGGUAUUGGAAAAACUACACUUGCCAAGGUCAUCUUCAACUUACUUUCUUCUCAUUUUGGAAAGUGUUGUUGUUUCCUUGAAGACGUUCUUGAGAAAUCAUCAAGAACUGAUGGCUUAGUUCACUUGCAAAAAAGGUUACUAUCCGAAAUUGGCCAUCCUACAGGAACAAAGAACAUUGAUGAAAUUGAUUAUGGAAUUAAGAGGAUUGAAGAAAUACUUUGUAAUAAGAAAGUCCUUAUUGUACUCGAUGAUGUUGAUAACAAUGAACAAGUGGAGAAAUUAGUUGGAAAGGGUACUUUAUAUUCAGGAUCCAGAAUAUUGAUUACAACUAGACAUAAAGAUAUCUUGCAAGUCAAUAGACAAAAUCAUCAGAUUUUAGAUUAUGAAAUGGAGGUGAUGAGUGAUGGACAUGCGCUUGAGCUUUUCAGUAGGCAUGCAUUUAACACAGACUUUCCUUCAAAUGAUUACAAUCAUCUUUCAAGGGAGAUUGUAUUUGCUACCGGGAGACUUCCGUUGGCUCUUGAGGUGAUUGGUUCAUUCCUCUGCCACAAACCACAAGAACUAUGGAAAGAGACAUUGCAUAAGUUAAGAAAAGCACCUCAUGAGGAUGUUUUUGGAAAGUUGAAGAUCAGCUAUGAUGCCUUAAAUUUCAAGCAAAAACAAAUUUUCCUCGAUAUUGCAUGCUUUUUCAUCGGUGAAGAUAAGGCAAAUGCAAUCUACCUAUGGAAAGGUUGUGAGGUUUUCCCAGAUACAGGAAUUGCUGCCCUCAUUGGCAUGUCUUUGGUGAAGAUCGUGGAGAAUGAUAAGUUUUGGAUGCACAAUCAACUUAGAGAUCUAGGAAGAGAAAUUGUUCUCCAAGAGAAUCCAAUAAAUCUUGAGGAGCGGAGUAGGAUAUGGAUUAGGGAGGAGGGCCUUCAUGCAAUAAGACCAAAGGAGGUAAAGCACUUCUAGAGAGAUCUAACUAGUUUUUGCCAUAGAUUCCACUACAUUGUACCUUAUUGGGUUUUUGUUUACUUUCCUUUUUAUAAUCCUUUGGCUUUAUGAGAUAGAAUACUAACAUCACUCAUUCCCCAUUCUCAUUUGCAGAUAAACAAAAAGGUUCAAGCACUAUCCCUUUAUUCAUCUAGACAAAGUAUGCUUGAUGACUUUGUUCAAAUUAAAAGGAUUGGAAGGUUUGAACAUCUAAGGUUCCUUAAAUUAUCAAAAUUAACCCUCAUUAGAGAUGCAACAUUUCGUCUUCCCAAAUCAAUAUUGAUUUCUUUGAAUUAUCCUCUGCAAAAACGGACCAACAUGUACCUAAAGAAUUUAGUUGUUCUUGAAUUUGUCGACGUUAUUUUCGCAGAUGAUCUGGGAUUACAAAACUCACUUAAGGUGCGCAAUAUUCUUAUUCCUAUUUUUUUUUUCUUGGAAAGUAAUAUUUGAUUGUUCAUCUAUUGAGUAUUGCAUUCAUUUUGACAGAUGGCAACAAAAUUGAAAGUUCUUUCUUUUGAAAAUUGUUGGAACAUAAUCAGAACACUCGAUUUCUCUGGAUGCCCGAAUUUAGAGAAGCUUAAUUUCAAAUGGUGUAAAGAUUUGAGGAAAAUCAGUGGCUCUAUUGGGAAGUUGAAGCGUCUAAUUGACUUGAGGAUUUAUAGCUACAAUUCUCUCAAACAUUUGCCUGAAGAAAUUGGGGACCUAGUGAAUCUACAAUAUUUUGUUGUAGAUUGUUAUAAAAUUAAGAGACUCCCGAAUUUCAUAGGGAAGUUGAAAUCAUUAUGUGAGUUGCACUUUAAAGGUUGCAUUUCUCAUAAUUUAGAUUCUGCAAAUUCAUGGAAUUUACCUUGUGUUAUUGAAAUGCUCCAGAAUCACUCUUUAAAAGAUCGACUUCCUUCUGGCAUUGGAAGUUUGCCCCUUCUAAGAAUCCUAAAUCUAUCAGGAACUUGUGUCAGUGAAGUUCCAAAGACCAUCAACAUGCUUCCUUGCCUACAAAGAAUCGAGUUGAUGGGAUGCAAUAAUAUUCAAGAGUUGCCAACCCUCCCAACAAGUUUAACCCAUCUAGAAGUGUCAUCUAAAUUGUUGCGGGUAGUCUCGGAUCUUUCAAACUUGACUAAUUUGGUUGAGUUGUAUCUAUCAGGAACUCAUGUCAGUGAAGUUCCAAAGACCAUCGGCACGCUUCCUCGCCUACAAAGAAUUAAGUCGAUACGAUGCGAUACUAUUCAAGAGUUGCCGACCCUCCCAACAAGUUUAACCCUUCUAGAAGUGUCAUCUAAAUCGUUGCCGGUAGUCUUGGAUCUUUCGAACUUGACUAAUUUGAUUGAGUUGCAUCUAGUUGAUUAUGGAAAAGUAAGAGAUAAACUUUGUACCGAUGAGUUACGAUGGAUUGGGAAGUUAUCCAAACUGACAAAAUUGACCGUCGGACUUCACAAUGCCCCUGUUCCUAUUGAGAUGGCUUCCCUUCCUGUGCUAAACAAACUUUUGUUGUUUGGAUUCAACCAACAAACCUUUCCACAACUACCCCUAUCUCUGGAAAGGUUAAGGCUUGGAAAUUUCAAUUCAGCUGUGUCACUCUCUCCGAACCUAAGAAAUUUGUUAUGUUUAGAACUAUAUAAUUCUCCAAUGCAAGAAAUACAACUUGAUGGGUUUCGACUUCCACAGCUAAAGGAGUUGCGUGUGGAAGGCUGGCAACACCUUGAAAGGUUGAGGCUAUCAAGAAUGAGGAAGCUGAACGAUGUCAACGUGAAUUUGUGUAUGAAGUUAGUUGAGAUCCAAUUUUCUUGGGUGUUUGAAUCACUAGAGGCAUUGGAUAUUGGAGAUGGCGAGUCCUUGGAAAGGAUAGUUUAUGAGUCUGAUAAUGAAUUUAUUAGUUGUGAAGGGAGGCUAAUUUUUCCAUCGACAGUCUUAAAUAAGUUGCAUACUCUCUCCCUGUGGUGUUGCCCUAAGAUACUCGACGUUCAAGUUGUGGGUACGUUGGAAUCGUGGGAACGCUUAGCCAUUGAGAGUUGUCCUUACUUGCAACGUCUCGGUGGUUUGUCAAACUUAAAGAAGCUAAAGUCUUUAUCAAUCAGGAGCUGUGAGAGGCUACGGGAUGUUGAGGGCAUCGACGAGUUGGAGUUUUUGAACCAUUUAUCACUUUAUAGUUGCACAUCGUUGGAAAGGUUGAUUGACGUGUCAACCACCAAACUGCCAAAUGAUUGCCAUGUACAGAUCCAAAAGUGCGGGAGAUUACCUGGGUUUAAGAAAGGAUUCAGCGGCUCCGUCCAGUCCUUCAAGCAUUAUAAGGCGAGCCUGGAUCAUUCUCUCUAUUUAUUUUUUAUAUUUUCUUGACGCAACCGUCCAUGAACACCAAUUCAACUCUAAGGUAGAUUUGUAAUAAUGGUGAGAAAUUAAAAAAUAAACAAAAAUCAACUAAUAUUUGAUGUCACUUAUUUUAAAACCCACUCGAUAUAAUUUGUUUUAGUUUUAGCUCAUGUUUUCUCAUUUUCUUUUCUUUUCUUUUUUCACAUGAGAAAGUUCUAUAUGUGAAGCAAAUCUAUGGGACAAGGUCAGCUUUUAUCAAAAGUCAUUGGAAAAAUUGCAAUUUUUAGCAAAAAAAUAUAUAAAUUAACUCAGAGUUUUUCAUUAAAAUGUUAUUUUCACUUAAUAUGAAAUGAGUUGUUCAUUUAGCGAAUUUUUAUGUAAUACACUCCACUUUAUUGUCAUUUCUUGUUUAAUACUAUUCAGUAUGGAGAUGAGUUUAGUGAUUUGCAAUUUUCACAGUGAAAAUAGAACACUAAAAGAAUCCUAUACUCAUUCCACAGUUUCAAUAAGAAUUUGCUGAGGGAAUUCUUUCAAGAACACAACUUAAAUGGUCCACUGAUCCACAAAUCGACUGACUUAUGUUAUUGAUGGAGUUGAGUGUGAAUUCAAUUGGCAUGUGGAUGGGGUCGGCCAAAUAAGAUGCGUGUUCCAAAAGCAUCUAGAAAUAUUUAUUAAGAUUUAUCAUUCUAAAGAAAACAAUGAAAAUCUAAUUUUUGAAAGUCUGCAUCCCCCCCCCCCCCCCGGGGUUUUUGACCGUGUUUGUUUAUGGCCACUUUAAACAUCGUUCAGACAUUUAUUUUUUCAGUUGUGAGGCAUUUCAUUUCAUUUCAUUGACCUGCUUCCACUACACUAGAUAGAGAAGGGGAAAAUGAGGAGAAAAUGCUUCAUCUACUUAAUUUCUAACUAGCCCCGGUCUUCUUCUUUUUUUGGGUAAGAACAUAUUGUUAUUUCUAUCUUAGAAGCUUAUAUCUAAGGCAGAUAAUGGGUCAGACCAAUAAAAUGUCUUACUAAUGUCAUGGACAUAGGUAGCGUACGAGUCAAAGACAGGGCAGAUGGCUACAAUGUAAAAUUGUUUAAAUUUGGUGAAAUGGAAAAUCGAACUCGUUUGAUGUGCAUUAUCCACAUACACAAUUUCGUUCUAAUCCUACAUGAUUUACAACAUUUUCUUGUGCCAUAUUGUUUCCUCUUCUAUAUUGAUCCUUUCUCUUAUUUCAAUCUCAACAAAUAUAGCCCAAACUUGUAUGUAUGACUUUCAUCAGUAUCUUUUGAGGAUUUUAAAGCAACUCCUAUCUUUUUUAUUGCAUUAUUUUAAUCAUGCCCUUCCUUUUUCGAAAGCUUUCUCCUAAAAUUGGUUAUGAUUUUAUUUUUCAGGAAUCGGACUUUGAUUCGACAACAUGUUUCGGACACUUGUGAAGUUUUGAAGGCAAUCCACACGAUAAUUGUUAUAUUGCAGGGACAAAACUAGCAUAAUAUCUUAUCAGGGUCAAUGCACUGAAGAGUCCAAAGGUUUCUGAGAAUGAUUUCCAACCAGGACAUCAGCUUAGGAUGCAGGUGUGACCUCAUCAUUUUCAAGCUAGAAAGAUGAUUUACCCUUGUGGCAGAAUUAAGAGAGUUGUUGUUCUUCACAUCAACAUUUCUUUGAAUCCUUAAAGGAUUCCUUGCUUGAAUUAGUUAUUUCAAAUUUGUCCCAUCUCUUUUUGAUUGGUCUUAGACAACUCAUUCAAAUUGCCCAUCUUGCAUGAAGAACUGCAAACGUUUAGUACAAGCAGAUUAAGCAUAUGCAGAAUAAUGUUGUGUGAAAGGCCUCAUCCAAUAUAUGAAAUCUACUUGUUAGAGCUGGCAAUCUCUCCAAGACGGGAUAUGACAUAACAUAAACAUCAUCAUACAUAGAACAAAAAUGGUGUGGCAUUGAUACAUCAUGCUCUCUCAUUUCAGGUGACCCAACAUGAAUAUGUCAGGCCACGGCACAUUGUGAGCCCUACUUCCAGGCUUGUAUCUUCUAGCAGCUAAUUCAGUCAUAUGUGUUGGAGAAAUCUCUCUAGAGUGUUUUGAAGCUGACAAAACGUUUCUAUCAGUCUAGUCUGGAAGCUGUGCAGAUCCUUGUACUUAGAGUCUGAAGACUUUUAGAUCACCAGACUCAGCACACAAGACUCAAGACUCAAGACUAUUCUCAUUGACAGUUUCUAAUCUAGAGACGAAGGCGAUCCAAAGCUAAAGUGUUUGGUUAAGGAUUUGGUCUUGUCGAUUGGAGAAGAUCUCCUGGCUGGAUUUGAUACAACGGAUUAAUUAUUCGAAAUCAAGAUCGUUUGAAGAUCCGAUAAUUGACGAAAUAUUCUUGGAAGGUUCUAUUCUUGGAAACCAAGAUCCUGAUUGUAUGGGCGAACGUGAUUGAUGGGCUAUCGACGUGUUCCUUUAAUAGCUCGAAUGACCUUCUUAAUUGAUUCUGUCCAACGGGAAGAUUGGAAGAAUUCCUUUGGUAAGUGCCAACGGGUAUGAUGGCAUAAAUGAGUAUAAAAAGAAGACGUUCCAGUUAUUCUAGUAAGUGCUCGAUAGAGAAAUUCCAGAGUCUAAAGCUCCUUGAUUAUUAGUCGAUUCAUAUUGAGCGAAACUGUACUCACAAAGAGAGUCUAUACUUAGUGAUACCUUGAGAGAGUGUAAUAGAUCUUCUACACCAAGAAAUCAAGGAAGAACAGUGCUGUAAUAUCUUUUUGUUCAUAGUGGAAUCCAGCCAGUGGGCUGUCAGUGCAGAAGAGUGGACGUAGGCUUGAAAUAAGCCGAACCACUAUAAACCUCGUGUUCAAUUUUCUCUUCCCUACUCUCAAUCUUACGUUGAUCGUUGUUUGUUUAUUGACGAAGAAAAAUUGUCUCAUUUCUAUCAAUUGUCUAGCAUUGUGCAAUUAUCAUUAGAAAUUACUCGUUAUACCUAUUCACCCUCCCCUCUAGGUACUUAUACUAGUCAUAUCAAUUGGUAUCAGAGCUCGUGUACUCACUUUAUUUGAAGUGUUUUACUUCAGAGUAAAAGAUCCAUUGCUAGUAUGCUAGCUCCAGGGCUGGUCAAAGGUCAAAGCAAUACCAGACCUCCUUCCUUUGAUGGAAAGGACUACAACAUCUAGAAAAACAAAAUGAAAGCAUUUCUUCGAUCAAAGGAUCCUCUGGAAUGGGACGUUGUAAAAAAAGGAAUCACUCCUAAAGUUGCAUCCGUCUCAGAAAGAGGGAAAGAAACUGUUGAGACCAGCAGAAUGUCUCAGGAAGAGAUAAUCAAGAGACAAACUCUUGAUGCAAAAGCUAUAUAUUCUUUAUAUUGUGCCUUGUCACCCAGUGAAUAUAACAGAAUAUUAUCUUGUGUUACAGCAAAAGAAGUCUGGGAUAGGUUACAUAUCACCUAUGAAGGAACUGAUCGAGUAAAAGAGACCAGAAUCAACAUCCUUCUCGGUCAAUAUGAAGCCUUCAAAAUGAGACCUGGAGAAUCUAUAACUGACAUGUUUAGCCGUUUUAUAGAAAUUGUAAAUGGUCUUGAAAAUCAAGGACAAGCAAUUUCUGAUCCCAUGAAGGUAAACAAGCUACUGGUUUUAAGAUCUUCUUUCAAGAAGGAAUAUGUUCUGGAAUCAGCAAAGACUCUACUCAGUCUUUUAUGGGUCGAAGGCAUGGAAAUAUCUAUCUUUUGGAUAUGAAACCGGAUGAAUCGCAAUGCUUAAUUUCAAUUCAAGACGAAGCAAGCUUGUGGCACAGAAAGCUUGGUCACAUAAAUAUGAAGUAGAUAGCCAAAAUCUCAUCAAAGCAGCUUGUUCGUGGUCUACCCAAUUUAUCAUACCGAAAGUCUGAUCUAUGCACUCCAUGUAUAUUGGGAAAGCAGGUAAGAAAUUCAUUUAAGCCAAUAAAUCAUGUCUCUACUAAUCAUGUACUGCAGCUGUUGCAUAUGGAUCUCUUCGGACCAACCAGAACCCAGAGCAUUGGAGGUAAGAAAUAUUGCCUAGUAAUCGUGGGCGAUUACUCCCGAUUUACUUGGGUAUAUUUCCUUGCAAGUAAGUCUGAAACCUUCUCGUAUUUUGAAAAAUUUGCUAAAAAGGUUCAAAAUGAAAAAUGAUAUGUUAUUUCAAGUAUAAGAAUAGACCAUGGAGGUGAAUUUGAAAAUCAAGAUUUUACAAAAUUUUGUGAUGAAUCUAGCCUCAAGCAUGUGUUCUCCUCUCCAUACACUCCUCAGCAAAAUGAAGUUGUGGAAAGAAAGAAUAGAUCUCUUCAAGAAAUGGCUAGAACUCUUUUAAUUGAAAGUAAGAUUUCUUCACAAUUUUGGGCUGAAGCUAUUUCAACAGUGUGCUAUAUCAUAAAUAGAGUCUUUUUAAGACCUAUUUUGGAGAAAACCCCUUAUGAGUUAUUCAAAGGUAAGAAGCCUAUUGUUUCGUACUUUCAUGUGUUCGGUUGCAAAUGCUUUAUAUUGAAAAAUGCAAAAGAUCGAGUUGGUAAGUUUGAAGAAAGAUAAGAUGAAUGCAUCUUCCUUGGAUAUUCUACAUCAAGCAAAGCUUACAGAGUCUAUAACAAGAAGAGUCAAUCAGUGAGCUCCAAACUCUUCAAAGCUUGCAUCUCAAGAAGCAUCUCAGACUCUGGAAGACCAACAUCAAGUUGUUCGUGAAGAUUCAAGUAAAGAAAGAGAUCAUCAAUCAGACAAAUCAACCAGUAAUUGGAAGCAUAAGUCUAGUCAUUCCAAAGAUCUCAUUAUUGGCGAAAUUAAUGAAGGAAUUCGCACCAGAUCCAAAAGGCGUGAAGAGUCUAGUGCUGUGGCACUUGUUUCCGAAAUAGAACCCAAAAGCAUAGAAGAAGCUUUAUCAGAUGAAAGCUGGAUUGAAGCUAUGCAAGAAGAGCUCAGGCAAUUCAGUAUCAAUGAUGUCUGGGAAUUGACUCCUAAACCAAAAGGUAAAUCUGUUAUUGGAGCUAAAUGGGUUUUCAGGAACAAGAUGAAUGAGAAAGGAAAAGUCGUAAGAAACAAAGAAAGACUCGUGGCCAAGGGAUAUACGCAAGAAGAAGGGAUAGACUAUGAUGAGACCUACGCUCCAGUAGCAAGGUUAGAAGCUAUUCGAUUCUUGCUUUUUUGCUUGUUAUGAAAAUUUCAGAUUAUUCCAAAUGGACGUCAAAAGUGCUUUCCUGAAUGGAUUUAUCCAUGAGGAAGUUUAUGUGGAACAACCACUAGGGUUUGAAGACCCAAAGAAACCAGACUCAGUCUUCAAACUGAAAAAAGCCUUGUAUGGUUUAAAGCAAGCACCUCGAGCUUGGUACGACAGACUAAGUAAGUUUUUAAUACAUAAUGGUUUUGUCAAAGGUAAAGUAGAUACUGCUCUAUUUAUCAAAAAGGAAAACAAAAGCUUUCUACUUGUUCAAAUAUAUGUUGAUGAUAUUAUUUUUGGAUCUUCUAAUGAAAGUCCGUGUAAGAAAUUCUCUAAGUCUAUGCAGGAUGAGUUUGAAAUGAGUAUGAUGGGAGAGUUAACCUUCUUUCUUGGACUUCAAGUAAAACAAUUGAAGGAAGGAACUUUCAUUCAUCAAGAAAAAUAUGCUAAUGAUCUUGUUAAAAGGUUUGGACUAGAAAAGUGCAAAAAAAACCGAUGUCAAGUUCUUUGAAGAUAGACAAAGAUGAAGAAGGGAAGAAAGUUGAUCAAAAGCUGUACAGGAGUAUCAUCGGUUCACUUCUUUAUCUUACUGCCUCUAGACCUGACAUUUUGUUGAGUGUGUGCAUCUGUGCUAGGUUUCAAUCAGACCCUAGAGAAUCUCAUCUCAGUGCUGCGAAACGGAUUAUUAAAUACAUUGCUUCAUCUUCAAGUAUCGGUCUUUGGUAUCCUAAGAAGGGAGACUUUAAUCUUCUUGGAUAUUCAGACGCAAAUGUAGCCGGUUGCAGAGUUGAUAGAAAGAGCAUCUCGGGAACUUGUCAAUUGCUUGGGAACAAGACAGUGUCUUGGUUUUCAAGGAAACAAAACACUGUGGCUCUCUCUACAACAGAAGCAGAGUAUGUAGCUCUUGGAAGUUGUUGUUUGCAAAUUCUGUGGAUAAAACAACAGCUACAAGACUUUGGAAUUGAAGACUCAUGCACUGAGAUUAGAUGUGACAGCACCAGCGCAAUCAAUCUUACUAAAAAUCCAAUCCUUCACUCAAGGGCAAAGCAUAUAGAGAUUCGUCAUCACUUCAUUAGAGAUCAUAUUCAAAAUGGAGAAAUCUCGAUUCAAUUUGUUGAGUCAAAGAGCCAACUAGUGGAUAUAUUCACAAAGCCUUUGGAGAAGAAUCAAUUCGAUAUCAUCCGUUCCAGACUCAACAUUUUGAAGCUUGAGGAAAUCAAAGUCUAGAGACUCUCAGACUCUCAGACUCGAUCAUUCACGGCCAUAGACUGUAAGUUGUUUUAAAAUUCAAUCUCGAAAAGGUACGAUCUUUCAUUCAGUUAUAUUUGAUUUAUCUUUAAUUUCCGAGAAAAACGGAAUCUUGUCUUUUCAAAAAGAUAACCUCUAUUAAAAAGGCAGUUAUCGUUUUUAAAAAUGGACGACUGUUCACUUUCCUUUAUGUCGAUUGGUUUUUUCCUUUCUUUAACUGGGUUAUAUACAGUAAGUUGUCUUCUUCGCUUCACUCUAAAACCCUAAAAAGACAUUCUCCUCCCAAUCCUGUCUCGAUUUCGUGUUCAUCUUUGAGAAAGUUGUCAUAUUUUCUUGGGAAAGCGAGUCAAGGAAUCUUUCAAUGACAAGAAACGAUGUCUUCUUGUAGAAGGUCUUCAAGAAUCGCAAGCAGGGGACCACAGAGAAUGAGGGAGGGUCCUACCCAUUUCGAUCUCACCAAGGAAGAAGAGUUACCGAGACAGCAACAGAGCCCGAUUCACUCUCAGCCACGUCAAUCUCUAUUAUCUACCCCACAAAGUGUGAAUCAACUACCACAGGAAGAAAUAAUCGAGGAAGCAGAGCCUGUAAGAGUCCAAAAACCCUAUUUUAUUUAUAAGCUCUAUCGUGCUUUGAAAAGCAUAGGUACACCACUGAACUAUGUGGAUGCCUUCCUUAAAGACAAAGGGUAUAAAAAUGAGUAUAUCUUUUUGUGACGGAUGGAGGAUUUGGGAAUUGCUUCCAAAGGAAAGGCUGAGGAAGCACUUGUGAACAUUCUUAGUGACCCUCGUGUAGGGGGAUUUAAUCUGACUGACGGGAAUGACGAUGAUAAACUAUUUAGAGAAUUCCAACCCAAGAUGGGUGUUGCUGCGAAAGUGAAAGGAAAAAGAACGGAGUUGUUCAAAUCAAAGGAACAGGAGGAUCUGUUCUUCAAAUUGUUGAAACGGGGGGUAAUAAACCCUAGGAGCGUUGAUUUUGACUUUCUGGAUGCCAUCAAUGUGAACUUAAAGGAGAAGUUCAAUCUGCUUCAACUAGAACAAUUUUGCUCUGACACCACAGACGGCUAUGCACAAUUAACAACAUAUUUCUAUUCGAAUCUCAACUUUUUAGAUGCGAAUAGAAUAUCCUUCAGUGUUCGAGACCAAUACUAUGAGGUAGAUGUGGACAUGUUGGCAGACAUAAUUGGAGUUGAAAGAGGACGAUAUCAACCGAUCAAGGUUUCAAUCGCUCGUACCACACUGGAACUUGUCAAAGACAAGAGUACAGAAGGAAGAGUUACCUACACAAGAAUGCAUGCCAUCAACAUCUUACUGUACAAAAUCGUGAUCAACUGUCUCAGGCCAAAAUCAACAUCCAAGACAGACGUGUCUAAUUCUGAGGCGAAAUUGAUGUACGCGAUCAAUUCAGGGAAGAAGUUCUCUCUUCCUCACACCAUUCUCUUCCACAUGUACAGAGCAAUGGUGAAGGAUAAGGGCCAGUUGCCUUACUCAGGUCUUGUGACUAAGAUCUUCAGACACUUGAAUAUUGAACCUCCACAUACUCUUUGCGUUCGACCAUGCGACAAAAUGGUGGUGGGUUUGAAAAGACUCAGUCGUUCUGUAUCCGAAUCAAUGGAAUGACAGAAGAAAAGAAAAGAAGCAAAGGAACAAGAACAUAGAAAAGCAGAGGAGAGAGAAGAUAAAGAAAAAGAAGAAGAGGAGAAAGAAGUUGAAGAAGAAGAAGAAGCAGUCAAAGAAAAGUCUGCAGAUGAAGCUGGAGAAAAAGGCAAUCAAGAUUCUACUGAGCAUGACCAUCACUAUUCCCCAAAUGAGGCCUUAGAAACAGGGGGAGAUGAUGAGCAAGGAAGGACUACACCAUAUCCUGAUCACAGUGAAGGUGUGAGUCGCUCGCAAGCAAAUCCAGAAGAUAUUCAGGCUUCUCAAAUGCCUGAGGAAGGACAUGACACCUCAACGCUAAAUUUGCGCGAUUACACUAAAGUUCCAUCGUCUGCCUUCACUCCAUCUGAUAGAGCAAAUGCAAGCACGCAGACGGACAAUACCGCAGAUUUUCGUCGUAUCCUUGAUCUUCUUCUAGCAAUGCAGGGUCAAAUAUAUGCUUUGGAAUGUGAACUUCAAGUCCUAAAGAAUUCUGGACAAGCGUCUUAUGUUACCCUGUCGAUCAAAUACAAGACCUCGCUCGUCAAAUUCAAGCAAAUGCCAAAGGAGUAGAGAUGACUCGUCUAAGGGAAGACUUGAAGAGGCUGGAAGGCAUCGUACAGUCGAUGGGAGAUUUCCAGAUUGUGCGCGUUCCCAAGCAGACUUGACUCUUUCUCACCUUUUUAAUGAUGACAAAAAGGGGGAGAAUUGCCAGCUUUGAACUGAACUAAACUUUGAUUUUGAAUCUAUCUUUAAUUUUAGUUUGUUUGGAUAUUUAUUUUUGAGUAUGACUUGAGUGUGGUGGACUUGGUGAAUUUGACUGACUUGAGUGUGUGGAUUUGAAAUUGACUGUUGCAUUAUUUAUAUCAAGUGUUAUUGUAUGGCUUUACUCAUGAAAGACUAACUUAUUUUCUGUGGAUGCAGAGUCUAGUUGAGUUAUUAAUCUUUAUGAGAUAUCCAUACUGCUUGAGUAAUGCUUUUGCAAGUCAAAGUUGUUCAAAUCUACAGGAAAGUUUUGUCACCAUAAAAAAUGGGGAGAUUGUUGGAGAAAUCUCUCUAGAGUGUUUUGAAGCUGACAAAACGUUUCUAUCAGUCUAGUCUGGAAGCUAUGCAGAUCCUUGUACUUAGAGUCUGAAGACUUUCAGAUCACCAGACUCAGCACACAAGACUCAAGACUCAAGACUAUUCUCAUUGACAGUUUCUAAUCUAGCGACGAAGGCGAUCCAAAGCUAAAGUGUUUGGUUAAGGAUUUGGUCUUGUCGAUUGGAGAAGAUCUCCUGGCUGGAUUUGAUACAACGGAUUAAUUAUUCGAAAUCAAGAUCGUUUGAAGAUCCGAUAAUUGACGAAAUAUUCUUGGAAGGUUCUAUUCUUGGAAACCAAGAUCCUGAUUGUAUGGGCGAACGUGAUUGAUGGGCUAUCGACGUGUUCCUUUAAUAGCUCAAAUGACCUUCUUAAUUGAUUCUGUCCAACGGGAAGAUUGGAAGAAUUCCUUUGGUAAGUGCCAACGGGUAUGAUGGCAUAAAUGAGUAUAAAAAGAAGACGUUCCAGUUAUUCUAGUAAGUGCUCGAUAGAGAAAUUCCAGAGUCUAAAGCUCCUUGAUUAUUAGUCGAUUCAUAUUGAGCGAAACUGUACUCACAAAGAGAGUCUAUACUUAGUGAUACCUUGAGAGAGUGUAAUAGAUCUUCUACACCAAGAAAUCAAGGAAGAACAGUGCUGUAAUAUCUUUUUGUUCAUAGUGGAAUCCAGCCAGUGGGCUGUCAGUGCAGAAGAGUGGACGUAGGCUUGAAAUAAGCCGAACCACUAUAAAUCUCGUGUUCAAUUUUCUCUUCCCCACUCUCAGUCUUACUUUAAUCGUUGUUUGUUUAUUGACAAAGAAAAAUUGUCUCAUUUCUAUCAAUUGUCUAGCAUUGUGCGAUUAUCAUUAGAAAUUACUCGUUAUACCUAUUCACCCCCCCUCUAGGUACCUAUACUAGUCAUAUCAAUAUGUAACCAGGGACAAAGAUGUCACUAUCCUCUUUAGAACAUAUUAUGGUGAAUUUAAUAUAAGCUUUCGUGGCAAAUAAUAAUGGAAGACUUAGAAUUGAGAUACAAUUGCAAGUGAAAGUUUACAAUUUCAAUAGUAGAUAUGUAUAUCUAUUUUCUUGUACAUAAUAUACAUUGCCGAAAUAAUUAAUCACGGUAGACAGUAGUUGCUAUGUAUUGUUGGUUGAAAUGUUCACGCAAGAUUGGCUGUGAUGUUAUUUCUUCAAAAAUCACGUUUUGAUUAGAUUUGGACAUGUUUUGGAGGCUUGUACAAUUUUGAAGACGACUCCGAUAAUGAUUUUUACCAUGCAGGGACGGAUUGGCAUAUUAGUUUAGUGGGGUCAAUGUAUUUGUUGUUGCGCGUGCGCGGAAUAUAGACGGACCAAGCGAAUCGGAUAAAAUGGUCGGAAUGAAGGAAAGGAAAUCAGACACCGGAUUUACGUGGUUCGGCCCGAGUAUCGGAACCUACGUCCACGGGGAGAGCAGCACAGAAUUCCACUAUAGAAACAAGCGAUACACCGGAGAUUACAAUGACUCGAGUACUCAAACACACUCAGUGUUUCCCAGCCCCCAAAUUACACCCAGAUAACUUACACAGUGUUUAGCCCUUCACAAUUGCUAGUGAAAUCUCACUCAAGAAAUUAAACAAAUUCUACUCACAAGAAUUUAACUGACUAAAAGCACUCGGAUGUAAUUUCAACGAGAAAAUUUCUCUCUGCCGAGAGCUUCUGAAGCCUCACGACUUCUCUCUUCAGCUCUCUCUCUCUCGCCCUCUCUCUCUCUCUCUCUCUCUCGGCCACCAAAAUAACUCAGCUCGGCGCCAUCUUCUCCUUCACUCCUCUGCCUUUUAAGGACGAAGUAAGACAGAAAAUGUGAAACUCAUUCGGCGCUCGCAAUCACCACUGACGCCCACCAAAAUUCAUGGGCACGCAUGCAUGCAUGGGACGCAUUUAAUAAGGCAGAAAACUUGCACCCAUAAUUCAAGCGUGAAAGAAGGAUGGCCGCCGUCUUCCAAGACCAUCUCCACGAUGUUCAACUCCUUCAAGUAAUAUUUUUUUAUCAUUUCUUUCCUUUGGUUGUCUGCAGCUUGAAUAAAAUAAGAAAGGAAAGAAGCAAGGAGUUAAAGAAAGAAGACAAAACAAGCCCACAAUUGGCUUUAGUCUUCCGUGUCCAUCCACCAUGCAUGCACGUCCAUGUGCAUGCAAUUAAAGAGUUAGAAUAAAAUAAUGAUCUUCCCCUCUCGCUGCUGCACGCUCUCUUCAUUCUUCACGCUUGCGCUCAUAGAUCCGCAUGCGAUCUUCUGACAAUUUCGGCCAAUUCACAUGCGCUACUUUGACUCACACGUGGUUGAGUUCACGCAUUCUCGUUCAACGGGCUCAAAUCGAGACAUAUUUUCAACAAUCUCCACAUUGGCUCGACGUUUGAGCCAAAUCAUAAUCGCUUCAGUGGACACCUCGCUACUACUCUCCCACAGCCCCAACGGGCUCAACUGCCACAGAGUGCUUCCAAUUUCAAGAUGCGCUUGAACUUUCUCAUAAUCAUGGACCUCAUCAAGACACCAAUUCCACCUGCAUAAUUAGCUACUCCACAAGGAUUUUCUGACAUAACCUCCUAUAUCACAGAUAAAGCAAAACCAUCAUUGCUUCCAUAUCUGACAGUAGGUCGAACACGCACCUUGUCAAAUUUAGUAGCUACAGCAACUGUUGGCUCUAUUGGCUCCACCUCGCUACAAGCAUCAUCUAUGUCGAUUAUUACGCUAGUACUCGCUACCUCAGGAGUUUCUGGUUGCAACUCCACCUUGAGCUGAACACCGUUCAGAUCCGUAUUAACACUGCCAAAAACACUCCUAUCCAAAAGUACUAGAGACUUGUCAAAGGUAACUUCUCUACUGUCAACAGGUGAAUUUAUAUCCGGGCACCACAACUGAUCGCCCCACUCACCUCGUGCAUAGCCAUGGAAUAUGCACAUUGCCCUCCCAUCGAGCUUACCAUCACUCACUCAAAAAUAACACGGGCAACCAAACAUUCUAAAAAUAGAAUUACCAGCAACGUUACCUGACCACACUUCUUCAGGAAUCCGCCAUUCAAUAGCAGUUGAUGGGGAUCUAUUCAUCAGGUAGCUUACCGUACUAAGCACAUCAGCUAGGAUUCUCCUAGCAACACCAGCACUAGAGAUCAUUUUACGGGCCGUCUCUAGUAAUGUUCUGCUUAUCAAUUAUGCAAAUUGUUGUGAUUUAUUGGCACUAGUGCGAUGUUUCACUAUGCCCUCUUCCAUGCAGAAUUUAUUUACCAGCUCCGAGCAGAACUCCAUGCUAUUGUUAGUCCGCACAUGCUUGAUCGACUUACCAGUCUCCGUCUCGAUCAAAGCUCUCAACCGCGUGAUCCUAACACUAGCAUCAAACUUGUGCAUCGGCACAAGCACCCAGGUCUUCCUCGAGCAGUCAAAAGACUCUCGAACAGAAGCAUCCAACGUCUCCAGGGCAAAACCUGUCACUGUCUCACCUUGAAGUUUAUACAGGCCUCCGUGCUUGAUUCCUUUCAUUAUCACCAGGGCACCUCGAACAAUCUUUAGAACUCCACCUUCUGAAGAAUACCUGCAACCAGUUGAAUCUAGGGCACCCAAGGAAAUUAAGUUCUUUUGCAAUUCUGGAACAUGUCUUACUCCAGUCAAUGUCCUCACAAUACCAUCAUGCAUUCUGAUUUUAAUAUCACCAACACCCACAACAUCGCACUCAGCGUUGUUCCCUAACUGAACUUUACCAAUACCCAUGCACUGAUAAGUGAUAAACCAAUUCCUAUUUGGUGUAACGUGAAAUGAACAACCAUAAUCCAUUAUCCAUCCGUGAAAUGAAAAAUCCUCAGUGACAGACAAGACAAUCAACACCAUCAGAAUCAUUCUCAGCUACAGCUGCAACAUUUUAUGUAGACUCAACUCUAAUUCCUUUACCCUUUUCAUUUUUCAGCUUAAAACAGUCUCUUCUACGAUGCCCACUAUUGCCACAAUUCCAACAGACAAUCCUACCAGUCCUAGACUGACUUCGUCUGUUCAUGUUCCUGCUAACACGUGUGCUAGUUCUUCCUUUACCUUCACCUACUAAAGCAGUAGACACGGGUUCACCAAAUUCUUUCCUACGAAUGUCUUCACUCAGAAUCAAAUCACGAACGUCAUCAAAUGUCAAACUUCUUGACCCAGAGGAAAGACCAAAUGUACAAAAGAUCUCAUCACCAAAAACUUACACUCCAAAUGUAAGAACAAAAGGAGUGGAAGGGUGAUGAGAUGUAAAAGCCGCAAAGUGCAGCACAUACACUACAACACCAAAACCAAAAAGAAGCACGACAUGGAUAACCGGCUACCAAACACACCACAGGUGAGGAAGAGGUCAUUGUCGGAUCGAAGUACCUACGAGUCCCUAGUGAAAAUAAUUGGGUUUAGGCCUCAACUUCUCUGCAACCUUCUGUUUCUUAAAUCAUUUUCGAUGUUCCUGAAGGUAAUAGCCUUGUCUCGAACCACUUUGAAGAGGUGGUUCUUCAUAGCUAGGAUAGUCAGGAGCUGGUCUCUAAAGAUGAUGCUAUUCUUGUUUUUCCAAAUGAUAUAACAAAGUGCGCCCAAAGAAAAAUGGGCAAUUCACUUGUAGAAAUUUUUACCCAUCAAAUAGGUAGCGGCCCGGCGGAAGUUCUCCCUCUAAGUUCUGUUGCGCCAAUGUAAAUUGCAUCUGAAAGCCCAAAAGAAUAAAAUGACUAGAGUUUAUUCCUUCCCGUUGGGGAAAUAAAAAAUAUAAGGGGAAUCAGCUGCGCAAGACGUGCGGGCACCGGCCGGCAGGUGAAUGUAAGAAAACGAAUGGAAGUUAAGAUCACACCUUUAAAAAAAAAAAAAAACAGACAUAUAUGUAACGACCACAACGGGCUGGGCCGGAAGGAUGAAGAAAGUCCAGUAGGGAGAAUCCUGAAGGCUUUGCUGAAAUCUAUCACCUUAUCCUCAAAGUGACGAACCAAUAGCAUAUUUCCUAGAAAAAAAUAAAGAAAUAAAAUAAAUCGACUGAAAAUCGAUGUGAAGCCAGCGAGAGAAGCGCUAGCUCUGCGAGACGAAGAAGCCAUGGCGUCUCUCCUGGGAACUUCUUCCACAGCAAUCUUGGCCUCACGGCGCCUCUCCCCACUUUCAGGUGCAAUUUCCUGCACAUGUUUCAAGCGUUUGGGGGAUAAUCCGGACGACCCAUUUCGGUUCGGGUCUUUAAAUUGCUCGAAUUCGACUAUUUCGAGCUCGGGGUUUAUGAGGUUUUUAAUGGGGUCUGUGGAAUUUGCCUUUGUUGUUGAAUUUUCUUGUUUGCAGUGCAGAAUCAUGGCAAGAAAUGUUAUGAAGGGAUUGGGUUUCAGACCAAGAAAGGAAGGUCGCCGUGGCAUCUUGCCGUCACCAAUGUCGCGACCGAUAUCAAUUCUGUCGAGCAGGUAUCGAUUCUUUCCUUUGCCUUUUAUUUUAUUAGCUCUAUGCAUUUCUGGGAAGUUGCAGCAAGAGACUGGUGUGGAUUGAUGCUUCAAAUUUGUUAAUUGCUGAGUUUUUUUUAGUGAAAGUAGACUGAAAAUUGGGCUGCUUCCAUUGCAUUUAAUGAUAAAGUGAGGAUUUCUUAGGCUGAGGCAUUACGCUAAUUGAAGUCGAAUGGGAAAAAGAAAAUGCUUUGCAGUUGAUGGUUUUUUUAGGGUGGUCUUGUUGAGUGAAGUGAGAAUUUUUUGGGGGAGAAUUAGCAUGGAUUGCUUGUGUAGGAUUUUGUGAGCUGGAUUGGAUGGAUUUUUUUCAUUUUUCAGGCUCAGAGGCUUGCCUCUAAGGAGAGUUAGAGGCCGGUCUAUCCUUUUGCCGCUAUAGUUGGGCAAGAUGAGAUGAAGCUGUGCCUCUUACUAAAUGUCAUUGAUCCGAAGAUUGGUGGUGUUAUGAUUAUGGGAGAUAGGGGCACCGGGAAAUCCACUACCGUCCGGUCAUUGGUCGAUUUCCUCCCUGAGAUUUCGGUGAAACCGCAAGGUUCUAUGGACUUCCAGCAACCGGGUUACGGCAAUUCUGAACGCAAAUUUAUCCACAAGCUUAUUCCACCCAGUUUCUGAAGCCAAAUGCGCUGGAAUACUCACGGAGGCAUAUCGAAGAGAUAAACGGAGCAAUUAAGAAGAAAUCCUUCGCUGUGCCUAACCUACAAAAUCAUGGACGAUGCAUACUGCCAAUCUACAUAGAGCACAAAGAGGUCUUCCAAAAUCAAACGGACCUACUGCGACGGGAGGGUGGGAGACGCAAAAUGCACGCGAAACAGCGAGAGACAAGGCACAACAAAGGCAAGAGUCUGAAGGAACUCCUCAUCGGAAAAGUUCACAUCUCAUCAGGUUUCUCCAUCGGAAAAACUAAGUGCGCUCGUGCAAAGCCCCUCCACUCGACAGUACCUUCCUUGCGAUCGCGACAGGAAGCGAGCUCGAGCGUGGGAGAGGGAGGUGUUGGAAGAUAUGCUCGAAUCUGAUCUUGGGAGAUAUGCUCGGAAUCUCGAUUGAUCUUAAUUGUACAUAAAUUAGUUAGGAUCUUUAGAUUGAGAUUGGAUUCAAUUUCAUAAAUAUUUGUUUGCCUUUUAUUAUUUCAUCUAUGUACUAUAAUUACAGAAGAAAUGUACAUCAGAAUACAUACGAAAUAUACAAGAAUUCCAGAUCUCUAUAGUCUUCUUCACUUUCUUACAUGGUAUUAGAGCUUCGGCUUCUGACUGUUCUUCACUUCCGCUCCUUAUUGCCCACCAAAGGAGAUUUGAAUCACACAACAGAUCUACCAUCUUGGUAUAGGAAUCACUCGAAGAAGAAGAAGACAAGAGCUACUGGUUUCUUACCUCCAAUGGCCGACGACCAAUCCAACCCAGAAGCCUCACCACCGACGCAGAUCCAAAAUUUACCUACAACAACACAACAACAAACAAUCCAGGCACACCCUGUUCAAUGGAGACCUACACAAGCUCAGUUUGGUCUAGGGCAACCCUUUGCGGGUCAACCGUUCUAAUGGGUACCUUACCCAUUUUAUCUCGGGACAUACCUGAAUACAUCAUCGCCCAUUUAUGUAGGACACCAUGGAGCCCACUUCCAAUCCGAGGCAAGCUUGACCCCAGAACUAGAGCAGGUAAGCGGAUCUAGAGAACCGGGUAUGGGAACAAAUCCCUACCUGGGGUUUUCAAAUGCAGAUUACCAAUCGGGUCAAUGGACAAAUACCUACCCAAACCUUGCGCUCGGAUUCAUGCCAUUCCCCGUCGCUGCCGUUACCGGGCAUACGGACCCUAAUGAUCCCCUGCAUGUCUCAACAGCCGAUGGCCAUGAGCUGAAACUGAUCAACCUUCAGUUAACCGGACCAAAGAAUUACACCAGAUCGUCCCGAGACUUCCGGCGCGCCCUUGUGACGAAGGACAAUGAUGGAUUCCUCGACGGGGCGGUUUCGAUUCCUGCCGAUGAGCGACUAGCCCGAUUUUGGAGGAAAUGCAAUCAACUCGUGAGGACGUGGAUCGGCAACUGCAUCUCCCCAGAGGUCGCGGUUGGUCUCCCACCAACAGAAGACUCGAAAGCCAUGUGGGAAAACAUCAAACAGAUGUACGGCAAAUUAGAUCGAGCAUGAAUUUUUUCCCUUUUGCAGGAACUUAGUGAGUUAAAACAGGGGAACAUGAUCAUCACGGCCUGUUACAACAAACUGUCGUCCUUGUGGAACGAUCUCGAAGCAACAGAAGAGAAGCCCGAGGGACCAGAGGAGACACUUGCACAAUACCGGUCGAUCAAAGAAAGGGAAAAGGCGACCCGAUUCCUUUUAAUCUUAAACGAUUCUUACCUGACGUUUCGCUCGCAGAUUUUGGCCAUGGAACCGAUGCUCCCUCUUGGCCGGAUCAUUCAAUUAGCCGUCCAAGAAGUAAGCCAGAGGCUUGCUUCAUCAGAAUUAGCGAAAGGAGGAGAGAGUUUUGCCCUGGCCAGUCGCAGCGAGCGAAGAAAUUGGGGAUCGAAAACCCUAGUGCUCGAAAAAGGGGCGCCAGGAGGAGAGCUAGGGUUUCGGUCGCCCAGAUCUGAGGAUUCCCACCUCCUUAAAAGAGGAGAACUAGACGGCUCGGAUUCAGCCUGUAGAUCGGAUGGUCCAAAGGGACCCAUCUAUUCGACCGGAUCUAACGGUGGAGAUGGAGCGACUGGGAAGACAUCCGACGGUGGUGGUUUUUUUUCUGCAUUUGACGGUGGAAGAAUUUUUUCGGCAUCUACAAAAAGUUUUAAUCAAAAAAGGGGUAAAUUAUAUUGUGAAUUUUGCAGAAGGCCACAUCAUACAGUGGAAAAUUGCUGGAAAUUACACGAUAAACCCGGAGAAAAAGGAAAAAGAAGGAAAUUUCUAUGGCCUACUAGGUUGGUGGUUCUAAUGUUGAUCAGUCCAUAACAAAUUAUCAAUACCAACAACUGAUGCAGGCAGUACAGAAAUUGGACAUCUCAAGCAAGGGAGGAAAUUUUUCAGGUGUUUCUCGCUGCCUGAUUAAUAAUAUUUCCAAGAAAUCCUAGAUAAUUGAUUCUGGGGCAAGUGAUCACAUUGUCUAUGAAAGAGCAUUAUUUUCAGAUAUACAUGAGAACCUGGAAUUUCCUAUUACUGUCCAAUUACCAAAUGGGAAUGUUACUCAUGUCAAAAUCACUGGAUCAAUCAAACUGAGCCUAGAAAUCAUACUCCAAAAUGUCCUUUACGUUUCAAAAUUUUGAUUCAAUCUUAUUUCUGUGUCCAAAGUCUGCAGAGAAAAUUCUUGUCGUGUAUUGUUUGAUUCUGACACUUGCUUCUUUCAGGCCCUUUCGACUGGCAGAGUGAUGGGCUUGGGUAGUCUUUCUGAAUGAUUGUUUCUAUGGAAAGAUUCUCCAAGUAAUUUUGAUUUAUCCUCAUUUCCUUCAAAUAAAAUAUCAUUGUGUAACACGACUACCAAUGAUAAAGACUAUCUUUUACAUUCAUGAUUGGGUCAUAGUGCUUCAUUUCCUUAUUCUAAGUGUCAAAUAUGUCCCCUUGCAAAGCAAUCACGCAUUCCUUUUGCCCUUAGUAAAAAUUGUGUAACGCACAUUUUCUCUUUAAUUCACAUGGAUGUUUGGGGUCCUUACCAUACCCAACAUCAUGAUGGAUCGCACUAUUUCUUGACAAUUGUGGACGAUUAUUCUCGUGCCACCUGGGUUUUUUUGAUGCAGUCAAAGGGACAAGUCUUCUCACAUUUGAAAACAUUUAUCGCUCUAUCCAAGAACCAAUUUGGAAGAUCUAUCCAACGAGUUAGGACAGACAAUGGGAAGGAGUUCUUCAACAAUGACUGCAAUUUUCUUCUGUCAUCUCAUGGGAUUCUCCAUGAAAGUUCUUACAUCUAUACUCCACAAUAGAAUGGAGUAGUGGAGCGUAAGCAUUGUCACCUAUUGGAAGUUGCACGUGCAUUAAAAUUUCAGGCGUCUAUUCCAAAAAAAUAUUGGGGCGAAUGCAUAAUUACUGCAACAUAUCUCAUCAACCAUAUGCCAACUCGGAUACUCAAUGGAAAAACCCCAUUUGAGUUACUCUUCAAGAAGAAACCGGAAUUUGGGCAUUUAAGGAUAUUUGGAUGUCAGUGCUUCGCUACUGUUUUGGGCCCUCGAGACAAAAUGGGGCCUCGAGCUCGACGGUGCAUCUUCAUGGGUUAUCCGAAUUUACAAAAGGGGUAUUGAGUCCUAGAUCAAUCAACAUUGGAAUUCUUCAUCAGCAGAGAAGUUAUUUUUCACGAAGAUAUUUUUCCUUUCAAAGAAAAGGACUCUUCAAUGGAGACGCCAAACAAUUCUGGUAAGCCACUAUCUAUGGAGGAUUUUUCAAAUACCGAAUAUUUUGUGACAGGAACUCCAAAACCACUUAUGAUAACCCCAAUCACUCCUGAGAUUUCUGCACCAGCAAUUGUUGAAAAUGGCGCUCAAGAAAAUUCUUCAAUGGCAGAAGAAUCCUCUAAUGAAAUUGGCAAUAUAGAAAUAUCUUCAACUUCAGCUCAAGUGAAUCCUCCUCGACGAUCUGGUCGUUCUACAUGACCGCCAGCUUGGAUAGAAGACUAUGUUUGUGCAUCACCCAACUCACCAGGUAUUAACUACCCAAUAUCAUCUUAUGUUUCGUUCCAUAGACUUUCAUCGGAACAUAGAUGUUGUGUGAGUCGAAUAUCAGAGGACAUCGAACCAUCUACUUAUGAAGAAGCAGCUAAAGACCCAAGAUGGCAGGAAGCUAUAGGAGCUGAAUUGCAGGCACUAACUGCAAACAAGACCUGGGAUUUGGUCCAUCUACCACCAAAUAGGAAACCCAUUGGAUGCAGAUGGGUAUACAAGAUUAAAGACCGUGUUGAUGGGUUUAUUGAGUGUUACAAAGCUCGAUUGGUGGCCAAAGGAUUUACUCAACGAGAAGGCUUUUUGAUUACCACGAAACCUUUUCCCCCGUUGCCGAAGAAUACCCAAACCUUGAUUCAAUGAAUUGAGAAGAGGGAUCUACGCAGAGUGGGGUGUCAGAUGGUCGUUUUUCGGCUUGCCAAAGACAUAACCGUAAGAUCCUUCUUAUCUAUUACAGCUAUCAAUGAUUGGCCUUUACACCAAAUGGAUGUACAUAACGCUUUUCUGCAUGGAGACUUAGAUGAGGAAAUCUACAUGGAUAUUCCUCAAGGAUUACGGAGACGGGGGGAGAAUAGAGUAUGUCGUCUCCGUAAAUCUCUCUAUGGUCUCAAGCAAGCUUCUAGGCAAUGGUAUGCAAAAUUUGCCGAUGCUCUCACUUCUGUAGGUUUCAAACAGUCUAGAUAUGAUUAUGCCUUGUUCACAAUGACUCAAGGUACGUCAUCUAUUUAUCUAAUGAUAUAUGUUGACGAUAUCCUCAUCAUGGAAAAUAAUAAAAUUGCAAUAGAGAGAUUCAAGAAGUAUCUGUAUUUUACUUUUCACAUUAAAGACUUGGGAGCACCCAAAUACUUUCUUGGAAUCGAGAUUGCUCGAUCUGAUCGUGGGAUUUCUCUUAGUCAACGGAAGUUUGUGCUGGAAAUUAUAUCAGAGGCAGGACUGUUAGGAUGCAAACCAUCAAUUAUUCCAAUUGAGUAGAAUAUAAAGUUGACCACCAAGGAUUAUGAUGCUGGGACAUCUGAGAAUCAUGAUCCUGUUCUCAAUGAUCCUUCAGGUUAUAAGCUUGUUGGGAAGCUCAUAUAUUUAACUAUGACUAGAUCCGAUAUAUUAUAUGCAGUGCAGACUCUCAGCCAAUUCAUGCACAGUCCCAAGUUAUCUCACUUGAAUGCUGCAUUAAAGGUCGUGAAGUACUUGAAGAAGUGCCCGGGACUAGGGAUUCUUUUAUCCAGGGAAUGCAAUAUGAAAAUGUUGGCAUACUGUGAUGCAGAUUAUGCGACUUGUCCUAUGAGUCGACGAUCCAUUACAGGUUUUUGCAUUAAACUUGGAGAUUCUCUUCUUUCAUGAAAAACCAAGUUGCCUGCUUCUUGGUUUUUCAUGAAAGAAGCAGGCAACUGUAUCAUUGUCUUCAGCCGAAGCAGAAUACCGAGCUAUGACAAAAACUACUUGUGAGAUCAUAUGGAUAUGGGGACUACUUGGGGAUCUUGGGAUAAAUUUGAAGAGUCCGACUAGGUUGUUCUGUGACAACGAUGCGGCGCUCAAACUUGCAGCAAAUCCCAUAGUACAUGAAAGAACGAAGCAUAUAGAAGUGGAUUGUCACUUCACUCGAGAAAAGAUUCAAGAAGGGAUAAUUGAGACUAGAGGAAUUGGAAUGGCGGAGCAACCAGCCGAUAUCUUCACUAAGGCCCUAUGUCAAAGACAACAUGCAUAUCUAUUGAGCAAGCUAGGCAUCUUGGAUAUCUAUCAGCCACCAGCUUGAGGGGGAGUGUUGGAAGAUAUGCUCGAAUCUGAUCUUGGGAGAUAUGCUCGGAAUCUCAAUUGAUCUUAAUUGUACAUAAAUUAGUUAGGAUCUUUAGAUUGAGAUUGGAUUCAAUUUCGUAAAUAUUUGUUUGCCUUUUAUUAUUUCAUCUAUGUACUACAAUUACAGAAGAAAUGUACAUUAGAAUACAUACGAAAUAUACCAGAAUUUCAGAUCUCUAUAGUAUUCUUCACUUUCUUACAGGAGGGACAGAGAUCGGCUGGAUUAGAAUGGAGAUGAGAGAGAAGAACUCUGGUUUUUCUGCGGGUUUUUGGAUGGCGACUCUUUACAUAUAGAGAGAGAGAGAGAGAGAGAGAGAGAGAGAGAGAGAGAGAGAGAGAGAGAGAGAGAGAGAGAGAGAGAGAGAGAGAGAGUAGAUCUGAAAGAGGCAGGACCGGAAAGUGGCGAAAAACCGACGGAGGUUCGUCUGAGCGACUCGUCAUGCGCUCGCCGGGAGUUCUCCCGAGGGGACAAUAAAAUCCCGAUUCUGCCCCUCUAGAGGAACCAAUUCACGAAUUGCUCUGGUAUUGCCUUUAUUUUGUCUACUUUGGACCCAAAUCAUCGGAUCUAAAUAGAUUUUAAUCGUCGAUCGCAUGGAUUCAGACACUUGGGAACCAUGAUACCAACGGCAUUGAUGGAUUUAGGGCAUGUAGAGUUGAGUUUAGACAAGCAUUUACCCUCACAUUAAUAAAAUGUGUACAGGACUCAAGGAGCUAUUCGUCGGUUUGCUACCAAAGCCCAUCUCAUGUGCUUACACUAAGAAGAGGGCACUUUUGCUCAAGAAAAAUUUCAAGCUGGCAUUAGUAAGAACUAAAGAAAUUGACAAGAGAAUGAAUAUCUUAUUGUCAUAUAAAGGAGUACUUUAAAGUUGUGUCGUAUUGAACUUUGUCCCACCUAUUACACUAUUGAAAUGUUAUGUUUAAUAUACCAAUAAAGUAUCAAUCGCUAGUUGAGCAAGUUUAUCACCACAGCCCCAUUAAAUAUGAGUAGGGAAUUCUAAGACUAAUGAUAGACCAAAGCCCAAGUUCGUCUUUCACAGAUUAACCAAAAAAAGAAAAAGCAAACUAUUUAUGUUACUUUGGGGGUCUACCGUACACUUUGCUUCACAGAAUUGAAUGGAUUGUCUGAGCCCCUUGACCAUUUUGUUGGAUGUUCUAAGUUUUGCUUUACUAUUUACACUCCCUAUGUAUAUAAGUUUACAAAAAAAAACAAAAAACAAAAAUUCUCCGUUACUCUAUCAGAUUAAUAAAGAUAGGAAACAUUUAUGAUUAUUCUAGCAAAAAAAUGACCUUUGAUAGAAAUAACCUUUUUAUUUUAAGUGAAAUGCGUACUAUAUAUAUAUUAGUAAUUAGCAUUUGGUGUGUUUAAAAAAGAUGAAACUUCAAAAAUUAAAUUUGAGAUACACCGCUAACUAAUUUUGUUUCAAAAAGGCUUUUAAGUAAUUUUUCCUCAAUCCAAAAUAGUAAAACUUUUCGUUAUCUAACUUUACUAAUUUAUUAGGCAAUCAUCUUUCCUACGUGUAAUGAAAGUACACAUUAAUUAAAGUUUUAAAUCAAGUAUGUUGAACAUUUCGCCCCUCGAAUUAUAAUUCUGGCCAUUUAGUUCUCGGAAAAAUGAACUCUGUCGUUUAGACAAUCACGCCUUUGCAAAGCUGGUGUUUCCAAUGCGUAAAGAGAGUUACAAGCAACUGAGUUGAUGGCGAUGGAAAGAGGUUACAAACCGAGUUUUGACAAGAGCUUGGCCGACGCGUGUGGUAUUACACGGUGAGCCUGAGUCCCUCUUCGACAGUCCGGCCAUUUUUUGUUCGUUUUGAGAUGGCCGACGGCCCUCAACUUCGGCAUCCCGGUCAUCCUUGUGUUCUCGGCCUUAUAGAGCUGAGUGGACAUUUCGACCGUGUCCUACACCGUCAGGCACGCCGACCGCUGAUCCACAGUUCCACAUUCGUGCAUUGCUGCGAAGGAUGCGAAGUUUUCCACCACAAGUUGUACGCUAAGGACCUACUAUGGCCCCAGAUACAACACCCUUGGCAGGUUGGCCUUCCGCUGCGAUUCGUGCAAUGUCCAGUUAUAUUUCUGCCUCACGAUUAAGCUGGACAGGGACAUUCCAACUCAAGGCAAGAAGUUUCGAGUCAUGAAUGCGCAUUGACCUUAUGCUAUGGCGAGUUUAGCUGCAGCCUGUGCAGGGAUGUGAUCUCGGAUGCGGAUUGUUAUGUCUCUUUUGGACUGUGCUGUCGUUUGGCAUAAGAGACCAAGCUGCUCGGAUUCUCCUCAGUUGAUCGUCAUCGCCGUCAUAUGUGCGAGCUGCUCAGACUCUGUCAAGCGCUUCCAUUACUAUCGCCGGACGUAGCACCUACCAUCUAAGCAAGAUUUUCUACUCAAAACUCUCACAUAUCAUCAGCUAGGAGCAAAUGCGACAAUAAUGAGGAUGAUGCAAGUGGUACACCCAACAAAGAAUUGAGUUGAUACAUUGUGAUAAGAUUCAAGGGUUGCCAACACUCCCAACAAGUUUAACCUAUCUAUUAGUGUCAUCUUCAUCAUUGCGGGUAGUCCCAGAUCUCUCGAACUUGACUAAUUUGGUUGAGCUGAUACUACAACAACAUGGACAAGUAGGAGAUAAACUUUGUAUCGAUCAGUUAUGGUGGAUUGAGAGGUUAUCCAAACUAACGGUUUUAAGGGUCAAACUUCACGAAGUCCCUAUUCCUAUUGAGGUUGGUUCGCUUCCUCUGCUAACGUUACUUGACUUGUCUAAAUUGGACAUGCAAACCUUUCAGCCACUUCCCUUGUCUCUGCAAAGGCUAAGCCUUGGCAAUUCCAAUUCAAUUGGGUCACUCUCUCAGGACUUGAGAAAUUUGUCAUUUUUAAAGCUCCAUGGGUCUCCAAUGCAAGAAUUUCAACUCGAUGGGCUUCAACUUCCACAACUAAAGGAGUUGCAUGUGGAGUAUUGGGCACCCCUCGAGAGGUUGAGGCUAUCAAGAAAGAUGUUAAGGUGGUAAAUUGUCCAAAGCUGGUUGAGAUCCAAUUGUCUUAGGUGUUCGAAUCACUGGAGGCAUUGUCUAUUGAACAUUGCAAGUCCUUGGAAAUGCUAGUUUAUGAGAUUCACAAUGAAUUGAUUACUUGUGAAGGGAGACUAAUUUUUCCAUCAAGAGUCUUUAAGUAACUUGCGUGCUCUCACACUGCAUCAUUGCCCUUCGAUACUCCACAUUCAAGUUGUAGAUACAUGGGAAUCGUGGGAGUACUUUCGCCUUUGGAGUUGGCCUCAUCUGCAAAGUCUCGGUGGUUUGUCAAACUUAAAGAACCUGAAGACUUUAAAUAUCCAAAACUACGAAAGCCUGCGACUAGUUGUGGGCGUCAACAAGUUUUUGGGCCAAUUAGUUCUUUGUAGCUGCGCGUCGUUGGAAAGGGUGAUUUAUGUAUCAACCACCAAACUGCCGAUCGAUUGCCACUUAUUUAUCUUCGGUUGCGAGAAAUUACGAGGGACUGAGAAUGAGUCAAGGGCUUCCGGAAGGAAUUCGGGGCUUCGAUCCGGUGCUUCAAACCACUAUAAAGUGAGUCCGAAUCAUUCUCUCUUUUGCUUUUCGAUUUUCUUAAUGCAACUAUCACAAACAUGAAUUUAUCUUUUAGGCAGAUUUGUAAUAAUUGUGGGAAAUCCAAAAACAAUCCAACGAGCGUGAAUUAUAUUUUGUUUUACUCAUUUUAAAACUCACUCAAUAUAAAAAAAAUUAUUUUUAUUUUUUUGGUAAACAUAAAUUGUUUUAUUUUCUGCUUGCAUUUUCUCAUUUUAUUUUCUAUUUAUUGUAUACGAGAAAGUCCUAUUUGUACGGGGCCAGUUUUAAUCAUAAAUGAUUGGAGAAACUUCAAUGGCUGGAAAAAAUAUAUAUACACUAGCGCAAAGUCUCCGACAAAACUAUUAAUCUUGUUUUGUAUGGAGUGAGUUGUUUGGUUUAGCAACAUUUACUCCACUCUAUUGUUGUUUCUUACUUAAUAUAUUUAUUAUGGAGAUGAGUUUGGUGAUUUGCGAUUUCAUAGUGAAGAUGGAACUUAAAAGACUCCAAUUCACAUUGAUGAAGUUGAGAGUUGCUUGAAUUUGCAUGAGGUUGGGGUUGGCCAAUUAGGAUGUGUGUUUCUAAAAGCAUCUAAAAAAUUAUUAUUAAAGAUUCUGCAUUCUAAAAGGGAACAAUGAAAAUCUAAUUGCCGGAUGAUAUAUUUCCACAUCAAAUCACAAGAAUUGUUUCUUUCUCCGUACUUGAACACUUGUUAAGGGAGUAUAUGCAUAGUGCAAGCAAAAAGUAGGAAGAUUCCUAAUUCUUAUCUUCUCAAUCUUUUCGAAACAACUAAAUCGAGUUUUUAGAUGAUUGUGAUCUGCUUACUAAAAUAAAGUUUAAUUUUGGUUUAUUGAUACUAAACUCAUCAUUUGAUAUAGAAAAUUAAAGUAACGUCAUUUUAAUAUUUUUAUUAGUGUUUUAUUAUUAAUAUUCAACGACAUAUCUUUUUUAUUGGUUGUUUCCUCUCUCUUUUUUCUGUUUUCCUCCAUCGUUUAAAAAAGCAAAAAGCACAUUUUUUUUUUCAAUCUCAACGAAUGCAAUUAAAACCUAUAUGUAUAAUAAAAACUGUUCUAAAUUCCUCGAAAGAUACCGAUGAAAGUCAUAUAUAGAUUAAACACGGUGGUUGAUUGCAUAAUUUUAAUCAUUUCAUUCCUUUGUUGAAACUUUCACGGAAGACUGGUUGUGAUUUUAUUUUGCAGGAAUCAUGCUUUGAUAGGAUCGGGACAUGUUCGGGUGAUAUACUCUCUCGAGUCUUGACACUCCUUGCACCUGCUUACGCCGCGAAUUCUCGAACUCCUCUUCACUGUUGUGGCCAAAGACACCUGGUCGACUCCUCGCGGCUGCUGCGUCCCAUUGUCGUCACAACUGAGCGGAACUGAAGAAGCCAGGUCUCUUUGACGCCUUUUGAUGGAUCACGGCCAUUGCGCAUCACCAUCUGCCGCCAUGUAUACCCGGCGUUUCUCCAAGACGUUCUCUCUAGUUUUCGCCAUCGCCAUUUCCAUUUCUCUCGCUUGCUUCGGUUCUCUUUGCUCUUCUUCCUGCGGGUCUCCUCCUGUCUGUGAAGCAAUGCAGGAGGACACGUCUUUCCUGCGGGUCUCCUGUCUGGCUUUUACCGGUCCUGCAGUCUAUUACGAAUGUUAGACCUGAAUCCACUACCCCUUAUGUUCAUCCUUCUUCAUGUAAAUUAACUAAAUUAAAAAAAAAAAAAACGAAAAACAAAAGAAAACAUCACUGGCCCUCUCCGGCGGCAGCAAGUGCCCUUGCCAAUUUGCCUUCUUCCUUUUUUUAUCUAUUAAAUUUAGCUUAUUUUUUAGUUUGAUUUAAAUAAAAUUUGUAAUAAAAAUCAGAUAUAGAUAUAUUCCAUGUUUUAGCCAUGUCAUCACCACAAAAAGGAAGACGAUAUUUAAAAAGCCAAGUCAGUGUUUUCCAUUACUUUAGUUAGACAAAAUUAAUGGAAAAACUUGGUUGCAUCAAUUUAACAAGUUUAGACCUUAAUUGCAUUUUCUGUAAAUUUUAGGAUUGAAUUACACUUUUAUAACAAGUUUUAGGAUUUCUAGAUUACUUAUCUCUAAUUUAUAUUUUACCACAUUAUGAUUUAAACUAUCACAACCAACUGCUGCAAACUCCGUCUAGAUUUUAAUAUUGGAUCAUCGGGUCUUGAGUUUGAUCAUUCACUCUUUUCACCUUCAAUAAUUUUGGAAAAGUAUUAUAUCUGCAUAUUUCAUACUUUCACUCUUCUAUAUAACAGCGUUAGCAUCAAGAGCUAUUCAAAUAUAAAACUUAGUCGACUCUUUAUUAGCUCAAACCUUUGGAACUACUUAUUGCGCACGCCGACUAUAAGGAAAGCAAUGUCAUUCAUGCUCUUCUUUAGUACACCUCCAGGAGCACGUGUAAUUGAACCCUAUAUCUUGGAGAACUUUUGACAGCAAUUUUGGACCUUUUGGUUUCUAUCGGUCUUUGCAUGGAGGUGGUCAAUAUGAUAAACGAAGAUAAAGAAGAUAAGAUUUGCGACCUUAAGACAAAUAAUCGCAUAGGUUGGGCAUCAUGUGACAGCUCAAAUGUCGCACGAUCUAAAGUUUUAUAUUAGCACUGCCCUGGCUUUCUCGCCGCCAAGAAAACCCACUAAGUUGUGACGCCAAGCUGUCUUUUAUAAUGAACUCGAGUAGGAAACCGAGUACUCUCAAGUCAAAGGAAAUAACAAGCCGAGAAUGAACUAUUAUGAAUGUUAAGUUUGAGAAGUGGGUCCAUAUUUGAAACAUUGAACCUGACGGCAUCUCAUGAACAAAGAGGGAAGAAAAAUAGUCUUGAUUCAGCGAGGCACCCGGAAAUGUCCUCGGGAUUUCAUCCGGAACCGACAGGACACAAAAAUAGAGUCCCUGAAUAGAAGAAGGAAGCCAGCAUGCUUCCACAAUCCAGAAGUCUGAGAAAUAAGCACGCGUAAACUUUCCUGAUUCAUCAUUGCACCCGUGUUCAGAAGAAUGUCUGAGCAAGUAGAAAUUUCCCAUGUUUGUAUAGGCACAUGCAUCCAUGAUCUCCUGUGAUUCUAUUUGGGCGUGACUUGUGCACACUCGUUUAUGUUGUGGGUUUGAGAGAGAGGGAGAGAUAUCUCGUUUGAUGCAACUUCAAGCGUGAAUCUGCUUGGACAUGAGCUGCGAUGCAUACUUCUGUACCCUACGGAUGUUUUGUCUGGUGAAGGAAUUGCAAAGAAAUGCCAGGGGUAAAAGAUAAUAUCAUGGAUAACCCGAAUAACAUCCUGUGAAAACAUUGAUAACCAUAAGGAUAUCUUUUCUUCGGAGAUGGGAUGAUUAAGCAUUAACAGAUUGUUGUUGGUCGCAAGUGCUCGAACAAGCAAUUCUUUAGCUUCUUCCUGCUUCUUCUUUAGCAUGUUGCAGAUCUGUAAGACAAUUCCCUUAGUCAGCCAAUGUAUUACUAGCAGAAAGAUCACAACGAUGGUAGAGUAGACAAGAGGCAACACUUCAAUGCCAGUCUAUGUUCCAAUCGCCUUCUGAAAACUCAAUUGCUAAUUAUAGACCUUUAAUUAAAAAAAAAAAUAGUUAUAAAGUACCAUAGAUUCAUCUUUAAGGAUAAUCAGGUUGGACUGUAGAAGAAAUCACAAUUUCCGUAUUAGAAAGAUUCUCUCCAUCGGUUGAUUUCUAGUUGUACAAAUUCAUUAAAUGAAGAUGAUUAAUGUCAAUGAACCCAUAACCAAAUUAUCGGAAGUGAGCAAACAUCCAGUAGUGAAAACUACAAAUUCAAGAAAUCGUUCGUCAACUCCCCUAACCACCNNNNNNNNNNNNNNNNNNNNNNNNNNNNNNNNNNNNNNNNNNNNNNNNNNNNNNNNNNNNNNNNNNNNNNNNNNNNNNNNNNNNNNNNNNNNNNNNNNNNNNNNNNNNNNNNNNNNNNNNNNNNNNNNNNNNNNNNNNNNNNNNNNNNNNNNNNNNNNNNNNNNNNNNNNNNNNNNNNNNNNNNNNNNNNNNNNNNNNNNNNNNNNNNNNNNNNNNNNNNNNNNNNNNNNNNNNNNNNNNNNNNNNNNNNNNNNNNNNNNNNNNNNNNNNNNNNNNNNNNNNNNNNNNNNNNNNNNNNNNNNNNNNNNNNNNNNNNNNNNNNNNNNNNNNNNNNNNNNNNNNNNNNNNNNNNNNNNNNNNNNNNNNNNNNNNNNNNNNNNNNNNNNNNNNNNNNNNNNNNNNNNNNNNNNNNNNNNNNNNNNNNNNNNNNNNNNNNNNNNNNNNNNNNNNNNNNNNNNNNNNNNNNNNNNNNNNNNNNNNNNNNNNNNNNNNNNNNNNNNNNNNNNNNNNNNNNNNNNNNNNNNNNNNNNNNNNNNNNNNNNNNNNNNNNNNNNNNNNNNNNNNNNNNNNNNNNNNNNNNNNNNNNNNNNNNNNNNNNNNNNNNNNNNNNNNNNNNNNNNNNNNNNNNNNNNNNNNNNNNNNNNNNNNNNNNNNNNNNNNNNNNNNNNNNNNNNNNNNNNNNNNNNNNNNNNNNNNNNNNNNNNNNNNNNNNNNNNNNNNNNNNNNNNNNNNNNNNNNNNNNNNNNNNNNNNNNNNNNNNNNNNNNNNNNNNNNNNNNNNNNNNNNNNNNNNNNNNNNNNNNNNNNNNNNNNNNNNNNNNNNNNNNNNNNNNNNNNNNNNNNNNNNNNNNNNNNNNNNNNNNNNNNNNNNNNNNNNNNNNNNNNNNNNNNNNNNNNNNNNNNNNNNNNNNNNNNNNNNNNNNNNNNNNNNNNNNNNNNNNNNNNNNNNNNNNNNNNNNNNNNNNNNNNNNNNNNNNNNNNNNNNNNNNNNNNNNNNNNNNNNNNNNNNNNNNNNNNNNNNNNNNNNNNNNNNNNNNNNNNNNNNNNNNNNNNNNNNNNNNNAUGGACUUCCACUUCAGUGGAACUCGCCUUAGGGGAAAUCUUAACAUGAAAUUUAGGAUGGUCACAAGACACUCUGUUGGUUUUGCUCUGUUCAGUGUCCUCAUGAUUGCAAACCUGAUACGUAUGAUCUAAGAAACCAGCAAGAAAUGAGUUUCGACUCUCUGUUGAAAUAGAAAAACUUAAGAAGGUUCUGUCCAUUUACCGGUUCAGUGACAACAGCUUCGGAGGAUUCGCUGAAACUUCUGAAGUGUCAAGGGUAAGAACAUUACUUCCACAAACAAAACCCAGUCACAGGAGCGAAGGUAGUGGAAUUAUUAGCACUCUUCACCUUUUUCCACCUGGAGACUCAGAGGGCGAUUCCAGUGGACUAGAUGACAUCCCCUGCAAAAUAGACACACCAAUUCUAAUGCAUUACAAAAUAGCAUCCCCAUAAUUGUAUUUGCAACGCCCUAUUGAAGAGGUCUAAGGUAUUACUUGGAAGUGAAGAGCAAACAAUAGAAAGGAACCUCAGAUGAUUUCCCUUAUGAAUUGAGAAGUGGCUGGUUUUAUUGGUUUACCUGUUCUGUGACAACAGUUUCUGAGGAUUCUCUGAAACUUCUAAAGUGUUGAGUAAGAACAUUACUUCCACAAACAACCCGGUCACAGGAGCAAGUAUAAUGGCGCUAUUAACACUCUUCACCUUUUCUCACUUGGAGACUGAAAGAGCAGUUUUGAUGGACUAAAUGGCAUUAAAUUGGCAUCUGAUCCCUGCAAUAUACACUCAUGGCUUCUAAUGCAUUACAAAGUAGCAUCCCCAUAAGUAUAUUAGAGCAAACAACAGAAAGGAACCGCAUAUGAUUUCCAUUUCAAGGAUGAAUUGGGAAGUGACUGGUUUUCGGUGCUUUUGCUACGAUGAGCUAACGAAUGUGCUGCAUCUCCUCGCAUUGCUGUAAUUUGCUCAGAGUCUCUCAUGGAACUGAUUUCCUCUGUAGGACUAGAACCAAGUUGAUCUUCUUUGGUUCUUGUGGCCCUGCGCACAUUGACAUCAUGAUCUCUUGAGAGUNNNNNNNNNNNNNNNNNNNNNNNNNNNNNNNNNNNNNNNNNNNNNNNNNNNNNNNNNNNNNNNNNNNNNNNNNNNNNNNNNNNNNNNNNNNNNNNNNNNNNNNNNNNNNNNNNNNNNNNNNNNNNNNNNNNNNNNNNNNNNNNNNNNNNNNNNNNNNNNNNNNNNNNNNNNNNNNNNNNNNNNNNNNNNNNNNNNNUAGGUGUCAACAACUCAUUUAUACUGCCCAUCUUGCAGAGGGGAACUGCAAAAGUUUAGCGCAAGCAGAUUAAGCAUAAGCGUACGCAAAUUAAUGCUGUGUCAAAGGUCUAGUCCACUAUAUGCAAUCUACUUGCUAGCAUUGGCAAUGUCUAAGACGGGACAUGACAUAACAUGAACAGAAUCAAACAUAAAAUUCAUAUGACAUGACAUUGGCAUAACCUUUCUGUAAUGAGGGGUUAUUUCAGUCUUGAAAGUAUAUAUCAUUUAAAGGAAUAUCACUCUCCCAUGCCAUGUGACCCAAAAGUUCAAACUGAACAUGAACAUAUCAUGCUACAGCUCCCACUUCCAGGCUUGUAGUCUUCUAGCAGAUAAUUUAGUCAUGUUUUACCAGAGACAAAGAUGCCAAUAUCUACUUCAAAGAAUAGUACGAGAAAUUUAAUGAGCUUUCCUGGCCAAUAAUAAAGGGAGACUUAGACUUGAGAGACAAUUGCAAGUAAAGGUUUAUAAUUUCGGCUGAAAGGGCUUUAAUUUCAUCAACAGAAAGCAAAUAAUCAAGAACAUAUCUACAUGUGUUGAUCAAACUAGAAAUAUACAGCAAUUAGGAAAGUGUCCAAUGUCUCAACGCAAACUAUGAUAUACAAUUAAAAAAAAAAAAAUUCUCAUUUUACCCUAGUUGAAAGUCCGACGGAACAGAAGAGUAAUAACCAGGGCAUCUUUAUAUCGGGAACAAAUAAACUUUCCCUUUUUUAUUUUGAGUUAGUGUGUGGGUGGGGGAGUGGCAGCAGGGAGGAGAUAACUUAAACAUUACUUGUUAGAUACUGUUAAAUGAAGUACGUGGGAAAAAUAAAAUGCUAGAAUUUGAACAAAAUUUCAAACAGCUCAACAAUUACAACUCAAUUGGGUACGGAUGCCUCACCUCAGAUGAGAAGUGGGUCUCACACUGAUAUGGCUUCCACUGACUUUUUGUUUGCUCCCUUGCUGGUGAAUUUCGACCAAAAAGCAACUUUCCCCCAACUUGAGAAUCCUCGGCAUUGUUUCCCAACCUGUUGCAGAUUGCAUGAACCAUGUGAAGGUAUAAAGCAUAUCAAAGAAACUAAAAUCAAAAAGAAAAUCUUCACCUAGUGUCAUUUAGAUGUACAGAAGCAAGUCUUUUGCUGCUAAAUUGAGUAAGCUUUCUCCCAGUUGAUGGUUCUCGAGAAGACUGACUCUUUAUUUCCUCUGAUCUCUUGGAAAACUUUGAAUGGGCUUGUCCAGGCUCUCUACCAGUAAAGAAAGAGGACGAUAUUUAAGUGCAGGUCCUCCGCUUGGGACAUUUACAUGUUACUAAAAGUGAGCUAAGAAGUGCAAAAACAUUAUGCUGUUGAUCCAACAAUCUUUAUACUGAACUCUGGAAGUCACCAUAAAAUGCAUCAAAAUGAUAGCAAAAACUCAAUGAAUGAGUGCAUCAGACUGAAAUCACAACUUGCAUUCCCCUCCUUAAAAAUUAAGCUACGAUGCAUAUGCUUUCUAAAUUUUCACAAAAUCGAUCAUCAAGAGUCCAUGUUUCUUAAAAGGAGCCAUUAAUGGCGCAUUGCUCUAAUUUGGCAUGGCAGAAACUUGCCAAUAUCAUCCUAAUAUAGAUUCCCCCUCGUUCCUCUAAUCACUUAAAGGUAAGGGAUAAAUGGGACAACCUGAAAACAGCUGUUUCACUGUCAUGCAGUACUUUGCUUGGGAUAAUACAGGCUGUAUCAUUAAGACUUGUCUCAGGCUUGGCCUCUUCAUCGUGAGCCUUAGUAGCAUUCAAUGAAUCAAAAAUAGGUUUAUUGCUUCCAUUUGCCUUGCCUUCUGCUCCUGGCACAUGUGGCACACUUGAAACUUCUGACUGCAUGUUGCCAUGAGAAUAUGUAGCUUCCCCUAUAAUUUCUUUCCUGUUACUCUGCUCUUCACCCAAAGUGGAAUUUAAACUUUUGAAGAUAGACAAAUCUUUUCUUGGAUGCUCUGGGAUGGUACUUAAAUUUGUGUCAACCCCGGGCUAAAUAUGUACCUCUAUUGAGGCUGUUUUGUCUGACAAAUAAUCUUGUUGGUCAGAUCCUUGAGAACACGUGAUGUUUGUCCUUUCGAAAGAAGAUUGUUGUGGAAUUGAAAUUCUACAUGCUGCGGGCUUUGGCACCCAAUCAUCCAUUCUUGGGUUUGGCAUAGAAGUUGAAGUUACAGAAGUUCCUACUUGAAUCUCUGAUGUACCCACACAGCACGUUGAUUGAAUAUUAUCAAUCAUAGUGUUAUCCUCACAGUCAGGAAUUGCCUCAGGAAGGCGUGUUUCCGAGCCCUGUUGCUCAUUCAUCUCCAAUGAUCUCCCUUUGCUUCCUAUAACCUUCUUCCCACCUUGUUCUUCCUUAGUCAUGGGUGAAUCAAGAUUAAAGCCAUCCAACCUGGAUAGCACAAAUGGCUGCUAAGUUCAUAGAUUGCAAUCACAAGUCAUGACAUUUCCCUUCACUUGAAAAUAUAACCUUAUGUAUCAAAGAAUAUGCCCUAAUGUAUGCAUUGUGAAGCUGUCUUACCCAUUAAAAUCAAAGGAGAAAGAAAAUCUUUUCUUAAAAUUUCCUUCAUCAGGUGAUUCUGCUUCAUUUCUGUCAUGUUUGGAGAUUUCUUAGAUAGGCAGAAGAAAUCAAGAUCCGGCAUGUCCACUUUGAAUGAUGAAAACUUGUUAAAGUCAGCAUCCACGUUAAAAUCGACAUCCCUGAAAAAGGAUAUUUAACAAUCAAUCCACAGAAAACAGAGAUAUAUCCCACUCUCAUAACAAAUAAGAUUGUAACUAGCUUUCAUGCAUGUUCACCAUCGUCCAUCAUUUUAAUAAUUUUUGAAGUGGAUGAAUGAUAUGUAAAGCAUGGCUCGCUCGAUCACCACGGGCAGUAUUCUCCACAAACAGGUAAUUGUACACGGGUGAAUAUAUGUAACCAACUCAAGUAUGAAGAUAGAAUAUUAAAGUUACAUCCCACAUCCAUACUGGUUUAUUAUCUAGCUGCCCAUACUUUAAGUUUCACUUACAGUUUAUCAAUGUUGAAUUUCUUCAUUUUGCCUUUGCCAACAGUAUCAAAGCUAAAAUCCACUGUGUCAUCUUCUGCCACAGACAACGACUUCCAGGAGGUAAGGAACUCCUUUCCAAAUUCAGCAUCUGUUGAAAUCAGAUUUAACAUUGAGCUAUGACCUACAUAUCUGACCUUCAUAAGACAUGGCCAGAAAUGUGUACAAGCAAUCAUCCUAAUCAAUGACAAGGAUGAAAACCAAUUUUAACAUUAAUAAAGCUUUAAUUUGUUUUCAAGUAGAUGAAAAGUAUGCUGCACUAAUUAUUGACCACGAUAUCCAAAAGAGUCAUGUGUCAGGCCAUAUUACAAAAAUAACCUAAACAGAUUAUAUAGGUUUAGGAUUGAGAAAUAUGCAUCCUUGUGGUACCAUUCCACCUCUGAAGCGAAUUUACUGUAUUUUGAGAUUUGUCAAGCUUAUACAGAGUACCUAGUAAUGAUUUAUCCUCUUUCUGAUUCACCACUGCAGUUUCCUUAGGUGAAUCUGCCAUCUGCAAGGGAAAGAGUGAGGAAAGCAUAAUAAAAAAGAGAAUUCAAAUGGCCCUUAGAAUUUACAAAAGAAAAGGGAGAUUUUAAUUGCAAAUCCAUUAGGUUGGCUAUACUACACAGCAACCUCCUCUCUUCGUAAAAGCAACCUCUCUUUGUUAAACCAUUGCAUCUAUAACAUUUUUGCACUUAUCUUACGCAGAAGCAUAUAUAAACUAACCUAGGAGGGACCUUAGCCAGUCCAUUAAAGUGAAAAACCCACACAUGACAUGCAGACAGUUCAUAAAGGAGCAGCAUUGACUUAUACAAAAUGGUUAGGUGCAGAGUUGCGAGCUCUAAAUUUAAAACCGUGGGGCCAGAAACACCCAUAUAUACAUGCCACUAUCGUAUAUCUGUGAAGAUUCAUUUUUCAUCCUUCCACAAAUGCAAAGAUAAAGGAUCUCCAAUUUGACAGCAGUGAUAAGAUGGACACCUAAUCAGUACAAUAAAGUAAGGAUCAUCUCAAGAUUUCUCAGCCUUGAUUCAAAGGGACAUAAGUCUCUCAUACUUUCGAUAUGAAAUGUCUGAAGGAGUUCAACUAGACCACAAGUGGAAACCACUAUAGCUAUUACAAAGGAUGAACAAAUGCAGUAUUAAUAAGUUCAUACGGGGGCAAAGCACAGGGCUAAUCCAGUAUAAUCUAUCCCAAGAAAAUAACACUGAUGCUAUUUUAACAUGAGAAACCAUAGCAUUGGGUUUUAGCCAAUGAAUUAAUGGCUGUCGUAUGACUGCCUAAAAUAUAUAGGUCCUCCUAUCACAUUCAUAUCAUCUGAUUUCCAGUACAGAGAAGUUCAAUUAAAAUGAAUGUAAUUGAGAAAAAAAGAAAUACAUCAGAACAGCAACUUAUCAUGACAUCAUUUCUACGAAAACAGAUGCCGAGAAAUAGCAUUACCUUUGUAUGUAAAUGCCGUAAGUCAUAGUGAUUUCCUCUGAAUAAGCGCCUACAUUGCGCUCAAACUGCAAGGAGCUAUAUACCUCCAGCAAAAGGAUUACACCAAUUUUGAACGCAAACUUAUCCACAAGCUUGUUCCAGAGGUAUAUCAGAGAGAGAUAAACGUAGCAAUCGAGAAGAAAUUCUUUGCUGCGCCUAACCUCCAAAAUUAUAGAUGGUGCUCCAACGAACUCGAUAAAGCCAAUCUACAUUGAUCACAAAGACGUCUUCCGACAUCAAACGGACCUACUGUGACGGCAGGGUGGGAGACGCAAAACGAGCGAACGCGAAACGGCGAGUGACAACUGAGCGCGGAAUCAAACAGGUGAGAGUCCGAAGGAACUCCUCAUCGGUACAGUUGGCAUCCCAUCAAAUCCACCAUCGGAAAACUAAGCGCGCUCGCUAAGUACCUCCGCUCAACACUACGAAACAAUCAGCGAAAGCUGAUGGUUCAGAGGCACGGAGCAACGAGACACUGAAGAAGCCACGGCCAGAAGAAGAAAUCGACGGAUUGCGAAAGCUCGAGAUCGAUUCGCACGUCGACAUUACCUUCCUUGCGAUCGCGACAGGGAGCGAGCUCGAGCGUGGGGGAGAGAGAGAGAGAGAUCGAUCGGCUGGAUUUGAAUGGAGAUGAGAGUGAAGUAAUCUGGUUUUUCUACAGGUUUUUGAAUGGCGACUCUUUAUAUAGAGAGAGAGACGGAGAGUAGCUUUGUCGCGACCUACCCUCGGGGGAGGGAACAGGUUUAGGGGUAUUGCCUAAGGAAGGGCCUAAGGCUCAUGAUUAGGUAUGAGCUCCCAUACCCCGCGUGACAUUGGGAUAUUCUUAAGGAAUUUUGCACAAAAGGUGUCGCCAUUAGCUUAUUGGGGUCGGCUAGAAACCAAGUGAGGCAUGGGAGUGUGUCUCACUUCCUACGCAACCAGAGAAUCUAGGAUCGGGGACUUGAUUACACUAAUUAACCAAUUAGUGCCCUUUCGGUACCUAAUCUUGUUCAUUUUAACAAAAUGAUGUUUGGCAAGUAGUUUAGAUUGAUUUUAUACCAUGUGAGGUGAUCAUGCAGAUACGCAGUCAUUAAAAUAACAAUCAUAACUACCAAAAUCCUAAUUGCAAUCAAAUUAAACACGUACAAUUAAACAUAAUUAGAUACGUAAAUCAAACAUGUAACAUAAUUAAUAUGCGAGCAAAUAAAUGCUUAAUUAUACUAACAUGGCAAGAUAUAGCAAUUCCUAACCAAAUCCCAUCAUUUUUUUUAUUUUCUAAAUUUUUUUAAUUUUUUUAAAAGAAAAAUAAUUAUUUUUAAAUUUUUUUUAAUUUUUUAAUUUUUAAUAUUUUUUGAAUUUUCGAAAUUUUUUUUUAAAUAAUAAAUUAAUUUUUGAGACCGGGCCGGUCCAACCCGGCCCGGGUUCGGCCCCGUCGACGCGGAUUGGACCGGACCCGGGUUCGGUCCAAUAGGCCCAAGUGGGUCUGAAGCUUGGGCCCAGCCCAAGAAGUCUCCCUCCUCCCUUUUUAAAAGAAAGCAAGCCCACAAGCCUAUACUAAACCAGCCCAAGCCCAAAAGCCCACAAGUAGAAACAACCCAAACCCGGCCCAAUUCACCUAAAACCCUACCCAUUUCUUUGACCCGGUUUGUACCUCCUCUUUAGGGUUCUGUGUUGACGGCGGUGGCGGCGACGCGGCGGGCGGUGGCGGCGACGCGGCGUCUGCGAAGACGAGUGGCACUCGGGCAGAGGAGGGCGUCACGGACGUGUGUGCAGCAGGCAAGGGCCGGUGUGGGGCUCGCUCGGCGGUGACUGGCGAGGCAGCUCGAACGGCGUCGGGUUGAGGGCGGUGAUGGGUGAGCGACGGCACCGGCUGCAGCGAGGGGAUUCGGACGGUGACUAGAGCGGGACGGUGGCGGUGGUCGGCCUGGUGGUGCAGCGGAGUUCGAUCAACUCCCAGAUCUGGUUCGUCUCCGGCUGGUUCGGCGUCGGGAACGCUGUGGGCGGCGAACGACGGCAGCAGCAGCAGGGAGGCGGUGUUUCGGCGAGGGGCGGUGACGACGUCAAGGUCGGCGAACAGGAGCUCGGCUGCUGCAGGUUGCAUGGCGAGGGGACGCAGCGACCGACUUGGGUGAAGCGGCGGUGGCACGAGGAUUAGUGAGUAGGAGCAGAGGCAGUGUCGUGGGGGCUCGGGAUCUGGUGUUCGGGCAGGAGGGGCGGCCGGAGGCGUCGAGUUGCAAGGUCGACGGCAGCAAUGGCGGCAAGCAGGGACGGCAAAUAGCAACAGCUCGUCAGGGCCGGCGGAAAAACGCCCGUUGGUCGUCGUGGGUCAGCUGCGGGAGCAGCGGAGACAGACGGAGGGCGAGGUUGCUCGUGGAGACGCAGCAGAACGGCGAAUGCUGGGCCGAGGCGUCGCGAGGUCGACGGGCGGCACUCGGACAGAGGGGGGGGGGGGGGUCGGUCGAACGGCAACGGCGGCAGCGGUGGUGCCGCCACCGCCCUUCCUUCCGGUUUUCCCUCUCUUUUUCUCCUCUCUCUUUCUGCGUUUUUUUUUGUUCUGGAUCCUCUCCCUCUCUCUGUCUGGUCCCUCCUACACUGGCCGGCUCCCUCCUCUUUUCCUAGUUCCCAACCCCCUUUCGAAAACCCUAGCUACCGAGAGAAGAAGACCCUGGGCGCGGGCUGGGCUCAACUAGAAACAAAAGUGGGCCGGCCCUGCGCGAGAGAAAAAAAAAAGGAAUAGGGGGCGGUGGGCUGGUUUGAGGCUGGAUCCGGCCCAAUCCACCCUCUAAGUAAUUUUUCAUUUUUUUUUCUAUUUUCUAUUUUCUUUUUCUUUUUCUUUUGUUGUUGUUUUGCUAUUUUUUUUUCUUUUUCUCUAAUAAUUUUUUGUACUUGAAAACAAAAAUUGGGUGUCAACAGCUGCCCCUCUUUUAAUGUUGUCUCGAAGAGGUUGCAUUCAAAGACAAAAGACACCUAAAUUAUUUAUGUAGUAGAGAGACCCUGAGUACAUAGGCACGCGUUAGGUCGACAAAAAUGAUUCAUAACUAUGAAAGCACGUCUUGCAAAUAAGAUGAAGAAAGACUUCGGGCUACAGAAGCCUACCGGGUCAUAAGAUGGGAGGGAGACUCCGAGAUACAAAGCUCUCUAGGUCAUAAGAAGUGAGGAAGACUCCAGGAUACAAAGCUCUCCGGGUCAUGAGAAGGGAGGAAGACUCCAAGAUACAAAGCUCUCCGGGUCAUGAGAAGGGAGGAAGACUCCAGGAUACAAAGCUCUUCGGGUCAUGAGAAAUGAGGAAGACUCCAGGAUACAAAGCUCUCCGGGUCAUAAGAAGUGAUGAAGACUCCAUGAUACAAAACUCUCCGGGUCAUGAGAAGGGAGGAAGAUUCCAGGAUACAAAGCUCUCCGGGUCAUGAGAAGUGAGGAAGACUCUAGGAUACAAAGCUCUCCGGGUCAUGAGAAGGGAGGAAGACUCUAGGAUACAAAGCUCUCCGGGUCAUGAGAAAUGAGGAAGACUCCAGGAUACAAAGCUCUCCGGGUCAUGAGAAAUGAGGAAGACUCCAGGAUACAAAGCUCUCCGGGUCAUGAGAAAGGAGGAAGACUCCAGGAUACAAAGCUCUCCGGGUCAUGAGAAGGGGUCAUGAGAAGUGAUGAAGACUCCAGGAUACAAAGCUCUCCAGGUCAUGAGAAGGGAGGAAGACUCCAAGAUACAAAGCUCUCCGGGUCAUGAGAAAUGAGGAAGACUCUAGGAUACAAGGCUCUCCGGGUCAUAAGAAGUGAUGAAGACUCCAGGAUACAAAGCUCUCCGGGUCAUGAGAAAUGAGGAAGACUCCAGGAUACAAGGCUCUCCGGGUCAUAAGAAGUGAUGAAGACUCCAGGAUACAAAGCUCUCCGGGUCAUAAGAAGUGAUGAAGACUCCAGGAUCCAAAACUCUCCGGGUCGUAAGAAGUGAUGAAGACUCCAUGAUACAAAGCUCUUCGGGUCAUAAGAAAUGAUAUGACUGAGGUCUCAUAUUGUAAAAUGAGUUUUGAUUGGGUAUGAUAGUCUCACUGUGCAUGAACGGGUUUCGACUGGGAGGCGGACAAGCGUGGUUUACGGAUGAACCCACCAAUCUUGGAGAUGAGAUGGUUUAAGGUUAACCAUAAGCCUUUGGAGACGACAUGGUUUAAGGCUGACCAUCAACCUUUGGUUUUUAUGGAAGCACCCGCUAAACCCUUAGAAAACUGCAUGGCUUCACUGAUGAAUCCUGUCAAACUCAACUUGAGCAAAUGUCAUUAGAGAUGUCAUCAAGAGAUGUAUUGGCAAUAUUGCAGCAAUAAUUGAACAAAAUAAUCAAGCUAAGUCCGACUGCUUUAGAAAAACAUUCGAUGUCCAUCAGCCUCAUGUGGCGUAAAACUAUCAUCCUGCUCAUGGAUAUAUCAUUAAUCAUCAAAUUCUCUAGGAGACAAGUUCUCAUCAGAACAGUUACGACUCGAGAAAAAGGUUCAUUAAGCAUGCCAAACUAGAGCUUCUUAGUCAGAAAGGGUUUCUCACGCACUCUCAAUAAAAUGAUUACUUGAUCCCAUCCAUUAAUGUGGAAGAUAAUUGAUUGCUGAAGGUAUCUCACAUAACCUACGUCGAAGACUUCCGGAAACAUUCGCAAUGAGCACAAUCUGAUCGAUAAAAAAUGUCUUUUGAAAGGACCGCAAUAUAGGCUCGGUUAGGGCUUAUACACAGGAAUUAUUGCUUUGAGGCCAAUAAAGGAACAUUUGUCACUAUCUUCAUCGGCUUUACAAGUCGAGAGCUUGGGAGAUGAGACAAGAUAGAAUUACUUCCACUCCUUCAAGUAGUAGCUUCUUUGUGGCAUUCUCAUUUUCACUCAAACCAUCCCAAUCAGAAGAGACUUCGGAAGAGGGUUGUAAUGUUGGCUUGGGGAGAGGCUCGAAAGGCUUAAAACUUUCAACAGGGUCUUUAGGAGUCGAUGAUCAUCAUGGCAUCAUGACCAGGUCACUUGAUCUUUCCAAAUCAUUUGGCUUUUGAAAUAUAACGCAUCUCGAAAGUCCAUUGACUAAUCAUUUAUGCAUGGGAGCUUUGCCCGCUUUUUCUAAUUUUCUUUGCACUUGCAAUGAUUUUUUUUUUUUGCAGGCACUUGGACUUUGAUAAUAAUUUUUUUUUCACAUAAGAUGCAGCCUUUUGGCUUUUUUUUUUUAUGGGCAUUGGCCUUGCUUUUACCAGGCACACUGCUUUUUUAUGCCCCCUAAUUUGUCUAACUUUUUGCUCUUUGAACUUUUGGAGCUCUUAUGACUUUCAAGAUGCUUUUCGCAUUUCCUCAUGAUUGUCAAUUAUAUUUGGUCAAUUCUUAUGCCUUGCCCUAGUGAAGGGAGAUGAUCACCACUCAGGAUUCAGAAAUGAAUAAUCAGGCCCAAAUUAGUUGAAGCAAUGGGUAUCAGUGUUUGGAUAGAGAAUGAGAUGUUCUUCUUUACAUUGGGAUGAGUCAAGAUCUAAUGAGAAUUCCUUUGAAGCUAUCACCAGAAGAUUGAUGCAAGUGAAAGUAAUAGGAUCUUUCCCAAUCAUUCGCUCUACAACACGACCAUAACCUCCUAUGUUGCCCCAAUGUAGGGUCGUCCUUGACAGGGGUACUUUGAAUGAUCGUCUUUAUUUUGCCCAAAGGGAUAGGAAGAGAUUAGUGCAAUGCUUGGGAUUGAUGAAGGAAACGCCUUUAUCAUUUCGAUCUUUGCGCUCAAUGCGAAUGAAUCAUUCAUUCUAAGAGAAUGUCGCUUUUCACUCAACUCUCAAAAGUGUUUGAAGGACACUCAACUCUCAAAAGUGUUUGAAGGACGUGUUUGGAAAUGGGCUUACCUUUCUUCAUCCUAAGCACUUCUUGUUUGGCAUGGUUAACGUCUCAAUCUCACUCUGUCGAGAUCAUCUGAGUAGAUCAAUCUCCAUAAGGAAAUUUGAUUUUAAAUGAAAUACCCACAAAACCAGAAAACAAUUUUGAGAUAAAAAUGAUGCUAAAAAAUUUUGAAUAAAUUUUUUGUUUUUCAUUUUUCAUUUUUGUGCUUAUUUCUAGAAACGCGUCAAGGAUCUUUUCGUAAUGGAAAUUCUCUUUCUUUUUUUUCUUUACUUACUUUUUUUUUUUUUACUAAAAAAAAAAUGAGAAGAAUGGUACUUACCUGCGGUGUGAUGACCCGGUAAACCUGUAAAGAAUGUAAAAGAAUAUGUUAGUGCAAACAUCUUUAGGGAUUGAUGUGUUGAAAACGAUACAUUAUUACCCUUCAUUCGCUUUCAUCCUUUGGGUGGUAACAUCUCUUUGAUUCACCUUCGUGGAUAUUUGGUAACUCGACAAUACCCUUCAUUUGCAUUCUUCUUUAAGCGUUUGACGUUUUCCUAAUUCCUUGGUAGAAGACGUCGCUUCUACGGUCAAGAUGCAACUUUUAUCACCCUGUAAGAAGGGAAGAUGAAACGAGUUAUAUCUCAUUUCUUAGUUAGGUUCAACUAAGGAACGAUACAUCCUUCUUGAUGAAUUUGACAAUGUUGUUGUAGCGCACUUCAUUGGUGGGUGAAAGAGAGAUUUUUCUCUAAAUCAAAUGUUGUUCUCCCUCUUUAUAUGACAAACCUUGUUCCGUUCGAGUCUGUCCUGUACCAAAGAAAAUGAUAUGUCAUUUUCUAUACUGAAGAGAAAUCAAGUUUAGGAACGAGUUACAUCCUUUACAAAAUCGAGUGAUCAACAUCUCAAUGUAUCUCUCAUGGAGGAAGGAAUAAUAUUGCGCAUCCGUUCCAUUUGAAUCCUUCUUUGUUUAAGAUGAACAUGACUUAAUAAUGCUCCAUCGCAUUUGUUGAAACAUUACAAAACUUGGUACUCUUGAUGUCUCCUUGACAAUGAAAAGAAAAUCAAGUCAAAAACGGUAUCAGAAAUGAAUAAUUGAAAUCGAUACAGUUUACUCUUCCUUUGAAUUUGCCCUUUUGGAUAUUUGGCAACUCCUUUCAUUUGUCUCAUUAUGUAAAGUGAACGAGAUCGAUGGGUUGUUUUGGCAUCUAAGGCAUUUGCGAAUAACAAAACUUCUCAUAAUGGAAUUCAACUUCGUUUCGCCUCUAUGAAAAAUUGGUGCCGACCCUCAACGCAUGCUUGCUCUUCGAGUUCAAUGAGUCCAAGAAAACGACUACGUGAAGAGAGGGCAUUAAGCAACGUUGUCUUGAAAUUCAUUUUGGAAGGUAAACGUAUAGGUUCACUUAAAACACUUUUGAAUUUGCUCUUUUUUUUGUUUUUGUUUUUAUCUUCUUCUUUUUUAAAUGAUGAUUUUCAUGAAAUUGAAUUCCAUCAUUAAAAAUUUGAGUUGCACGAUUUACAAAAGCAACAAUUGGAUUCGCAAUCAAAACUCAAAAAGAAAAACAUGGUUCUUAACAAGAAUAAAGACUGAUAAAAUACAAGACUCUUUUACAGAUGAAAGUAAAAAAAAACAACUAUUGUCCUAGCUCUAGAAUUCACUUCCUCGAAUGGUCACCACGAGAAUGUCAAAGAGCAUCGCGCAUAACCUGCAAAAAGACGACAAUGUCAAUAUGCGAAUGAGAGAAAACGAUAUUUUAAUGACGUCACUUUUUAGAAUAAAAUCGAGGCGACGAUACAUGCCCCACAAUCCUUAUUACAGGACUUUAGUAUUUCGCCAAGAUUUUAUCAUAAGAGAAGAUAUCAUUAAAAUUAUCAAUCCACGAUCAUCAAUCGAAUGCCCACUUUUAUUCCAAAAGUUUCGUAUGCAAAAGAGUCAUUGAUUUUUGAAAGAUUGAUUUGUGAUUUUGCUCCUAGAAAAUGAAGUGAUUUUUAUUUUGAGAAAUUUGUACACAAAAUGAUUUGCAUUAUAGUCCCAAAAUGUGAGAAUGAGAAAAUUUGAUAAAAAAUGUAAUUUCAAUUUUUGUGCCCCAAUAUAAAAUGACAACUUGAAUUUUUUCUUUCUUUCCUUUUUCUUUUUCGAAAUGAUUUUGAGCCUGUAAUGAGAAAUUUAAACAAAACCAUGUGUUCAACAGUGCCAAAUCAAAAUGUUUAGAACUUGCAUUCAAAUGCUCACUUGUCAAAAGUGAUUGUCAAUUUUUCAAUCAUAAGCUUGCAUCACCGAGGGCAUUCGAUUGAUUUCCACAAAUUUCAAAAUUAAAAUGCAAUACAAAAUGAGCAAAUAAAAAGGGAAAUGAUACUUACAAUAGGUGUCGACCUUUGUCUCAUGCUUUUUUUUUUUUUUCCAAUCACAUAGAUAUGCACAUGGAAUGUAGUUCGAUUUCUACUCUAUAUGGCCCAAAAUGGAGCCAUGGGAUCACAGGACUGAACCAACAUGCUCGUGGCUAAGUCGUGUUACCCAUGACUCCGGCUUCGUCAAAGGAUCGACCCGUGUCGCAUGCUCGCAGACCAGGGUGGGGACCUCUAACAUCAAGAAAGAAAUUUCGAGGUUGAGAUGGGCGACUCAUACUACAUGCUUGUAGUCAGAGUGGUAUCCACCUCAACACCAUCCUAAGUAAUCCUAUGCGGCCCAGGUCCGGCGGCAGGUUGUGUGUGCUAAAGUGUAGUGCAAUGUAGGAGAUGCAUGCAUGACAAUUCAUAAGCAAUCAACACUUCAUACAUGAAUAAUAAACCAUACAUUCCUUCACCUCCCUACAAGACAAAGGUGAGCAAACACUUCCCCUUAUACCUCCCAUUCUACAAAAACAUUUAAUACCUUUAAUGUUAGAGACAUACUUGGAAUCCUUGCUACCAAACAAAAAUAUUUUUUUGAACAAGAUUAAUAUUGGUCUAAGUCCUCUAAGGUUUAAAACCAAACCAAGUCCCCAGCGGAGUCGCCAAGCUGUCGCGACCUACCCUCGGGGGGAGGGAACAGGUUUAGGGGUAUUGCCUAAGGACGGGCCUAAGGCUCAUGAUUAGGCAUGAGCUCUCCCAAGCCCAUACCCCGCGUGACAUUGGGAUAUUCUUAAGGAAUUUUGCACAAAAGGUGUCGCCACUAGCCUAUUGGGGUCGGUUAGAAACCAAGUGACGCAUGGGAGUGUGUCUCACUUCCUACGCAACCAGAGAAUCUAGAAUUGGGGACUUGAUUACACUAAUUAACCAAUUAGUGCCCUUUCGGUACCUAAUCUUGUUCAUUUUAACAAAAUGAUGUUUGGCAAGUAGUUUAGAAUGAUUUUAUACCAUGUGAGGUGAUCAUGCAGAUACGCAGUCAUUAAAAUAACAAUCAUAACUACCAAAAUCCUAAUUGCAGUCAAAUUAAACACGUACAAUUAAACAUAAUUAGAUACGUAAAUCAAACAUGUAACAUAAUUAAUAUGCGAGCAAAUAAAUGCCUAAUUAUACUAACAUGGCAAGAUAUAUCAAUUCCUAACCAAAUCCCAUCAUUUUUUUUAUUUUCUAAAUUUUUUUAAUUUUUUUAAUCUUUUUUAAAAGAAAAAUAAUUAUUUUUAAAUUAUUUUUUAAUUUUUUAAUUUUUUAAUUUUUAAUAUUUUUUGAAUUUUUGAAAUUUUUUUUUAAAUAAUAAAAUAAUUUUUGAGACCGGGCCGGUCCAACCCGGCCCGGGUUCGGCCCGGUUGACGCGGAUCGGACCGGACCCGGGUUCGGUCCAACAGGCCCAAGUGGGUCUGAAGCUUGGGCCCAGUCCAAGAAGUCUCCCUCCUCCCUUUUUAAAAGAAAGCAAGCCCACAAGCCUAUACUAAACCAGCCCAAGCCCAAAAGCCCACAAGCAGAAACAACCCAAACCCGGCCCGAUUCACCUAAAACCCUACCCAUUUCUUUGACCCGGUUUGUACCUCCUCUUUAGGGUUCUGUGUUGACGGCAGUGGCGGCGACGCGGCGGGCGGUGGCGGCGACGCGGCGUCUGCGAAGACGAGCAGCACUCGGGCAGAGGAGGGCGUCACGGACGUGUGUGCAGCAGGCAAGGGCCGGUGUGGGGCUCGCUCGGCGGUGACUGGCGAGGCAACUCGAACGGCGUCGGGUUGAGGGCGGUGAUGGGUGAGCGACGGCACCGGCUGCAGCGAGGGGAUUCGGAUGGUGACUAGAGCGGGACGGUGGCGGUGGUCGGCCUGGUGGUGCAGCGGAGUUCGAUCAACUCCCAGAUCUGGUUCGUCUCCGGCUGGUUCGGCGUCGGGAACGCUGUGGGCGGCGAACGACGGCAGCAGCAGCAGGGAGGCGGUGUUUCGGCGAGGGGCGGUGACGACGUCAAGGUCGGCGAACAGGAGCUCGGCUGCUGCCGGUUGCGUGGCGAGGGGACGCAGCGACCGGCUUGGGUGAAGCGGCGGUGGCGCGAGGAUUAGUGAGCAGGAGCAGAGGCAGUGUCGUGGGGGCUCGGGAUCUGGUGUUCGGGCAGGAGGGGCGGCUGGAGGCGUCGAGUUGCAAGGUCGACGGCAGCAAUGGCGGCAAGCAGGGAUGGCAAAUAGCAACAGCUCGUCAGGGCCGGCGGAAAAACGCCCGUUGGUCGUCGUGGGUCAGCUGCGGGAGCGGCGGAGACAGACGGAGGGCGAGGUUGCUCGUGGAGACGCAGCAGAACGGCGAAUGCUGGGCCGAGGCGUCGCGAGGUCGACGGGCGGCACUCGGACAGAGGGGGGGGGGGGUCGGUCGAACGGCAACAGCGGCGGCGGUGGCGCCGCCACCGCCCUUCCUUCCGGUUUUCCCUCUCUUUUUCUCCUCUCUCUCUUUCUGCGUUUUUUUUUUUGUUUUGGAUCCUCUCCCUCUCUCUGUCUGGUCCCUCCUACACUGGCCGGCUCCCUCCUCUUAUCCUAGUUCCCAACCCCCUUUCGAAAACCCUAGCUACCGAGAGAAGAAGACCCUGGGUGCGGGCUGGGCUCAACUAGAAAGAAAAGUGGGCCGGCCCUGCGCGAGAGAAAAAAAAAAGGAAUAGGGGGCGGUGGGCCGGUUUGAGGCUGGAUCCGGCCCAAUCCGCCCUCUAAGUAAUUUUUCAUUUUUUUUCUAUUUUCUAUUUUCUUUUUCUUUUUCUUUUGUUGUUGUUUUGCUCUUUUUUUUCUUUUUCUCUAAUAAUUUUUUGUACUUGAAAACAAAAAUUGGGUGUCAACAAGCUUUGAAAGAGGCGGGACCGGAAAAGCGACGGAAAUCGGGCGGAGGUUCACUCGAGCGUCAUGCGUUCGCCGAGAGUUUUCCCGACGGGACAGAAGAAAAUCCCGAUUUUGCCGCCCUCAGGGGAAACAUUUCCGCUUUGCUCCGUUCAUUUCAAGAAAAAAAAUUUAAAAAAAAAAAUCCUAAAAAUAAUUACUUCAAUCAUUUACAAAAAUUUAUAAAUAGUCAUUAAUUAUUUCAAAUAAUAACAAACGGUUGUUUUUAGAAAAAUAUAAUUACACAAUCCAUUUUCUGUAAAAUAAAUGAAAUUUAUCUUGAAAAAAAUCCAAUGAACCUAGAUAUCUGAAUCCAAAUAAAUUUUUAUUGUCAAUCACGUCAAUCUACGCUUGGGAACCACAUGAUGAAUCACCUUGAUGGAUUCAUGGCAUGUAAGCUCAAGUCGAGAUAAGCAUCUACCCUCACAUUGAAAUUCAAGGUGCUAUUGGCUGAUUACUAUCGAAGCCCAUCUCACAUUCCUAGUGUCACAAAAAAAAAAAAUGGGCAUUUCCUCCGAGGGCAACUUAAAGGUUGGAUUGAGCAGGACUUAGAGAAAUUGACAAGAAGAUGAAUAUCUUAUUAUGUUAUAAAAGAGGAUUUUUAGAAGUUGUAUAGCGUUGACAUUUGUCGUAGCUCAUCUGCUAUAGGAAUGUUGGGCUUAAAGUACCAACAAAAUACCAACAGCCCAUUGAGCUAGUCUAUCACCGGAGUCCUAUCAAAUACGAGUGGGAAAUUCAAAACCGGCAGUACACUUAAGCCCAAGCCCGUCCUUUGCAAAUUGAUUUAUUACACAAUUGUCUUUUCUAUGCGUAAUGACGAAAACUAUUAGUUAAACUUUUAAAUAAUAAUUAUUUUUCUUAUGGGGAUAAUUAUUUUUUUUUUAAAAUUUUGUCGAGAGUCAAGCAUGGUUGCUUUGUCGGAUUUUGUAAAGCUCGUGUCUCUAAUGUGUAAUCAGGGCUAUGAACGAUUGAGUUGAUUGGCCAUGGAAAUAGGUGAUGACCGAGUUUAGACGAGCUCGGGCGAACGUGUUUGGUAUUACACAGUGAGUCGGAGUACCUCUUCAACAAUACACCUCUUUUCUUUCGUUUCGAGAUAGUCGGCAACCCUCGACUCCGGCAUUCUGUCAUCCUGAUGUUAUAGUCCUUAAGAGAGCUGAGCGGACAUUUCGACCAUGUCUUAUGCUGCUAGGCAUCGACCGUGCGAAGGAAGGAGUAGAAGCAAUGAAGGUGAAUUUGAAGGAGGAGGAGCGUGAACUGGGGGAACUAGAGGAAGUGAACAGAGAAUCUCAAAGUAAUCAUGAUAACAUGGAGUAACUGAUAUGGAUGUAAAUUCAGCGCAAUUCCAUUUCUCUAGGAAGCUAGGAGUAUUGAAGAGUCUUCGCGUUACUCUAAUUAUGCUUGUAAACAGAGAUUUUCACUGGGUACCUAAGUGUCAGACUAUUGAAAUUCCUCACAAAUUUCACGGUUGCCAAUGUACAAUAGUCUCAAGCUAGAUUAGUAUCAGACUUUGCAGCACUUUUGUAGCAACUUUCAAAUGAAAACUUUUCAUUCGCUGAAAGCCCAAGGCAGCCCCAGGGGUGCCUUGAGCUUUCAGCUUUGGCUUUGCCCUUCAUUCUACUGUUCUCAUCUUCUUCGUUGGCUGAGCUGUUCAUCUUCUUCGUUGAGACAAACGAAUUGUGCAGGGCUGCUGACGGCGAGCGAUGAACUAGCGAGAGGCGGGCGACUAUCACGGCGACCGUCGCCGGUGGGUCAUGCGACCUCCGGCGGGCCGCAAGAUCUGGUCGCGCGACCCAAGCGCGACUCAGAUCUGGGUCGCCGGAGGUCGCAUGACCCACCGGCGACGGUCGCCGUGAUAGUCGCCCGCCUCUCGCUAGUUCAUCGCGGCGACUAGAUCUGGGUCGCGCCGGCGCCGGAGGUCACGCGACCUCAGGCGCGACCCAGAUAUGGUUGCUACAGGGUCGCGCAACCUCCGACGGACCCAGAUCUGGUCGCCAGGAGGUCGCGCGACCUCGCGGCGACCAGAUCUAGGUCGCGUCGGCACCGGAGGUCACGCGACCUCAGGCGCGACCUAGAUCUGGUCGUGCGACCUCCGGCGAACCCAGAUCUGGGUCGGGCGACCUCCGUGAAGGGCCGCCGGGGGUCACUCGACCCCAGGCGGCCCUGGCCGGGGGUCUCCCGACCCUCGGCGGCCCUCGCCGAUGGUCGCCCGACCCCAGGCGGCCCUCGCUGGAGGUCGCCGGGGGCUGCCUGAGGUCGCCGGCAGCCGCUUGCCUCAUCAGCCAAUAUUUUUACUUUUUAUUUUUAUUUUUUUAUUAAUCACAUAAGUUAUUUAUAAAUUUAUCUUUCCAAACAACAUUUUACACAAAGGUAUUUCAUAAGGGACUUUCAAACAACAAUUUACCAAACACAGUUUGCAUUUUGAAAAAUACCUUUAACUCAAAGUCUUUUGCAUUUUUCCAAAGGCUUUCUCCAAAAGUCUAUCCAAACGCACCCUUAGUCUCGAAAGUCCCUUGGGAAAAAGUUUAGGUAUUUGGUUAAGCAUUUAGAGGUGUCCUUGGCCAAAUAUUGGCCUCAGAAAUGUAAGUCCACAUCUACUAUUAUUAUUAUUAUUUUUAAAACCGAUCAUUUUCCCACACCGCAACCACCAAAACUCUUUGCGAAUGUUGGGUUCGUUUUUUUUUUUUUGUCAUUUUUAUCUUUUGACAAUCAAUAACCCAACUUUUUAUCAAUAUACUAGAAUGAUCAUUAAUUAACGAAGAUGAUUAAUACUACAAUAAUUAAAAAAAAAAUAUUCAAAGUUGAAAAUAAACCUAAAAGAACUCUAGGCCAAAAGUUGAGCUUUGCAUCUAAUCUAUAAUUAAAUUUUUUUAAUGUGAUUUUUAAAUAAAUUUACUAAUAUAUAUCUUUUACAUUACUCUCAACAUGAAAAUGUAAAAGGUUAUAUAGUCAUUGUUUCUUUUUUUGCAAUUUUAAAAAUACUAAAACUAAAAAACUUAAUUUAAUUACACUAAAAGGCUUUUCAAAUAUAUGUUUACCAAACAGUUUUGCAUUCCCUAAAGCGCUUUUCAGUUAUAGUUUACCAAACAGUCUAGCAUUUUGGAAAACCCUUUUAUCUCAAAGGUAUUUGCAUUUUCCCAAGAGCAUUUUCCCAAAGCCGAACCAAACGGAUUGGGACUGCCAACAUUUUGGCCACCAUUUAUUUCUCCAUGUCGGAAACGCUAGAACUGCGGAAAGAGAAUGGAAUCGGGUGUGGCAGUGAGAACAGCAGUUUCAACAUUAAUAACGACAAUGACGGCAGCAUCGACAAACGAAGGCUUCGCAAAAGAUGAUCGGGCUCUGCCGACAUCUUUCUCGUGAUCUCAAUCGGUCUAAAAUUAAUCUAUUCUGAGCAUGAAAACAUUUUGAAGACUUGUCUUCAGUAGUUGUUGAAAAAAGCUAUGUCAAACUUCGAAGCUUUCUUGGAAGGAUAUUGCAGGGUUCAGGGAAGGUUCCCAGAAACAUCUCCUUGCCCAAAAGAAAAAAAACAAGAACCGUGGGACCUGCAACUUGCACGCGCAUUUGAACAAGUACUUAGCCACCAAGUUUGAGCAUUCGAUCUAAUAGUCUUCCAUCGUUUAAAAAAAAUAAAAAAUAAAAAUAAAAUAAAAUAAAAUACAAAUAAAAAUAAAAAAAUACGACUUUCUGUUUCAACCAUUUUGCAAGUUCAGGGAAGGUUCCCAGAAGCAUCUCCUAAUUCAAAAGAAACAAAACAAGAACUGAUUUCGUAUAUAAAAUGGAGACUUUCUUGCUUCUUUUUUUUCCCGAUAGGUAAGAUACUUUUAUUAGCUUAAUAUAAGGAAAGGAUGGAUCAGAGAGAAUAAAUAAAAUAUUUGUGCAAAAAAGCAAAGAAAAUAAAAAAGUAAUAAUACUUGGAAUGGGGUAAAUUAAUGCAUAAUGAAAGUUUGGUUCCUUGACUUCCACGUAUGUCAUGCCAUAAUCACGUUCUUCCGAACUGUUGCACAUGGGGCCUGCAACUGCACGCGCGACAAGCCAGCUAGCUGUGACCGUCCUCAGAUGUAAACGUCCUCAGUUGGCUCCUGCUAAUGGGGCCUUCAACUGCAUUCACAAGUGUGUCGACCACAACUUUAGUUUCUUUUUAAUCAUCGACCAAUAGCAUUCGAUCUUAUGGUCUUCGUAGUAAAAAAUUGCAACAUCCUGUUUCCACCAUCUUUUCAUAGACCCAUAGAAUUCUCCUAUAACUACAUUAUUUGCUCAUAACGUGUUGACGCGGAAUAUUUUCUGUUUCCACCAUAUUUUCUUAGACCCAUGGAAUUCUCCUAUAACUACAUUAUUUGCUCAUAACGUGUUGACGCAGAAUAUUUCUCUGCUGAAGAUCAUCGAGCGAGAGAGGGAGAGAAGGAAAGAGAGGUCUGCUUAGCUGAGCAAAUUACUGCUAUGGCAAGCUCAGAUGCUGGAACAUCAUCGGGAAGCGAGUACCAAGUGUUUCUGAGUUUCAGAGGACCUGAUACUCGGACUGGAUUUACCGAUGUCCUCUUUCAUAGCUUGAUCGACGUUGGAAUCCACGUGUUUCGAGACGAUGAAGAACUCCGUGUCGGUGAAAGAAUUGAUGGAUCGCUGCUACAAGCGAUCAACAACUCCAGGAUCUACAUACCGGUCUUCUCUCGGAACUAUGCUUCAAGCCAAUGGUGCCUUUGCGAGCUCGCACAGAUCGUGGCAAACACCUUGAAAUCGGAAGGUAAUAAAGAGAUCCUACCUAUUUUCUUUGAUGUGGAACCUAACGAUGUUAAAUUGAAAACUCCACUAUAUCACAAUGCCAUACUCAAUUUGGAGCACGAGAAGAAGUUGAGCAACGAGCAAGUAAAUGUUUGGAGAGAGGCCCUCAUGGAGGUUGAUGCCAUAAAGGGGUGGGAGGUGAAGAAAUACAAAGGGUAAGCUAGCUAUUUUCAAGAUACUUGUUUCCCCAAUUUUCCUAACACUUAAUAAUAGAUCUCAAAAUUCCAGUAUGAUUGAGGUGGGAGUUUUAUUAUAGUAAUACUAAAUGAUGAAUCUUUACGUCUGCAAAGCAAAAUGUGAAGACAUGAUAUUCAACUUCUACAGUUGUUGCUUGACAAUUGCACAAAUUUUUAUACAACAAUUUUGCUCGAAAAUCCCAAGGUUGCUACUCUCAUGUUGGAAUCAAGUUGAAUUUCAGGUCAUGACAUAGCAUCAACGUUGUCAAGGGCUUAAAAGUAUGUUUUGGAGAGACAUUAAUGUCCAAUAUGGACUUUUAGAAUAUCACUCCUAGGUUUAAGGUCCCAUUACUUAUCAGGUCAUUGUGUAGUUUAUCCGAUGCUUGAAUGACAUCACUUCUAGUUAUGUAAUCGUGAAUUUUCUCACUAAAAUGGAUUUUCAUUGUGGCAGCCACGGAGAACUAAUCAAAUUGGUUGUUGCGAAGGUUGUGGAAUGUUUGAAGUCAAAACAUAGAUUGGUGACUGAAUAUUUAGUUGGAAUCAAUGAUCAAGUAGUAACGGUAAGCAAAUUAUUAGAUGUCGAUUCCGAUGGUGUGCGACUCGUUAAAAUUUAUGGCAUGGGAGGUAUUGGAAAAACUACACUUGCCAAGGUCAUCUUCAACCGACUUUCUUCUCAUUUUGGAAAGUGUUGUUGUUUCCUUGAAGACGUUCGAGAGAAGUCGUCAAGAACCGAUGGCUUAGUUCACUUGCAAAAAAGGUUACUAUCCGAAAUCGGUCAUCCUGCAGGAACAAAGAACAUUGAUGACAUUGAUUAUGGAAUUAAGAGGAUUGGAGAAAUACUUUGUAAUAAGAAAGUCCUUAUUAUACUCGAUGAUGUUGAUAACAACAAACAAGUGGAGAAAUUAGUUGGACAGAGUACUUUAUAUUCAGGAUCCAGAAUAUUGAUUACAACUAGAAAUAAAGAUAUCUUGCAAGUCAAUAGACAAAAUUAUCAGAUUUUAGAUUAUGAAAUGGAGGUGAUGAGUGCUGGACAUGCACUUGAGCUUUUCAGUAGGCAUGCAUUUAACACAGACUUUCCUUCAGAUAAUUACAAUUAUCUUUCAAGGAAGAUUGUAUUUGCUACUGGGAGACUUCCAUUGGCUCUUGAGGUGAUUGGUCCAUUCCUCUGCCACAAACCACGAAAACUAUGGAAAGAGACAUUGCGUAAGUUAAGAAAAGCACCUCAUGAGGAUGUUUUUGGAAAGUUGAAGAUCAGCUAUGAUGCCUUAAAUUUCGAGCAACAACAAAUUUUCCUUGAUAUUGCAUGCUUUUUCAUCGGUAAAGAUAAGGCAAAUGCAAUCUACCUAUGGAAAGGUUGUGAGUUUUUCCCAGAUACAGCAAUUGCUGCCCUCAUUGGCAUGUCUUUGGUAAAGAUCGUGGAGAAUGAUAAGUUUUGGAUGCACGAUCAACUUAGAGAUCUAGGAAGAAAAAUUGUUCUCCAAGAAAAUCCAAUAAAUCCUGAGGAGAGGAGUAGGAUAUGGAUUUGGGAGGACGGCCUUAAUGCAAUAAGACCAAAGGAGGUAAAGCACUUCUGGAGAGAUCUAAUUAGUCUUUGCCAUAGAUUCGACUACAUUGUACCUUCUUGGGUUUUUUUGUUCUUUCCUUUUUAUAAUCCUUUGGCUUUAUGAGAUAGAAUACUGAUAUCACUCAUUUCCCAUUCUUAUUUGCAGAUAAACAAAAAGGUUCAAGCACUAUCUCUUCAUUCAUAUGGACAUAGUAUCAAUGAUGUCUCUAUUCAAAUUAAAAGGAUUGGAAGGUUUGAACAUCUAAGAUUCCUUAAAUUAUCUCAAUUAACCCUUGUUAGAGAUGCAACAUAUUGUCUUCCCAAAUCAAGUUUGAUUUCUUCGAGCUAUCCUCUACAAAAAUGGACCAACAUGUACCUAAAGAAUUUAGUCGUUCUUGAAUUCGUCAACGUUACUUUCUUAGAUGAUUCGGGAUUACAAAACUCAAUUAAGGUGCGUAAUAUUUUUAUUCCUAUUUUAUUUUCUCGGAAAGUAAUAUUUGAUUGUUCAUUUAUUGAGUAUUGCAUUUGUUUUGACAGAUGGCAACAAAAUUGAAAGUUCUUUCUUUUACAAAGUGUCGGAACAUAAUUAGAACACCUAACUUCUCUGGAUGCCCGAAUUUAGAGAAGCUUACUUUCAAACGUUGUGACAAUUUGAGGAAAAUCCAUGGCUCUAUGGGGAAGUUGAAGUGUCUGAUUGACUUGAGGAUUGAUCACUGCUAUUCUCUCAAACAUUUGCCUGAAGAAAUUGGGGACCUAGUGAAUCUACGGUAUCUUUUUGUAGAUUGUGAUAAAAUGAAGAAACUCUCGAAUUCCAUAUGGAAGCUAAAAUCAUUACGUGAGUUGCGCUUUCAAGAUCAGUUUUCUCAUAAUUUAGAUUCUGCAAAUUCAUGGAAUUUACCUUGUGUUAUUGAAAUGCUUCAAAAUCUAGAAGUGCUUCAAGUCAAUGAUCACUCUUUAAAAGGUCGACUUCCUUCGGGCAUUGGAAGUUUGCCCUUUCUAAGAAUCCUAAAUCUAUCAGGAACUUGUGUCAGUGAAGUUCCAAAGACCAUCAGCAUGCUUCCUCGCCUACAAAGAAUCGAGUUGAUGGAAUGCAAUAAUAUUCAAGAGUUGCCGACCCUCCCAACAAGUUUAACCCAUCUAAAAGUGUCAUCUAAAUUGUUGCGGGUAGUCUCGGAUCUUUCGAACUUGACUAAUUUGGUUGAGUUGUAUCUAUCAGGAACUUGUGUCAGUGAAAUUCCAAAGACCAUCGACAUGCUUCCUCGCCUACAAAGAAUCGAGUUGAUGGAAUGCAAUAAUAUUCAAGAGUUGCCGACCCUCCCAACAAGUUUAACCCAUCUAAAAGUGUCAUCUAAAUCGUUGCGGGUAAUCUCGGAUCUUUCGAACCUGACUAAUUUGGUUGAGUUGGAUCUAGUUCAUUGUGAAAUAUUAAGAGAUACACUUUGUACCAAUGAGUUACGGUGGAUUGGAAAGUUAUCCAAACUGACCAAAUUGAGCUUCGGACUUCAAAAUGUCCCUAUACCUACUGAGAUGGCUUCCCUUCCUAUGCUAAAUGAACUUUAUUUGUAUGCAUUCAACCUACAAACCUUUCCGCAACUACCCCUAUCUCUAGAAAAGCUAAGGCUUAGAAAUUUCAAUUCAGUUGUGUCAGUCUCUCUAAACCUAAGAAAUUUGUUAUGUUUAGAGCUGUAUGAUUCUCCAUUGCAAGAAAUACAGCUUGAUGGGCUUCAACUUCCACAGCUAAAGGAGUUGCAUGUGGCAAGCUGGCAAUGCCUCGAGAGGUUGAGGCUAUCAAGAAUGAGGAAGCUAAACGACGUCAAGGUGAAUUUUUGUAUAAAGUUAGUUGAGAUCCAAUUUUCUUGGGUGUUCGAAUCAUUGGAGGCAUUGACUAUUCGAGGUGGCAAGUCCUUGGAAAGGAUAGUUUAUGAGUCUGAUAAUGAAUUGAUUAGUUGUGAAGGGAGGCUAAUUUUUCCAUCGACAGUCUUAAAUAAGUUGCGUACUCUCUCCCUGUGGUGGUGCCCUAAGAUACUCGACAUUCAAGUUGUAGGUAUGUUGGAAUCGUGGGAAGGCUUUGACAUUCAGGGUUGUCCUUACUUGCAACAUCUCGGUGGUUUGUCAAACUUAAAGAACCUGAAGUCUUUAUCAAUCAAGGUCUGCGAGAGUCUAUGGGAUGUCGAGGGAGUCGACGAGUUGAAGUUUUUGAACCGUUUAACACUUGAUGAUUGCGGAUCGUUGGAAAGGUUGAUUGAUGUGUCAACCACCAAACUACCAAAUGAUUGCCACGUACGGAUCAAAAGGUGCAGGAGAUUACCUGGGGUUAAGAAAAGAUUCAGCGGCUCCGUCCAAUCCUUCAAGCAUCAUAAGGCGAGUCUGGAUCAUUCUCUCUAUUUCUUUUUUAUAUUUUUUUGACCCAACCGUCCACGAACACCAAUUCAACUCUAAGGUAGAUUUGUAAUAAUGGUGAGAAAUUAAAAAAUAAACAAAAAUCAAUUAAUAUUUGAUCUCACUUAUUUUAAAACCCACUCGAUAUAAGUUUGUUUUAUUUUCAGCUCAUGUUUUCUCAUUUUCUUUUAUUUUCUUUUUUUACAUGAGAAAUUUCUAUAUGUGCAGCAAAUCCAUGGGACAAGGUCAGCUUUUAUCAAAAUUCAUUGGAAAAAUUGCAAUUUUUAGCAAAAGAAAUAUAUAAAUUAACUCAGAAUAUCUCAUUAAAAUGUUAUUUUCACUUUAUAUGAAAUGAAUUGUUUAUUUAGCGAAUUUUUAUGUAAUACACUCCACUUUAUUGUCAUUUCUUACUUAAUACUAUUCAUUAUGGAGAUGAGUUUAGUGAUUUGCAAUUUCCACAGUGAAAAUAGAACACUAAAAGAAUCCUAUACUCAUUGCACGACUUCAAUAAGAAUUUGCUGAGGGAAUUCUCUCAAGAACACAACUUAAAUGGUCCACCGAUCCACAAAUCGACUGACUUAUGUUUUUGAUGGAGUUGAGUGUUAAUUGAAUUUGCAUGUGGAUGGGGUCGGCCAAUUAGGAUGUGUGUUCCAAAAGCAUCUAGAAAUAUUUAUUAAGAUUUUUCAUUCUAAAGAAAAGACGAUGAAAAUCUAAUUUUUGAAAGUCUGCAUCCUCCCCGGUUUUUUACCGUGUUUCUUAAUAGCCACUUUAAACAUCGUUCUGACAUUUAUUUUUUCAGUUGUGAGGCAUUUCAUCUCAUUUCAUUGACCUGCUUCCACUACACUAGAUAUAGAAGGGGAAAAUGAGGAGGAAAUGCUUCAUCUACUUAAUUUAUAACUAGCCCCGAUUUUUUUUUUUUGGGUAAAAACAUAAUGUUUUUUUUCUAUCUUAGAAGCUUAUAUCUAAGACAGAUGAUGGGUUAGACCAAUAAAAUAUCUUACUAAUGUCAUGGACAUAGGUAGCAUACGAGUCAAAGACAGGGCAGAUGGGUGCGAUGUAAAAUUGUUUACAUUUGGCGAAAUGGAAAAUCGAACUCGUCUGAUGUGCAUAAUCCACAUACACAAUUUCGUUAUAAUCCUGCAUGAUUUACGACAUUUUCUUAUGUGACAUUGUUUCCUCUUCUAUAUUGAUCCUUUCUCAUAUUUCAAUCUCGACAAAUACAGCCAAAACUUGUAUGUAUGACUUUCAUCAGUAUCUUUUGAGGAUUUUAAAGCAACUCCUAUCUAUUUGAUUGCAUUAUUUUAAUCACGUCAUUCCUUUUUCGAAAGCUUUCUCCUAAAAUUGGUUAUGAUUUUAUUUUUCAGGAAUCAGGCUUUGAUUUGACAACAUGUUUCGGACGCUUGUGAAGUUCUGAAGGCAACCUACACGAUAAUUGUUAGAAUGCAGGGACGGAACUAGCACAAUGUCUUAUCUGGGUCAAUGCACUGAAGAGUCCAAAGGUUUCUGAGAAUGAUUUCCAGUACCAGGACAUCAACUUAGGAUGCAGGUGUGACCUCAUCAUUUUUAAGCUAAAAAGAUGAUUUACCCUUGUGGCAGAAUUAAGAGAGUUGUUGUUCUUCACGUCAACAUUUCUUCAAAUCCUUAAAGGAUUCCUCGCUUGAAUUAGUUAUUUCAGGAUUGUCCCAUCUCUUUUCGAUUGGUCUUAGACAACUCAUUCAAAUUGCCCGUCUUGCAUGAAGAACUGCAAAAGUUUAGUACAGGCAGGUUAAGCAUAUGCAUAAUAAUGUUGUGUGAAAGGCCUCAUCCAAUAUAUGAAAUCUACUUGUUAGAACUAGCAAUCUCUCCAAGACGAGAUAUGACAUAACAUGAACAUCAUCAUACAAAGAACAAAAAUGGCAUGGCAUUGAUACAUCAUACUCUCUCAUUUCACGUGACCCAACAUGAAUAUGUCAGGCCACAGCACAUUGUGAGCCCUACUUCCAGGCUUGUAUCUUCUAGUAGCUUAAUUUAGUCAUACUUAACCAGGAACAAAGAUGUCACUAUUCUCUUUAGAGCAUAUUAUGGUGAAGUUAAUAUAAGCUUUCAUGGCAAAUAAUAAUGGAAGACUUAGAAUUGAGAUGCAAUUGCAAGUGAAAGUUUACAAUUUCAAUAGUUGAUAUGUCUAUCUAUUUUCUUGUACAUAAUAUACAUUGCCAAAAUAAUUAAUCACGGUAGACAGUAGUUGAUACGUAUUGUUGGUUGAAACGUUCACGCAAGAUUGGUUGUGAUUUUAUUUCUUCAGGAAUCACGUUUUGAUCAGAUUUGGACAUGUUUUGGAGGCUUGUGCAAUUUUGAAGACGACUCCGAUGAUGAUUUUUAGCAUGCAGGGACGGACUGGCAUAUCAGUCUAGUGGGGUCAAUGUACUGAAGAGUCAAAGUUUCUAAGAAUGGUUUCAAAAACUGGGACAUCAAGUUCGGAUGCCAGUGAGACCUCAUCAGUUUCAAGCUUGAUAGAUGAAUUUCCCUUGCGGCUGAUUCAAGGGAAAUGCUGUUCUUCGCAUCAACAUUUCUGAUCCUUGAAUCCUUGUAAGAUUUGUCGCUUGAACUAGUUACCUCCUGGAUCAUCGCAUAUAUUUUUGACUAGUUCUGACAACUCAUUCAAAUUGCCCGUCUUGCAUGAAGAGCUGCAAAAAUUUAGUACAAGCAGAUUAAGCAUAUGCAAUAUACUGUCGUCCAAAAGGUCUAAUCCAACAAAUGAAAAUUACUUGUUAGAUUUGGCAAUGUUUCUAAGACAGUGAUGAUACAACAUGAACAGCAUCAUACAUAGAACAUAUGUGACAUGACAUUGAUACAUCUUUUCUAUAACUAGGACUUAUUUCAAUCUUAAAAGCAAAUAUUAUUUGAAGGACUAUCUCCCUCCCAUUUUAUGUGACUUAGAAGGUUCAACUCAAAGUUGAAUGAAUCAUGCUAGAGCAGAUGGUGAACCCUACUUCCAGGCUUGUAGUCUUCAAUUAGAUAAUCCAGUCAUAUGUUACCAGUGACAAAGAUAUCAAUAUCCUCCUUAUAGCAUAUUAUGAUGAAUUUAAUAUGAGCUUUCUUGGCAAAUAAUAAUAGAAGACUUAGACUUGAGAUGCAACAGCAACAAAAUGAUGAGAGAACAUCAAAAGAUUUUUUUGCACAUAUCUACAUGGGUUGAUCAAAAUAGUAAUAUAAAGCAAUUAGGUGAGUCUCAAAUGUCUCAAUGGAAACUAUGAUAUACAGUCAAACAAAAAAUAUCUCUUUUUACCUAGAUGUCCAUUCAAUAGCAGAAGAGUGAUAACCAGUGCAACUUUUUAUGGGGAGGAGGUAAAAUCCUUCCCAUCAUCCCUUCUGAGGGGAGGGGCUGGCAGCGGGAAGAAGAUAACUUACACAUUUCUGACUUGCUGUUAGCUACUGUUAAGUACAUGGGGAGAAAGAAAUCAGUAGAAUUUGAGCAAAAUUUCAUUCAGAUCUAAAGUUACAAUUUGAUUGGGUACAGAUGCCUGACCCCAGGUUGAGAAAUGUUUUUCACACUGACAUGGCUUCCUGUCAAAGGAGAUUGACUUUUUGUGUGUGCUCCCUUACAAGUGAAUUUCCCUCAACUUGAGAAUCUCUGGCUUUGUCUCCCAACCUGUUGAACAUUGCGUAAACCAUGUGAUGUUAUAAAGCACUCCAUAUCCAAUCAAAGAAACUGGAAUAAAAUAGAAAAUUUUCAUCCUUUCUCAUUUAGAUGCACAGAAGCAAGUCUUCUACUAAUAAUUUGAGUAAGCUUUCUCUCAGUGAUAGUUCUCGAGAAGACUAACUCUUGAUUUCCUCUGAUCCAUUUUAAAUUUGAGUGGGUUUGUCCAAGCAUCCUACAAGAAAAGAAAGAGCACAAUGCAUGAGCUGCAGGCUCUCUGCUUGGGACAUCAACAUAGUAGUAAAAGUGAACUGAGAAGUGCAAAAAUGUAAUGCUGUCUAUCCACACAAUUUUCUACUCAAAUCUGGAAAUUAUCAUCAAAUGCAUCAACAUGAUAGCCAAAACCCAAUGAAUGAGUGCAUCAAACUGAUGGCCACAAGAACUUGCUGUGUUCCUGUCCUUGGAACAUUGAGCUACAGACGCAUAUUCUUCCUAAAUUCUGAUAAAAUCAACUAUCAAGUCCCUGUUUCUUAAAAAGAGACAUUAAUGACUCAUUGCUCUUAGUAAAUGGCAUAAACUUGCCAAUGUUAUCCUCUUAUAAGUUUUUUGUCCUCUCAUUCCACAAAUCACUUAAAGGUAAGGGAUAAAGUAGGGUCAACCUAACGACAGACAUUUCACCGUCAUGCAUUACUUUACUCAGAUGAAGAUUUGUGGCAGACUUGGCCUCUUCUAUAUCAGCCUUAGUAGUAUUCCAUGUAUCAAGAAAAGGUUUACUGCUUUAGUUUGCCUUGCCUUCUGUUCCUGGAACAUGUGACAUAGUUAAACCUUCUAAAUGUACAUUGCCACAAGAAUAUGUGGCUUCCCUUACCAUUUGUUCCCUGUUACUCUGCUCUUCAUAUAAAGCAGAAUUUAAACUUUUGAUGAUAGACAAAUCUUUUCUUGGAAGCUCUGGAAUGGAACUUAAAUUUGUAUCAGCCCUGGGCGGAACAUGAAACUUCUCUUGGUACUUUUUAUCUGAUGUACAACCUUGUUGAUCGGAUUCUUGAGCGCACGUGCUGUUUGUCCUAUCCAAAGAAGAUCGUUCUAGGAUUGAAUUUCUACAAGCUGCAGAUAAAGUUAGACAUAGAGUUGAAGUUACAGAAAUCUCUACCUAAACUUAUGAUGUUACUCACACAAUGUGUUGAUUCAUCAUUAUCAAUGACAGCUUUAUCUUCACAGUCUGGAAUUGCCUCAGGAAGGAGACUUUUCGAGCCCUGGUGCUCAUCCAUCUCUGUAAAUCUCCCUUUGCUUCCUAUGACCUUCUUCCCACCUUGUUCUCCCUCAGUCAUGGAUGAAUCAAGAUUAGAGCCGUCCAACGUGGAUAGCACAAUGACUGCUAAGGUCCUAAAUGCAAACACGAGUCAUGAAAUUUGUUUUGAGUGUAUCCGUUUUUUUUUUUUUUUGUAUGAUAUUGUUUCCUCUUAUAAAUAGAUCCUUUCUUGUACUUUAAUCUCAACAAAUGCAGUUAAAACCUACAUAUAGGACUUUUAUCAGUAUUUUUCAAGGAACUUAGAACACCUAUUUAUUUUCUUGUGCAUGGUAUUCAUUAACAAAUAGGUCAAACACUCUGGACACUAGUUGAUAUGUAUAACUAAUUGGUUUGACUGCAUAAUCUCAAUCAUUUCUUUCCUUUUCUGAAACUUUCAUGGAAGAUUGGUUGCGAUUUUGUUGUUCAGGAAUCACACUUUGAUAGGACUACAUGUUUUGGAUGCUUGUGAAGUUUGGAAGACAAGUCAUGCAACAAUGGUUAGCUUGCAGGGAUCGAGCUAGCAUAUUUCUAAGAAUGAUUUCAAAUUCCAAGACAUCAAGUUAGGAGGCAGGUGAGACCUCAUUUUGAGAGAGUUACUAUUCUUCAAAUGACAUUUAAAAGAUUCUCUGUCAGGAUUGAUGCAAAUCUUUUCUGUUGGUUUUGACAACUCAUUCAAAUUGCCUGUCUUGCUUGGAGAACUGCAAAAGUUUAGUACGAGCAGAUUAAUCAUAUGCAGAAUAAUGUUGUGUCAAUGGACUUAUCCAAUAUAUGAAUUCUACUUAUAAGUGUUGGCAAUGUCUCUAAGACGGGAUAUGACAUAACAGAAACAUCAUUAUACAUAAAACAAAUACAACAUGACAUUGAUACAUCUUUUCUGUAAUCAUUAGUUAUUUUGGUCUUAAAAGUUACUAUAUCUCAAAGAAUAUCGCUCUCCCAUUUCAUUCGACUCAAAAGGUACAACUCAAACAUGAAUAUGUCAGGCUAGCACAGACUGGGCAUCCUGCUUCCAGUCUUGUAGUCCACGGGUAGUUACUUCAGUCACACGUUACCAGAGACAGAGAUGUCACAUCAAAAGAUUCUUAGCAAGUAUAAACAUUUGUGUUGAUCAAACUACUAAUGUAUGGCAAUUAGCAAAUCAUCCAAUGUCUCAAUGCAAACUAUCAUACACAAUCGAACAAAAAGUAUCUCAUUUUACCCUUGUUGAAAGUCCAUCGGGUAGCAGAGUUGUCAUAACCUGGGCACCUUCAUAGGGGAAGAAGAUAAAAAAAAUUUCCUUUUUUUCCCUCUAGGGGGAGGGCAUGGUGGUGGGAAGUACAUAACUGGCACAUCGAUGACCCACUGUCAACUACUUUUAAGUGAAGUACAUGGAAAAAAAAGUGGUAGAAUUUGAACAAAAUCUCAUUUUGCUCUAAUAUUUAAAUUUGAUUGGGUACAGAUGCUUCACCUCGGUAGAGAAGUGGUGCUCACACUGAUAUGGCUUGUUGUCAAAGGAGAUUGGCUGUUCGCGUGCUUCCUCACGAGAGAAUUUAGACCAACAAGCUUUCUCCAAGUUGAUGGCUCUUGAGAAGACCGACUCUUAAUUUCCUCUGAUCUCUUCAAAAACUUAGAGUGGGCUUGUCAAGGCUGUCUACAGGUAAAGAAAGAGGACAAUAUACAAGCUGCAAGCUUUCUUCCAAUAGCAUUCGAUGUAUCAAUAAAAGGUUUAUUGCUUUCAUUUGCCUUCUGUUCCAGGAAUAUGUGGCACAGUUAAACCUUCCGAGCCCUUACCAUAUCUUCCCUGUUACUCUGCUCUUCACCCAAAGUGGAAUUCAAACUUUUGACAAUAAACAAAUCGUUUCUCGGAAUCUCUGGAAUGGUACUUAAAUUUGUAUCAACCCUGGGCUGCACAUUUACUUCUUCUGGUUCUCUUUGAUCUGAUGAAUAACCUUGUUGAUCAGACUCCUGAUUACACAUGCCAUUUGACCUAUCCAAAGAAGAUCGUUCUCGGAUUGGAUUUCUACAGGCUGUAGACUUUGGCACCCGAUCACUUUUUUUUCUUGGGUUGGGCAUAGAAGUUAAAGUUACAGAAGUUUUCUCCCUGAAUCUCCGGUGUACCCACACAGCGUGUAGACUGAACAUUGUCAAUGAUAGCAUUAUCCUCACAGUCUGUAAUUGCCUCGCCAAGGUGAGUUUUUGAGCCCUGGUGCUCAUUCAUCUCUAAAGAUCUCCCUUUGCUUCCUAUAACAUUCUUCCCACAUUGUUCUCACUCAGGCAUGGAUGAAUCAAAGAUUAAAGCCAUCCAACGUGGGUAAUUUAAACAUCAGAAACUAUACCAUUAUGUUGUAGCAAAUAAAUUUAUGACUGUAUUAUGAGUCCUCCCAUCCCACUCAGAUCAUCCACUUUCCAGCACAAUGAAGCUCAAUUAAGAUGAAUGACAUGUAACAUGUACAUUAGAACAGCCACUUAUCAUGGUAUCAUUUUUCUGAAGAGAGAUGCCAUGAAAUAGCAUUAUCUUUGAGCAAAAUAUGUGCCCUGAGUGGCGAAAAUCUCCAAUUCAUACCUCAGAAAUCAAGACAGAGAGCAGGUAAAUGCUGUAAGUCAUAGCGAUUUUCUCUACAUAAGCGCUUACAUUGCGGUGAAACUGCAAGGAGCCAUAGACUACCAGUAAUAGGCUCACAGCAAUUAUGAAGAUACAUAUUUAUAGACUUGUUUCACGGGAAACAACACUUCCCAGUUUCUGAAGUCAAAUGCACCAGAAUACUGAGAUAAACAUUAUAAUUCAGAAAGAAAUCCUUCCCUGUGCCUAAUUUGUAAUGUCAAAGAAGAUGCUCAAAUGAACUCCAUAAAGCCAGUCAACCUCGAUCACAAAGAGGUCUUUUGAAACCAAAUGAACCAAUGAAACAAACGGCAAAAGCCAUUCGGAAACUCGACCCGCUCAUGAAUUACCUCUGUUUUACGCUAUGAAACAAAUAGCAAACACUGACAUUUCACAAUUACGAGCAACGAAAAUUCGUUAGAUUGAGACAAGCAUAGGAUCUCCAGAGAGCAAGGUCGAGCGCGGGAGAGAGAGAUGGACUAGGUCUGAAUAGAGAAGAGAGAGGAGUAAUCUUGUUCUUAUAAGGUUUUUGAAAGGCGACCACCUUUAUAUAUAUAUAUAUAUAAUAGACCUAAGUAAGUCCUUAAAAGAUUUUAUCUCGGUAUCCGUUUGGAAUUCGGGAUCACUGAAAUAUGAAACAACAAGAGAGUAUUCCUUUCAUCUAAGAAAGACAAAGAUACCAAGGGGAUUAGAGGUGCGAAACAUACGAACCCUAAUGCGUUCAAAUAAUGAACCAAUCUGUGGAGCCCGCUGCUGUCCAACAAGCUGCAGAGGCUCUUCUAGGAGCUCAAGCUCCCUUCCUUUGAUGAAGUUACUCAUAAUCAAACACCAAUAAUUCAAUAAUAAAUAUUAGCUAUUAUAUAAAACCUCAGAAGUCCUAUUUCACCCCUUCAAUGGAACCAUUUUUCGCCAAAUUGCCUCGAAAUUGUUUAAUUUGUUUCAAUACUCCCACCCCCCCCCCCCCCCCCCCGGGCGCAAGACACAUGGGUAAGAUGGUAAUUUCAUAAAAAUAAUAAUAACUCACCAACAAACCCACCUCGAAAAAUCAUCCCGUCUUUUUCUUUUACCAACAAUUCUUGAAUGCUUUCAAAAAAAAAAUUUAAAUCAAAUUUAUUGGAAAAAAUAAAAAAAGAAUAUCUCAUGACAUGGAAGUAUAGAAUCGUGGCUCCGUUCCCUCCUCCCCAUAACAUUCAUUUGACUUUUAGGAUUUAUGGCAUGAAAUGCUCCACGUGUCACAUCCACCAAACUUAACACCCUUGAAAAUCCCAACCACACCUUUAUCUUACGCACCGUUCGUUUCACGGAAAAUAACUUCUCGGAAAAUGUUUUCCGGAUUUUCCGAUGUUCGUUUCACGGAAAACCAACUACUCAAAGAAAAUAUUUUCCAUCAAUGGAAAAAACUACCUUCAAAGAUAAGGAAAAUGUUUUCCACUUUUGAAAAGUGGAAAACAUUUUCUAUAACUUCUUCCACCUUUUAUCUUUUUAUUAACACAUUUUUAUUUUAUUUUUAUGCUUUUCUUUUCUUUUCUUUUCUUUCUUUCCUUUUCAUCUUUCUUCCUUAGCUUGGCCGGUGGCCAGCCCCGACGGCGGCCGGCGACCAGCCGCGACCAGCGACCGGUCGCGGCCACGAGCCAGCUCAAGCUCCGCCCCAGGCCGGCGAGGCUCCGCCUAGCCUAAUCUGGUGAGGCCCGAGCUCGCCCGAGCCCGGCGAGCUCGGGCUCGCCUGGAUCAGGAGCCCAAGCUCCGCCACCAGAUCCGGCGAGCUCGCGGCUCACCAGAGCUCAACGAACCUCUGGCGAGCUCGGGCGAGAUCAGCCGAGCCUCGAGCUCGCCGGAUCUGGCAACCGGAUCUUGGUCGGCUGCCGGGCAGUCAGCCAUUGUCAGGCAUGCGGCGGCGGAGGAAGGAGGAAGGAGGAGGAAGAAGGAGGAGGAAGGAGGAGGAAAAGAAAUGGAAAAAAUAAAAAGAAAAAGAAAGAAAAAAUAAUAAAUAAUAAAAAUUUUGAUUUUUUAAAAUAUAAAUAAUUAAAAUUUUAUUUUUAAAAAUUAUAAAAAAAUAAAACUAAUGAACGGUGGAAAAUAAUAAAAAUUGUAUUUUUUAAAAAUACAAAUAUUUUUUGGUCAAUUAAAAAUAUUAAAAUUCAAAUUUUUGAUAAUUUUUCAUAAACAAUUAAAUUAGUUAACGAACGGUGGAAAAUGUUUUCCACUCAAAAUUUAAGUUUCAGUCGAACACCGGAAAAUAUAGCCAUUUUCCUGGAAAAUGACUUCUGGGAAAAUAUUUUCCGGAGAUGGCCCAUUUUCCGCGAAACGAAUGGACAGAAAAACAAAAAGUUCCAUGGCAUCGACAAUGAUGCGGACCACCUAUAAAUUAUAAAUCCCCAACAAAUAAAGUCAUAACUCUCCCAAAAAUGAAACCCUAACCUUUCCGAAUUUCAUGUGCCAGAAGCCAACCGAUCGACAAAAUGCAAGUCCAAAUCCUUGAAACCAAACUUAUCCAACCCUCUACACCACCCUUUCUCGAUCAAGAACAGGUCCUCCCUCUCUCGCACCUCGACACCGAUCCUAAUCUCAACAUCACGUUCCGUUACCUCCGUGUGUAUGUAAAUGCCGACCAAACGAAGCGCGCCCACGAUACACCGUACCAUGUCAUUGCUAGAGCGUUCUCUGGUGCACUUUGUUACUACUACCCUCUAUGCGGCACGCUUCGUCCUGGCGAUCAUCACCGCCUCAAGCUACAUUGUGUUGCCGGCCAAGGCGUGCCGCUUGUUCACGCCACCGCCAAUUGCACUCUCCAUGCGGUUAAAAACCUUGAUGACGCGGACUCGGGUUUCUUGGAGUAGCUGAUACCCAACCCGGAUCCGGAGGAGAGUUUGGCCAACCCGUGUGUGCUCCAAGUCACAAUGUUCGAAUGCGGGGGGUUCAGCUUAGGUACCGCCAUACACCACGCCAUGUGCGACGGGCUCGGGGCGACCCUAUUCUUUGGGGCAGCGGCGGAGCUAGCUCGUGGGGCGGAGCGAGUUUCCAUCGAGCCGGUGUGGGACCGAGACAUCUUGUUGGGGCCAAGGAGUCCGGCUCGGGUCGAGGCGCUAGUUGGGGAUUACCUAUGCGAGAAGGGUCGGAACCCGUACGAUGAUGAAGAGAAUUGCAAGUUUGGUCGGGAGUUCUUCCACGUGAAAGAGGAGUGGUUGGACCGAUUUAAGGCAUUGAUGCUGGAAAAGUGCGGCCAGAAGUUCACCACGUUCGAAGCUUUAGGUGCAUUCAUUUGGCGCGCAAAGUAAGUCAUUUAAGUACACCAACCAUUUCGAGAUUAUCUUAGGAUUAUCCUUCUGAUUACACUGUUAAUUUAGAGAUUUGCACAUAUGUAAAUAUCCGGCCGCAACGUCUUGACUUCAAUUGAUUCACAAAUUCCUGAAAUAGGGUCAAAGUAUCGGACAUUCCAGGCGAUGAGACGGUGAAAUUCUCAUACUCAUCGAACAUCCGCAAGGUGCUGAAACCGCCAUUGCCGGUCGGCUACCGGGGCAACGGAUGUGUCCCGAUAUACGUCCAACUAAAGGCGAAAGACUUGCUGGAAAAGCCAAUUUGGGAAGUCGCGGAGCUGAUCAGGAAGAGCAAGCGCAACGCAAGCGAUGAGUACGUGCGAUCGUACAUCGACUUUCAAGAAGCACAUCGAAGAGAAGGCGUCUCGGCAGGUCAGAAGGAGAAGGCUUUUGUUUUUUUGUUUUUUAAUUUUUUGAAAGAUUUACGUUGCAUAGCAGGCAUUGACAUUGUCCACGAAAUAGUAUAUAUUUAUCUAUUAUUGCCUUAUGAUUAUGGGGAGACAAGACAAUCAAUUUUCAAUGAAUUGAGUGCAUGUUAAGGAAAUAUACUCUUUUAUUUCAAUUUCUCAGGAAAAAAAUUUAUCGGCUUGUAAUAUCACAUGCUUAGGACAUUUUGUAUAAGGAUGCAAAAGAUACUUUAUGGUCAAAAAGAGCCAAGUGUCUGUAUAUUAUGAUUUACAUGUCUAUUAUCACACUUACAAUUUUUAAUAUCUUGAGGUCUUCACUAGGAGUACAAUAUUGUAAUUUCUCAAAUUUAGACCACAUGCAAUGAGUUGGGAGUCUACAACAUCUAGUAGAAUUAAUCAGAUGUUCGAAGAAUCUCGGAUAUCCAAUUUGAAAUACAAGAUUGAUAGUUGACUAGCGUAUUGCGGCCAUUUAUCGAAUUUAAUCUAACACAAAUUCUCCUUUGGCAUAUUUCAACGCAUUUUCACAGUAGAACUAGCUACAACAUCAUCUGUAAAAUGAGCUCACUCGAUGAUUUUUGUUUUCAGGAAAAAAUGUGAGCGGAUUCACGGAUUGGAGGCAUUUGGGCCACUCGGCGGUGGAUUUUGGGUGGGGAGGCCCGGCCAACGUGCUGCCCCUCUCGAGGAAGCUCUUGGGGAGCAACGAGGCUUGCUUCUUCUUGCCUUGUUCCGAGGUCGGAGUCGGAGAUCCGAGCGAUGGCUUUAGGGUUUUGGUGAAUCUGAAGGACAGGUGGUUGUGUGGUUUUAGGGAGGAGAUGGAGAAGCUUGGGAAGAUGGAGUUUGGCUUUACUUAAUGUCAAGGCAAGAUGCUUGAGUGGCUUUUCAUUGUAAGCUGUGGAAGUUGGUUUUGUAAUUUGGAGCAAGUUCCUAUGGGGGACUUUUCAUUUCCCCCCUCCAAGUUUGAUCUAAUUCUCUUUCUUCUUUUUUUUCGAGAAUUCAUUGUGAUCACUACGCUACUUAUGUGAUAUGAUGGGCGAUCAUAUUUUGAACAUAAGUGAGAAUAUUACAUGUUAAAAUCAACAUUCGUACGUGAAAUUCAAAAUAAAAAUCGAUGGAAGAAUUCUAUAGUCAUGAAUGAAGAGGUUUGCCACUAACGUUUUUCUUAAUCAUAUCACGACCAUAGCAAGUGAAAGCCUAGAAUUCCGAAUGAGUGUAUUUAUCAACGCAUUUCCGGAUCUAUCACUUAUCAAAAACUUGAUUUGGCAAUUUAGCUAGCUAAAUUAAUGAAGUGGGAGUAAAACCUAGCUAAGUAUGUAGGCCGAUUAAGAUGAGAAAAACUAGCGAAGUUGCUAGUCCCAUGAUAAACUCUAACGAUUGGCCUUACCACAUCAUCAGGAGCCUUUGACAUGUCAGUCAUUAUCUCAAUCAACCACCUUACCCCAUUCUUCUUUUGAUGAAAUGCAACUGUUUCUUUGACUAUAUUACACAGACUAAAUUAAUUGUCCCAAAUUAAUCACACAAUUCAAGAAUUUAACAGACCCAUAAUGAAUCUCACAAAAAAAAAACUUAUAUUAUGAUUAGCUUUAUCUAACACGCUAUAACCCCCAAAUAAACUUUGUACAAAAUUUGAUAGUAAGAAAGAGUGUCUAAACAAAAUUUGAUUGAUGAAGGAUAAUUUCCUAGGUCUAGACAGAUAACGCCUUGACCUAAAUUAGCUAAAUAAGGAAAUCAAGAUAAGAAAAGGAAAUCACAGGGAAUACACGCCAAUGCAAAUAACAAAAGUUAAUCCCUCCCACAACGCUCGCAAAAUGUGUUUAAAAAUAUUAUAUAAAAUCAGUCGAUUUGCUACACCAAUUGCUCAAGUUGUUAGGAAUACGAGUCAAUAACAGAUGUCAAGCAUAUUCCUGUUAAUUUCCAUAUGUAACGUAUUUGAUAUGCAUUAGUUGGCUCUCCAUUCUAACAUCUUUAGCUUUUCUAACAUUUCAUCAUCACAUAAGUAUCUAAGCAAAUCUUAAAAAGCUUUAUCUUGUUUCUCAUCUAGAUUUUAGGAUCGUCAAGAUGUAAAAUAACUAGAGUUUAUUCCUUCCUAUUGGGGAAAUGAAAAAUAUAAGGAGAAUCGGGCGAAGAAAACGAAUGGAAGUUAACAUCAUACCGUUUUUUUUUUUAAACAGACAUAUAUGUAACGACCACAACGAGCUGGACCGGAAGGAUGAAAAAAGUCCAGUAGUGAGAAUCCUGAAGGCUUUGCUGAAAUCUAUCACCUUAUCCUCAAAGUGACUAACCAAUAGGAGUUUUCCUCUAAAAAUAAAAUAAAUCGACCGAAAGUCUAUGUGAAGCCUGUGAGAGGAGCUAGCUCUGCGACACGAAGAAGCCAUGGCGUCUCUCCUGGGAACUUCUUCCACAGCAAUCUUGGCCUCACGGCGCCUCUCCUCACUUUCAGGUGCACUUUCCUGCACAUGUUUCAAGCGUUUGGGGGAUAGUCCGAAUGACCCAUCUCAGUUCUGGUCCUCGACUUUCUCGAAUUCGACUCUUUCAAGCGCGGGGUUUAUGAGGUUUUUAAUGGGUCUGUGGAAUUUGCCUUUGUUGUUGAAUUUUCUUGUUUGCAGUGCAGAAUCAUGGCAAGAAAUGCUAUGGAGGGAUUGAAUUUCAGACCAGGAAAGGAAGGUGUCCGUGGCAUCUUGCCGUCACCAAUGUUGCGACUGACAUCAAUUCUGUCGAGCAGGUAUCGAUUCUUUCCUUUGCCUUUUCUUUUAUUAGCUCUAUGCAUUUCUGGGAAGUUGCAGCAAGAGACUGAUGUAGAUUGAUGCUGCUUCAAAUUUUUUUAAUUGCUGAGUUUUUUUAGUGAAAGUAGACUGAAAAUUGGGCUGCUUCCAUUGCAUUUAAUGAUAAAGUGAGGAUUUCUUAGGCUGAGGCAUUACGCUAAUUGAAGUCGAAUGGGAAAAAGAAAAUGCUUUGCAGUUGAUGGUUGUUUGUGGGUGGUCUUGUUGAGUGAAGUGAGAAUUGUUUGGGGGAGAAUUAGCAUGGAUUGCUUGUGUAGGAUUUUGUGAGCUGGAUUGGAUGGAUUUUUUUCAUUUUUCAGGCUCAGAGGCUUGCGUCUAAGGAGAGUCAGAGGCCGGUCUAUCCUUUUGCCGCUAUAGUUGGGCAAGAUGAGAUGAAGCUAUGCCUCUUACUAAAUGUCAUUGAUCCGAAGAUUGGUGGUGUCAUGAUUAUGGGAGAUAGGGGCACCGGGAAAUCCACUACCGUCCGGUCAUUGGUCGAUUUACUCCCUGAGAUUUCGGUGAAACCGCAAGGUUCUAUGGACUUCCAGCAACCGGGUUACGGCAAUUCUGAACGCAAAUUUAUCCACAAGCUUAUGCCACCCAGUUUCUGAAGCCAAAUGCGCUGGAAUACUCACGGAGGCAUAUCGGAGAGAUAAACGGAGCAAUUAAGAAGAAAUCCUUCGCUGUGCCUAACCUACAAAAUCAUGGACGAUGCAUACUGCCAAUCUACAUAGAGCACAAAGAGGUCUUCUGAAAUCAAACGGACCUACUGCGACAGGAGGGUGGGAGACGCAAAAUGCACGCGAAACAGCGAGAGACAAGGCACAACAAAGGCGAGAGUCUGAAGGAACUCCUCAUCGGAAAAGUUCACAUCUCAUCAGGUUUCUCCAUCGGAAAAACUAAGUGCGCUUGUGCAAAGCCCCUCCGCUUGACAGUACCUUCCUUGCGAUCGCGACAGGAAGUGAGCUCGAGCGUGGGAGAGGGAGGUGUUGGAAGAUAUGCUCGAAUCUGAUCUUGGGAGAUAUGCUCAUAAUCUCAGUUGAUCUUAAUUGUACAUAAAUUAGUUAGGAUCUUUAGAUUGAGAUUGGAUUCGAUUUCAUAAAUAUUUGUUUGCCUUUUAUUAUUUCAUCUCUGUACUAUAAUUACAGAAGAAAUGUACAUCAGGAUACAUACGAAAUAUACAAGAAUUACAGAUCUCUAGUCUUCUUCACUUUCUUACAUGGUAUCAGAGCUUUGGCUUCUGAUUGUUCUUCGCUUCCGCUCCUGAUUGCCCACCAAAGGAGAUCUGAAUCACACAACAGAUCUACCAUCUUGGUAUAGGAAUCACUCUCAAAGAAGACAAGAGCUACUGGUUUCUUACCUCCAAUGGCUAACAACCAAUCCAACCCAGAAGCCUCACCACCGGCGUAGAUCCAAAAUUUACCUGCAACAACACAACAACAAACAAUCCAGGCACACCCUGUUCAAUGGAGACCUACACAGGCUCAGUUUGGUCUAGGGCAACCCUUUGCGGGUCAACCGUUCCAGUGGGUACCUUACCCAUUUUAUCUCGGGACAAACCCGAAUACAUCAUCGCCCGUUUAUGUAGGACACCAGGGAGCCCACGUCCAAUCCGAGGCAAGCUCACCAGCCAUAAACGGGGCAAGCUCGACCCUAGGACUAGAGCCGGUAAGCGGAUUUGGAGAACCAGGUAUGGGAACGAAUCCCUACCUGGGGUUUUCAAAUGCGGAUUACCAAUUGGGCCAAGGGACAAAGACCUACCCGAACCUUGUGCUCGGAUUCAUGCCAUUCCCCGUCGCUGCGGUCACCGGGCGUCCGGAGCCUGGUGAUCCCCUACAUGUCUCAACAACCGAUGGCCCUGAGCUGAAACUGAUCAACCUUCAGUUAACCGGACCAGAGAAUUACACCAGGUGGUCCCGAGACUUCCGGCAUGCCCUUGUGACGAAGGACAAGGAUGGAUUCCUCGACGGGGCGGUUCCGAUUCCUGCCGAUGAGCGACUAGCCCAAUUCUGGAGGAAAUGCAAUCAACUCGUGAGGACGUGGAUUAGCAACUGCAUCUCCCCAGAGGUCGCGGCUGGUCUCCCACCAACAGAAGACUCGAAAGCCAUAUGGGAAAACAUCAAACAAAUGUAUGGCAAAUUAGAUCGGGCACGAAUUCUUUCCCUUUUGCAGGAACUCAGUGAGUUAAAACAGGGGAACAUGACCAUCACGGCCUGUUACAACAAACUGUCAUCCCUGUGGAACGAUCUCAAAGCAGUAGAAGAGAAGCUCGAGGGACCAGAGGAGACACUCGCACAAUACCAGUCGAUCAAAGAAAGGGAAAAGGCGACCCGAUUCCUUUUAAUCUUGAACGAUUCUUACCUGACGUUUCGCUCGCAGAUUUUGGCCAUGGAACCGAUGCCCCCUCUUGGCCGGAUCUUUCAAUUAGCAGUCCAAGAAGAAAGCCAGAGGCUUGCUUCAUCAGAAUCGGCGAAAGGAGGAGAGAGUUUUGCCCUGGCCAGUCAUGGUGAGCGAAGAAAUUGGGGAUCGAAAACCCUAGUGCUCGAAAUAGGGGUGCUAGGAGGAGAGCUAGGGUUUCAGUCGCCCGGAUCUGAGGAUUCCCACCUCCUUAAAAGAGGAGGACUGGACGGCUCGAAUUCAGCUUGCAGAUCGGAUGGUCUAAAGGGACCCAUCUAUUCGACCGGAUCUAAUGGUGGAGAUGGAGCGACUAGGAAGACAUCCGACGGUGGUGGUUUUUUUUCUGCAUCUAACGGCAGAGGAAUUUUUUCGGCAUCUACAAAAAGUUUUAAUCAAAAAAUGGGUAAAUUAUAUUGUGAAUUUUGUAGAAGGCCACAUCAUACAGUGGAAAAUUGCUGGAAAUUACACGGUAAACCCGGAGAAAAAGGAAAAAAAGAAGGAAAUUUCUACGGCCUACCGGGUUGGUGGUUCUAAUGUUGAUCAGUCCAUAACAAAUGAUCAAUACCAACAACUGAUGCAGGCAAUACAGAAAUUGGACAUCUCAAGCAAGGGAGGAAAUUUUUCAGGUGUUUCUCGCUGCCUGAUUAAUAAUAUUUCCAAGAAAUCCUAGAUAAUUGAUUAUGGGGCAAGUGAUCACAUUGUCUGUGAAAGAGCAUUAUUUUCAGAUAUACAUGAGAACUUGGAAUUUCCUAUUACUAUCCAAUUACCAAAUGGCAAUGUUACUCAUGUCAAAAUCACUAGAUCAGUCAAACUCAGCCCAGAAAUCAUACUCCAAAAUGUCCUUUACCUUCCAAAAUUUCGAUUCAAUCUUAUUUCUGUGUCCAAAGUCUGUAGAGAAAAUUCUUGUCAUGUAUUGUUUGAUUCUAACACUUGCUUCUUUCAGGCCCUUUCGACUGGCAUAGUGAUGGGCUUGGGUAGUCUUUCUGAAGGAUUGUUUCUAUGGAAAAAUUCUCCAAGUAAUUUUGAUUUAUCCUCAUUUCCUUCAAAUAAAAUAUUAUUGUGUAACACGACUACCAAUGAUAAAUACUAUCUUUUACAUUCACGAUUGGGUCAUAGUGUUUCAUUUCCUUAUUCUAAGUGUCAAAUAUGUCCCCUUGCAAAGCAAUCACUCAUUCCUUUUGCCCUUAGUAAAAAUCGUGCAACGCACAUUUUCUCUUUAAUUCACAUGGAUGUUUGGGGUCCUUACCAUACCCAACAUUAUGAUGGAUCGCGCUAUUUCUUGACAAUUGUGGACGAUUAUUCUCGUGCCACUUGAGUUUUUCUGAUGCAAUCAAAGGGACAAGUCUUCUCACAUUUGAAAACAUUUAUUGCUCUAUCCAAGAACCAAUUUGGAAGAUCUAUCCAACGAGUUAGGACAGACAAUGGGAAGGAGUUCUUCAACAAUGACUGCAAUUUUCUUCUGCCAUCUCAUGGGAUUCUCCAUGAAAGUUCUUGCAUCUAUACUCCACAACAGAAUGGAGUAGUGGAGCGUAAGCAUCGUCACCUAUUGGAAGUUGCACGUGCAUUAAAAUUUCAGGCGUCUAUUCCAGAAAAUUAUUGGGGCGAAUGUAUAAUUACUACAUCAUAUAUGCCAACUCAGAUACUCAAUGGAAAAACCCCAUUUGAGUUACUCUUCAAGAAGAAACCGGAAUUGGGGCAUUUAAGGAUAUUCGGAUGUCAGUGCUUCACUACUGUUUUGGGCCCUCGAGACAAAAUGGGCCCUCGAACUCGAUGGUGCAUCUUCAUGGGUUAUCCGAAUUUACAAAAGGGGUAUCGAGUCCUAGAUCAAUCAACAUUGGAAUUCUUCAUCAGCAGAGAUGUUAUUUUUCGCGAAGAUAUUUUUCCUUUCAAAGAAAAGGACUCUUCAACGGAGAUGCCAAACAAUUCUGGUAAGCCACUAUCUAUGGAGGAUUUUUCAAAUACCGAAUAUUUUGUGACAGGAACUCCAGAACCACUUAUGAUAACCCCAGUCACUCUUGAGAUUUCCGCACCAACAAUUGUCGAAAAUGGUGCUCAAGAAAAUUCCUCAAUGGCGGAAGAAUCCUCUAAUGAAAUUGGCAAUACAGAAUUAUCUUCAACUCUAGCUCAAGCGAAUCCUCCUCGACGAUCUGGUCGUUCUACAUGACCGCCAGCUUGGAUAGAAGACUAUGUUUGUGCAUCACCCAACUCACCAGUUAUUAACUACCCAAUAUCAUCUUAUGUUUCGUUCCAUAGACUUUCACCAGAACAUAGAUGUUGUGUGAGUCAAAUAUCAAAGGACAUCGAACCAUCUACUUAUGAAGAAGCAGCUAAAGACCCAAGAUGGCAGGAACCUAUGGGAGCUGAAUUGCAGGCACUAACUGCAAACAAGACCUGGGAUUUAGUCCAUCUACCACCAAAUAGGAAACCCAUUGGAUGCAUAUGGGUAUACAGGAUUAAAUACCGUGCUGAUGGGUUUAUUGAGCGUUACAAAGCUCGAUUGGUGGCCAAAGGAUUUAUUCAACGGGAAGGCUUUUUGACUACCAUGAAACCUUUUCCCCCGUUGCCAAAGACGUAACAGUAAGAUCCUUCUUAUCUAUUGCAGCUAUCAAUGAUUAGCCUUUACACCAAAUGGAUGUACAUAACGCUUUUCUGCAUGGAGACUUAGAUGAGGAAAUCUACAUGGAUAUUCCUCAAAGAUUACGGAGACAGGGGGAGAAUAGAGUAUGUCGUCUCCGUAAAUCUCUCUAUGGUCUCAAGCAAGCUUCCAGGCAAUGGUAUGCAAAAUUUGCCGAUGCUCUCACUUCUGCAGGUUUCAAACAGUCUGGAUAUGAUUACGCCUUGUUCACAUGGACUCAAGGUACGUCAUCUAUUUAUCUGAAGGUAUAUGUUGACAAUAUCCUCAUCAUGGGAAAUAAUAAAACUGCAAUAGAGAGAUUCAAGAAGUAUCUGCAUUUUACUUUUCAAAUUAAAGACUUGGGAGCACCCAAAUACUUUCUUGGAAUCGAGAUUGCUCGAUCUGAUCGUGAGAUUUCUCUUAGUCAACGGAAGUUUAUGCUGGAAAUUAUAUCAGAGGCAGGACUAUCGGGAUGCAAACCAUCGGUUAUUCCAAUUGAGCAGAAUAUAAAGUUGACCACCAAGGAUUAUGAUGCUGGGACAUCUGAGAAUCAUGAUCAUGUUCUCAAUGAUCCUUCAGGUUAUAAGCUUGUUGGGAAGCUCAUAUAUUUAACUAUGACCAAAUCUGAUAUAUCAUACACAGUGCAGACUCUCAGCCAAUUCAUUCACAGUCCCAAGUUAUGUCACUUGAAUGCUGCAUUAAAGGUCGUGAAGUACUUGAAGAAGUGCCCGGGACUAGGGAUUCUUUUAUCCAUGGAAUGCAAUAUGAAAAUGUCGGCAUACUAUGAUGCAGAUUAUGCGACUUGUCCUAUGAGUCGACGAUCCAUUACAGGUUUUUGCAUUAAACUUGGAGAUUCUCUUCUUUCAUGAAAAACCAAGAAGCAGGCAACUGUAUCAUUGUCUUCAGCCGAAGCAGAAUAUCGGGCUAUGGCAAAAACUACCUGUGAGAUCAUAGGGAUAUGGGGACUACUUGGGGAUCUUGGGAUAAAUUUGAAGAGUCCGACUAGGUUGUUCUAUGACAACAAUGUGGCGCUCAAACUUGCAGCAAAUCCCAUAGUACAUGAAAGAACGAAGCAUAUAGAAGUGGAUUGUCACUUCACUCGAGAAAAGAUUCAAGAAGGGAUAAUUGAGACUCGAGGAAUUGGAAUGGCGGAGCAACUAGCCGAUAUCUUCACUAAGCCCCUAUGUCAAAGACAGCAUGCAUAUCUAUUGAGCAAGCUAGGCAUCUUGGAUAUCUAUCAGCCACCAGCUUGAGGGGGAGUGUUGGAAGAUAUGCUUGAAUAUGAUCUUGGGAGAUAUGCUCGGAAUCUCAAUUGAUCUUAAUUGUACAUAAAUUAGUUAGGAUCUUUAGAUUGAGAUUGGAUUUGAUUUCAUAAAUAUUUGUUUGCCUUUUAUUAUUUAAUCUCUGUACUAUAAUUACAGAAGAAAUGUACAUCAGAAUACAUACAAAAUAUACAAGAAUUCCAGAUCUCUAUAGUCUUCUUCACUUUCUUACAGGAGGGACAGAGAUCGGCUGGAUUAGAAUGGAGAUGAGAGAGAAGCACUCUGGUUUUUUUUGCAGGUUUUUGAAUGGCGACUCUUUAUAGAGAGAGAGAGAGAGAGAGAGAGAGUAGCUCUGAAAGAGGCAGGACCAGAAAGUGGCGGAAAACCGACGGAGGUUCGUCUGAGCGACUCGUCAUGCGCUCGCCGGGAGUUCUCCCGAGGGGACAAUAAAAUCCCGAUUCUGCCCCUCUAGGGGAACCAAUUCACGUAUUGCUCCGGUAUUGCCUUUAUUUUGUCUACUUUGGACCCAAAUCAUCGGAUCUAAAUAGAUUUUAAUCGUCGAUCGCAUGGAUUCAGACACUUGGGAACCAUGAUACCAACGGCAUUGAUGGAUUUAGCGCAUGUAGAGUUGAGUUUAGACAAGCAUUUACCCUCACAUUAAUAAAAUGUGUACAGGACUCAAGGAGCUAUUCGUCGGUUUGCUACCAAAGCCCAUCUCAUGUGCUUUACACCAAGAAGAGGGCACUUUUGCUCAAGAAAAAUUUCAAGCUGGCAUUAGUAAGAACUAAAGAAAUUGACAGGAGAAUUAAUAUCUUAUUGUCAUAUAAAGGAGUACUUUAAAGUUGUGUCGUAUUGAACUUUGUCCCACCUAUUACACUAUUGAAAUGUUAUGUUUAAUAUACCAAUAAAGUAUCAAUCGCUAGUUGAGCAAGUUUAUCACCACAACCCCAUUAAAUAUGAGUAGGGAAUUCUAAGAUUAAUGAUAGACCAAAGCCCAAGUUCGUCUUUCACAGAUUAACCAAAAAAAGAAAAGCAAACUAUUUAUGUUACUUUAGGGGUCUACCGUACACUUUGCUUCACAGAAUUGAAUGGAUUGUCUGAGCCCCUUGACCAUUUUGUUGGAUGUUCUAAGUUUUGCUUUACUAUUUACACUCCCUAUGUAUAUAAGUUUACAAAAAAAAAAAAAAAAAAAUUCUCCGUUACUCUAUCGGAUUAAUAAAGAUAGGAAAACAUUUAUGAUUAUUCUAGCAAAAAAAUGACCUUUGAUAGAAAUAACCUUUUUAUUUUAAGUGAAAUGCGUACUAUAUAUUAGUAAUUAGCAUUUGGCGUGUUUAAAAAAGAUGAAACUUCAAAAAUUAAAUUUGAGAUACACCGCUAACUAAUUUUGUUUCAAAAAGGCUUUUAAGUAAUUUUUCCUCAAUCCAAAAUAGUAAAACUUUUCGUUAUCUAACUUUACUAAUUUAUUAGGCAAUCAUCUUUCCUACGUGUAAUGAAAGUACACAUUAAUUAAAGUUUUAAAUCAAGUAUGUUGAACAUUUCGCCCCUCGAAUUAGAUUCUGGCCAUUUAGUUCUCGGAAAAAUGAACUCUGUCGUUUAGACAAUCACGCCUUUGCAAAGCUGGUGUUUCCAAUGCGUAAAGAGAGUUACAAGCAACUGAGUUGAUGGCGAUGGAAAGAGGUUACAAACCGAGUUUUGACAAGAGCUUGGCCGACGCGUGUGGUAUUACACGGUGAGCCUGAGUCCCUCUUCGACAGUCCGGCCAUUUUUUGUUCGUUUUGAGAUGGCCGACGUACCUCAACUUCGGCAUCCUGGUCACGAUGGCCCUCAACUUCGGCAUCCCGGUCAUCCUUAUAUUCUCGGCCUUAUAGAGCUGAGUGGAACAUUUCGACCGUGUCCUACGCUGUCAGGCACGCCGACCUCCGAUCCACAGUUCCACGUUCGUGUAUUGCUGCGGAGGAUGCGAAGUUUUGCACCACAAGUUAUACGCUAAGGAUCUACUAUGGCCCCAGAUACAACACCCUUGGCAGGUUGGCCUUCCGCUGCGAUUCGUGCAAUGUCCAGUUAUAUUUCUGCCUCGCGAUUAAGCCGGACAAGGGACAUUCCAACUCAAGGCAAGAAGUUUCGAGUCAUGAAUGCACAUUGACCUAACGCUAUGGCGAGUUUAGCUGCAGCCUGUGCAGGGAUAUGAUAUCGGAAGCAGAUUGUUAUGUCUCUUUUGGACCGUGCUGUCUUUUAGCAGAAGAGACCAAGCUGCUCGGAUUCUCCUCAGUUGAUCGUCAUUGCCGCCAUAUCUGCGAGCUGCUCGGACUCUGUCAAGUGCUUCCAUUACUAUUGCCGGACAUGGCACCUACUAUCUAGAGCAAGAUUUUCUACUCAAAACUCUCGCAUAUCAUCAGCUAGGAGUGAAUGUGACAAUAAUGAGGAUGAUGCAUGUGGUACACCCAACAAAGAAUUGAGUUGAUACAUUGUGAUAAGAUUCAAAGGUUGCCGACACUCCCAACAAGUUUAACCUAUCUAUUAGUGUCAUCUUCAUCGUUGUGGGUAGUCCUAGAUCUCUCGAACUUGACUAAUUUGGUUGAGCUGAAACUACAGCAACACGGACAAGUAGGAGAUAAACUUUGUAUCGGUCAAUUAUGGUGGAUUGAGAGGUUAUCCAAACUGACUGUUUUAAGGGUCAAACUUCACAAAGUCCCUAUUCCUAUUGAGUUGGGUUCCCUUCCUCUGCUAACGUUACUUGACUUGUCUAAAUUGGACAUGCAAACCUUUCAGCCACUUCCCUUGUCUCUGCAGAGGCUAAGCCUUGAGAAUUUCAAUUCAAUUGGGUCACUCUCUCGGGACUUGAGAAAUUUGUCAUUUUUAAAGCUCCAUGGGUCUCCAAUGCAAGAAGUUCAACUCGAUGGGCUUCAACUUCCACAACUAAAGGUGUUGCAUGUGGAGUACUGGACACCCUUAAGAGGUUGAGGCUAUCAAGAAUGAGGAAGCUGAAAGAUAUUAAGGCGGUAAAUUGUCAAGCUGGUUGAGAUCCAAUUGUCUUGGGUGUUCGAAUCACUGGAGGCACUGUCUAUUGAACGUUGCAAGUCCUUGGAAAGGCUAGUUUAUGAGACUCUCGAUGAGUUGAUUACUUGUGAAGGGAGACUAAUUUUUCCAUCAAGAGUCUUAAGUAAGUUGCAUGCUCUCACACUGUAUCAUUGCCCUAAGAUACUCCACAUUCAAGAUGUGGAUACGUCGGAAUUGUGGGAGUACUUUCGCCUUUGGAGUUGGCCUCAUCUGCAAAAUCUCGUUGGUUUGUCAAACUUUUAAGAACCUGAAGACUUUAAAUAUCCAGAACUGCGAAAGCCUACGACUUGUUGUGGGCGUCAACGAGUUUUUGGGCCAAUUAAUUCUUUGUAGCUGCGCGUCGUUGGAAAGGGUGAUUUAUGUAUCAACCACCAAACUGCCAAUCGAUCGCCACUUAUUUAUCUUCGGUUGCGAGAAAUUACGAGGGACUGAGAAUGAGUCAAGGGCUUCCAGAAGGAAUAUGGGGCUUCAAAGCAUUAUAAAGUGAGUCCGAAUCAUUCUCUCUUUUUUUUCUUUUCGAUUUUCUUAAUGGAACUAUCACAAACAUCACUUUAGCUUUUAGGUAGAUUUGUAAUAAUUGCGGGAAAUCAAAAAACAAUCCAACGAGCAUGAAUUAUAUUUGCUUUUACUCAUUUUAAAACUCACUCCAUAUAAAUUGUUUUAUUUUCCGCUUGCGUUUUCUCAUAUUCUUUUCUUUUUAUGUAUACGAGAAAGUCCUAUUUGUACGGGGCUAGUUUUUAUCGUAAAUGAUUCUAGAAACUUCAAUGUCUGGAAAAAAAAUGCACACUAGCUCAGAGUCUCUGACAAAACUAUUAAUCUUGUUUUGCAUGGAGUGAGUUGUUCGGCUUAGCAAUAUUUUUAUGUAAGAUACUCUACUCUAUUGUCAUUUCUUACUUAAUAUAUUUAUUAUGGAGAUGAGUUUGGUGAUUUUCGAUUUUUACGGUGAAGAUGGAACUUUAAAAGACUUUGGUUCACAUUGAUGGAUUGAGAGUUGCUUGAAUUAGCAUGUGGUUGGGGUUGGCCAAUUAGGAUGUGUGUUCCCAAAAGCAUCUAAAAAUAUAUUAUUUAAGAUUUUGCAUUCUAAAGGGAACAAUGAAAAAUCUGAUUGCUGGAUAAUGUAUUUUCACAUCAAAGCACAAGGAUUGUUUCUUUCUGCGUACUUGAACACUUGCUAAGGGAGUAUAGGCAUAGUGUAAAAUAAGCAAAAAGUAAGAAGAUUCCUAAUUCUCGUCUUCUUAAUCUUUUCGGAAUGAUUGAAUCAAGUUUUUAGAUGAUUUUGAUCUGCUUCCUAAAAAAAAGUUUAAUGUUGGUUUAUAGCUAAACCCAUCAUUUGAUACAAAAGAUUUAAGUAACGUCUUUUUAAUAUUUUUAUUAGUGUUUUAUUUUUCAUAUUCAACGGCAUAUCUUUUUUAUUGGUUGUUUCCUUUUUUUCUAUUUUGCUCCAUCGACUAAAAAAGCAGAAAGCACAUAUUUUUUUCAAUCUCAACGAUUGCAAUUAAAACUUAUAUAAACAGAUAGAAACUGUUUUAAAUUCCUCAAAAGAUACUGAUGAAAGUCAUAAAUAGAUUAAACACGGUGGUUGAUUUGAUCGCAUGAUUUUGAUCAUUGUCGAAACUUUCAUGGAAGACUGGUUAUGAUUUUAUUUUGCAGGAAUCGUGCUUUGAUUGGAUCUGGACAUGUUUUGAAGGCUUGUGAUCACGUGAUAAUUGUUAGCACGCAGGGACGGACAAAGUCAACAUUUUAGGUGAUAAACUCUCUCGAGUCUUGACACUCCUUGCACCUGCUUACGCCGCAAAUUCUCGAACUCCUCUUCACGGUUGUGGCCAAAGAUAUUUGGUCGACUCCUUGCGGCUGCUGAGUCCCAUUGUCGUCACGACCGAGCGGAACUGAAGAAGCCAGGUCUCUUUGACGCCUCUUGAUGGACCACGGCCAUUGCGCCUCACCAUCUGCCGCCAUGUAUACUCGGAGCCUCUCCAAGGCGUUCUCUCUAGUUUUCGCCAUCGCCAUUUCCAUUUCUCUAGCUUGCUUCGGUUCUCUUUGCUCUUCUUCCUGCGGGUCUCCUCCUGUCUGUGGAGCAAUGCAGGAGGACACGUCUUUACUCUGUGUGACGGCCCGAGGCAGAGGAUUAUAUGUACUCGACUGGCUUUUUCCGGUCCUGCGCCCUAUUACUAAUGUUAGACUCGAAUCCACUACCCGUUAUGUUCGUCCUUCUUCAUGUAAAUUAACUAAAUUAAAAACAAAAACAAAAACAAAAACAAAACAAAACAAAACAAAACACAGAAGAAAACAACAGAAGAAGGCAUAACGGUCGGCCCCCGCUGCUGCCCCACCAUCAUCGAAAAGGGCCAAUGAUGGUGGGGGAUGGCAAGCCCUGAAGCCAGUGGCUGGCGAGGAUCCCCGAACCUCCACAGUGGCCAAUGACCAUCGCCAGCCGGCCAUCCCCCACCACCACCGGCCCCCUCCGGCGGGAGCAAGGGCCCUCGCGAUUUUGCCUUCUUCCUUUUUUUUAUCAUUUAAAUUUAGCUUAUUUUUUAGUUUGAUUUAAAUAAAAUUUGUAAUAAAAAUCAGAUAUAGAUAUAUUCCAUAUUUUUGCCAUAUCAUUGCCACAAGAAGAAAUAAAAUAUUAAAAAAACCCAAGUCAGUGUUUUCGAUUACCUAAGUUAGACAAAAUUAGUGGAAAAACUUGAUUGCAUAAAUUUGACAAGUUUUAAACUUUAAUGGCAUUUUCUGUAAGUUUUAAGAUUUAAUUACACUUUCAUUAUAAGUUUUAGGAUUUCUAGAUUACUUAUCCCUAAUUUGUAUUUUACCACAUUAUGAACUUAAGCUAUCACAACCAACUACUGCAAACUCCGUCUAAGUUUUGAUAUUGGAUCACAUGAUCUUGAAUUCGAUCAUUCACUCUUUUCACCUUCAAUAAUUUUGGAAAGGUAUUAUGUCUGCAUAUUUCAUACUUUCACUCUUCUAUCUACCAGCGUUAGCAUAAAGAGGUAUUCAGAUAUAAAACUUAGUGGACUCUUUAUUAGCUCAAACCUUUGGAACUACUUAUCGCGCACGCCGACUAUAAGGAAAGCAAUGUCAUUCAUGCUCUUCUUUAGUACAUUUCCAGGAGCACGUCUAAUCGUACCCUAUAUCCUGGAGAACUUUUGACAGCAAUUUUGGACCUUUUGGUUUCUAUCGGUCUUUGCAUAGAGGUGGUCAAUAUGAUAAAUGAAGAUAAAGAAGAUAAGAUUUGCGACCGUAAGACUGAUAAUCGCAUAGGUCGGGCAUCAUGUGACAGUUCAAAUGUCGCACGAUCUAAAGUUUUAUGUUAGCACUGCCCUGGCUUUCCCGCUGCUAAGAAAACCCACUAAGUUGAGACGCCGAGGUGUCUUCUAUAAUGACCUCCAGUAGGAAACCGAGUACUCUCAAGUCAAAGGAAAUAACAAGCCGAGAUUGAACAAUUAUGAAUUGUUAAGUUUGAGAAGUGGGUCCCAUAUUUGAAACAUUGAAAACUUGACGGCAUCUCAUGAACAACGAGGGAAGAAAAAUAGUCUUGAUUCAGCGAGGCACCAAGAAAUGUCCUCGGGAUUUCAUCCCGAACCGACAGGACACAAAAAUAGACAGUCCCUGAAUAGAUGCAGGAAGCCAGUAUGCUUCCACAAUCCAGAAGUCUGAGAAAUAAGCAUGCGUACGCUUUCCUGAUUCAUCAUUGCACCCAUGUUCAGAAGAAUGUCUGAGCAAGUAGGCAUUUCCCAUGUUUGUAUAGGCACAUGCAUCCAUGAUCUCCUGUGAUUCUAUUUGGGCGUGACUUGUGCACACUCGUGUCUAAGAGAGAGGGAGAGAUAUCUCGUUUGAUGCAACUUCAAGUGUGAAUCUCCUUGGACAUGAGCUGUGAUGCAAAUUUAUGUACCCUACGGAUGUUUUAUCUGGUGAAGGAAUUGCAAAGAAAUGCCAGGGGUAAAAGAUAUAUAUAUAUAUAUCAUGGACAACCCGAAGGACAUCCUGUGAAAUCAUUGAUAACCAGAAGCAUAUCUGCUCUUCGUAGAUGGGAUGAUUAAGCAUUAACAGAUUGUUGUUGGUCACAAGUGCUCGAACAAGCAAUUCUUUAGCUUCUUCCUGCUUCUUUAGCAUGUUGCAGAUCUGCAAGACAAUUCCCCUAGGCAGCCAAUGUAUUACUAGCAGAAGGAUCACAAAGAUGGUAGAGUAGACAAGAUUCAAUGCCAGUCUCUGUUCCAAUCGCUUUCUGAAAACUCAAUUGCUAAUGUUAGACCUUUAAUUAUAAAAAAUAGCUAUAAGGUACGAUAGAUUCAUCCUCAAGGAUAAUUAGGUUGGACUGUAGAAGAAAUCAGAAUUUCUGUAUUAGGGAGAUUCUCUUCAUCAAUUGAUUUCUAGUUGUACAAGUUCAAUAAAUAAAGAUGCUUAAUGUCAAUGAAUCCAUAACAAAAUUAUCAGAAGUGAGCAAACAUCCAGUAGUGUCUCUCUAUUAGAAUCUCCAUGGUUUCUGACUAUAGUCUACAACAUGCAUAUAACUGAUCACCAAAGCCAAAAAGUGCAUAAGCAACUCAUUUAUAGCAAAAAUAGUCGCAAUUCACUUACAUCUUCAAGUUCCUUUGUAUAAGCUUCAGCCUUUUUGACAUUUUCAUCAGUUUCCAUGACCAAUGGACUUCCAACUUCAGUGGAACUCGCCUUAGGAGAAAUCUUAACAUGAAAUUUAGGAUGGUCACCAGACACUCUGUUGGUUUUGCUUUGUUCGGUGUCCUCAUGAUUGCAAACCUGAUACGUAUGAUCUAAGAAACCAGCAAGAAACGAGUUUCGACUCUCUGUUGAAAUAGAAAAACUUAAGAAGGUUCUGUCCAUUUACCGGUUCGGUGACAACAGCUUCGGAGGAUUCGCUGAAACUUCUGAAGUGUCAAGGGUAAGAACAUUACUUCCACAAACAAAACCCAGUCACAGGAGCGAAGGCAGUGGAAUUAUUAGCACUCUUCACCUUUUUCCACCUGGAGACUCAGAGGGCGAUUCCAGUGGACUAGAUGACAUCCCCUGCAAAAUAGACACUCACCAAUUCUAAUGCAUUACAAAAUAGCAUCCCCAUAAUUGUAUUUGCAACACCCUAUUGAAGAGGUCUAAGGUAUUACUUGGAAGUGAAGAGCAAACAAUAGAAAGGAACCUCAGAUGAUUUCCCUUAUGAAUUGAGAAGUGGCUGGUUUUAUUGGUUUACCUGUUCUGUGACAACAGUUUCUGAGGAUUCUCUGAAACUUCUAAAGUGUCAAGAGUAAGAACGUUACUUUCCACAAACAACCCAGUCACAGGAGCAAGUAUAAUGGCGCUAUUAACACUCUUCACCUUUUCUCACUUGGAGACUGAAAGAGCCGUUUCGAUGGACUAAAUGGCAUUAAAUUGGCAUCUGAUCCCUGCAAUAUACACUCAUGGCUUCUAAUGCAUUACAAAGUAGCAUCCCCAUAAGUAUAUUAGAGCAAACAACAGAAAGGAACCUCAUAUGAUUUCCGUUUCAAGGAUGAAUUGGGAAGUGACUGGUUUUCGGUGCUUUUGCUACAAUGAGCUAAUGAAUGUGCUGCAUCACCUCGCAUUGCUGUAAUUUGCUCAGAGUCUCUCAUGGAACUGAUUUCCUCUGUAGGACUAAAACCAAGUUGAUCUUCUUUGGUUCUCGUGGCCCUGCGCACAUUGACAUCAUGAUCUCUUGAGAGUAUCUAUGGUUUCAAAUACCAGGACAUCAAGUCAGGAUGCAGGUUAGACCUCUUCGUUCUCAAGCUAGAAAGAUAAAAAGCCCUCUUGGCAGAAUUAAGAGGGUUACUGUUCUUCACAUCAACAUUUCUGACCCUUGAAUCCUUAAAAGAUUCCUUGCUUGAAUCACUGAUUUCAGGAUUCACACAUAUCUUAACAAUAGGUGUCAACAACUCAUUUAUACUGCCCAUCUUGCAGAGGGAACUGCAAAAGUUUAGCGCAAGCAGAUUAAGCAUAUGCAAAUUAAUGCUGUGUCAAAGGUCUAGUCCACUAUAUGCAAUCUACUUGCUAGCGUUGGCAAUGUCUAAGACGGGACAUGACAUAACAUGAACAGAAUCAAACAUAAAAUUGAUAUGACAUGACAUUGGCGUAUCCUUUCUGUCAUGCGGGGUUAUUUCAGUCUUGAAAGUAUAUAUCAUUUAAAGGAAUAUCACUCUCCCAUGCCAUGUGACCCAAAGGUUCAAACUGAACAUGAACAUAUCAUGCUACGGCAGAUUUUGAACCCCACUUCCAGGCUUGUAGUCUUCUAGCAGAUAAUUUAGUCAUGUUUUACCAGAGACAAAGAUGCCAAUAUCUACUUCAAAGAAUAGUACGAAAAAUUUAAUGAGCUUUCCUGGCCAAUAAUAAAGGGAGACUUAGACUUGAGAGACAAUUGCAAGUAAAGGUUUAUAAUUUCGGCUGAAAGGGCUUUAAUUUCAUCAACAGCAAGCAAAUAAUCAAGAACAUAUCUACAUGUGUUGAUCAAACUAGAAAUAUACAGCAAUUAGGAAAGUGUCCAAUGUCUCAACGCAAACUAUGAUAUACAAUUAAAAUAAAUAAAAAAUCUCAUUUUACCCUAGUUGAAAGUCCGACGGAACAGAAGAGUAAUAACCAGGGCAUCUUUAUAUCGGGAACAAAUAAACUUUCCCUUUUUUUAUUUUGAGUUAGUGUGUGGGUGGGGGAGUGGCAGCAGGGAGGAGAUAACUUAAACAUUACUUGUUAGAUACUGUUAAAUGAAGUACAUGGGAAAAAUAAAAUGCUAGAAUUUGAACAAAAUUUCAAACAGCUCAACAAUUACAACUCGAUUGGGUACGGAUGCCUCACCUCAGAUGAGAAGUGGGUCUCACACUGAUAUGGCUUCCAGUCAGAGGAGGUUGACUUUUUGUUUGCUCCCUUGCUGGUGAAUUUAGACCAAAAAGCAACUUUCCCCCAACUUGAGAAUCCUUGGCAUUGUUUCCCAACCUGUUGCACAUUGCAUGAACCAUGUGAAGGUAUAAAGCAUAUCAAAGAAACUAAAAUCAAAAAGAAAAUCUUCACCUAGUGUCAUUUAGAUGUACAGAAGCAAGUCUUUUGCUGCUAAAUUGAGUAAGCUUUCUCCCAGUUGAUGGUUCUCGAGAAGACUGACUCUUAAUUUCCUCUGAUCUCUUGGAAAACUUUGAAUGGGCUUGUCCAGGCUCUCUACCAGUAAAGAAAGAGGACGAUAUUUAAGUGCAGGUUCUCCGCUUGGGACAUUUACAUGUUACUAAAAGUGAGCUAAGAAGUGCAAAAACAUUAUGCUGUUGACCCAACAAUCUUUAUACUGAACUCUGGAAGUCACCAUAAAAUGCAUCAACAUGAUAGCAAAAACUCAAUGAAUGAGUGCAUCAGACUGAAAUCACAACAACUUGCAUUCCCCUCCUUAAAAAUUAAGCUACGAUGCAUAAGCUUUCUAAAUUUUCACAAAAUCAACCAUCAAGAGUCCAUGUUUCUUAAAAGGAGCCAUUAAUGGCGCAUUGCUCUAAUUUGGCAUGGCAGAAACUUGCCAAUAUCAUCCUAAUAUAGAUUCCCCCUCAUUCCUCUAAUCACUUAAAGGUAAGGGAUAAAUGGGACAACCUGAAAACAGCCAUUUCACUGUCAUGCACUACUUUGCUUGGGAUAAUACAGGCUGUAUCAUUAAGACUUGUCUCAGGCUUGGCCUCUUCAUCGUGAGCCUUAGUAGCAUUCAAUGAAUCAAGAAUAGGUUUAUUGCUUCCAUUUGCCUUGCCUUCUGCUCCUGGCACAUGUGGCACACUUGAACCUUCUGACUGCAUGUUGCCAUGAGAAUAUGUAGCUUCCCCUAUAAUUUCUUUCCUGUUACUCUGCUCUUCACCCAAAGUGGAAUUUAAACUUUUGAAGAUAGACAAAUCUUUUCUUGGAUGCUCUGGGAUGGUACUUAAAUUUUUGUCAACCCCGGGCUGAAUAUGUACCUCUAUUGGGGCUGUUUUGUCUGACAAAUAAUCUUGUUGGUCAGAUCCUUGAGAACACGUGCUGUUUGUCUUUCGAAAGAAGAUUGUUGUGGAAUUGAAAUUCUACAUGCUGCGGACUUUGGCACCCAAUCAUCCAUUCUUGGGUUUGGCAUAGAAGUUGAAGUUACAGAAGUUCCUACUUGAAUCUCUGAUGUACCCACACAGCACGUUGAUUGAAUAUUAUCAAUCAUAGUGUUAUCCUCACAGGAAUUGCCUCAGGAAGGCGUGUUUCCGAGCCCUGUUGCUCAUUCAUCUCCGAUGAUCUCCCUUUGCUUCCUAUAACCUUCUUCCCACCUUGUUCUUCCUUAGUCAUGGGUGAAUCAAGAUUAAAGCCAUCCAACCUGGAUAGCACAAAUGGCUGCUAAGUUCAUAGAUUGCAAUCACAAGUCAUGACAUUUCCCUUCACUUGAAAAUAUAACCUUAUGUAUCAAACAAUAUGCCAUAAUGUAUAAAUUGUGAAGCUGUCUUACCCAUUAAAAUCAAAGGAGAAAGAAAAUCUUUUCUUAAAAUUUCCUUCAUCAGGUGAUUCUGCUUCAUUUCUGUCCUUGUUUGGAGAUUUCUUAGAUAGGCAGGAGAAAUCAAGAUCCGGCAUGUCCACUUUGAAUGAUGAAAACUUGUUAAAGUCAGCAUCCACGUUAAAAUCGACAUCCCUGAAAAAGGUUAUUUAACAAUCAAUCCACAGAAAACAGAGAUAUAUCCCACUCUCAUAACAAAUAAGAUUGUAACUAGCUUCCAUGCAUGUUCACCAUCAUCCAUCAUUUUAAUAAUUUUUGAAGUGGCUGAAUGAUAUGUAAAGCAUGGCUCACUCGAUCACCACGGGCAGUAUUCUCCACAAAGAGGUAAUUGUACACGGGUGAAUAUACGUAACCAACUCAAGUAUGAAGAUAGAAUAUUAAAGUUACAUUCCACAUCCAUACUGGUUUAUUAUCUAGCUGCCCAUACUUUAUGUUUCACUUACAGUUUAUCAAAGUUGAAUUUCUGUGUUUUGCCUUUGCCAACAGUAUCAACGCUAAAAUCCACUGUGUCAUCUUCUGCCACAGACAACGACUUCCAAGAGGUAAGGAACUCCUUUCCAAAUUCGGCAUCUGUUGAAAUCAGAUUUAACAUUGAGCUAUGACCUACAUAUCUGACCUUCAUAAGACAUGGCCAGAAAUGUGUACAAGCAAUCAUCCUAAUCAAUGACAAGGAUGAAAACCAAUUUUAACAUUAAGAAAGCUUUAAUUUGUUUUCAAGUAGAUGAAAAGUAUGCUGCACUAAUUAUUGACCACAAUAUCCAAAAGAGUCAUGUGUCAGGCCAUAUUACAAAAAUAACCUAAACAGAUUAUAUAGGUUUAGGAUUGAGAAAUAUGCAUCCUUGUGGUACCAUUCCACCUCUGAAGCAAAUUUACUGUAUUUUGAGAUUUGUCAAGCUUAUACAGAGUACCUAGUAAUGAUUUAUCCUCUUUCUGAUUCACCACUGCAGUUUCCUUAGGUGAAUCUGCCAUCUGCAAGGGAAAGAGUGAGGAAAGCAUAAGAAAAAAGAGAAUUCCAAUGGCCCUUAGAAUUUACAAAAGACAAGGGAGAUUUUAAUUGCAAACCCAUUAGGUUGGCUAUACUACACAGCAACCUCCUCUCUUCGUAAAAGCAACAUCUCUUUGUUAAACAAUUGCAUCCAUAACAUUUUUGCACUUAUCUUAUGCAGAAGCAUCUAUAAACUAACCUAGGAGGGACCUUAGCCAGUCCAUUAAAGUGAAAAACCCACACAUGACAUGUAGACAGUUCAUAAAGGAGCAGCAUCAUUGACUUAUACAAAGUGGUUAGGUGGAGAGUUGCAAGCUCUAAAUUUAAAACCGUGGGGCCAAAAACACCCAUAUAUACGUGCCACUAUCAUAUAUCUGUGAAGAUUCAUUUUUCAUCCUUCCACAAAUGCAAAGGUAAAGGAUCUCCAAUCCGACAGCAUUGAUAAGAUGGACACCUAAUCAGUACAAUAAAGUAACGAUCAUUUCAAGAAUUCUCUGCCUUGGUUCAAAGGGACAUAAGUCUCUCAUACAUUUGAUAUGAAAUGUCUGAAGGAGUUCAACUAGACUGCAAGUGGAAACCACUAUAGCUAUUGCAAAGGAUGAACAAAUGCAGUAUUAAUAAGUUCAUACGGGGGCAAAGCACAGGGCUAAUCCAGUAUAAUCUAUCCCAAGAAAAGAACGCAGAUGCUAUUUUAACAUGAGAAACCAUAGCAUUGAGUCUUAGCCAAUGAAUUAAUGGCUGUCUUAUGACUGCCUAAAAUAUAUAGGUCCUCCUAUCACAUUCAGAUCAUCUGUUUUCCAGUACAGAGAAGUUCAAUUAAAACGAAUGUAAUUGAAAAAAAAAAAUACAUCAGAACAGCUACUUAUCAUGGCAUCAUUUCUACGAAAGCAGAUGCCAAGUAAUAGCAUUGUCUUUGUAUGUAAAUGCUGUAAGUCAUAGUGAUUUCCUCUAGAUAAGCGUCUACAUUGCGCUCAAACUGCAAGGAGCUAUAUACUUCCAGCAAAAGGCUUACAGCAAUUCUGAACGCUAACUUAUCCAGAGGCUUGUUCCACCCAGUUUCUGAAGCCAAAUGCGCCAGAAUAGUCACGGAGGUAUAUCAGAGAGAGAUAAACGCAGCAAUCAAGAAGAAAUACUUUGCUGCGCCUAACCUACAAAAUCAUAGAUGGUGCUCCAACGAACUCGAUAAAGCCAAUCUACAUUGAUCACAAAGAGGUCUUCCGAAAUCAAACGGACCUACUGUGACGGGAGGGUGGGAGACGCAAAACGAACGAACGCGAAACGGCGAGAGACAACUGAACGCGGAAUCAAAGAGGUGAGAGAGUCCGAAGGAACUCCUCAUCAAAUCCACCAUCGGAAAACUAAGCGCGCUCGCGAAGUACCUCCGCUCAACACUACGAAACAAUCAGCGAAAGCCCAUGGUUCAGAGGCACGGAGCAACGAGACACUGAAGAAGCCACGGCCAGAAGAAGAAAUCGACGGAUUGCGAAAGCUCGAGAUCGAUUCGCAUGUCAACAGUACCUUCCUUGCGAUCGCGACAGGGAGCGAGCUCGAGCGUGGGAGAGAGAUAGAGAGAGAGAUCGAUCGACUGAAUUCGAAUGGAGAUGAGAGAGAAGUAAUCUGGUUUUUCUACAGGUUUUUGAAUGGCGACUCUUUAUAUAUAGAGCGAGACGGAGAGUAGCUUUGAAAGAGGCGGGACCGGAAAAGCGACGGAAAUUGGGCGGAGGUUCACUCCAGCGUCGUGUGUUCGCCGAGAGUUUUCUCGACGGGACUGAGAAAAUCCCGAUUUUGCCCCCUAGGGGAAACAUUUUCACUUAACUCCGUUCAUUUCAAGAGAAAAAAAAACUUUAAAAAAUAUUUUUAUAAGAGUAAUCACUUCAAUUGUUUACAAAAAUUCAUAAAAUAUUCACUAAUUAUUUCAAAUGAUAACAAAUGAUUGUUUUUAGAAAAAUAUAAUUGAAACAAUCCAAUUCUGUAAAUUAAAUGAAAUUUGUCUUGAAAAAAAUCCAAUGAACCUACAUAUCUGAAUCCAAAUAAAUCUUGACCGUCGAUCACGUCAAUCCACACUUGGGAACCACAUGAUCAAUCACCUUGAUGGAUUCAGGGCAUGUAAGCUCAAGUCCAGAUAAGCAUCUACCCUCAUAUUGAAAUUCAAUGUGCUAUUGGUUGAUUACCGUGGAAGCUCAUCUCACAUUCCAAGUGUCACAAAAAAAAUUGGGCAUUUCCUCCAGGGGCAACUUAAAAGUUGGAUUGAGCAGGACUUAGAGAAAUUGACAAGAAGAUGAAUAUCUUAUUAUGUUAUAAAAGAGGAUUUCUUUUUUUUAAGUUGUAUAGUGUUGACAUUUGUCGUACCUCAUCUGCUAUAGGAAUGUUGGGCUUAAAGUACCAACAAAAUACCAACAGCCCAUUGAGCUAGUCUAUCACCGGAGUCCUAUCAAAUACGAGUGGGAAAUUCAAAGCCGCCAGUACACUUAAGCCCAAGCCCGUCCUUUGCGAAUUGAUUUAUUACACAAUUGUCUUUUUUAUGUGUAAUGACAAAAACUAUUAGUUAAACUUUUAAAUAAUAAUUAUUUUUCUUAUGGGGACAAUUUUUUUUUUUUUUUUGUCGACAGUCAAGCAUGGUUUUUUCGUCGGAUUUUGUAAAGCUCGUGUCUCUAAUGUGUAAUUAGAGCUAUAAACGAUUGAGUUGAUUGGCCAUGGAAAUAGGUGAUGACCGAGUUCUGACGAGCUCGGGCGAACGUGUUUGGUAUUGCAUAGUGAGUCGGAUUACCUCUUCAACAAUCCCCCCUCUUUUCUUUCGUUUCGAGAUAGUCUACAACCCUCGACUCCGGCAUUUCUGUCAUCCUGAUGUUCUAGGCCUUAAGAGAGCUGAGCGGACAUUUCGACCGUGUCUUAUGCUGCUAGGCAUCGACCGUGCGAAGGAAGGAGUAGAAGCAAUGAAGGUGAAUUUGAAGGAGGAGCGUGAACUGGAGGAACUAGAGGAAUUGGACAGAGAAUCUCAAAGUAAUCAUGAUAACAUGGAAUAACUGAUAUGGAUGUAGAUUCAGCGCAAUUCCAUUUCUUUAGGAAGCUAGGAGUAUUGAAGAGUCUUCACGUUACUCUAAAUAUGCUUGUAAACAGAGAUUUUCACUGGGUACCUAAGUGUCAGACUAUUGAAAUUGCUCACAAAUUUCAUGAUUGCCAAUGUACAAUAGUCUCAAGCUAGAUUAGUAUCAGACUUUGAAGCACUUUUGUAGCAACUUUCAAAUGAAAACUUUUCAUUCUUCAUCAGGAUUUCAUGGGACUGCCAACAUUUUGGCCACCAUUUAUUUCUCCAUGUUGGAAACGCUAGAACUGCGGAAAGAGAAUGAAUCGGGUGUGGCAGUGAGAACAACAGUUUCAACAUCAAUAACGACAAUGACGGCAGCAUCGACAAACGAAGGCUUCGCGAAAGAUGAUCGGGCUCUGCCUACAUCUUUCUCGUGAUCUCAAUCGGUCUAAAAUUAAUCUAUUCUGAGCAUGAAAACAUUUUGAAAACUUGUCUUCAGUAGUUGUUGAAAAAAGCUACGUCAAACUUCGAAGCUUUCUUGGAAGGAUAUUGCAGGGUUCAGGGAAGGUUCCCAGAAGCAUCUCCUUGCCCAAAAGAAACAAAACAAGAACUGAUAUCAUACCAAAAAAAUGGAGACUUCCUUUUCUUUUUUCGACAGGUAAAGUUACUUUUAUUAUUCCGAACAUGGGACCUGCAACUUGCACGCGCAUUUGAACAAGUACUUAGCCACCAAGUUUGAGCAUUCGAUCUAAUAGUCUUCCAUUGUUAAAAAAAAAAAAAAAAAACCGACUUUCGGUUUCAACCAUUUUGCAAGUUCAGGGAAGGUUUCCAGAAGCAUCUCCUAAUCCAAAAGAAACAAAACAAGAAGUGAUUUCGUAUAUAAAGGGCCCGUUUGGUUCGGCUUUGGGGGAAUGCCAUUUGGAGAAUGCAAAUAUCUUUGAGAGAAAGAGGCUUUCGGAAAUGUUAGACCGUUUGGUAAAUUUUAGCAUUGAAAUGCAACUUGGCAAAAACACCGUUUGGCAAACUUUGCAUUUGGAAUUAGCUUUUGGUAUUUUUUAAUUUCUUUAAAAUCUGAAAUCAAAUCCGGCGGCCGGCCACUGCCGGCCAACCGCCGGCGACCGCCGGACGGCCAGAUCUGGCCGUCGCCGGACCACCAGAUCUGGCCGCCGGAGGUCGCGGAGGCCAGAUCUGGCCUCAAGACCGCCAGAUCUGGCCGCCGAACGGCCAGAUCUGGCCUCGCCUGGUCGCCUGGCUCGCGCGAGACCAGGCGACGCCGGCCGAGGUCGGGCGACCUCAGGCGGCGUCGCUGGCUCGCGCGAGACCAGGCGACGCCGGCCGAGGUUGGGCGACCUCAGGCGGCGUCGCUGGCUCGCGCGAGACCAGGCGACGCCGGCCGAGGUCGGGCGACCUCAGGCGGCGUCGCGUGGCUCGCGCGAGACCAGGCGACCGAAUCUGGUCGGGUGCUCCGAGCACUGCUCAGCCCGUUGCGUGGGUCGCGCGACCCAGGCGACGCCGCCUGAGGCCGCGACCCACGCGACGGCGGUGCGUGGCGACGGCGGUGCGUGGGCGACCAGCUCCAGCUGGUUGAGCUCCGCCGGCUAAAGCUUCGAUCUUGAAGAAACGAUGAAGACGAGGAAGACGAUGAACAGUUACUUUUGAGGGUAAAAGAAGAAAACUAAAUUAUCAAUGAGGGCAAAAGUGGAAGAAAAAAAAAAUCAUUAAACCCCUUCAGCAUGCCGAAAAUGCUGAAUGCCCAAAGCAGGUCCCCACCUGCUUUGGGCUUUCAGCAUUCCAAAGGCAAACAUUUUGCCAAGUAGCCUUUGAAAGCCGAACCAAACACCCUAAAAUUUUUCCCAAGGGGCUUUGGGGGCUCAAAGCCCCUUGGGAAAGCCGAACCAAACGCCCCCAAAAUGGAGACGACUUUUUUUAUUCUUUUUUUUUUUCCGAUAGGUAAGAUACUUUUAUUAGCCCGAUAUAAGGAAAGGGUGGAUCAAAGAGAAUAAAUAAAAUAUUGUGUGCAAAAAAGCAAAGAAAAUAAAAAAGUAAUAAUACUUGGAAUGAGGUAAAUUAAUGCAUAAUGAAAGUUUAAUUCCUUGAUUUCCACGUAUGUUAUGCCAUAAUCACUUUCUUCCGAACUGUUGCACAUGGGGCCUGCAACUGCACGCGCGACAAGCCAGCCAGCUGUGAACGUCCUCAGUUGGCUUCUGCUAAUGGGGCCUUCAACUGCGUGACUGCUUUCACAAGUGUGUCGACCACAACUUUAGUUUUUUAUUUUUUAUCAUCGACCAAUAGCAUUCGAUCUUAUGGUCUUCGUCGUAAAAAAUUGCUACAUCCUGUUUCCACCAUCUUUUCAUAGACCCAUAGAAUUCUCCUGUAACUACAUUAUUUGCUCAUAACGUGUUGACGCGGAAUAUUUUCUGUUUCCACCAUCUUUUCUUAGACCCAUAGAAUUCUCCUAUAACUACAUUAUUUGCUCUUAACGUGUUGACGCGGAAUAUUUCUUUGCUGAAGAUCAUCGAGUGAGAGAGGGAGAGAGGGAAAGAGAGGUCUGCUUAGCUGAGCAAAUUACUGCUAUGGCAAGCUCAGAUGCUGGAACAUCAUUGGGAAGCAAGUACCAAGUGUUUUUUGAGUUUUAGAGGACCCGACACUCGAACUGGAUUUACUGAUGUCCUCUUUCAUAGCUUGUUUGACGCUGGAAUCGACGUGUUUCGAGAUGAUGAAGAACUCCGUGUCGGUGAAAGAAUCGAUGAAUCACUGCUGCAAGCGAUCAACAACUCCAGGAUCUACAUACCGGUCUUCUCUCAGAACUAUGCUUCGAGCCAAUGGUGCCUUUGCGAGCUCGCACAGAUCGUGGCAAACACCUUGAAAUCUGAAGGUAAUAAAGAGAUCCUACCUAUUUUCUUUGACGUGGAACCUAAUGAUGUUAAAUUGAAGACCCCACUAUAUCACAAUGCCAUACUCAAUUUGGAGCACGAGAAGAAGUUGAGCAAUGAGCAAGUAAAUGUUUGGAGAGAGGCCCUCAUGGAGGUUGAUGCCAUAAAGGGGUGGGAGGUGAAGAAAUACAAAGGGUAAGCUAGCUAUUUUCAAGACACUUGUUUCCCCAAUUUUCCUUAACACUUAAUAAUAGAUCUCAAAAUUCUAGUAUGAUUGAGGUGGGAGUUUUAUUAUAGUAAUACUAAAUGAUGAAUCUUUACGUCUGCAAAACAAAAUGUGAAGACAUAAUAUUCAACUUCUACAGUUGUUGCUUGACAAUUGCAUAAAUUUUUAUACAACAAUUUUGCUCGAAAAUCCCAAGAUUGCUACUCUCAUGUUGAAAUCAAGUUGAAUUUCGGGUCAUGACAUAGCAUCAACGUUGUCAAGGGCCUAAAAGUAUGUUUUGGAGAGACCUUAAUCUCCAAUAUGGACUUUUAGAAUAUCACUCCUAGAUUUAAGGUCCCAUUACUUAUCAGAUCAUUGUGUAGUUUAUCCAGUGUUUGAAUGACAUCACUUCUAGUUAGGUAAUCGUGAAUUUUCUCACUAAAAUGGAUUUUCAUUGUGGCAGCCACGGAGAACUAAUCAAAUUGGUAGUUGCAAAGGUCGUGGAAUGUUUGAAGUCAAAACAUAGAUUGGUGACUAAAUAUUUAGUUGGAAUUGACAAUCAAGUAGUAGCAGUAAGCAAAUUAUUAGAUGUCAAUUCCGAUGGUGUGAGACUCGUUAAAAUUUAUGGCAUGGGAGGUAUUGGAAAAACUACACUUGCCAAGGUCAUCUUCAACCUACUUUCUUCUCAUUUUGGAAAGUGUUGUUGUUUCCUUGAAGACGUUCGAGAGAAGUCAUCAAGAACCGAUGGCUUAGUUGACUUGCAAAAAAGGUUACUAUCCGAAAUCGGUCAUCCUGUAGGAACAAAGAGCAUUGAUGAAAUUGAUUAUGGAAUUAAGAGGAUUGAAGAAAUACUUCGUAAUAAGAAAGUCCUUAUUGUACUCGAUGAUGUUGAUAACAACAAACAAGUGGAGAAAUUAGUUGGAAACAGUACUUUAUUUUCUGGAUCCAGGAUAUUGAUUACAACUAGAAAUAAAGAUAUCUUGCAAGUCAAUAGACAAAAGUAUCAGAUUUUGGAUUAUGAAAUGGAGAUGAUGAGUGCUGGACAUGCACUUGAGCUUUUCAGUAGUCAUGCAUUUAACACAGACUUUCCUUCAGAUGAUUACGAUUAUCUUUCAAGGGAGAUUGUAUUUGCUACUGGGAGACUUCCGUUGGCUCUUGAGGUGAUUGGUUCGUUCCUCUGCCACAAAUCGCAAGAACAAUGGAAAGAGACAUUGCAUAAGUUAAGAAGAGCACCUCAUGAGGAUGUUUUUGGAAAGUUGAAGAUUAGCUAUGAUGCCUUAAAUUUCGAGCAACAACAAAUUUUUCUCGAUAUUGCAUGCUUUUUCAUUGAUGAAGAUAAGGCAAAUGCAAUCUACCUAUGGAAAGGUUGUAAGCUUUCCCCAAAUACAGGAGUUGCUGCCCUCAUUGACAUGUCUUUGGUAAAGAUUGUGGAGAAUGAUAAGUUUUGGGUGCACGAUCAACUUAGAGAUAUGGGAAGAAAAAUUGUUCUCCUAGAAGAUCCAGAAAAUCCUGAGGAGCGGAGUAGGAUAUGGAUUUGUGAGCAAGCUCUUAAUGCAAUAAGACCAAAGCAGGUAAAGCACUUAUGGAGAGAUCUAACUAGUUUUUCCAAUAUAUUCCACUCCACUGUACCUUCUUGGGUUUUUUUUUUUUCCUUUCCUUUUUAUAAUCCUUUGGCUCUAUGAGAUAGAAUAUUGAUAUCGCUCAUUUCCUAUUCUCAUUUGUAGAUAAACAAGAAAGUUCAAGCACUAUCUCUUUAUUCAUCUAGACAAAGUAUGUGUGAUGUCUUUGUUUGAAUUAAAUGGAUUGGAAGGUUGGAACAUCUAAGAUUCCUUAAAUUAUCUCACUUAGCCCUUGUUGGAGAUGCAACAUAUCGCCUUCCCAAUUCAACAUUGAUUUCUUUGAGUUAUUUUCUGCAAAAAUGGACCAACACGUGCCUAAAGAAUUUAGUCGUUCUUGAAUUUGUCAACGUUACUUUCCUUGGUAAUUCGGAAAUCUCAAUCAAGGUGCGUAAUAUUCUUAUUCCUAUUUUAUUUUCUUGGAAAGUAAUAUUCGAUUGUUCAUCUAUUGAGUAUUGCUUUCAUUUUGACAGAUGGCAACAAAAUUGAAAGUUCUUUCUUUCAAAUAUUGUCAAAACAUAUUCAAAACACCUGACUUCUCUAGAUGCCCGAAUUUAGAGAAGCUUACUUUCGAACGUUGUGACAAUUUGAGGAAAAUCAAUGGCUCUAUUGGGAAGUUGAAGCGUCUGAUUGAUUUCAAGAUUGGUAGCUGCAAUUCUCUUAAACAUUUGCCUGAAGAAAUCGGUGACCUAGUGAAUCUACAGUAUUUCUUUGUACGCUGUAAUGAAAUGAAGAAACUCCCAAAUUCCAUGUGGAAGUUGAAAUUAUUACGUGAGUUGUUCUUUCAAGGUUGCACUUCUCGUAAUUUAGAUUCAGCAAAUUCAUGGGAAUUACCUUGUGUUAUUGGAAAGCUCCAGAAUCUGGAAGUGCUUCAAGUCAUUAGUUCCUCUUUAAAAGGUCGAAUUCCUUCUGAAAUUGGAAGUUUGCCCUUUCUAAGAAUCUUGAAUCUAUCAAGAACUCAUGUAUGUGAACUUCCAGAGACCAUCAGCAUGCUUCCUUGCCUACAAAGAAUUGAGUUGAUGGAAUGCACUAAUAUUCAAGAGUUGCCGACCCUCCCAACAAGUUUAACCCAUCUAAAAGUGUCAUCUCAACUGUUGCGGGUAGUCUCGGAUCUUUCGAACUUGACUAAUUUGGUUGAGUUGUAUCUAGUUGAUGAUGGAAUAGUAAGAGAUAAACUUUGUAUCGAUGAGUUACAGUGGAUUGGGAAGUUAUCCAAACUGACCAAAUUGAGCUUUGGAUUUCACAAUGUCCCUAUUCCUAUUGAGAUGGCUUCCCUUCCUGUGCUGAACGAACUUUAUUUGGAUGGAUUCAACCUACAAACCUUUCCGCAACUACCACUAUCUCUGGAAAAGCUAACGCUUAGAAAUUUCAAUUCAAUUGUGCCACUCUCUCUGAACCUAAGAAAUUUGUUAUAUUUAGAGCUGUAUGAUUCUCCAAUGCAAGAAAUACAACUUGAUGGGCUUCAACUUCCACAGCUAAAGAAGUUGUGGGUGGAAGGCUGGCAACACCUAGAAAGGUUGAGGCUAUCAAGAAUGAGGAAGCUGAACAAUGUCAAGGUGAAAUUGUGUUAUGAAGUUAGUUGAGAUCCAAUUUUCUUGGGUGUUCGAAUCACUGGAGGUAUUGACUAUUACCAAUAGCGAGUCCUUGGAAAGGAUAGUUUACGAUAAUGAAUUGAUUAGUUGUGAAGAGAGGCUAAUUUUUUCAUCGACGGUCUUAAAUAAGUUGCGUUUUCUCUACAUGUGGAUGUGCCCUAAGAUACUCGACGUUCAAGUUGUGGGUACGUCGGAAUUGUGGGAAAACUUAAUCAUUGAGGAUUGUCAUUACUUGCAACGUCUCGGUGGUUUGUCAAACUUAAAGAACCUAAAGUGUUUAUCAAUCAAGGGCUGCGAGAGGCUACGGGAUGUCGAGGGCGUCGACGAGUUGGAGUUUUUGAACCGUUUAAUACUUGAUGAUUGCAUAUCGUUGGAAAGGUUGAUUGAUGUGUCAACCACCAAACUGCCAAAUGAUUGCCAGGUAGAUAUCGUUAGGGGCAAGAGAUUACCUGGGGUUAAGAAAGGAUUAAGCUGCUUCACCCAGUCCUUCAAGCAUUAUAUGGCGAGUCUUGGAUCAUUCACUCUAUUUCUUUUUUAUAAUUUCUUGACGCAACCGUCCACGAACACCAAUUCAACUCUAAGGUAGAUUUGUAAUAAUGGUGAAAAAUUAAAAAAUAAACAAAAAUCAAUUAAUAUUUGAUCUGACUUAUUUUAAAACCCACUCGAUAUAAGUUUGUUUUAUUUUCAGCUCACGUUUUCUCACUUUCUUUUCUUUUCUUUUCUUUUUUAUGAGAAAGUUCUAUAGUGCAGCAAAUCUAUGGGACAAGGUCAGCUUUUAUCAAAAGUCAUUGGAAAAUUUGCAAUUUUUAGAAAAAAAAAUAUAAAUUAACUCUGAAUAUCUCAUUAAAAUGUUAUUUUCACUUUAUAUGAAAUGAAUUGAUUAUUUAGUAAUUUUUAUGGAAUACACUCCACUUUAGUGUCCUUUCUUACUUAAUACUAUUCAUUAUGGAGAUGAGUUUAGUGAUUUGCAAUUUCCACAAUGAAAAUAGAACACUAAAAGAAUCCUAUACUCAUUGCACAACUUCAAUAAGAAUUUUUUGAGGGAAUUCUUUCAAGAACACAACUUAAAUGGUCCACGGAUCCACAAAUCGACUGACUUAUGUUAUUGAUGGAGUUUAGGAUGCAUGUUCCAAAAGCAUCUGGAAAUAUUUAUUAAGAUUUUUCAUUCUAAAAAAAACAAUGAAAAUCUAAUUUUUGAAAGUCUGCAUCCUCCCCGGUUUUUGACCGUCUUUGUUAAUGGCCACUUUAAACAUCGUUCAGACAUUUAUUUGUUCAGUUGUGAGGCAUUUCAUUUCAUUUCAUUGACCUGCUUCCACUACACUAGAUAGAGAAGGGGAAAAUGAGGAGGAAAUGCUUCGUCUACUAAAUAAAUAAAUAAAUAAAAAACAUAAUGUCGUACUAAUGUCAUGGACAUAGGUAGCAUACGAGUCAAAGACAGAUGGCUGUGAUGUAAAAUUGUUUACAUUUGGUGAAAUGGAAAAUCAAAUUUGUUUGAUGUGCAUAAUCCACAUGUACAAUUUCGUUCUAAUCCUACAUGAUUUACGACAUUUUCUUGUGCGAUAUUGUUUCCUCUUCUAUAUUGAUCCUUUUCUCAUAUUUCAAUCUCAACAAAUAUAGCCAAGACUUGUAUGUAUGACUUUCAUCAGUAUCUUUUGAGGAUUUUAAAGCAACUCCUAUCUAUUUGAUUGCAUUAUUUUAAUCAUGUCAUUCCUUUUUCGAAAGCUUUCUCCUAAAAUUUAUUAUGAUUUUUAUUUUUCAGGAAUCAGGCUUUGAUUUGACAACAUAUUUCGGACGCUUGUGAAGUUCUGAAGGCAACCCGCACGAUAAUUGUUAGAAUGCAGGGACGGAAUUAGCAUAAUAUCUCAUCGGGGUCAAUGCACUGAAGAGUCCAUAGGUUUCCAAUAAUGAUUUCCAGUACCGGGGCAUCAACUUAGGAUGCAGGUGUGACCUCAUCAUUUUCAAGCUAGAAAGAUGAUUUACCCUCGUGGCAGAAUUAAGAGAGUUGAUGUUCUUCACAUCAACAUUUCUUCGAAUCCUCACAGGAUUCCUCGCUUGAAUUAAUUAUUUCAGGAUUGUCCCAUCUCUUUUCGAUUGGUCUUAGACAACUCAUUCAAAUUGCCUGUUUUGCAUGAAGAAUUGCAAAAAGUUUAGCAUAGGCAGAUUAAGCAUAUGCAGAAUAAUGUUAUGUGAAAGGCCUCAUCCAAUAUAUGAAAUCUACUUGUUAAAGCUAGCAAUCUCUCCAAGACGAGAUAUGACAUAACAUGAACAUCAUCAUAUGUAGAACAAAAAUGGCAUGGCAUUGAUACAUCAUACUCUCUCAUUUCACGUGACCCAACAUGAAUAUGUCAAGCAACAGCACAGUGUGAGCCCUAUUUCCAGGCUUGUAUCUUCUAGUAGCUAAUUUAGUCAUACGUAACCAGGGACAAAGAUGUCACUAUCCUCUUUAGAGCAUAUUAUGGUGAAUUUAAUAUAAGCUUUCGUGGCAAAUAAUAAUGGAAGACUUAGACUUGAGAUACAAUUGCAAGUGAAAGUUUACAAUUUCAAUAGUUGAUAUGUAUAUCUAUUUUCUUUACAUAAUAUACAUUGCCAAAAUAAUUAAUCACGGUAGACAGUAGAUGAUAUGUAUUGUUGGUUGAAACGUUAACGCAAGAUUGGCUGUGAUUUUAUUUCUUCAGGAAUCACGUUUUGAUCAGAUUUGGACAUGUUUUGGAGGCUUGUGCAAUUUUGAAGACGACUCGGAUGAGGAUCUUUAGCAUGCAGGGACGGACUGGCAUAUCAGUUUAGUGGGGUCAAUGUACUGAAGAGUCAAAGUUUCUAAGAAUGGUUUCAAAAACCGGGACAUCAAGUUCGGAUGCAGGUGAGACCUCAUCAAUUUCAAGCUCGAUAGAUGAAUUGCCCUCGCGGCUGAUUCAAGGGAAAUGCUGUUCUUCACAUAACAUUUCUGAUACUUGAAUCCUUGUAAGAUUUGUCGCUUGAACUAGUUACUUCUGGAUCAUCGCAUAUAUUUUCGACUAGUUCUAACAACUCAUUCAAAUUGCCCGUCUUGCAUGAAGAGCUGCAAAAAUUUAGUACAAGCAGAUUAAGCAUUUGCAAUAUAAUGUUGUCCAAAAGGUCUAAUCCAACAAAUGAAAAUUACUUGUUAGAGUUGGCAAUGUUUCUAAGACAGUGAUGAUACAACAUGAACAGCAUUAUACAUAGAACAUAUGUGACAUGACAUCGAUACCUCUUUUCAAUAACUAGGAGUUAUUUCAAUCUUAAAAGUAAAUGUUAUUUGAAGGACUAUCCCUCUCCCAUUUUAUGUGACUUAGAAGGUUCAACUCAAAGUUAAAUGAAUCUUACUACAGCAGAUGAUGAACCCUACUUCCAAGCUCGUAGUCUUCCAUUAGAUAAUCCAGUCACAUGUUACCAAAGACAAAGAUGUCAAUAUCCUCCUUAUAGCAUAUUAUGAUGAAUUUAAUAUGAGCUUUCUUGGCAAAUAAUAAUAGAAGACUUAGACUUGAGAUGCAACAGCAAGUAAAACUUAAUGAUUUCAGCUGAAAAGGCUCUAAUUUCACCUAGCAACCAAAUGAUGAGAGAACAUCAAAAGAUUUUUUUACACAUAUCUACAUGGGUUGAUCAAAUAGUAAUAUAAAGCAAUUGGGUGAGUCUCAAAUGUCUCAAUGGAAACUAUGAUAUACAGUCAAACAAAAAGUAUCUCAUUUUACCCUAGAUGUCCAUUCAAUAGCAGAAGAGCGAUAACCAGGGCAACUUUUUAUGGGGAGGAGGUAAAAUCCUUCCAGUCAUCACCUCUGAGGGGCGGGGGUGGCAGCGGGAAGAAGAUAACUUACACAUUACUGACUCACUGUCAGCUACUGUUAAGUACAUGGGGAGAAAGAAAUCAGUAGAAUUUGAGCAAAAUUUCAUUCAGAUCUAAGGUUACAAUUUGAUUGGGUAUAGAUACAUGACCCCAGGUUGAGAAGUGCUUUUCACACUGACAUGGCUUCCUGUCAAAGGAGAUUGACUUUUUGUGUGCUCCCUUGCAAGCGAAUUUAGAUUAACAAGCGACUUUCUCUCAACUUCAGAAUCUUUGGCUUUGUCUCCCAACCUGUUUAACAUUGCGUAAACCAUGUGAUGUUAUAAAGCACUCCAUGUCCAAUCAAAGAAACUGGAACAAAAUAGAAAAAUUUCAUCCUUUCUCAUUUAGAUGCACAGAAGCAAGUCUUUUACUAAUAACUUGAGUAAGCUUUCUCCCGGUGAUAGUUCUAGAGAAGACUAACUCUUGAUUUCCUCUGAUCCAUUGAAUAAAUUUGAGUGGGUUUGUCUAGGCAUCCUACAGGAAAAGAAAGAGCACAAUGCAUGAGCUGCAGGCUCUCUGCUUGGGACAUCAACAUGGUAGUAAAAGUGAACUGAGAAGUGCAAAAAUGUAAUGCAAUCAAUCCACACAAUUUUCUACUCAAAUCUGGAAAUUAUCAUCAAAUGCAUUAACAUGAUAGCCAAAACCCAAUGAAUGAGUGCAUCAAACUGAUGACCACAAGAACUUGUUGUGUUCCUGUCCUUGGAACAUUGAGCUACAGAUGCAUAUUCUUCCUAAAUUUUCAUAAAAUCAACUAUCAAGUCCAUGUUUCUUAAAAAGAGACAUUAAUGACUCAUUGCUCUUAGUAAAUGGCAUAAACUUGCCAAUGUUAUCCUCUUAUAAGUUUUCUGCCCUCUCAUUCCACAAAUCAGUUAAAGGUAAGGGAUAAAGUAGGGUCAACCUGACGACAGCCAUUUCACCGUCAUGCAUUACUUUACUCAGAUGAAGAUUUGUGGCAGGCUUGGCCUCUUCUAUAUCAGCCUUUGUAGCAUUCCAUGUAUCAAGAAAAGGUUUACCGCUUUAGUUUGCCUCACCUUCUGUUCCUGGAACAUGUGACAUACUUAAACCUUCUGAACGUACGUUGCCACAAGAAUAUGUGGCUUCCCCUACCAUUUGUUCCAUGUUACUCUACUCUUCAUAUAAAGCAGAAUUUAAACUUUUGAUGAUAGACAAAUCUUUUCUCAGAAGCUCUAGAAUGGUACUUAAAUUUGUAUCAGCCCUGGGGCUGGAUGUGAAACUUCUCUUGGUACUGUUUUAUCUGAUGUACAACCUUGUUGAUCGGAUUCUUGAGCGCACGUACUGUUUGUCCUAUCCAAAGAAGAUCGUUCUAAGAUUGAAUUUCUACAGACUGCAGAUAAAGUUAGACAUAGAGUUGAAGUUACAGAAAUCUCUACCUAGACUUCUGAUGUUACUCACACAACGUGUUGAUUCAUCAUUUUCAAUGACAGCUUUAUUUUACGGUCUGGAAUUGCCUCAGGAAGGAGACUUUUCAAGCCCUGGUGCUCAUUCAUCUCUGAAAAUCUCCCUUUGCAUCCUAUGACCAUCUUCCCAACUUGUUCUCCCUCAGUCAUGGAUGAAUCAAGAUUAGAGCAGUCCAACGUGGAUAGCACAAAUGACUACUAAGGUCCUAAAUGCAAACACGAGUCAUGAAAUUUGUUUCGAAUGUUUCCUUUUUUUUUGGUAUGAUAUUGUUUCCCCUUUUAAAUAGAUCCCUUCUCGUACUUCAAUCUCAACAAAUGCAGUUAAAACCUACAUAUAUGACUUUUAUCGGUAUUUUUCAAGGAAUUUAGAACAGCUUCUAUCUAUUUUCUUGUGCAUGGUAUUCAUUAACAAAUAGGUCAAACACUGGAUAUUAGUUGAUAUGUAUAACUAAUUGGUUUGACUGCAUAAUCUCAAUCAUUUCUUUCCUUUUCUGAAACUUUCAUGGAAGUGGUUGCGAUUUUAUUGUUCAGGAAUCACACUUUGAUUGGACUACAUGUUUUGGACCCUUGUGAAGUUUGGAAGACAAGUCGUGCAAUGGUUAGCUUGCGGGGAUCGAGCUAGCAUAUUUCUAAGAAUGAUUUCAAAUUCCAAGACAUCAAGUUAGGAGGCAGGUGAGACCUCAUUUUGAGGGAGUACUGUUCUUCAAAUGACAUUUAAAAGAUUCUUUACUUGAAUUAGUGACUUCAGAAUUGAUGCAAAUCUUUUUUGUUGGUUUUGACAACUCAUUCAAAUUGCCUGUCUUGCUUGGAGAAUUGCAAAAGUUUAGUACAAGCAGAUUAAGCAUAUGCAGAAUAAUGUUGUGUCAAUGGACUAAUCCAAUAUACGAAUUCUACUUAUUAGUACUGGCAAUGUCUCUCAAACAUGAAUAUGUCAGGCAUCCUGCUUCUAGCCUUGUAGUCCACUGGUAGUUACUUCAGUCACACUUUACCGUUGCUGUCGGCCCAACCACCACUGACGCCAAGAAGAGGAAAGGAAACUCAGAGGGUUGCGAAGAAGAGGAAAAUAAGAAGAGAGCCUAGAAGUGUGAUUAGUUCCAGUGCGGUCGGUUGUGUCUGCAGCUCGUCGUCACCCAACCACCACCGUUGCCGAGAAGAGGAAAGGAAGCUCAGGCGGUUGUGGAGAAGAGGAAAGGAAGAAGAGGGCCUGGAAGUGUGAUUGGUUCCAGUGCAGCCGAUUGUGUCUGCAGCUCGUCAUUCCGUCAUUCGCCGUCGCUGGGCCUAGUUGGCCGACUCGCCGUCAAAAACAAGGUGAGCCUCACUCCCCCACCCCGCGCUUGCUUGCUUCUCGUACCCUGUAUUUACUUCUACGAACUUAAAAUAGCUAUUUUCGACGUGCGGGUACUUCCCGAUUUCGGCUUUGCAGGCAGGUGGUGAUCGGCAGCAUCAUUCGGGCCUAUCGUUCGCUUAUUGGUUUUGGUGGGGUUUGGCGGUGUUCGAUUUGAACGAAUCUUUGCGAGGUUACCAAAUCGAUGUAAGUGUCUUCACGAAUCUUCGAUUCAUUUUUUUUUUCUGUCUUUUGUUUGGGGGGUGGGGGGUUGGUAGUGAUGGCAGGAGCGCUCUCUGGUCGUCCGAUUAGAUCUGGUCUACAAUGCUAGUCCUUUUGCUGAAGUGAUUUUUCUGAUCGAUUCUCUAAUGUACUGAUGUUGAAGUUUAUUGCAAAUCGAUUUUGCUGGCUUUGUUGCUCCGGUAUAUUCUCCCCCUGUUUCUCUCUAUUGCUAAUAGAUUGCUACUUGUUGAUAGGAGAAAUUCGAAUUAUUUUGAGUACUUGUUGUCCUUCUGUCUAUUACCCCUUAGAAAGAGAGAGAAUAAUAGUAGAUUACAUGUGGUUAACCCAAAUGGUUGUUUAUGUGUCAACAUAUAUUGUAAGUUGGGACAAUACCUUUCAAGUGUACCUAAGUUUACGAGAACCCAUUGUGAUCUUGCAGUUUAAUAAUGCAACAGAAUGUGUCACUUGGGGGCUUAUGUACUUGCAGCAUGUAAUAUGGUUGAAGUACUAACUUUUAGUUGUGAAUGCUGAGAUCUUUCAUCAUGUAAUCUCAAUUUUUUAGUGCUUUGAAGUCUAGACUUGAUAUUACUUACUUUUAGGCUUUUAGGAUACCUAUUACUUACUCAUAGUUUGUCAUACUAUUUUAUUUUAAUUUUAUGAAAUUUACUCAUUCCUAUAUAAAUUAAUUAACUUCAUAUGCAUUACAUCACAAUGAACUUUUGAGACCUUUAGUUUAAUAUCGUCAAAGAGAGAUAUCUGAAAUACUUUUAUUGUCACGAGAAGAAGGACAAGAUCUAUAGUGUGGGAACACUAUAAAUAGACUCUUAAUCAACAAAAAGAUGAAUGUAUACAUUGUGGGCCUUUAUUGUCCAGGGACCGGUUCAAUGCAUCGUCAUCUAGCCAGAUGCAAGCACUUUCCAUACGCAAAAGUCGAGAAAAGGCAAUAGAGUGCAUUGGGUCAGGUUGUUGGGGUCAGUAGUUCUUCUAGUCCAUGGAAAUUUGACCAAGAAUCUAAUAGAAAAGAAUUAGCAAUUAUAUUUAUUCUUGAUGAAUUGCCUUUCAAGUUGGUAGAGUGUGAGGGUUUUCGGUGAUUUGUUAAUAAAAUCCAACUAAACUUCAUAAUCGCCUCGAGUAACACUUUGAGGCGUACAGGGAAGAAAGAAGUAAAUUGAAGAAAUAUUUAAUUGAGACAUCUCCUAGAGUAUGCCUUACAACUGACACUUGGACCUCGUGUUUUAUCUUUGUCCACUUGAGCUUUUGCAAAUGUGCUUUGGAAUUUCAAGGAUGAGCUUACCCGAUUUGUACUGGUUGUUUGAGAACCUCAUUGGAACAAAAUCAGAUCGUGCGAUUUCCCCUUUUUUGGCCAACACUGAGUUUGAUUUAUUAGGAUGCUUGUCAUGCUAUUUAGAUAUAGUAGAGCUACCCAAUGUCAGGACAUAUGCACGGGUUGAUAAUUGUUAAUGUUCAGAGCUAAGCUUGUGCUAAAGUUUAUGCGUAAGCAAUGUAAUCCACAAAAAAAAACCCCCAAAAACCAAAAGCCCAACUCGGUCUAGUUUUUUUGUUUAGGGUCUUAUGUGUUUUAGGUCGGGUCAGAGUGUGCCCCUCAUGAUGGGUCGGAUAACAUCAAAAUCCAACCUGACCCGACCUGACCCAUUGACACCCUUAUUCUACGUAGUUGAACACUAGUCAAGGAAGUAUAUGCAUCGUGUAAAACAAACAAAAAAUGGGAAGAUUCCCAAUGCUCAUCUUCCCAACCUUUUUGGAACGACUAGCUAAUUAUGAGAUGAUUUGGUCUGCUUACCAAGAAAAAGUUAUAAUUAUUGUUUGGUGGUACUACAAUCAUCAUUUGAUACCAAAAAUUGAAGCAACCUCUUUUUUAUAUUUUUAUUAGUAUUAUCUUUUUAAUAUUCAGCAACAUAUCUUUUUCAUUGAUUAUUUUUUUCCUUCCAUUUUCCAUAGAAUGGAAAAGCAAAAAGCACGUAUCUUUUUCAAUCUCAACAAAUUCCGUUAAAACCUACAUAAAUAAAUAGAAACUAUACUAGAGUCCUGGAAAGACAAUAUAUAGAUUAAACACGGUGCUUGAUUUGUUUGCGUAAUUUUAAUCAUUUCAUUCCUCUUUUGAAACUUUCAUGAAAGAUUGGUUGUGAUUUUAUUUUUCAGGAAACAUGCUUCGAUUGGACCUAAACUUGUUUUGGAAGGCUUGGGGUCGAGUGAUGAUUGUCAGCAUGCAGGGACUGACAAGCAUUUUAUAUCAACAUUUUGGGUGACAGGACUCUCUCAAGUCUCGACACUUCUUGCAGUUGCACUUGCUUACCCCGUGAAUUCUUGAACUUUUGUUCAUGGUGGCGGUCGAAGACACCUGGUCGACUCGUUGUGGCUGCUGAGUCCGGUUGGUGUCACAACCGAGUGGAAUUGAAGAAGCCGGUCUCUUUGACGCCUCUUGACUCAUUAGGGCCAUGCUGCAUUUCCAGUUUUCGCCAUCGCCAUUUCUAUUUCCCACGCUUGUUUCAGUUCUCUUUGCUCUUCUUCCUGUGGGUCUCUUCCUGUCUGCGAUUUGCUUGACCAGAAUUCCAUGGACAAGAUAGAAUGGUUUGUUGGGGUUCUAAGUCGUUUCUUUAAUUAUGGAUUGCUUUUUAGCUGUCACAACUGUUUUUGGAACGAGAUCAUUACGGAGCAAUGCAGGACAAGGACUUCGUCUUCACUCUGUCUAACGGCAUGAGACAGAGGAUCUUAUCAUUCCAUGGUUUAUUGGAUUUGAUAUUGGAAUGAGAAUUUAAAUUUCUUUUGCGAUCCUGACUUUAUUCUCUCAACGGUGAAGAGUCUGAAUGUCUGCUAAGAAUGACUGACUUCAAAUACCAGAUUACCAGGACAUCAAGUUAGGAUGCAGGGGAGACCUCAUCAUUUUCAAGCUAGAUAUAUGAAUUGCCCUUGUGGCUGAUUAAAGAGAGGUACUCUUCUUCACAUCAACAUUUCUGAUCCUAAUAUACUCAUUAAUUCCUUGCUUAAAUCAGUUACUUCAGGAUCAAUGUGUAUCUUUUCAAUUGGUUUCGACAGUUCAUUCAAAUUGCCCAUCUUGGAUGGAGAACUGCAAAAGUUUAGUACAAGCAGAUUAAGCAUUUAUGCUGCGUCAAAGGCCUAAUCCAAUGCACGAAAUCUACUAGUUAUAGCCAGGAAUGUCUCAAAGACGGGAUAGGACAUGACAUGAACAGCAUCAUACGUAGAACAGAUACGAUAUGACAAUUGAUACAUCUUUUCUAUAAUCAUAAGUUUUUUGGGCCUUAUAAGUGACCAUUGUCUCAAAGAAUAUCACUCUCCCUUUUCAUUUGACUCAAAAGGUUCAACUCAAACAUGAAUAUCUCAGGCUAGCUAGAGCAGAUUGUGAACCCUACUUCCAGGCUUGUUGUCUUCUAGGAGCUGAUCUAGUCAUAUGUUACCAGAGACAAAGAUGUCAAUAUCCUCUUUAAAGCGUACUAUGGUGAAUUUAAUUGAGCUUUUCUGGAAAGUUAUAAUGGAAGAACUUAUACUUCAGAUACAAUUGCAAGUAAAAAUUAGUAGUUUCAGCUGAAAUGCUAUCAUUUCACCAAUGGCAAGAAAAUGACCAUGGACGUUGGAAGAUUUUUCACAUAUGUAAACAUAUGCAAUUAGGAGAGUGUCUGAUGUCUCAAUGCAAACUACGACAUACAAUUGAACAGAAAAUAUCUCCUUUUACCCUAGUUGGAAGUCCAUUGGAUAGCAGAAGAGUGAUAACCAGAGCACCUUUAUAUGGGAAGGAGGUAAUAUUUUUCCCUUUUUUUCCCCUCUGUAACUAAACAUGAUCAAUGAUAGGAUUAUUCUCACAGUCAGGAAUUGUCUCAGGAAGACGAGAUCUUGAGCCCCAGUGCUGGUUUAUCUCUAAAUAUCAUCCUUUGCUUCCUAUAACCUUCUUUCCACUUUGUUCUCCCUCAGUCAUGGGUGAAUCAAGAUUAAAGCCAUCCAACCUGGAAAGCCUAAAUGACUGCUAAGAUCCUAAAUUGCAAUUGCGAUUCAAGUUUGACCACCAAAAAAAAAAUCACGGGUCAAGACAUCUGUUUCAAAUGUUUCCCUUCAGUCGAAAAUAUAAUCUUAUGUAUUGAAGAAUAAUCCCAUAUGGAUGCAUUUUGAAGCUGUCUUGCUCAUUAGACAAAGAAAAGCUUUUAUUGGAAUUUCCUUCACUAGGUGAUUCUGCUUCAUUUCAGUCUUCGUUGUUUGAAGAUUUCUUAGAUGGGAAGGAAAAAUCAAGAUCUGGCACGUCCACUUUGUGUUGGAGAAAUCUUUCCAGAAGAUUUUGAAGCUGACAAAACAUUUCUAUCAGUCUAGUCUUGAUAUCAUUGGUUUAAAGUCUCAAGACUUUGUAAUCUAAAGUCUCAAGACUCAAGACUCAAGACUCAAUAUUAUUCUCACUGACAGUCUUUUUAAUCCAGUGGCGUAGGAUAUCCGAAGCCGAAGUAUAUGGUUGGGGAUUUGAUCCAAUCCUCUGGAAUAGAUACCUUGGUUGGAUAAUCAUUUUUUAUUCUUUUGAUUCUUAUCUAAGAUCAAUUGAAGAUCUGAUGGUCGACGAAACAUUCUUGGAAUGUUCUAUUCUUGGAAACCAAAAUCCUGAUUGUAUGGGCGAACAGGAUUGAUGGGCUAUCAUCAGAUUCCUUAAAUAGCUCGGAUGAUCUUCUUAAUUGAUUCCGUCCAACGGGUAGAUUGGAGGAAUUCCUUUGGUAAGUGCCAACGGCUAUGAUGGCAUAAAGGAGUAUAAAAGGAAGACGUUCUAGUUGUUCUAAGUGUGUGAUCGAUAGAUAAAUUCCAGAGUCUGAAGAACCUUGAUUGUUAGUCGAGACAGUUCGAGCGAAAUUGUAUACACAGAGAGUGGUUGUACUUGGUGAUACCUUGAGCGAGUGUAGUAGAUCAUCUACAUCGAGAAAUCAAGGAAGAUCAACACUGUAACAUCUCUUUGUUCAUAGUGGAAUCCAGCCAAUCGGCUGUCAGUGCAGAAGAGUGGACGUAGGCUUGAAUCAAGCCGAACCACUAUAAACCUCGUGUUUAAUUCUCUCUUUCCUUUACUCAGUCUUACGAUUGUUUUUAAUCCUUCAUCUGUUUAAGUAUUGCGCAAACUGCAAGAAAAUAUUCAUAAACCUAUUCACCCCCCUCUAGGUACUCGUACUAGCAUUAUCACUUUGAACAAUGACAAUUUGUCAUAAUCAGUAUCCAGGUAAAAUGGACAUCACUGAAAUAGGUUUUUUCAUAUUUAAUCCACAGAAAGCUGAGAUAUAACCCUCUCUCAUAAUAAUGGAGCUUGCAAACAAGCAUUCAUGCAUCUUCAGUGUCCUCCAUCGUUUGGAUGAUAUUUGAAGUGGUGGGAUGUAUGUAAGGCAUGGCUCACUUAAUCACCAUGGGCAUUAUUCUCCACAAAGAAGUAAUUGUACGGGGAAUAUACGUAAUCAACACUAGUUUGAACAUAAGAAUAUCCAAUUUAGAUUCCACAUCCAUACUAGUUUACUAUCUAACAACAUAUACUUUAAUUUUCACUUACAGUUUAUUAAAGUCAAAUUCCUUCAUCCUGCCUUUGCCAACUAUAUCAGAGCUAAAAUCUAUUGUGUCAUCUACUGCCAUGGACGACGACCUCCAGGAGAAAAGGAACUCCAGUCCAAAUUCAGCAUCUGUUGAUUUAUGACCAACAUAUCAGAUUGUCAUAUGACAUGGCCAGAAAUAUGUAUAUACAAUCUUCCUUUUAAAAUUAAGAACGCUUUGAUUUGAUUUUCGAGUAGAUACAAAGCAUGAUGCACUAAGAGAAAGGAGAAUCCCAGUGGCCCCGGAAUUUGCUAAAGAAAGGAAAGAACAAAAUUGGGAACCCCUUUGAGUUGGCUAUAGUACACAGCACCUCCUCUCUUUGUGAAGACAGCAUCUCUUUGUCAAAACAUUGCAGCUAUAACAUUCUUGCACUUAUCUCUUUUGCAGAAGCAUAUGUGAACUAGCCUUUAAGGGACCUCAGCCAGUCUAUUAAAGUUAAGAGCCCAAAAGUUGACAUAUAAACAGUUCAUACAGGAGCAGCACUUACUGAUACAACGUUGUCAGGGGGAGUGUCGCAAGCUUUAAAUUUAAGAUUGAGCGACCAAAAACAUAAACAUUUACAUGCCAUGGUCAUAUGUUUCUGAAGAUUCACUUCUCAUCAAUCCAUAAAUGCAAAUGUAAAGUAUCUUCGAUUUGACAGCAGUAAUUAAAUGGCCAUCUAACCACCCCGACAAUAGUGACGAUCAUUUCAAGAUUUCUUUGCCUUGAUUCAAGUGGGACAUUAGUCUCUCAUACUUCUAAUAAGAAAUGUCUGAAGAGGUUCAACUAUACUGCAAGGGGAUCCACUAUAGCUAUUGCAAAAGAUGAACAAUUGAUGUAUUGAACAGUUCAUAGAGGGGCAAAGCCGAGGGCUAAUCCAAUAUAAUCUAUGCCAAGCAAAGAGCAAAGAUGCUAAUUUAACAUGAGAAAUGAUAGCAUUGAGCUUUAGCAAUAAACUAAGGGCCGUUUUAUGACAGCCUGAAAAAACAUAGGUCCUAUCACAUUCAGAUCAUCCACUUUCCAGCACAAUUAAAUUCAAUUAAAAUGAAUGACUUGUAAAAAUAGAUAUCAGAACAGCUUCUUAUGAUGUCAUCUUUUCUUGGAAAAGAGAUGCUGUGAAAUAGCAUACUCUGUGUAAAAUGUGUGCCCUGAGUAGCGAAAAUUUACUGUCAUACCUCAGAAGUUCAGACUGUGAGCAGGAAAAUGCUGUAAGUCAUAGUGGUUUUGUCUACACAAGCGUUUACAUUACGGUGAAACUGCAAGGGACUAUAGACUUCCAGCAAUGGGCUUAUAGCAAUUCUGAAUAUAAAUUUACAUAUAAGCUUGUUUCAUAGGAAACUACACGACGCAGUUUUGGACGUCAAAUGCGCCAAUACCCAGAGACAUAUUCGAGAGUAAACAUAAUAAUUUAAAAUAUAGAAAUUUUCACUUUGCCCAACCUACAAAAUCAUAGAAGAUGCUCACGAAUGAACACGAUAAAGCAAACCAACACAGAUCACAAAGAGGGCAUUCCUAAAUCAAACUGACCCACUGUGAUGGAGGAUGGACGCGAAAUGAACGUGACAGUGAGAGAGAAGGCACGACAAAGCGAGAGUCCAUCGGAACUCUUCAUUUUGUAUCUCAUCACAUUCACCACCGCAAAACUUUGCGCCCUCACGAAUGACCUCUGUUUUUAACACUACGAAACAAGCAGCGAACACCAAUAUCUCAGAGCUGCGAGCAACGAAGAUGCAACGGAACUCCUAAGAAGCCUCAUAACCGAAGGACAUCGUUCGACAGAUUGAAAAAGCUCAAGAUCAAUGUGCAGGUCAACACAGAAUGAAUUACUAGACUGAGACAAGCAUAGGAUCCACGGGUACCUUACUUGCCAUUGUGACAGCAGGCGAGGUCGAGCGAGGCAGAGAGAGAUCACCUGCAUUCGAGUCGAGAAUUGAUGCUGAACUGAGACGAAACGUGAAUGGAAAUUGAGAUCACUUUUCCCGGACGAGAGAGGAGCGAACUGGUUUUCUGAGGCUUUGAAUGGCAACCGUAUAUAUAGAGUAGCUUCGAAUAAAUUUCCGACUUUGCCCUUCGGUGGGGGUCAUUUUUCACGAAGUUGCCCCCGAUAAUGCUCUAAUAUGUCUCAAAUAGGCCUCACGAUUAAGUCUUGCAUGGGCCUGGAUCCUUUUGAUCCAAACAAAUAUUGGUAGUAGCCACGUGGGCCCACAUUGGCCCCAACAUGAUCAACGGCCCUGACAGAAUUGAGACACGUGGACACGGGAGUAGGGAUCGGAGAAAGCCAAAAGGAAAACAACUUAAUCUACUUUUCUAAUUUUUAAAUAUUUAGCUCAUAUGACCAAACUAACAUUGUCUUCUUUGCCAAUGUAAUCGCAGUUUAAAUGAUAGGACUCUUACAAUUUCAGUGACCAAACUAACAUUGUCUUAUUUGCCAAUGUAAUCGAAGCUUAUAUGAUAGGACUCCCCUCUCCCCAAACAUGGAUUGAUUAAGAAUCAAGGGAUAAUCAAAGUUCUUAUCCUAAGCACCUUCACAAUUUAACACUUGAAAUCAUUGAAAGUAGUUUGAAUUAUGCAUAAAUGUAGUAUCUUGAAGGAUUGCUUCCAUUACAUGUAAAGUUGACAUUUAUCUUCUUAAUCUAGGGCCACAUAGCACAUCAUCCAACCAAUUGCAAGUUGACACGUGAUGUAAUAAAUAUUCAGAAACUACUAAAAUGCACAUGAUUAUGAAUUAAAUUAGCAAUGUAGACUGUAGAAAAUGCAUGAAAAAUAUAACUUGAAGAAGUAUUAUAGAAUCCAAACAGAUUUUGACUGUUGAUUACCUUGGAUCUGUACUUGGAAACCACAUGAUCAAAUGAUCUUGAUGGAUUCGAGAUAUGUAGACUUGCGUCUGGACAAGCAUUUAUCCUCAUGUUGAUAAAAUGUGUGUUGAGCUCGUCGAUUGCUAUUCAAGCCCAUCUCACACGCCUAUUGUCGCACCAAGAAGAGGGCACUUUUGUCUGAGAGUAACUUAAAGCUGGUUUGAGUAGGAAUUAAAAAAAUUCACAAGAAAAAUGUACGUCGUAUCAUUAUAUAAGGAGGAUUUGUUAAAAGUUGUGUUGUAUCACUAUUGGAACAAUGGUUUUAACGUCCCACUAAAGCAUUACCUAUUUGCUGAGCAAGCCCAUCACCGCGGCUUCAGUAGAUAUGACCAAGCCGACGAUUCACCUGAACCAAAGCUUGUCCUGCGUAGAGAGACUAACUAAAAAAAAAAGCUAAGUAAUUAUGUUUAUUUGAGGCUCUGGCGUAUACUUUGCUCCACAAAAUUGAAUGGGUUGUUUUUUUUUUUUUUUUUUUGGCCCCCUUUUUGGUCAUAGAAUGGGUUGGUCGUGCCUCUUGAAUUUUAUGUUGAAUGUCUUACAUUUGUUUUUCUCUGAUUAUUUUUACUACCUCGAAGUUAUUAUGUUUUUGCGAGCUUUAUGAAUAUUUUUAGCAAGCCAUACGUUCGGGUAGGUAAAGAAUGCAUAUAUGCGCGACAAACUUUUCUUCUAGUCAACAAGGAGUUGCGAACGUUUUUAGACGAGACUGGACGAGAAGGGGGGGCAAAGCCCUGCCCUCAUAAAACUACGCGUAGAAAUUGAUCAUGCAAAGGAAGAAGUAGAAGCAAUGAAGAUGAAUUUGAAGGAUAGGGAGCGCGAAAUGGUGGGAACUAGAGGAGACUGCUAACACCUUCACCACCAUUUAUUACUGCGGAAUGGAAAAUUUGCAACCGCAAAAGAGGAUGGACAUCGGUGCAGCAGCGAGUUCAACGGCAUCAACAUCCAUGGCAACAAUGACAAUAGCAUCCAAAAACGAAGGCUUUGAAAAAGUUGAUGAUGGGGGUUUACAUCUUUUGCCCAAAUGGUUUAAGAUUAAUCUGUUCUAAGUCGCACUUAGAUGCUUUCUUAGAAGGACAUGGAGGUUCAGGGAAGAUUCCCAGUAGCAUCUCCUACUUCAAAUGAAACGAAACAAAGAACUAAUUUUGUCCGAUACAAAGACAAAAAACAAGGAACAGCACUAGAAUCAACAGGUGGAGCUACGCCUAGACAUCAUUAAUGAAACAACGAACGACUAAUGAUCAAUUCUCCAAGUCAAUCAUGGUGUCUUAUCAGACGGUACAGACACAAAUUCCCUCCCCCUCAAGAAUAGAGGUGUUAAACGGGUGGAUCAGGUCGGGUUUGAAUCGGGUCAUUAAUGAGUCGAUCCAAAUUAACCCAUUAACCCAUUUAUGACCCAUUUAAGUUUAAUGUAAAUUUUCUGACCCAUACCCAAUCCGACUCAUACCCGACUUGACCCAUAUUAAUAAAAUAUUUUCAUUUUAACCAAAUUUAGAAAAACUUAUUCUUAUAUAUUUUUUAAGAUUAUAUUACUAAAAUAUUUCCAAGCUUAUUUCUUAUAUAUAUUAUUUUUAAAAAUGGUAUUGCUAAAAUAGUUUUAUACAACAAAAAUUUAAUGGACAAUUUUUAUAAUUUUUAAAAUAAUUAUUUUUAAAAAUAUAAUUUUAAUUAUUUUUUAUUUUUUUAAAAAUAAAUUUGUUAUUAUUUUAUUUAUAAAAUAUACUUUUUCUUUUUCUUUUUCUUUUUUCUUUUUCUGUGGCCGACCGUUGGCCACAAGCGAGUCUCGAGCUCGCUCAACGCCGGCGAGCUCGAGGCUCACCAGAUCGGCGAAGCUCGAGCCUCGCCCAACAACGGCGAGCUCGAGUCUUGCCAGAUUGGCAAGGCUCGAGCCUCGCCAGCGUCAGGUGAGCCCGAGCUCGCCCCUCACCGGAUCUGGUGAGGUUCGAGCCUCAUCGGACAUCGGUGAGGCCUUUGCCUUGCCAGAUAUGGCAAGCUCGAGGCUCGCCGGUGUCGGGUGAGCUUGAGCUCACCCCUUGCCAAGCGUCGGGGCCUCACCAGAUCUUGCGAGGGGCGAGCUUGAGGCUUGCCUAACCGGUCGCCGGCCAUCGCCAUGCCGGCGACUAGAGGAAGAAGAAAGAAAAAAAAAAAGGAAAGAAAAAAGAAAAAAUAAUUAUAAUGUCGGUUUUUAUAAAUAAAAAAAAAAUUGCAAAGUUAAAGAGAGAAGAGAAAGGUUGUGACUUGUGAGGUUUUGAGUGAAAAUAAAUGGAUUCAUUUUUAAUGGGUUGAUAAAUAGAUCUUAAAUGGAUCAGAGAGCUGACCCAUAUGAGUCUGACUCAUAUAUCUCAUUCUUGACCCAUAAAACCCAUUAUGGGUGCUUUAGGAAAUAAACCUUGACCCAUUAACGACCCAUUUAAACAUAAAUGGGUCCAUAAAUGGGUUAAUGACCCAUUUUGACACCGAAGCAUAAUCAUCUUGAUUCUCAGGCAGUAAAGAACAUAACGCAGAUCUCUGCUCGUCUUCUUCUGGUGGGCUUUACAUACGUUGCGGUUUGUGGAUGGCAGCAGAGAAUGAUCUCCAUGACUGAAAAACGGAGUCUGUUUCUCUAUUAUUCUUAUAUGCUUUGUUGGGACAUUCUUGUUGCAUUACUUGAAAUUGUAUAGGGUACUUGACCGGCUUUCACUGGUCCUGCGGCCGAUAACCAACGUUAGACAAAGAAUCCACUAACCGCCAUGUUCAUCCUUCUUCAUGUAAAAAAUCUUGUGAAAUAAGAUCAAAUCUUUGUAAAAAUUUGUAACCCAACUUUUCUUUUUGGUCGCACUUUUUGCUUGUCAUCUAGUCUUAUCUUAAAUUCUUGAUAUCACUUUUGCACGAAUUACUUAUUUCGUUCGGAGCAUUACCUAUUGUGUUCGCGUAAAUUAGCAAUAAGGACAAAACUGAUGAUAUUAACUGCAGCACAUUUUAUAUAUUCAAUUAUCAAUUAUCAUAACUUAUAAAUUAACUUGAUUAAUUGAGUAAUAUGUUGAGGAAAAAGCCAUUGCCCACGCAGCACAAUAUGAGUAAUUUCGGGCUUUUUGGUUAACCAAAAUUACUUUUUUGACCCUAAUACUCUUUGUUGGCAAUAUAGGGCUCGAAUGAUAACCAUUUGGCUAGAAAUUAAUUUCUAGAAGAGAAAUAGAUUUUUCUAUUUUUAUUCUUGGAUGAAUUUCCAAGCAAAAAUACGUGUUUAAUAAUGAUAUAAAAUUUCUAUUUCCAAAAUAGAAAUUCGCUUUAUAAAAAUACAAAAUUUCUUCCGCCUAAGUGGUGGUGGACAGCAGACAGAGGCAAAUGUCGGUCGACGACCAGUGGCAGCGGUUGGUGGUUAGCAGAUGAUAAUUGGUGGCUGGCGAUCGAUGGAUGAAGAGUGGUAGCAAACAACGACGACAGCAGUUGAUAGACAACGAUUGAGCAGACGAUAGACAACGGCCAGUAGUGAUGGAUGGGCUACUGGAUAGAAGUAAAGACGAACGAUAAGAAAAAAUUUUAUUUCUCAUUUUUGUUCUAGAAAUAGAGAAGUAAAAAAUUCUGAUUUCUGUUCCAAAUCUAAUUCUAGAGUUAAAAUUUAUUAUAAAAAUAGAAAAAUGAAAUAAUUUUAUCAAAUAGAUUUUUAUUUCAGAAACAUAUUCAGAAUAGAAAAAUAGUUUAGUAUUAGAAAUAUAAUAGUUAUCAUAUACUUUGCUUUUUCUUGCACUUUGCUUUUUGGUCUUCCGAGGAGUCAUCAUGAUUUCAACUUUUAGAAAAGAGGAGAGCCUCUGUUCUUCUUUUCAUACAUUGUGUUUGAUCAUUGACAUGGAUACUCGUUUAGCAAGUAAUUUUUUAAUAAGUUACUACAGUCUUCUCGAAAGUAUCAACUCGUAUUUACACUUCAAAAUUUACUAUAUGCUUUCAUAACCUACCAAGUUUAUCAAACUAGUGUUGAAAACGCUUAGAUUAAAAGCAAAUAAUUUUGAUAUCCAAACUAAUCGUCAUUGUGAUGGCACAGAUUGUUUUCUUCACUCUGUGCCCAGUGGUCGACCUCCAUUAUCAGAACCAGAGCCUCGUUCAGUUGAAACAACUUUGACAAUUGAAGCAUUUUCAUAGCUGAAAACACAUAGGACAUCGUUGAGAAGAUAUAUACCAGUCCAAAAAAAAGUGCACAAGUAAAAUAUCUAUGAAAGGAUGCAAGGGGGAUCAUCGAUCACCUCCAACGAGGUAUGGAACACAUUAUAACAAGAUAUUCAAACCAUGUUCAGACAUCACGCAACAUGCUCGGAAUAUCACGAAAUUAGAUAAAAGAGUGGUGUUCAAAUAAUGAUCCAGUUUCCUAAAGUAGUCCACCACAUUCGUUGUUUUAUCUCCGGCACCAUCAAGCACAUUGUGUGGGUUAGUUGCAUCGGGCGAUGGAUAUUUAAUUAGUAAAAGAAAUAUCAGUCGCUAUCUUUGAAAGUUGCAGAAUCCUAAUAGACUAAAAUUUCAACUCGACAACUAUCAAUGGGAAAGAAUGACCAUAAAAGUUCUAAAUCUAUUAUAAUUAUGCAAAUUCAAUCAUAAUUUUUUUAAUCAAUUAAGUCAUAAACAUUUUCCAAUUAUGCUAGUUUAGUCAAUCUGGCCAAAUUUUACUAGCUAAUGCUUACGUGAUAAUUUUUUAAUAUUUUUUAAAAAUUUUGUAUUAAUUUUUUUUUCCUUUUUCUCUUCUCCCUCCUUUGGCUUCAUUUCUUCGCAAUGGCUGGCGAGGCUCUAGUGAGGCUCACCGACCAUUGAGCAAGGGCUUAGCUUGCCAAUGCCUCAUAGGCCACUACAAGUAAAAGAAGCCAAAGAGGAAGAAGGGAAAAAGGAAAAUGAAAAAGUAAAAAAAUAAAAAUAAAUAAAUAAAUAAAUAAAAUUAAUAAAAAAAUCGAAAAAAAUACUAAAAAAAUGAUUUAAAAAUUUCCAUGUCAGUAUGGAUCGAAAUUGUCGGCUAGCAUCUACCUCAAUGGUGCCCAGCCAAAUUUGGUCGAAUUGACUCAAUUUGUAGAAUUAUAAAAUGUUUAUGAUUAAAUUGGCCUAAAAAAAAAAAUUAUGUCCAUCCAAACUUUUAGUCCAAUCUACUCAAUAAUCUUUUCAGAUCCAGUUUUUGUCGAUAUUCAACUUUGCUUUGAGGCUUCCAUUAUCGGCCUUCUCUUGUUGGAUUGACGUCCUCACCGAAUGUCCUUUUUUUUUUUUUUUUUUUGCUUUUAGCCCGCAAGUGAAAAUGUCCCUUUCUUGGAUUCUUAACAAAUGAUCCACUUAGCAAUCUUUGCAACUUUUUGAUAUAUAAUAUAUAACAGAUAUGUGCAUUUAAGGUCUUAAAACUUGUCACAAAAUUGUAAUUAAGUGCUGAAACUUUACAAAAAGUGCAGUCGAGUCUUAAAAUUUACUAAAUUGGUAUAAUCAAUAUUAAAGGCGUAAGUCAUAGUUCAAUGUUAAAUCCAAACUCAACAGAUGCUGAAUUUGGAAAGGAGUUCCUUACCUACCGAAAGUCGUUGUCUGUGGCAGAAGAUGACGCAGUGGAUUUUAGUUUUGAUACAGUUGGCAAAGGCAAGAUAAAGAAAUUCAACCUUGAUAGACUAUACAUGAACCUUAAAGUAUAGGUAGCUAGUUAAUAAGCCAGUAUGGAUGUGAAAUCUACAUUUAAUAUUAUAUCUUCAUACUUGUGUUGGUUACAUAUACUCACCGGGAGAAUUACCAAAAAAGUCAUAAACCUAUUGCAAUUGUGCCAAUUCAAUCCUAAACUUUUUUUUUGUCCAAUUAGUCCUAAACCUUUUAUAAUUGUGUAAAUUUAGUCCAUCCGGCCAAAAUUGGCCGGCCGACACUGACGUGGACGUCGGCGGGGGACAGCUGGCUGGCGAGGUAAUUUUUUAAUAUUUUUUAAUAUUUUUUUUUUCGAAUUUAUAUAUAUAUUUUUAAUUUUUUUUUUUUUUGCCUUCUUCUCCAUCCUCUGGCCGGACGCCGGCCAGAGGUGAGGGCCGGCGAGGUCAGCCUCGCCGGCCACUGGCAGAGGCGAGCCUCGCCCAGCGACGACGAGGCGGCCGUCGCCAGAUCUAGCGACGCUCAACCUCGCCAUGGUUGGGCGAGGCCGAGCCUCGCCAGCUCUGGCGACGGCCACCUCGCCGGCCACUGGUGAGGGCGAGGGUCGACCUCGCCUAGUGGCCGGCAAGGCUGCCGUCGCCAUCGCCACCUCCACCGCCUCCCCCGUCCCCCCGAUCGUCGGCACGAUCUCCCCCUCCGAGCUCAAGCGGCCCUCCCCGGCCGUGACCGUUGCCAAAACCCUGUUCCAACGCCUCUGGACCGACGAGGACGAGAUCGAGCUCCUCCGUGGGUUCCUCGACUACACCACACAGCGCGGCAGGGCCUUGCCCUUGCCAGUGGCCGGCGAGGGCCGAGCUCGUCGGAUCUGGCGAGGCCGCCGUCACCAGAUCUGGUGAGGCUCGGUCUCAGCCCAGCCAUGGCGAGGUCAAGCCUCGCUAGAUCUAGCAACGGCCGCCUCGCCGUCGCUGGGCGAGGCUCGCCUCCGCUGGGCGAGGCUCGCCUCCGCCAGUGGCCGGAGAGGUCAGCCUCGCCAGCCCUCACCUCUGGCCGGCGUCCGACCAGAGGAAGGAGAAGAAGGCCAAAAAAUAUAUAUAUUUAAAAUAUUUAAAAAUUCGAAAAAAAUAUUAAAGAUAUUAAAAAAUAUUUAAAAAAAUUACCUCGCCGGCCGGCUCCCCACCGGCGUCCACGUCAGUGCCGGCAGGCCAAUUUUGGCCGGAUGGACUGAAUUGGCACAAUUGCAAUAGAUUUAUGACUUUUUUUGGUAAUUCUCCCUAUAUUCACCCCUGUACAAUUACCUCUUUGUGUAAAAUAAUGUCCGUGGUGAUUAAGUGAGGCAUGCUUCACAUACUAUUCAACCACUUCAAAAAUCAUCAAAACGAUGGAUGAUGGUGAAGUUGCAUCAAAGCUUGUUACAAUCUCACUUUUAUGAGAGUGGGAUAUAUCUCUGCUUUCUGUCGAUUGAUUGUUAGAAAACCCUUUUCAGGGAUGUCGAUUUUAACCUGGACGCUGACUUUGACAAGUUUUUAUCUUUCAAAGUGGACAUGCGAGAUCUUGAUUUAUCCUGUCCAUCUAAGAAAUCUCCAAACAAGGAUAGAAGUGAAGUAGAAUCACCCGAUGAAGGAAAUUCCAAGAAAAUAUUUUAUUUGUGCUUUGAUUUUAACGAGUCAGACAGCUUCACAAUGUAUACAUUAGGGCUUAUUCUUUGAUACAUAAGGUUAUAUUUUCAUAAGGUUAUAUUUUCAAGUGAAGGGAAAUUUCAUGACUUGUGAUUUCAAUCUAGGAACUUAGCAAUCAUUUGUGCUAUCCAACUAAUUUCUCCACUUGUUCUUUAUCAUCAACAUCAUCAAGUAUAAUGACAACUUUCUUAUUGCAAAGUACUUGUUGAAUGCUCUUCAUUCUAGAAUCAAUUUCAUUAAUGGUCCUGGUUCUCGCAGGAUGGCUAAUUUUGGAUAAUAACCUUUUAUUGCAAGUCAACUAAGCCAUCCGUUUUCAAUGACUUCGCUCACAUGUCUUCAAGGAAACAACAAUACUUUCCAAAAUGAAAAGAGAGUUGGUUGAAAAUGACUUUGGCUAGAGUAGUUUUACGGAUACCACCCAUGCCAUAUAUUUUAAUGAGUCUCACACCAUUGGAGUCAAUGUCUAAUAAGUUGCUUACUGCUAGUAUUUGCUUGUCAAUUCCAACUAAAUGCUCAGUCACCAAUCUAUGUUUUGUCUUCAAUUUUUUCAGGACCACUUCAGCUACCAAUUCAAUUAGCUCCCCGUGGCUGUUGUGACCAUAGAAACCCAUCUUACCUGGUGAAAAAUGCAAAAUCGUGAUUACCAAGCAAGAAGUGAUGUUAUCCAAGCACUGAAUAAAAUACACAAUGAUCCGAUAAGUAACGGGACCUUAAUAAUCUAGAAGUGAUAUUCUAAAAUGUCGAUAAGAAGACCAUAGGAAAUAUGGGUCGUUGAGAAAGUGGCUGAAACUUGAACAAGGGAGUCAAGUAACUUUUCAUGACGAAGACCAUAAGCUCGAAUGCUAUUGGUCGAUGAGAAAGAGGGCCCGUCUUGAGAAAAUAAUUGUUCGGUGAAUAGGAAAAGAAAAACCAAAAUUGAUGAUGUGAAAUUUCAGCCAGAUUGGAUAUUCUUAGAAAAAUAUAGAAUUUUCUAUUUAUCUAUUUUUCUUUCUCAACUUCUUCUUUCCUUGUAACCACUGUUGAUAUAUAUUGGAUAUUUUUAGGAAAAUCUAAUUUUGUAAUACUCCAAGCAUGUUGCGUGAUGCCUCCGACAUGGCUUGAGUUUCUUCUUAUAAUGUGUUCCAUGCCUUUUUCAAGAUAUUCGAUGAUUCCUUGCAUCCUUCUGUAGAUGUUUUAUUCAUGCACCUUCUUGUGGACAAGCAUAUUUCUUCUCAACGAUGUCCUAUAUGUUUUUGGCUAUGAAAAUGCUUCAAUAGUCAAAGUUGUUUCAAUUGAAUGAGACUUUAGUUCUGAUUAAUGGAGGUCGACUAUUGGGCAUAGAGUGAACAAAAUGAUCCAGGCCAUCUUGGUGACGAUUAAUUUGGAUUUUAAAAUUAUUUGCUUUAAUUUAAGCAUUUUCGACAUUAGUUUGAUAAUAUUGGUAGGUUAUGGAAACAAUUCGUAAAUUUUGAAGUGCAAAUAGGAGUCGAUACUUUCUAAAAACUGUUAUAGUAACUUACUAAUAUAUUACUCGCUAAAUGAAUAUACAUGUCAAUGAUCAAACACCAUGUGUGAAAGGAAGGACAGUGGCUCUCUUCUUUUCUAAAAGUCAAAAUUAUGAUGAUGCCUUGGAAGACCAAGAGGCAAAGUGCUGGGAGUCGCUUAGAAAAAGCAUACUCCUAAAUGGCCGACAAAAAGGUAAAGUUGGUUACCAAAAAAGCCCAAAAUUACUCGGAUUGUGCUGCAUGGACAAUGGCUUUUUCCUGAACAUGUUACUCAAUUAUUCAAGUUAAUUAAUAAGUUAUGAUAAUUGAUAAUUGAAUAUACGAAACGUGCCGCAGUUGAUAUCAUGCUUUGAAAGGAGAACGUAAGUUUUCUUUUGAUUGCCAAUUUACACAAACACGACAGGUUAUAGUGAUAUAAUGAAUUUAGGAUAAGGUUAGCGUCCGACAAUAAUUAUGACAAAAAAGAAAAGUCAGUUGACAAAUUCUACCGAGAUCUGAUCUUAUUCCACGAGAUUUUUUUCACAUGAAGAAGGAUGAACAUAGCGGCUGAUGGAUUCAAAGUCUAAUAUUGGUUACAAGUCCCAGGACCGUGAAAGCCGCUCGAGUACCUAAUACAAUUUCAAGUAAUGAAACAAGAAUAUCCCAACAAAGCAUUGGAGGUCGUUCUCUGCCGCCAUCCACAACCCACAACAUACAUAAAGCACAUCAGAAGAAGACGAACAGAGUUCUGCAUUAUGUUCUUUACUGCAUGAUAAUCAAGAUGAUUAUUCUUCUUGAGGAAAGGGAAUUUGUGUCUGUAUCGUCCGAUAAGACAGCUUGCUUGUAAACAGAGAUUCACUGGGUACCUAGUCUUAAGCUAGAUUAGCAUCAGCCUGUGCAGCACUUUUGUAGCAAUUUUCAAAUGAAAACUUUCAUUCUUCAUCAGGAUAUCUUAGGACUGUCAACAUUUUCGCCCCCAUCUAUUUCUUCAUGUUGGAAACGUUAGAACUACGAAAAGAAAAUGGAAUUGGGCGUGGCCGUGGAGAACAACGGUUUCAAAAUCAAUGACGACAAUGAUGGCAGCAUCCAUGAAUGGAGGCUUUGCAAAAGAUGAUUGGGCUCUACCUACAUCUUUCUUGUGAUCUCAAUUUGUCUAAAAUCAAUCUGUUCUGAACAUGAAAACAUUUGUUUUGAGAACUUGUCUUCAGUAGUUGUUGAAAAAGGCAAUGUCACACUUUGAAGCUUUCUUGGAAGGAUAUUGCAGGGUUCAAGGAAGGUUCCCAGAAGCAUCUCCUUACUCAAAAGAAACAAAACAAGAACUGAUAUUGUACAUAAAACUGAGAUUUUCUUGUUUUUUUUUUUCGACAGGUAAAGUUACUUUUAUUUUUCCAAACAUGGGACCUGCAACUUGCAUGCGCAUUUGAAGAAGUAUUUAGCCACUAACUUUGGUUUUUUUAAUUAUCCGCCAAUAGCAUUCGAUCUAAUGGUCUUCCGUCGAAAAAAAAAAAAAAAAGAUCUUCUGUUUCAAUCAUUUUAUAGGUUCAGGGAAGGUUCCCAGAAGCAUCUCCUAAUUCAAAAGAAACAAAACAAGAACUGAUUUCAUACCUAAAACGGAGACUUUCUUGUUUUUUUUUUUUUUUUCCAACGGGUAAGAUACUUUUAUUAGCCCGAUAUAAGGAAAGGGUGGAUCAAAGAGAAUAAAUAAAAUAUUGUGUGCAAAAAAGCAAAGAAAAUAAAAAAACUAAUCAUACUUGAAAUGAGGUAAAUUAAUGCAUAAUGAAAGUUUAAUUCCUUGACUUCCACGUAUGUCAUGCCAUAAUCUCGUUCUUCCGAACUGUUGCACAUGGGGCCUGCAACUGCACGCGCGACAAGCCAGCUAGCUGUGACCGUCCUCAGAUGUAAACGUUCUCAGUUGGCUUUGGCUCCUGCUAAUGGGGCCUUCAACUGCAUUCACAAGUGUGUCGACCACAACUUUAGUUUUUAUUUUUAAUCAUCGACCAAUAGCAUUCGAUCUUAUGGUCUUCGUCGUAAAAAAUCGCUACAUCCUGUUUCCACCAUCUUUUCAUAGACCCAUAGAAUUCUCCUAUACCUACAUUAUUUGCUCAUAACGUGUUGACGCGGAAUAUUUUCUGUUUCCACCAUCUUUUCCUAGACCCAUAGAAUUCUCCUUACUACAUCAUUUGCUCUUAACGUGUUGACGCGGAAUAUUUCUCUACUGAAGAUCAUCGAGCGAGAGACGGAGAGAGGGAAAGAGAGGUCUGCUUAGCUGUGCAAAUUACUGCUAUGGCAAGCUCCAAUGCUAGAACAUCAUCGGGAAGCAAGUACCAAGUGUUCCUGAGUUUCAGAGGACCUGACACUCGGACUGGAUUUACCGAUGUCCUCUUUCAUAGUUUGACCGAUGCUGGAAUCCACGUGUUUCGAGAUGACGAAGAGCUCCGUGUCGGUGAAAGAAUCGAUGGAGCACUUCUGCAAGCGAUCAACAACUCCAGGAUCUAUAUGCCGGUCUUCUCUCGGAACUAUGCUUCGAGCCAAUGGUGUCUUUGUGAGCUCGCACAGAUCGUGGCAAACACCUCGAAAUCGGAAGGUAAUAAAGAGAUCCUACCUAUUUUCUUUGAUGUGGAACCUAACGAUGUUAAAUUGAAAACCCCACUAUAUCACAAUGCCAUACUCAAUUUGGAGCACAAGAAGAAGUUGAGCAACGAGCAAGUAAAUGUUUGGAGAGAGGCCCUCAUGGAGGUUGAUGCCAUAAAGGGGUGGGAGGUGAAGAAAUACAAAGGGUAAGCUAGCUAUUUUCAAGAUACUUGUUUCCCUAAUUUUCCUUAACACUUAAUAAUAGAUCUCAAAAUUCCAGAAUGAUUGAGGUGGGAUUUUUAUUAUAGUAAUACUAAAUGAUGAAUCUUUACGUCUACAAAACAAAAUAUGAAGACAUGAUAUUCAACUUCUACAGUUGUUGGUUGACAAUUGCACAAAUUUUUAUACAACAAUUUUGCUCGAAAAUCCCAAGAUUGCUACUCUCAUGUUGGAAUCAAGUUGAAUUUCGGGUCAUGACAUAGCAUCAACGUUGUCAAGGGCUUAAAAGUAUGUUUUGGAGAGACGUUAAUGUCCAAUAUGGACUUUUAGAAUAUCACUCCUAGGUUUAAGGUCCCAUUACUUAUCAGAUCAUUGUGUAGUUUAUCCAAUGCUUGAAUGACAUCACUUCUAGUUAGGUAAUCGUGAAUUUUCUCACUAAAAUGGAUUUUCAUUGUGGCAGCCACGGAGAACUAAUCAAAUUGGUAGUUGCGAAGGUUGUGGAAUGUUUGAAGUCAAAACAUAGAUUGGUGACUGAACAUUUAAUUGGAAUCGAUGAUCAAGUAGUAGCAGUAAGCAAAUUAUUAGAUGUCGAUUCCGAUGGUGUGCGACUUGUUAAAAUUUAUGGCAUGGGAGGUAUUGGAAAAACUACACUUGCCAAGGUCAUCUUCAACCGACUUUCUUCUCAUUUUGGAAAGUGUUGUUGUUUCCUUGAAGAUGUUCGAGAGAAGUCAUCAAGAACCGAUGGCUUAGUUCACUUGCAAGAAAGGUUACUAUCCGAAAUCGGUCAUCCUGUAGGAACAAAGAGCAUUGAUGAAAUUGAUUAUGGAAUUAAGAGGAUUGAAGAAAUACUUUGUAAUAAGAAAGUCCUUAUUGUACUCGAUGAUGUUGAUAACAACAAACAAGUGGAGAAAUUAGUUGGAAAUAUUACUUUAUAUUAUGGAUCCAAGAUAUUGAUUACAACUAGAAAUAAAGAUAUCUUGCAAGUCAAUAGACAAAAGUAUCAGAUUUUGGAUUAUGAAAUGGAGGUGAUGAGCGCUAGACAUGCGCUUGAGCUUUUCAGUAGGCAUGCAUUUAACACAGACUUUCCUUCAAAUGAUUAUGAUUAUCUUUCAAGGGAGAUUGUAUUUGCUACCGGGAGACUUCCAUUAGCUCUUGAGGUGAUUGGUUCGUUCCUCUACCACAAACCGCAAGAACUAUGGAAAGAGACAUUGCAUAAGUUAAGAAAAGCACCUCAUGAGGAUGUUUUUCAAAAGUUGAAGAUCAGCUAUGAUGCCUUAAAUUUCGAGCAACAACAAAUUUUUCUCGAUAUUGCAUGCUUUUUCAUCAAUAAAGAUAAGGCGAAUGCAUUCUACCUAUGGAAAGGUUGUGAGUUUUUCCCAAAUACAGGAGUUGCUGCUCUCAUUGACAUGUCUUUGGUAAAGAUUGUGGAGAAUGAUAAGUUUUGGAUGCACGAUCAACUUAGAGAUAUGGGAAGAAAAAUUGUUCUCCUAGAAAAUCCAAUAAAUCCCGAGGAGCGGAGUAGGAUAUGGAUUUGUGAGGAGGCUCUUAAUGCAAUAAGACCAAAGCAGGUAAAGCACUUAUGGAGAGAUCUAACUAGUUUUUCCCAUAGAUUCCACUCCAUUGUACCUUCUUGGGUUUUUUUUUUUUUUUAUAAUCCUUUGGCUCUAUGAGAUAGAAUACUGAUAUCACUCAUUUCCUAUUCUCAUUUGUAGAUAAACAAGAAAGUUCAAGCACUAUCUCUUUAUUCAUCUAGACAAAGUAUGUGUGAUGUCUUUGUUCGAAUUAAAUGGAUUGGAAGGUUGGAACAUCUAAGAUUCCUUAAAUUAUCUCACUUAGACCUUGUUGGAGAUGCAACAUAUUGCCUUCCCAAAUCAACAUGGAUUUCUUUGAGUUAUUUUCUGCAAAAAUGGACCAACACGUGCCUAAAGAAUUUAGUCGUUCUUGAAUUUGUCAAUGUUGCUUUCCUUGGUAAUUUGGAAUUCUCAAUCAAGGUGCGUAAUAUUCUUAUUCCUAUUUUAUUUUCUUGGAAAGUAAUAUUCGAUUGUUCAUCUAUUGAGUAUUGCUUUCAUUUUGACAGAUGGCAACAAAAUUGAAAGUUCUUUCUUUCAAAUAUUGUCCAGACAUAAUCAAAACACCUGACUUCUCUAGAUGCCCCAAUUUAGAGAAGCUUACUUUCAGAUGUUGUCACAAUUUGAGGAAAAUCAAUGGCUCUAUUGGGAAGUUGAAGUGUUUGAUUGAUUUGAGGAUUCAUUGCAAUUCUCUCAAACAUUUGCCUAAAGAAAUCGGGGACCUAGUGAAUCUGCAGUAUUUUGAUGUACAUUGCUAUAAAAUGAAGAAACUCCCGAAUUUCAUAUGGAAGUUGAAAUCAUUACGUGAGUUGCACUUUCGAGGUUGUACUUCUAAUGAUUUAGAUUAUGCAAAUUCAUGGACGAUACCUUUUGCUAUUGGAAUGCUCCAAAAUUUGGAAGUGCUUCAAGUCCAUAAUCACUCUUUACAAGGUCGACUUCCUUCUAGCAUUGGAAGUUUGUUCUUUCUAAGAAUCCUAAAUCUAUCAGAAACUUAUGUCAGUGAAGUUCCAAAGACCAUCAGCAUGCUUCCUCGGCUACAAAGAAUCGAGUUGAUGGGAUGCGACAAUAUUCAAGAGUUGCCGACCCUCCCAACAAGUUUAACCCAUCUAAAGGUGUCAUCUAAAUUGUUGCGGGUAGUCUCAGAUCUUUCAAACUUGACUAAUUUGGUUGAGUUGGUUCUAGGUGAUCAUGGAAUAGUAAGAGAUAAAUCUUGUGCCGAUGAGUUACAGUGGAUUGGGAAGUUAUCCAAACUGACCAAAUUAUGGUUCGGACUUCACAAUGUCCCUAUUCAUACUGAGAUGGCUUCCCUUCCUAUGCUAAACGAACUUUAUUUGGAUGGAUUCAACCUACAAACCUUUCCACAACUACCCUUAUCUCUGGAAAAGCUAAUGCUUAGAAAUUUCAAUUCAGUUGCAUUAGCCUAUCUGAACCCAAGAAAUUUGUUAUGUUUAGAGCUGUAUGAUUCUCCAUUGCAAGAACUACCACUUGAUGGGUCUCAACUUCCACAGCUAAAGAAGUUGCGUGUGGAAGGCUGGCAACGCCUCGAAAGGUUGAGGCUAUCAAGAAUGAGGAAGCUAAAUGUUGUCGAGGUGAUUUUUUGUGUAAAGUUAGUUAAGAUCCAACUUUCUUGGGUGUUCAAAUCAAUGGAGUUAUUGACUAUUGACAAUGGCGAGUCCUUAGAAAGGAUAGUUUAUAAGUCAGAUAAUGAAUUGCUUGGUUGUGGACGGAGGCUAAUUUUACCGCCGAGAGUCUUAAAAAAGUUGCGUUUUCUCAACCUGCGGGGGUGCCUUAAGAUAUUCAACGUUCAAGUUGUAGGUACGUUGGAAUUGUUGGAAGACUUUCGCAUUAACGGUUGUCUUUACUUGCAACAUCUCGGUGAUUUGUCAAACUUAAAGAACCUAAAGUCUUUAUCAAUCCGGGGCUGCAAGAGGCUACGGGAUGUUGAGGGCGUCGACGAGUUGGAGUUUCUGAACCGUUUAGCACUUAUUGAUUGCGGAUCGUUGGAAAGGUUGAUUGAUGUGUCAACCACCAAACUGCCAAAUGAUUGCCAUGUGUGGAUCAAAAGGUGCGGGAGAUUACCUGGGGUUAAGAAAGGAUUCAGCGGCUCCGUCCAGUCCUUCAAGCAUUAUAAGGCGAGUCUGGAUCAUUCUCUCUAUUUCUUUUUUAUAUAAUUUCUUGACGCAACCGUCCACGAACACCAAUUCAACUCUAAGGUAGAUAUGUAAUAAUGGUGAGAAAUUAAAAAAUAAACAAAAAUCAAUUAAUAUUUGAUCUCACUUAUUUUAAAACCCACUCGAUAUAAGUUUGUUUUAUUUUCAGCUCACGUUUUUUUUUUUUUUUUAGAUGAGAAAGUUCUGUUCUAUAUGUGCAGCAAAUCUAUGGGACAAGGUCAGCUUUUAUCAAAAGUCAUUGGAAAAAUUGCAAUUUUUAGCGAAAAAUAAAAUAAAAUAAUUUAGAGUAUCUCAUUAAAAUGUUCUUUUCACUUUAUAUGAAAUGAAUUGUUUAUUUAGCAAAUUUUUAUGCAAUACACUCCACUUUAUUGUCAUUUCUUACUUAAUACAAUUCAUUAUGGAGAUGAGUUUAGUGAUUUGCAAUUUCCACAAUGAAAAUAGAACACUAAAAGAAUCCUAUACUCAUUGCACAACUUCAAUAGAAUUUUCUGAGGGAAUUCUUUCAAGAACACAACUUAAAUGGUCCACGGAUCCACAAAUCGGCUGACUUAUGUUAUUGAUGGAGUUGAGCGUUAAUUGAAUUUGCAUGUGGAUGGGGUCGGCCAAUUAGGAUGCGUGUUCCACAAGCAUCUAAAUAUUUAUUAAGAUUUUUCAUUCUAAAAAAAAACAAUGAAAAUCUAAUUUUUGAAAGUCUGCAUCCUUCCCGGUUUUUGACCGUGUUUGUUAAUGGCCACUUUAAACAUCGUUCAGACAUUUAUUUUUUCAGUUGUGAGGAAUUUCGUUUCAUUUCAUCGACCGGCUUCCACUACGCUAGAUAGAGAAGGGGAAAAUGAGGAGGAAAUGCUUCGUCUACUAAAUUUAUAACUAACCCCGAUCUUAUUAUUAUUAUUGGGUAAAAACAUAUUGUUUUUUCUAUCUUAGGAGUUUAUAUCUAAGGCAGAUAAUGGGUCAGACCAAUAAAUGCCUUACUAAUGUCAUGGAUAUAGGUAGCAUACGAGUCAAAGACAGGGCAGAUGGCUGUGAUGUAAAAAUGUUUUUUUUUUAUUUGUCGGUGUGAUGCAAAAUUGUUUACAUUUGGUGAAAUGGAAAAUCGAACUCGUUUGAUAUGCAUAAUCCACAUGCACAAUUUCGUUCUAAUCCUACAUGAUUUACGACAUUUCCUUGUGCGAUAUUGUUUCCUCUUCUAUAUUGAUCCUUUCUCAUAUUUCAAUCUCAACAAAUACAGCCAAAACUUGUAUGUAUGACUUUCAUCAGUUUCUUUUGAGGAUUUUAAAGCAACUCCUAUCUAUUUGAUUGCAUUAUUUUAUUCAUGCCAUUCCUUUUUCGAAAGCUUUCUCCUAAAACUGGCUAUGAUUUUAUUUUUCAGGAAUCAGACUUUGAUUUGACAACAUGUUUCGGACGCUUGUGAAGUUUUGAAGGCAACCCGCACAAUAAUUGUUAGAAUGCAGGGAGGGAACUAGCAUAAUUUUUUAUCGGGGUCAUUGCACUGAAGAGUCCAAAGGUUUCUGAGAAUGAUUUCUAGUACCAGGACAUCAACUUAGGAUGCAGGUGUGACCUCAUCAUUUUCAAGCUAGAAAGAUGAUUUACCCUUGUGGCAGAAUUAAGAGAGUUGUCGUUCCUCACAUCAACAUUUCUUUGAAUCCUUAAAGGAUUCCUCGCUUGAAUUAGUUAUUUCAGGAUUGUCCCAUCUCUUUUCGAUUGGUCUUAGACAACUCAUUCAAAUUGCCCGUCUUGCAAGAAGAACUGCAAAAGUUUAGUACGGGCAGAUUAAGCAUAUGCAGAAUAAUGUUGUGUGAAAGGCCUCAUCCAAUAUAUGAAAUCUACUUGUUAGAGCUGGCAAUCUCUCCAAGACGGGAUAUGACAUAACAUGAACAUCAUCAUAUGUAGAACAGAAAUGGCAUGGCAUUGAUACAUCAUACUCUCUCAUUUCACGUGACCCAACAUGAAUAUGUCAGGCCACAGCACAUUGUGAGCCCUACUUCCAGGCUUGUAUCUUCUAAUAGCUAAUUUUGUCAUACAUAACCAGAACAAAGAUGUCACUAUCCUCUUUAGAGCAUAUUACGGUGAAUUUCAUAUAAGCUUUCGUGGCAAAUAAUAAUGGAAGACUUAGAAUUGAGAUACAAUUGCAAGUGAAAGUUCACAAUUUCAAUAGUUGAUAUGUAUAUCUAUUUUCUUGUAUAUAAAAUACAUCACCAAAAUAAUUAAUCACGGUAGACAGUAGUUGAUAUGUAUUGUUGGUUGAAACGUUCACGCAAGAUUGGCUGUGAUUUUAUUUCUUCAUGAGUCACGUUUUGAUCAGAUUUUGACAUGUUUUGGAGGCUUGUGCAAUUUUGAAGACGACUCUGAUGAUGAUUUUUAGCAUGCAGGGACGGACUAGCAUAUCAGUUUAGUGGGGCCAAUGCACUGAAGAGUCAAAGUUUCCAAGAAUGGUUUCAAAAACCGGGACAUCAAGUUUUGAUGCAGAUGAGAUCUCACCAGUUUCAAGCUCGAUAGAUGAAUUGCCCUUGCGGCUGAUUUAAGGGAAAUGCUGUUCUUCGCAUCAACAUUUCUGAUCCUUGAAUCCUUGUAAGAUUCGUCGCUGGAACUAGUUACUUCUGGAUCAUCGCAUAUAUUUUCGACUAGUUUUGACAACUCAUUCAAAUUGCCCGUCUUGCAUGAAGAGCUGCAAAAAUUUAGUACAAGCAGAUUAAGCAUAUGCAAUAUACUGUCGUCCAAAAGGUCUAAUCCAACAAAUGAAAAUUACUUGUUAGAUUUGGCAAUGUUUCUAAGACAGUGAUGAUACAACAUGAACAGUAUCAUACAUAGAACAUAUGUGACAUGACAUCGAUACAUCUUUUCUAUAACUAGGAGUUAUUUCAAUCUUAAAAGUAAAUAUUAUUUGAAGGACUAUCCCCCUCCCAUUUUAUGUGACUUAGAAGGUUCAACUCAAAGUUGAAUGAAUCAUGCUACAGCAGAUGGUGAACCCUACUUCCAGGCUUGUAGUCUUCCAUUAGAUAAUCCAAUCAUAUGUUACCAGUGACAAAGAUGUCAAUAUCCUUCUCAUAGCAUAUUAUGAUGAAUUUAAUAUGAGCUUUCUUGGCAAAUAAUAAUAGAAGACUUAGACUUGAGAUGCAACAGCAACAAAAUGAUGAGAGAACAUCAAAAGAUUUUUUUGCACAUAUCUACAUGGGUUGAUCAAAAUAGUAAUAUAAAGCAAUUAGGUGAGUCUCAAAUGUCUCAAUGGAAACUAUGAUAUACAGUCAAACAAAAAAUAUCUCAUUUUACCCUAGAUGUCCAUUCAAUAGCAGAACAAUGAUAACCAGUGCAACUUUUUAUGGGGAGGAGGUAAAAUCCUUCCCAUCAUUCCUUCUGAGGGGAGGGGGUGGCAGCGGGAAGAAGAUAACUUACACAUUACUAACUUGCUGUCAGCUACUGUUAAGUACAUGGGGAAAAAGAAAUUAGUAGAAUUUGAGCAAAAUUUCAUUCAAAUAUAAAGUUACAAUUUGAUUGGGUACAGAUGCCUAACCCCAGGUUGACAAGUGUUUUUCACACUAACAUGGCUUCCUGUCAAAGGAGAUUGACUUUUUGCGUGCUCCCUUGCAAGUGAAUUUAGAUCAACAAGUGACUUUCCCUCAACUUGAGAAUCUUUGGCUUUGUCUCCCAACCUAUUGAACAUUGCGUAAACCAUGUGAUGUUAUAAAGCACUCCAUAUCCAAUCAAAGAAACUGGAAUAAAAUAGAAAAUUUUCAUCCUUUCUCAUUUAGAUGCACAGAAGCAAGUCUUUUACUAAUAAUUUGAGUAAGCUUUCUCCUAGUGAUAGUUCUCGAGAACACUAACUCUUGAUUUCCUCUGAUCCAUCGAAUAAAUUUGAGUGGGUUUGUCCAAGCAUCCUACAGGAAAAGAAAGAGCACAAUGCAUGAGCUACAGGCUCUCUGCUUGGGACAUCAACAUAGUAGUAAAAGUGAACUAAGAAGUGCAAAAAUGUAAUGCUGAUCCACACAAUUUUCUACUCAAAUCUGGAAAUUAUCAUCAAAUGCAUCAAUAUGAUAGCCAAAACCCAAUGAAUGAGUGCAUCAAACUGAUGACCACAAGAACUUGCUGUGUUCCUGUCCUUGGAACAUUGAGCUACAGACGCAUAUUCUUCCUAAAUUCUGAUAAAAUCAACUAUCAAGUCCUUGUUUCUUAAAAAGAGACAUUAAUGACUCAUUGCUCUUAGUAAAUGGCAUAAACUUGCCAAUGUUAUCCUCUUAUAAGUUUUCUGUCCUCUCAUUCCACAAAUCACUUAAAGGUAAGGGAUAAAGUAGGGUCAACCUAAUGACAAACAUUUCACCGUCAUGCAUUACUUUACUCAUAUGAAGAUUUGUGGCAGAUUUGGCCUCUUCUAUAUCAGCCUUAGUAGUAUUCCAAGUAUCAAGAAAAGGUUUACUGCUUUAGUUUGCCUUGCCUUCUGUUCCUGGAACAUGUGACAUAGUUAAACCUUCUAAAUGUACGUUGCCACAAGAAUAUGUGGCUUCCCCUACCAUUUGUUCCUUGUUACUCUGCUCUUCAUAUAAAGCGGAAUUUAAACUUUUGAUGAUAGAAAAAUCCUUUCUUGGAAGCUCUGGAAUGGUACUUAAAUUUUGUAUCAGCCCUGGGCGGAACGUGAAACUUCUCUUGGUACUUUUCAUCUGAUGUACAACCUUGUUGAUUGGAUUCUUGAGCGCACGUGCUGUUUGUCCUAUCCAAAGAAGAUCGUUCUAGGAUUGAAUUUCUACAAGCUGCAGAUAAAGUUAGACAUAGAGUUGAAGUUACAGAAAUCUCUACCAAAACUUAUGAUGUUACUCACACAACGUGUUGAUUCAUCAUUAUCAAUGACAGCUUUAUCUUCACAGUCUGUAAUUGCCUCAGGAAGGAGACUUUUCGAGCCCUGGUGCUCAUUCAUCUCUGUAAAUCUCCCUUUGCUUCCUAUGACCUUCUUCCGACCUUGUUCUCCCUCAGUCAUGGAUGAAUCAAGAUUAGAGCCGUCCAACGUGGAUAGCACAAUGACUGCUAAGGUCCUAAAUGCAAACACGAGUCAUGAAAUUUGUUUCGAGUGUUUCCUUUUUUUUUUGGUAUGAUAUUGUUUCCUCUUAUAAAUAGAUCCUUUCUCAUACUUUAAUCUCAAAAAAUGCAGUUAAAACCUACAUAUAGGACUUUUAUCAGAUUUUUCAAGGAACUUAGAACAGCUUCUAUUUAUUUUCUUGUGCAUGGUAUUCAUUAACAAAUAGGUCAAACACUCUGGACACUAGUUGAUAUGUAUAACUAAUUGGUUUGACUGCAUAAUCUCAAUCAUUUCUUUCCUUUUCUGAAACUUUCAUGGAAGAUUGGUUGCGAUUUUGUUGUUCAGGAAUCACACUUUGAUUGGACCACAUGUUUUGGACGCUUGUGAAGUUUGGAAGACAAGUCUUGCAACAAUGCUUAGCUUGCAGGGAUCGAGCUAGCAUAUUUCUAAGAAUGAUUUCAAAUUCCAGGACAUCAAGUUAGGAGGCAGGUGAGACCUCAUUUUGAGAGAGUUACUAUUUUUCAACGACAUUUAAAAGAUUCUUUGCUUGAAUUAGUGACUUCAGGAUUGAUGCAAAUCUUUUUCGUUGGUUUUGACAACUCAUUCAGAUUGCCUGUCUUGCUUGGAGAACUGGAAAAGUUUAGUACAAGUAGAUUAAGCAUAUGCAGAAUAAUGUUGUGUCAAUGGACUUAUCCAAUAUACGAAUUCUACUUAUAAGUGAAGUACAUGGAAAAAAAAAGUGGUAGAAUUUGAACAAAAUCUCAUUUUGCUCUAAAAUUAUAAUUUGAUUGGGUACAGAUGCUUCACCUCGGUAGAGAAGUGGUGCUCACACUGAUAUGGCUUGUUGUCAAAGGAGAUUGACUAUUCGUGUGCUUCCUCACGAGAGAAUUUAGACCAACAAGCUUUCUCCAAGUUGAUGGCUCUUAAGAAGACCGACUCUUAAUUUCCUCUGAUCUCUUCAAAAACUUUGAGUGGGCUUGUCAAGGCUGUCUACAGGUAAAGAAGGAGGACGAUAUACAAGCUGCAGGCUUUCUUCUAAUAGCAUUCGAUGUAUCAAUAAAAGGUUUAUAGCUUUCAUUUGCCUUCUGUUCUUGGAAUAUGUGGCACAGUUGAACCUUCCGAGCCCUUACCAUAUCUUCCCUGUUACUCUGCUCUUCACCCAAAGUGGAAUUCAAACUUUUGACAAUAAACAAAUCAUUUCUCGGAAUCUCUGGAAUGGUACUUAAAUUUGUAUCAAACCUGGGCUGCACAUUUACUUCUCCUGGUUCUCUUUGAUCUGAUGAAUAACCUUGUUGAUCAGACUCCUGAUUACACAUGCCAUUUGACCUAUACAAAGAAGAUCGUUCUCGGAUUGGAUUUCUACAGGCUGUAGACUUUGGCACCCGAUCAAUUUUUUUUUUCUUGGGUUGGGCAUAGAAGUUAAAGUUACAGAAGUUUUCUCCCUGAAUCUCUGGUGUACCCACACAGUGUGUAGAUUGAACAUUGUCAAUGAUAGCAUUAUCCUCACAGUCUGCAAUUGCCUCGCCAAGGUGAGUUUUUGAGCCCUGGUGCUCAUUCAUCUCUAAAGAUCUCCCUUUGCUUCCUAUAACAUUCUUCCCACAUUGUUCUCACUCAGGCAUGGAUGAAUCAAAAUUAAAGCCAUCCAACGUGGGUAAUUUAAACAUCAGAAACUAUACCAUUAUGUUGUAGAAAAUAAAUUUAUUACUGUAUUAUGAGUCCUCCCAUCGCACUUGGAUCAUCCACUUUCCGGCACAAUGAAGCUCAAUUAAGAUGAAUGACAUGUAACAUGUACAUCAGAACAGCCACUUAUCAUGGUAUCAUUUUUUCUGAAGAGAGAUGCCAUGAAAUAGCAUUAUCUUUGAGCAAAAUCUGUGCCCUGAGUGGCGAAAAUCUCCAACUCAUACCUCAGAAAUCAAGACAAGAGCAGGUAAAUACUGUAAGUAAUAGCGAUUUUCUUUACAUAAGCGCUUACAUUGUGGUGAAACCGCAAGGAACCAUAGACUAUCAGUAAUAGGCUCACAACAAUUAUGAAGAUACAUAUUUAUAGGCUUGUUUCACGGGAAACUACACUUCCCAGUUUCUGAAGUCAAAUGCACCAGAAUACUCAGAUAAACAUUAUAAUUCAGAAAGAAAUCCUUCCCUGUGCCUAAUUUCUAAUGUCAAAGAAGAUGCUCCAAUGAACUCCAUAAAGCCAGUCAACCUCGAUCACAAAGGGGUUUCUGAAACCAAAUGAGCCAAUGAAACAUACAGCAAAAGCCAUUCGGAAACUCGACCCGCUCAUGAAUUACCUCUGUUUUACGCUAUGAAACAAAUAGCAAACACUGACAUUUCACAGUUACGAGCAACAAAAGUUCGCUAGAUCGAGACAAGCAUAGGAUCUCCAGAGAGCAAGGUCCAGCGCGGGAGAGAGAGAUGGACUGGGUCUGAAUAGAGAAGAGAGGAGUAAUCUGGUUCUUCUGAGGUUUAUGAAAGGUGACUAUAUAUAUAUAUAUAUACCUAAGUAAGUCCUUGAAAGAUUCAUCUUGGUAUUCGUUUGAAACUCGGCAUCACUGAAAUAUAAAACAACAAAAGAGUAUUCCUUCCAUUUGAGAUUGACAAAGAUACAAGGGGACUAGGGGGCGAAACGUACAAACACUGAUAUGUUCAAAUAAUGAACCGAUCUGUGGAGCCUACUGCUGUCCAACAGGCUGCAGAGGCUCUUCUAAGAGCUCAAGCUCCCUUCCUUUGACGAAGUUACCUCAUAAUCAAACACCAAUACGAUAAUAAAUAUUAGCUAUAUAUAUAAAACCUCAGAAGUCCUAUUUCACCCCUUCAAUGGAACCAUUUUCGCCAAAUUGCCCCGAAAUUGUUUAAUUUAUUUCAAAUAUUCCCCCCCUCCCCCCAAAACACAUGGGUAAGUUGGUAAUUUCAUAAAAAAUAAUAAUAACUUACCAACAAACCACCUAGAAAAAUCAUCCCGUCCUUUUCUUUUACCAACAAUUCUUUAAUGCUUUCAAAAAAAAAAUCAAAAUUAUCUAUAUAGGAAAAAUUAAAAAAUAAUAUCUUAUGGUACGGAAGUAUAGAAUCGUGGCUCCGUUCCCUCCUCCCCAUAUCAUUCAUUUGACUUUUAGGAUUUAUGGCAUGAAAUGCUCCACGUGUCACAUCCACCAAACUUAACACCCUUCAAAAUCCCAACCACACCUUUAUCUUUAAAAAAAAAAAAAGUUCCAUGGCAUCGACAUUGAUGCGGACCACCUAUAAAUUCUAAAUCCCCAACAAAUAAAGUCAUAACUCUCCCAAAAAUGAAACCCUAACCUUUCCGAAUUUCAUGUGCCAGAAACCAACCGAUCGACAAAAUGCAAGUCCAAAUCCAUGAAACCAAACUCAUCCAACCCGCUACACCACCACUUCCCGAUCAAGAACCGGUCCUCCCUCUCUCGCACCUCGACACCGAUCCUAAUCUCGACAUCACGUUCCGUUACCUCCGUGUGUAUGUAAAUGCCGACCAAACGAAGCGCGCCCACGAUACACCGUACCAUGUCAUUGCCAGAGCGCUCUCUGGUGCACUUUGUUACUACUACCCUCUAUGCGGCACGCUUCGCCCUGGCGAUAACGAUCAUCACCGCCUCGAGCUACAUUGUGUUGCCGGCCAAGGCAUGCCGCUCGUUCAUGCCACCGCCAAUUGCACUCUCCAUGCGGUUAAAAACCUUGAUGACGCGGACUCGGGUUUCUUGGAGCAGCUGAUACCCAACCCGGAUCCGGAGGAGAGUUUGGCCAACCCGUGCAUGCUCCAAGUCACAGUGUUCGAAUGUGGGGGGUUCAGCUUAGGCACCGCCAUACACCACACCAUGUGCGAUGGGCUCGGGGCGACCCUAUUCUUCGGGGCGGCGGCGGAGCUAGCUCGUGGGGCGGAGCGAGUUUCCAUCGAGCCAGUGUGGGACCGAGCCGUCUUGUUGGGACCAAGGAGUCCGGCUCGGAUCGAGGCGCUAGUUGGGGAUUACCUAUGCGAGAAGGGUCGGAACCCGUACGAUGAUGAAGAGAAUUGCAAGUUUGGUCGGGAGUUUUUCCACGUGAAAGAGGAGUGGUUGGACCGAUUUAAGGCAUUGAUGCUGGAAAAGUGCGGCCAGAAGUUCACCACGUUCGAAGCUUUAGGUGCAUUCAUUUGGCGCGCAAAGUAAGUCAUUUAAGUACACCAACCUUUUCGAGAUUAUCUUAGGAUUAUCCUUCUGAUUACACUGUUAAUUUAGAGAUUUGCACAUAUGUAAAUAUCCGGCCGCAACGUCUUGACUUCAAUCGAUUAACAAAUUCCUGAAAUAGGGUCAAAGUAUCGGACAUUCCGGGGGACGAGACGGUGAAAUUCUCAUACUCGACGAACAUCCGCAAGGUGCUGAAACCGCCAUUGCCCGUCGGCUACUGGGGCAACGGAUGUGUCCCGAUAUACGUCCAACUGACGGCGAGAGACUUGCUGGAAAAGCCAAUUUGGGAAGUCGCGGAGCUGAUCAGGAAGAGCAAGCGCAACGCAAGUGAUGAGUACGUGCGAUCGUACAUCGACUUUCAAGAAGCACAUCGAAGAGAAGGCGUCUCGGCAGGUCAGAAGGAGAAGGCUUUCGUGUUGUUUUUAUUUUUUAUUUUUCCUUUUAAGAUACAUUGCAUAGCAAACAUUGACAUUGACCACGAAAUAGUAUAUAUUUCUGUUAUUACCUCGCGAUUAUGGAGACACAAGCCAAUCAAUUUUCAAUGAAUUGAGUGCAUGUUAAGGAAAUAUACUUUUUUAUUUCAAUUUCUCAGGAAAAAAAAUUAUCGGCUUGUAAUAUCACACGCUUAGGACACUUUGUAUAAGAAUACAUAAGAUACUUUAUGGUCAUAAAUAGCCAAGUGUCCGUAUAUUAUGAUUUACAUGUCUAUUAUCAUCUAAUGUCCUAUAAAUAGGCACACUUACACUUUUUAAUAUCUUGAGGUCUUCAUUAGGAGUACGAUAUUGUGAUUUCUCAAAUUUAAACUGUAUGCAGUGAGUCGGGAGUCUACAACGUCUAGUAGAAUUAGUCAGAUGUUUGAAGAAUCUCGGAUAUCCAAUUUGAAAUACAAGAUUGUUAGUCGACUAGCGUAUUGCGGCCACUUAUCAAAUGUUAUCCAACACAAAUUCUCCUUUGGCAUAUUUCAACGCAUUUUCACAGUAAAACUAGCUACAACAUCGUCUAUAAAAAAAAAAAACUAGCUACAACAUCGUCUGUAAAAUGAGCUCACUCGAUGAUUUUUGUUUUCAGGAAAAAAUGUGAGCGGAUUCACGGAUUGGAGGCAUUUGGGGCACUCGGCGGUGGAUUUUGGGUGGGGAGGGCCGGCCAACGUGCUGCCUCUCUCGAGGAAGCUCUUGGGGAGCAACGAGGCUUGCUUCUUCUUGCCUUGUUCCGAGGUCGGAGUCAGAGAUCCGAGCGAUGGCUUUAGGGUUUUGGUGAAUCUGAAGGACAGGUGCUUGUGUAGUUUUAAGGAGGAGAUGGAGAAGCUUGGGAAGAUGGAGUUUGGCUUUGCUUAAUGUCAAAGCAAGAUGCUUGAGUGGCUAUUUCAUUGUAAGCUGUGGACGUUGGUUUUGUACUUUGGAGGAAGUUCCUAUGGGGGACUUUCAUUUCCCCCAUCCAAGUUUGAUCUAAUUCUCUUCUCUCUCUCUUUUUAUGAACUUAUUGCGAUCAUUACACUAUUCAUAUGAUAUGAUCGGCGAUCAUAUUUAUGUUAAAAUCAACAUUCAUACGUGAAAUUCAAAAUGAAAAUCGACGGAAGAAUUCUAUAGUCAUGGAUGAAGAGGUUUGCCACUAACAUUUUUUUUUAAUCAUAUCUCAACUAUAGCAAGAGAAAGCCUAGAAUUCUGAGUGAGUGAACCUGUCAACGCAUUUUCCAGGUCUAUCACUUAUCAAAAGCUUGAUUAGGCAAUUUAGCUUGCUGAACUAAUGAAGUGGAGUAAAACCUAGCUAAGUAGAUAGGCCAAAUAAGAUGAGAAAAACUGGCGAAGCUCCUAGUCCCAUGAUAAACUCUAAAGAUUGGCCUUCCCACAUCGUUAGGAGCCUUUGACAUGUCAGUCAUUAUCUCAAUCAACCGCCUUACCCCAUUCUUCUUUUGAUGAAAUGCGAUUGUUUCUUUGACUAUAUUACACAGACUAAAUCAACUCUCCCAAAUUAAUCACACAAUUCAAGAAUUUAAAGGACCCAUAAUGAAUCUCACCAAAUAUAUAUAUAUUAUGAUUAGCUCUGUCUAACAUGCUAUAAUCCCCAAAUAAACUUUGUACAAAAUUUGAUAGCGAGAAAGAGUGUCUAAACAAAAUAUGAUAGAUGAAGAAUAAUUUCCUAGGUCUAGAGUCUAGACAGAUAACGCCUUGACCUAAGUUAGCUAAAUAAGGAAAUCAAGAUAAGAAAAGGAAAUCACAGGGAAUACACGCCAAUGCAAAUAACAAAAGUUAAUCCCUCCCACAACGCUCGCACAAUGUGUUUAAAAAAAUUAUAUAAAAUCAGUCGAUUUGCUACACUAAUUGUUGUUAGGAAUACGAGUCAAUAACGUAUGUCAAGCAUAUUCCCAUUAAUUUUCCAUAGGUAACGUAUUUGAUAUGCAUUAGUCGGCUCUCCAUUCUAACAUCUUUAGCUUUUCUAACAUUUCAUUAUCACAUAAGUAUCUAAGCCAAUUUUAAAAAGCUUUAUCUUGUUUCUCAUCUAGAUUUUAGGAACCUCAAGUUGUAAAAUGACUAGAGUUUUAUUUUUUAUUUUUUUGGGUAAAAGGUAAGAAUAUAUUGAGGAAAGACCAAAUGUACAAAAGAUCUCGUUACCAAAAACUUACACUCCAAAUAUAGGAACAAAAGGAGUGGAAGGGUGACGAGAUGUAAAAGCCAUGGCACACACACUACAAUACCAAAACCAAAAAGAAGCACGGCAUAGACAACCGGCUACCAGACACGCCACAGGUGAGGAAGAGGUCACUGUUGGAUCGAAGUACCUACGAGUCCCCGGUGAAAAUAAUUGAGUCUAGGCCCUAACUUCUUUACAACCUUCUGUUUCUGAAAUUAUCUUUGAUGUUCCUGAAGGUGAUAGCCUUGUCUUGGACCACUGGUCGGAAUAGUCUCCAAAGAUGAUGCUAUUUCAAAUGAUAUGACAAAGGGCACCAAAGGAAAAAUGGCAAUGCACUUGUAGAAAUCUUUACCCAUCAAAUAGGUAGCGGCCUAGCGGAGGUUCUCCCUCCAAGUUUUGUUGCGCCAAUACAAAUUGCAUUGAAAGCCCAAAAGAAUAAAAUGGCUAGAGUUUAUUCCUUCCCGUUGGGGAAAUAAAAAAUAUAAGGGGAAUCAGAUGCGCAAGACGUGGGGGCACCGGCCGGCAGGUGAAUAUAAGAAAACGAAUGGAAGUUAAGAUCACCCCCUUUUUUUUUUAAACAGACAUAAAUGUAACGACCACAACGGGCUGGGCCGGAAGGAUGAAGAAAGUCCAGUAGGGAGAAUCCCGAAGGCUUUGCUGAAAUCUAUCGCCUUAUCCUCAAAGUGACGAACCAAUAGGAGUUUUUCUCGAAAAAUAAAAUAAAUCCACUGAAAAUCUAUGUGAAGCCAGCGAGAGAAGCGCUAGCUCUGCGAGACGAAGAAGCCAUGGCGUCUCUCCUGGGAACUUCUUCCACAGCAAUCUUGGCCUCACGGCGCCUCUCCCCACUUUCAGGUGCACUUUCCUGCACAUGUUUCAAGCGUUUGGGGGAUAAUCCGGACGACCCAUUUCGGUUCUGGUCUUUAAUUUGCUCGAAUUCGACUAUUUCGAGCUCGGGGUUUAUGAGGUUUUUAAUGGGGUCUGUGGAAUUUGCCUUUGUUGUUGAAUUUUCUUGUUUGCAGUGCAGAAUCAUGGCAAGAAAUGUUAUGGAGGGAUUGGGUUUCAGGCCAAGAAAGGAAGGUCGCCGUGGCAUCUUGCCGUCACCAAUGUCGCGACCGAUAUCAAUUCUGUCGAGCAGGUAUCGAUUCUUUCCUUUGCCUUUUCUUUUACUAGCUCUAUGCAUUUCUGGGAAGUUGCAGCAAGAGACUGGUGUAGAUUGAUGCUUCAAAUUUGUUAAUUGCUGAGUUUUUUAGUGAAAAUAGACUGAAAAUUGGGCUGCUUCCAUUGCAUUUAGUGAUUAAGUGAGGAUUUCUUAGGCUGAGGCAUUACGCUAAUCGAAGUCGAUUGGGAAAAAGAAAAUGCUUUGCAGUUGAUGGUUGUUUGAGCGUGGUCUUGUUGAGUGAAGUGAGAAUUGUUUGGGGGAGAAUUAGCAUGGAUUGCUUCUGUAGGAUUUUGUGAGCUGGAUUGGAUGGAUUUUUUUCAUUUUUCAGGCUCAGAAGCUUGCCUCUAAGGAGAGUCAGAGGCCGGUCUAUCCUUUCGCCGCUAUUGUUGGGCAAGAUGAGAUGAAGCUGUGCCUCUUACUAAAUGUCAUUGAUCCUAAGAUUGGUGGUGUCAUGAUUAUGGGAGAUAGGGGCACCGGGAAAUCCACUACCGUCCGGUCAUUGGUCGAUUUACUCCCUGAGAUCCAGGUGGUUGCUGGCGACCCGUAUAACUCGGACCCUCAAGAUCCGGAAUCCAUGGGCGUGGAAGUUCGGGAACUAGUGAUAAAAGGGGAACAACUCCCUGUUGUGUCAACCAAAAUCAACAUGGUGGAUUUGCCACUGGGGGCCACGGAAGAUAGGGUGUGCGGUACGAUAGACAUCGAGAAAGCCCUCACUGAGGGUGUCAAGGCAUUUGAGCCAGGCCUUCUUGCUAAAGCUAACAGAGGGAUUCUUUACGUGGACGAAGUUAACCUUUUGGAUGAUCACUUGGUGGAUGUUCUUUUAGAUUCCGCUGCCUCGGGAUGGAACACCGUGGAGAGGGAAGGAAUCUCCAUUUCGCACCCCGCUCGAUUCAUUCUCAUUGGCUCAGGAAAUCCUGAAGAAGGGGAGUUGAGACCGCAGCUUCUUGAUCGGUUCGGUAUGCAUGCACAGGUAGGGACAGUGAGGGAUGCAGAACUGAGGGUAAAGAUCGUGGAGGAGAGAUCAAGAUUUGACAAGAACCCCAAGGAGUUCCGUGAUUCUUACAAAGCAGAGCAAGAGAAGUUGCAGCAGCAAAUAAGGUCGGCUAGGAGUAAUCUCUCCUCUGUCCAAAUUGAUCAAGAUCUUAAGGUGAAAAUUUCCAAGGUUUGUGCUGAGCUGAAUGUCGAUGGAUUAAGAGGAGACAUUGUGAGUAACAGAGCAGCUAAGGCCUUGGCUUCUCUGAAGGGAAGAGACAAUGUAACCCUGGAAGAUAUUGCCACUGUGAUUCCAAACUGCUUGAGGCAUCGGCUUCGCAAAGAUCCCUUGGAAUCAAUUGACUCGGGACUACUGAUAAUUGAAAAGUUUUAUGAAGUUUUCACCUGAGGUACAUAGCGAAAUGACUCUUUUUCCCUUGCUGAAAUUACGUUUUUCUCCCAUCCCGCUGUAAUUUUUGCAUUGUAGUUUUAUUUUAUGAAUGAAAUGUUAAGUGGAGCAGCGUUUCAGUUUCAAUGGUUUCUAUAGCUCCGCAUACUUGUUUAUGCAUUUGGAACAACCAUGCUAGCGUAGUGUCUUGUUCUUGAUGAUAAAAUUGAGGAAAUUAAGAUGCAGAAGGAAAGAUUGGUUAUGGAUGGUGAAGCUGUCACCAGAAGUUACUUUUCCUCCAUUUGCUUUCGAUUCGAAAUGUUUGAUCUGCGAUUCUAUGUUGUAUUAUGAGACAGUUGUGAUUUUUAACUGAAAGUUUCCAUUGCAGUUGUGUGCUUUUCCUCUAUUUGUCUACAUUGUGAGAUAUAUUGAUCGAACAAGGAAAGCUAAAAACAGAUUCUAGGAAUGUAGCAAAGCUCAGGUUUUAUUCUCUUCGGUUCUGGCCCUGCAAUAAUCAGUGGAAGCCAAAUGCUACAUUAUAAAAAAAAUUUCUACAGAACAAACAAAAUUCUCGACACGAAUGAGGAACAACUGCCAGAUCUUGAGAAACAUUUCUAAAGGCGCAUCGAAGAUCAACUCAACCUAGGAGGGAUUCAGGACAGGAUGGUAUGUGCUCUCAUUGGAAAGUACACCAAGUACGCGAACCACUGUGAUGCCUCGAUAUGUGAAUAAAAAUGGAAAAGAAACUUUGCGUGGAAUUUUCAGGAUCUGUGUAGUUUAGUCAAAGAUAUCGCCGAUUUGCUUUGCAAUUGUAGCUCUAAAUGAACAAGCAAUAGAGAUAUGCAGGACACUAGUGUUAGACAGCCACAAUUCUAGUAGCCAUAUCAGUCUUUUACACUGUAGCAUGCGGAGCUAUGAGGAUCGACGCUGUCGUGAUUUCGAACUCACUACCAAAACCCUAUUUUUCCAAGUAAUGAGUUUCUCCAAUGUAAAUUGACACUUAGCACCUGGUAGCUCAAAUUCAGGUUUCUGUCUCUACAUUAGAUGACAAGAAUGGCUAUUCUCACAAUGUCAAGAUUGGAACUUUAUUUGAGUUUGUUAUUGAUUAUGCAAUAACACAGAACAUCCUAGGAAUGCCAAAAUUUGGGACAGCGCUCUGCAAAUGCCGGCGGCCGCUGGUAUACGACCGAUGCGGUCCUUAUCAAUAUUCCAGCUGUUAGAGCAAAUAUCUCAUACUUCUUAUCUGCUGUUUGAUGGUCGAAACGAUGGAGCAGAUACUUAUCUCCCAUCCACUCCCUCUCCUCCGCUCUCCUGUUCUCGUCCUGUGACACAUAAGCGAAAUUCAGGUGGCAUCGAAAGAUAAAUUUCUCGUUGUUUGAGGACAUGUUUUCCUGACGAAAAAAAUGAGGAGUAAUCGCCGUACAUGAAGAAACAUUUCUAAAGGCGCAUCGAAGAUCGCUUCCACCUCGGCCGGAUUCGUGGCUGGAUGGUAUGAAUUCUUGUCGGCAAGAAUGCCAACCACAGGAACCACCGUGAUACCUAUCUGUGCAAAUUGAAGCCGACAUGAGAAACUUCACACAGAAAUAUUUCAUAGUCUAUUUUCAGUCGUCAGAUGGGCAAGAUCAGCAGAUCAUUUCGCAAUUCCAGCACUAAAUUCUGAAGAAACAUGGAGACUGCAGCCUCCCAUUGCGAGAAUCGGUGCUGUCAUCUCCAGCGUAGUUUCCUAAUCUCUACGGAACAACAUCAUUCCUAGAAACGACUAGCUGAGCUUCGGCAUCGCUAGAAACUCAAUGCGAAGAUGGACCGAGAGGGCAAACAGUUGAGACUGAUGCAGCUGCAAUAGAACCGAUGUAUGCGCAAGCUGGAUUAACGUCCUUACCUUGGUCACGAAUGGUUGAAGAACAGUGACGACUUCAACGAGAGAUGGGUCCAACCCGAUCUCCUCCUUGGCCUCCCUCAAGGCCGUCGCGAUGUCGUCGGCGUCGCCUUCCUCCCGUUUCCCACCAGGCAACGAAACUUCUCCUGUAAAAAUGAAAUACAGCGCACAGCUCAUGUUCUGACUCGCGCACAGAAACCAGAACUUCAUAACGAGGAGGGAAAAUAACGCCAUGAAUGGAAUGAAUAGAAAAGCAUAAAAUUUUAUAAAAUGUUCAAUAGUUGAAACCAGAUUCUCUUAGAGAGACUAACAAAUUUUCGCUAAUUUGCAAAAAGAAAGUUGUAAGGAAUAUCCAUGGAUCUUUAAAUCACUAUGCAACAUGCGAAAAAGAAAGCAUCAUGGUAAGAUACGUGCAGCUGGCAAUUCAAUUUAUUAAAUGGAGUUUAAAAGUUCAUUCAACCUAUGACGGAAUUUAGACUCCACUGGCUAUGGACGCUAUAAUAAUCCACCAACAAAAAGUCCACAUUUCACUUUAUUUUUAGGAAAGACAAUCUUCUAACGCAACAUGUACCGAUAGAUAUUAGUAGAAGUUCUUGACGAAGGACCUGUUCGAUGACUUCAUUUAAAUGCUGGAAACAAAAAAGCCAGCACUUAAUGAAAUUCAAUUUGUUAGAUAACCAUCGCUAGAAUUUAUUUGAAAAAUUCAAUUAAAUAAAAAAUCACUAAUUUGGUAUGCGAGUAAAGGCUUAAUAACUCACUAAGAAGAAAAGUUAAUAAUGGAUGUUAAUUGGAAGCAUAUGGUUAAAACUUAUCGAUAGUUAUUACAGUUUCAUGUUUGUAAAGAAAGUAAUGUUUAAUUUAUUUUUUAUUAUCGUCGAACGACAUUUCAGUUCUAUUUUCAGCACUUCGGAUCAUGAUCACUUAAAAUUUAGUACGAACACUUCCAGCACUUAAAUUUUUAAUUUCACCAAACAAGUCCGAAAUGAUAUGCCAGUUUUGUUUUGACUGAUUAAAGAAGCUAAUGAUUCAACAUAUGGGUCCUACUUGUCUCAAUAUCCAAUUGAAAAUUGCCACGUACUCUGUAGAAAAAAAAAACCUCUCCGUGUUUCUCCCAUUCUCCAAUCAACCGUUUCCCUCGUGUCGAAAUUACCAACAUGGUCAACUUUGAUGGCCCAUGCAGCUGUACAAAUUAUGUGCCCCUUCGAAGAAUUUGAAUAUUAAAAUUCAUGACAACCUAACUUUUCUCUUCCAACUUUUUUGAUUGCCCACUACUCCAGCUACCUAAUUAUCACUUUUUUUUAAUUAAAUAUUCAGUUGCUUGGCUUCUACAAAUUUAAGUAUAGACGCCUAUGUUGAUAACUUACUGAUAAAUGCUGAUGGACAUUUCGGCCCGCGGGUGAUUCGUAAUUAAUGCAAACCACGAGGGCCUGAUGAUGGAAGGAAAGCCUACCAGGAUGAGCAGAGAGCGUGGAGGCGCGUUUGGUGAGCAGGACACGCAGAUCUCCCUCGCCCCCGCCGCCGCUGCCUUCGAAGAGACAGAUCAGAACCGCAGCUCUCGUCGAACGGGGCCUGCGGCGGAGAGACUCCGGCGCAAUCUCCGACCCCUGGCCGGCGCCUGUCUCGGAACUGUCCAGUGUUUCGGGCUGCUGCCGAUCCGUUUGCCCGGAAGGAGGAGGUGGCUCGUAGCAACGGAGCCGUCGCGCCAGAGGGGCGAGCCCGUGGGAGUCCGGGAGAGCGAGCGGAGAGGCUGUUGAUGGAGUAGUACUAGUCAUGGUUCGGUUGGUGGGUUGGUUGCAAAAUGGCCAGUCAAUUAUAUAGGUACGACGGGAUGUCUUGGGUAACAGUCGUGGCACGUGGCACAAUGGGUCAAGAAGGAUAGCCUGGACAAGCCAUUCCCUUCUUGGGUCCAUGGGUCCAUCCACUGAUCACACCUAACUUCUACCACAAGACCAAGUGUUACAAGAUAUUGAGUAAUCCUAGAGUACUACAAAUGAGUAAUAAUCCAUCUGGAAGGAUUUCGGUAACGAGCGAUCUUGGAUAUAAAUUAAUAUAAGCACGCUAAAGGAGAAAUAGUUUAUUUUUCGAUAUAGUGAUUGCGCAUGACACGAGACAAUCGUUGCAUUUGAGGCCAAGAAGCUCCCUUGGCUGUCCCAUCUCGCGCGGCGGGAAGUUAAAAAGACCGAGCGCCCGCCUAUGCAGUAUUCACCUUCCAUACGUGCCUGGUGGAUGUUGUUUCAGAUUCCGCCGUCUCGGGAUGGAACAUCGCGGAGAGAGCAGGAAUCUCCAUUUUGCACCCGGCUCGGUUCAUUCCCGUUGACGCGGGAGGUCCUGAAGAAAGGGAAGUUGAGACCGCAGCUUCUUGAUCGGUUCGGUAUGCACGCACAGGUAGGGACAGCGAGGGAUGCGGAGCUGAGGGUAAAGAUCGUGGAGGGGAAAGCGAGAUUCGACAAGGAGUUACCGUGAUUUUUACAAAGCAGAGCAAGAGAAGUUGCAGCAGCUAAUAGUUUCGGAUAGGAGUAAUCUCUCUUCUGUCCACAUUGACCAAGAUCUCAAGGUGAAAAUCUGCAGGGUUUGCGUCAAAGCUGGACGUGGAUGGACUAAGAGGAGGUAUCGUGACUAACGGAGCAGCUAAGGCCUUGUCUGCUCUGAAGGGAAGAGACAAGGUAACCACGGAAGAUAUCGCCACUGUGAUUCCAAAGUGUGUGAGGCGUCGGCUUUGCAAAGAUCCCUCAGAAUCAAUUGAAUCUGGUUUUGGAUAGUUUUCACGCCGAAGUUCUUCUUUUAUGAAUGACAUGCUUAGAGUGAGGUAGGAGAGAUUGGUUAUGGACAGUGAUCCUCCUGCAAGCAGUCCCUUUUUCUCAAUUUUCUUGCCAUUCGAUGCGUUUGAUCUGCGAUUACAUGUUGGGUUAUGAAACAGUCGCGAUUUUCAAACCGAGUUUCCAUUGCAGUUGUGUGCUUUUCCUCUAUCUGUUGCAACGUUCCUUCUCCUCUAUUCGUAUACAUCACAAUGUAUCGAUCAAAUGGCGAGAAAAGCGUGAAACAAAUUCUAGGUAGUGAAAACGGCGGAGGUGCUAAUUCACGGCUAGCUAACAGAUAUUGAUCAUGAUUUCGAAUUUGCUACCAAGCACUACUGUUCCAAGGAAUGAGACUUAUUGACAGUCACCAACUUGGCAGCUUAAAUUCAGGUUUUUCUCUCUACAUUGGAUUAAAACAGAUAGCUACUCUCAGAAUGUUGAGGCAGGAGCUGCAUUGAGAUUGUUAGUGAUUAUGCAACAAGACAGAACAUCCUAGGAAUGCCAUAAUUUGGAAGAGAGCUCUGCAAAUGCCGGUGGCCGCUCGUAAACGACGGAUGCGAUCCCUAUCAAUAUCACAGCUGUUAGACCAAAUAUAUCAUACUUUUUAUCCGCUGUUUGAUAGUCGAAAUGUUGGAGCAGAUACUUCACUCCCAUCCACUCCGCUUCCUCCGCUCUCCUGUUCCUGUCCUGUAACACACACAUGAAAUUUAAGCGGCUUCCUAAGAUAAAUUUCUCAGUAGAGCAAAACGUUUUCCCGACAAAAACAAGGAGCAGUCACCGUACCUGAAGAAACAUUUCUAAAGGGGCAUCGAAGAUCGCUUCCACCUCAGAUGGAUUCGGGGUUGGACGAUAUGCACUCUUGUCAAAAAGAAUGCCUACCACAGGAAUCACCGUGAUACCAAUCUAUGCAAAUUGAAGACGGCAAAAUGAACUCGAGACAGAAAUGUUUCAUGAUCUAUUUUCACUCAUAAGAUUGGCAAGAUCAACAAUAUCUGCUGAUUAUUUCGCAAUUCCAGCACUAAAUUCUGAAGAAACGUGGAGACUGCAGUUUCCUCGAGGCUCCAAUUGUGAUUGUCGGUAGUAUGAUCUCCAGCAAAGUUUCCCCAUGUCGACGAAACAACAUCGUUCAGACAAACGACUAGCUAAGCUUCGGCAUCACUAAAACCUUAAUCCGAAGAUGGAGCGAGAGGGCAAACGGUCAAGGCUCAUGUAGCUGCAAUAGAACCGAUGUAUUUACAAGUUGGAUUUAUGUCCUUACCUUGGUCGCAUAUGGUUGAAGAACAGUGACGACUUCAACAAGAGAUGGGUCCAAUCCGAUCUCCUCCUUGGCCUCCCUCAAAGCCGUCGCUACGUCGUCGGCAUCGCCUUCGUCCUGCUUCCCACCGGGCAAUGAAACGUGUCCUGCAGAAGUGAAAUACACCGCACUGCUCAUGUCUUCACUCAUGCAUGGAAACAAGAAGUCAUAACAACGGGGUAAAAUGACACGACGAUGAUAUCGGUGAGAGCAUGUAAAGUAGUUGAUAGAUGACGAUCAAGCUUUUGGAUCUCAUCUAACUUUUUUAUACAUGAGAAAUUACCAAAAAAAUGUCCUAAACUUAUUAUACAACAGUAAAUUUAGUAAAAAACUUUUCAACUUAGCCAAUUUAGUUAUAAACAUUUUGAAAAUUUGCUAAUGAGUCAUUCGGACUAAUUUUGUCCGGAAAUCACUAACAUAGAUAAUGGCCAUCCUACAUGGCACGGCUAGCACUAAUGUAGACAACUUUUGCAAUUCUUUAAGAACAUUUAUGAGUUUUCUUCCUUUUUUUCCCUUUCGCCCCUUUUUUCUUUCCUUUCUUCUCUUUUUUGAAUUUCCGGUCAACAGGGCCACGGUGAUAGCCGACCACAGGAGACAAACGGCUCCGACCAGCCAACAAGCGAGGGUCAUGACUUUCGCUUGAAACUAGGUGAUGGCCUCGAGUCCCUCGCCUGUGGUUGACGAGGCUGUGACCCCUCGACCAGACUAGGCAAACAUUGCUAGCAUCAUCAAUAUAGAGUUGGAAAAGAAAAGAGUAAGAGAAGAACUAAAGAGAUAAGAGGAAAAGAAAAUUAAGAAAUAAAAAAAAAAUUAUCAACAUCGGCACUGAUCAUUUGGCAAAAGAUGAGUGUUAUCUAUGUUAGCGAUUUCAUAUUAAAAUUGGCUAAAAUAAUUAUUGGUAAAAUGUCAAAUGUUUAAAACUAAAUUGAUCAAAUUAUAAGAUUUAAGACUAAAUUGGCCGUCGUAUAAUAAGUUUUAAACUUUUUCGAUAAUUUUCCCAUCAUCAAAGUGUUCAUUGCAAUAAAGUUUGUCUACCACCUCAUUUUUUUCCUAAGAGGCUUUGGAGCCUCAAAACACCUUAGGAAAACUAAACCAAACACGCCCUUAAUAAUAACUCUAGCAUUUUUCAUCUUCUAAUGAAAGAUUGGAUUGAGAACUUAGCAAUUUAAUUAUUCCCCUCAUGUCGAUAUUGCCAGCGUGGUCAAAUAUUGAUGGCUCAUGCAGCUGUACAAAUUCAGCCGCUUGGACAAAUUAUGCUUGAAAUCGCGACGUACUGAGAUGCCGACAAACCUUUCGGCAUGGAUUAAUUCGUAAAUUACGCAAAAUAUAAUGCCUAAAAAUCGAAAGAAAGCCUACCUGGGCUGGUGGCAAGAGUGGAGGCGCGUUUGGUGAGGAGCACACGCAGAUUGCCAUCGUCGCCUUCGAACAGGCAGAUCAGAACGGCGGCUCUCGCGGAGUUGGGCCGGCGGCAGAGAGAUUCCACCGCAGUCCCUGACCUUCGACCGGCACUCUUGUCGGAGCUGUCUGGUGUUUCGUGUUGUUGCCAAUCCGUUUGCCGGGAAGGAGGUGGCGGCGGUGGCUCGUGGUGACGGAGCCGUCGUGCCAGGGUGGCCAGCCCAUGGGAGAGCGGAGAGGCUCUUGAUGGAGGAGUAGUCAUGGGUUCAGUUGAUUACACCUAAAACCGGCGGUGUAUUAUAGAAGAGAUGGAACCUUCUUGGGUCCGUCCGUUUGAUCCCACCUAACUUCUGCCACAAGACUAGGGUGUUACCAAACAUUGAGGGGCCUGGUAAUGCUAGGGAAAUAAACUUGAUGGCGAACCUUCAAGAUGGAGUAUCUAUAGAUGUCGUUAAUUAAAGCUUAGAGUACUCAAAAUGAGCAGCAAUUUUAUUUAUAAGGACGUUAUUAAUCAACGUUCUUGGAUAUUGAUUAAUUUAAGCAUGCUAAAAGAGAAAUAUAACUUAAUUUUUCUAAAUCCGUGAUUACUUGUAACACGAUACGAUCAACAUUAUGAGAUUGUUGCUGUUCCACGAGAAGGUGAGGGCGUUAAUGAAGAUGUGAGUAUUGAUAAUGAAUCUCUAAUUGAUUUUGAUGUUGAUUAUUUUGAAAAAAAAAAAAGCAAGCGACUAUUUUUACACGCAUGAGUAAAUUUGGGAUCUUAGUGGAAGUCGGGAAAUUUAAUUUCAGACAAAAAAAUUUCGGAAUGGAAUUGAGAUUAGAAUUAAAAGUUGGGGAUCAUUUUAGGAAUUAACCCAUUAUGCUUCCAUCAACAACCUAAGAUGUCUCAAACUGAAAAAAAAAACAUAUAUAUAUAUAUAUUGGGAACCUAUUUUUGCAAUAUUCCAUCAAGAAAAAAUGUUCAGCUUCUUCAAAAGUAUUUUAGUAGGAUUUAGUAUAUCCAACAAUUAUAGAAAUGGGUGAGUUUGUGCUUAAAACAUGGCGACAAGAGAAUGCUCGGAUCCUGGUAAAUGCUUUUUCCUAAUCUAAAGUUAACUCCAAGUCUCAAGAAAAGGGGAUGAGCGGCUAUUAUUGUAGUAUGAAUUGGUAAGAUUGUACUGAUAUAGAGAAACAUUAGCAAAAUAUUUCUCUAUGUCUUCAUAUUGUUGAUUUUGUGAAUAAGACCAGUCAAUUAGACUUUGUUACGCCCCAACUGCAUAAAAAAGAAGAAGGGAAAAUGACAUCACUAUCCCCCUACCAGUAGGACGCAAUCCCAAACACAACAAAUGUGAACACGUUAUCAAAAUUAUAUAUUCAUCUAUAUACUUACGGAAAAUUGGUUACCAGAUCAAUCAAGAGUUUUGGAAUUCAUAAAGAAAGUAUAUAUACAUAUCCAAGCUCAAUUAAACCCCAAAAUAUCAUCUUAGGCAUAUACAAGUAUCUAAACUCAUAUCCAAAAUCUAAUUGUAAAAAAUUUCUUGUUAAUAGCGCUCCCAUCGAUUCAAAUCUCCACUUUCUCAGGGGGAUGAGGUGGGGACGUGUAAGUUUCAAGAUUGGGGUUCGACUCCCACGCCCUGCAAGAGGCAGGACAAAAGUCUGAGAAUAAGUGUAGAGUAGGACUAACAAAAAAAAAAAAAAAAAUAAUGCUCCCAUCCUACGUAGCUUGAAGAACUUGACAAAGAUUUGGAAUGAAUAGUGUGAGAAACCACAGUUUAAUAAGUAACACAAAUCUCUUUUAAGUAGAUCGAGCAUCUGCUAUGCAAUUAAAAUUGGAGACUCAUUUAUCCAAAUUAAGUAUAUAAUGUACUGUAAAAUCUAAAUAUGAGUGCUAUCACUUUAACUCAGUUUUAUACUUAUCAGAAUAUUUAUUAAAAUUCCAAAAACCAAAAGGAUGGUAAACGCUCCAUUCGGCUUUAUGCAAUAAAUAUGUUUUAAACAUUACUUUUUCAUUUUAACAAAAUCAUAUUGUGCGAUGCCUUUUACAACUUAUGAUAUAUCAAAUCCCUAUCACUUUCAAGACAUGAGUUUACAAAUUUGUAUAAGAUCACAACUCCAAAUCGAAAGUUAUGCCACUUGAAAAGUUUCCAAAUCCUAUUAAAGAUUAACUAAAUGUCGAACUUACAAGUCAACUAAAGUCGACUAAAACUUUAGUAGGCAACACCAUAUUCUUGAGUCGAAUCGUCUACUUGACAAAAAAAAAAGUUGAACAAUUACUUUGCAAACAAAGUCGAUCUCAUCUUUGAACUUCGAGCUUAUUGUCAAAAGAAAACUCUUUUGAACUAUUGGAAAACCAUAAACCCAAAAGAUGGUCAGAGACGGGCGAAGAACCAUUGCCAUACACAGCAGUUCAAAAAACUGUUUCCAGCAGUGCACAAAACUUUAAGAAUUUAUCCAUAUCAAAUCAUAACCCUAAAUUGAAUUUCCCGAAGUCCCAAGCGGUGCACAAAAUUUUAAGAAUUUAUCCAUAUCAAAUUAUAACCCUAAAUUAACUUUCCCGAAGUCCCACUUUUUGAUACCCUGAAUUUUUUUUUACAACAUAAUUUCACAACUUAAAAACUCUAGAAUCAACCCGAUGACCUAGAAUCCGAACAAUCCCUAAUUUACAGCAUAACUACAAAAACUCUUUCAAUUAGAUAAAUAAAAGUUUCGAAUAAUUGCUAUGAAACAGAAAUAAUCCGGCUUAACCAAGCCUCUGAAGAGUGCGUGCAGCGAGAGCCCCCCACGUCUCCUCUUUGUUUUUUUGUCCGUUUCUCCGGACUCUGCUUUCCUUCUUCUUCCUUUUUGGGGUUCUUCUUGGCCAGACUCUGUGUUUUCUCUCUCUCUAUCUGCUCUAGUAAAUCCCCUUGCAAUGGCAUCAAUUGAAGCAAGACCAAAGAAAGGGCUUCAACGAGACGCUUGGGCUUGGGCUUACUGUUUUGCUCUUAUUUAUUAUUUUUUGCCAGCCCGGUUAUUGAAACUUUAUUCAUGGACAUGAAGCUUCGAGGUUAUUACCCAUUGAUGCAAACUACGCGCACACAUUCCGCUGAGAAGAGAGAAAGGAUAAUUCAAGUAGGACCGAACGAAGUCUUUCUUUUUUAGCACAAGAAAACGUAAAUAGGAAAGUUCAAAGGCGUUCCUCCACUACAGUGGUGGGGUGAGGGCAGGGACAGCAGAGUGGCAUAAAAGACGACAGUCUGAAACAGGAGCAGACUCCAAACUGACAGUGGCAGUGAGCAGACUUUAAACUGACAGUGGCAUAAAAGACGACAGUCUGAAAGUGGAGGGACCACUUUGGAGUCCGCUCACUGCCACUGUCAGUUUGGAGGGAUCACUUUGGAGUCUGCUCACUGCCACUGUCAGUUUGGAGUCUGCUCCAGACUGUCUUCUUUUAUGCCACUGUGCAUAAAAAGAACCACGAAUAACGUCCGUACCUUGAUCCCUCGCCGCGCCAUGGAUUGUACCUCCAUUGUCUCUAUCCUGGUCGACUUCAUCCAAGUGAAAUACCAGGGGAAGUUGACUUCACCCUUUGAAACUCACCCUGUUGCCGGCGGCAUCGCCAUCUGCAGCCUGCUCCUGCAUUCCUUGUUGCUGCGUCUUGCUAAUUGGGCACCAUCGUCUAGCAGCCGUGCUCCUCCUUGUGAUGGAGCAUCGAACCUGCUCAUCGACUUCGCCGGUUCGAUAUCGGUGGCUUCACUCGCGUGGUUGCUGCUCCGUGAUUCCUUCCACUCCAUCCCCUGGUUCGUGCUGCUCCUGUUGCUUUCCAUGAAUCUGUUGCGCGGCCUCAGUCGAAAACUUUGGCUGUGGUAUUACCGCAAACUUGUCCUCAUGAUCAUCCGUGCGGCACAAUCUUGUGUAUGGUAUGGUGGAAGAGCACAGCCACAUUCGCCACGUACGGACGUUGAUCUGUAUUUCAUGCUGGAAGUCUGAGGGCCAUUAUCGUUCAACUGUUCCCUGCUUGGAAAACUAAUUUAACCACAUUAAAACAAAUGAUAAGUACUUCAGGAAACUUGCUAGUUUUGGGGCUUUCUUCUCUUUAUCUGAUGCGAUAAGGAGUCCCCAAGCCUUCGGCAUCAUCAUCUUCCGACCGCAAGAAAGGAGAACUGGGAACAAGUACAAAACCACCUAGUAUCGUUCCUAUACCUGGCCAUGAACCAUGAUGGACCUAGCAACUAGAUCUGAUCAAGAUAAGCUAAGCCCCCAAAAGAAAUUGGGAUCUAUUGUUGAGAUUGAAGAUACCUCAACAAUUAUUAUGACGAGGAGAAUGGUGGUAUCUGUUAGCCAUAUAAAGGGUAGAAAUUUUUCUAGAGGUUAAAGCUUGACCCCUUCGAAAACAUUGCAAGUGUUGCAGAUUUCCUUCUUUUUUCUGGUGAAUCUCUUUGUAGCUUUCUAUUUGGCCAGCAGAUCGGUGUGUUAUUUUAAAUUUGUUGCUGGUAUACAAUGGUUUUGCUCAUAUAUCCGUAUGAACUGUUGGAGAAAUCUUUCCAGAAUAUUUUGAAGCUGACAAAACAUUUCUAUCAGUCUAGUCUAGAUAUCAUUGGUUUAAAGUCUCAAGACUUUGUAAUCUCAAGACUCAAGACUCAAGAUUAUUCUCACUAACAGUCUUUCUAAUCCAGUGGCGUAGGAUAUCCGAAGCCGGAGUAUAUGGUUGGGGAUUCGAUCCAAUCCUCUGGAAAAGAUCCCUUGGUUGGAUAAUCACUUCGGAUUUUUUGAUUCUUAUCUGAGAACAAAAGAAGAUCCGAUGGUCGACGAAACAUUCUUGAAAUGUUUUAUUCUUGGAAACCAAAAUCCUGAUUGUAUGGGCGAACAGGAUUGAUGGGCUAUCAUCAGAUUCCUUAAAUAGCUCGGAUGAUCUUCUUAAUUGAUUCCGUCCAACGGGUAGAUUGGAGGAAUUCCUUUGGUAAGUGCCAACGGCUAUGAUGGCAUAAAGGAGUAUAAAAAUGAAGACGUUCUAGUUGUUUCAAGUGUGUGAUCGAUAGAUAAAUUCCAGAGUCUGAAGAACCUUGAUUGUUAGUCGAUACAGUUCGAGCGAAAUUGUAUACACAGAGAGUGUUUGUACUUGGUGAUACCUUGAGCGAGUGUAGUAGAUCAUCUACAUCGAGAAAUCAAGGAAGAUCAACACUGUAACAUCUCUUUGUUCAUAGUGGAAUCCAGCCAAUCGGCUGUCAGUGCAGAAGAGUGGACGUAGGCUUGAAUCAAGCCGAACCACUAUAAACCUCGUGUUUAAUUCUCUCUUUCCUUUACUCUGUCUUACGAUUGAUUUUUUUAAUCCUUCAUCUGUCUAAGUAUUGCGCAAACUGCAAGAAAAUUUUCAUAAACCUAUUCACCCCCCUCUAGGUACUCGUACUAGCAUUAUCAUGAACUGGGAUAAAUAGAUGCCAUGGAGACAUGAGCACAGCCGCAAUUUCAAAAAUCUUCAUUCUAACAUCGAGUGAUCCAAAUCAAAAUGAAAGAUGCCAGCCUUUUCAUCUGUCCCAGAUACACCUUCACUGCUUACUAUCUAUUUCGAUGAUAAUAUAGCUGUAGUUUGUCAUUGCAGAAUGUGAGUCAUUACAUCAUUUAGUCUUCAUUUGACCUCUCACAGGAGACAACUAAAUCUUUGCUGUGGCAAAUGCGUUAACUUGCAAUCCAAGACUACGUUGUCUAAUUGGCUGAUUGGUUUUUGGCCAGGAGCUUGAAUUGUUGCUCCAGUCGGACAUUCAAGUUGCUGGGGCGGUGAAAAAAGAACACUGAAAUGUAGAUAUCUUAUCAGGAGACUUUAGUUCAAGAUAACUGAAUUUUGGCAGACAGUAGAUGUUAGAACCAAACUUUUCCCAUCUUCAUGUGCUGGAAAAGAACUACAGUUCACGAAUGCAAAGCUAGAUGGAUAGUAUCCAGAAGCUUGAGAUUAGUCUGUACAAACUACACAAAUCUGAUGUUCAUGUUUGUGGAAAGAAUUAGACCAGCAAGCUUCCUGACAAGUUGAUUCAUAAUCAAAUUAUGCAUCCCAAUGUUAAUACUUCAAUAUAUGACAUAAGCACAAAUGUCUUCCAGUUCAAAAAUAUCAUAUUUAUCUGUUUUUACUGCAGAGAACAAAUUCUUAGAUGUCAACUGUAGCAAUGAAUCCAAUUGACUUGCAUAAGAACGAAAGUUGAAACAUCAAACAGAAAGGUGUUCUCCUGACUCCCAAAUUCUUUUUGUCUUGGUAAGGGUACCCCCGACUCUGCAACUCCGAACAUUUUGCUUGCUGCUUUUGGAGACCAGCAUUGCACGUCUUUUCUUAAGUACCUCCAAUUAUGUGCCCACUUUUUUCUGCAAAAAUUCAAUUUUUUCAUCUAGUUCAGCAGUAGCAGGGUCUUCAGGUACUUCCACUAUUCCAGCAACCUGUAUUAAACGCUGUUUUGUAUUAGCGCAUUUUCUGUUCAUGAUUACUUAUUGUGGAGAUGAGUCUAUAUAUAUGAUAUCAAAAAGGAAUGUGGCUAUUCAGCACAUCGCAUGGCAGCAUCUUGUAUUCAAUUUUGGCUAAAGUCUAUUUAGCCAGAGAGCACUACUGCAAUACAAGCACGCCAUGGUAAAACGCAUUUGAUAAGUAAUCAAUGGGCAAGGGCAUUCAUUGCAGCCAUAAGCACCCACCUUCGUGUCCCUUAUCUUAUUACAAAGGGCACAAUAGUACUACUCACUGGUAUCAUCUUCGAUGAACAAAGCGUAAAGUGUGAGUUGACGGAAGUUAAUGACAAUCUUUUGCUGUAGUGGAAGGCAAUCUGUGAUGAUUAUGAUUGCACUGCAGACCACUGCAAUAGCCAAACCUGCAAAAUUUACUCCAGACACUUUGUGGUCGCAUGGUUAGGUGGAUUUAAAAUAAGAAAGAGUAUAUGCUUGUGGAUCUGAUGUUUCAAAGUGAGCCCUUCAAAAGUGCACGGAGUGUUGAAGUCAUUCUCACUUCCGCGCAAUGAAAGACAGAGCGUCAACAUUCUUCACGACAUACGUCAACAGUGCUCCUGAUACAAGAAGAAAAAGGAUUUGUGGGGUAAGCAGGUUGUUGCAUCUGAGGGCAAUGCAGCACAUAAUUUAUGGAGCAGAGUGGAGCAGCUUUGCUCAGUACUGUGAUAGGCUAAACAUUUUACACAUUCAAGACAAGCCUUGCACGCACCACCCUUCACAUGACAGUUCCAGCGGCAGAGAAUGAUCAUGCAGUGGAGAAAGAUGAGGCAAUCAAGACAACCAAAGACCUCACCUAUAUGUUCCAUUCACAAGCUUUGCACCCGGUUCUGCAGUCGAGCUCUGUGUGGAUGCCAGGGGAUGCUGAUGGUCGAAAUGGUAAAGAACCGAGUCAUUAAGCACCACGAGAAGGACAAGUAGAUAUUCUGAUGAUAAUAUUGUUUUUGUCAUUGCAGAAUGACAGAUUGGUUACAUCAUAUAGUCAGCAUUUUACCUCUGAGAGGCAACAACUAGAUCUUUGUUUUGGCAAACGCGUCACGUUUGUUUUGGCAAACGCGUCACGUUGCUUCAGCAAAUAAGAUUUAUAAAGACAGCAACUUCUUUUGUGAUAUAUCCUCUAUGUAUCUGGAAGCUCUUGGAUCUGAAUAAUGCAAUCUAAGACUAUGUUGUCUCACUGGCUGACUGGUUUGCAUCCAGGAGCUAGAAUUGUUGCUUCAGUCAGAGAUUCAAGUUGCCUGGGCCAAGGUGAGAAAAGAAUACUGAAAUAUAGAUUUAUUUUUUUGGGAGGCUUUAGUCCAAUACAACCGAAUUUGGUUGACCGCAGAUGUUAGAACCGAACUUUUCCCAUCUUGAUGUGCUGGAAAAGAAUUUUCAGUUCAUGAAUGCAAAGCCAUAUGGAUAGUAUGCAAAAGCUUGAGACUAGUCUGUACAAACUACACAAGUCUGAUUCAGUUUUCGAGGAAAUAAUAAGACCGGCAAGCUUCCUGACUAGUUGAUUUAUAAUAAAUUACGCAACCCUAUGUCAGUAAUCCAACUCAUAACAUAGAGUAAACAAGUCUUACACUCAAAUAAUGAUAUUUAUCUGUGUUUCUGCAGAAGAUAACAAUAUCGGAUGUGGAGUGUUAGCAGUGAUUCCAUUGACUUGCAUAAGAGCAUAAGUUGAAACAUCAAACAGAAAGGUGGUCCUCCUGCCUCCCUAUUUCUUUUCCUCUGGAUGAGUGCCUCCCCAAAUCUGCACUUACAUGCACUUCGUUUGCAGCUUUUUGAGACCAGCACUGCACGUCUGUUUUUUCAAGUACCUUUCAAUUGUGUGGUCACUCUGUCCGCUUUGUCCUGCAGAAUUGGAAUUUUUCCAUUUUGUCAGAAGAUGCCGUUUUCAGGAAGACAGUCUAAAGAUGUCGUUUUCAGUCUCUUCAGUCCACUUUGCACAAAAGAACCAUCAAUGAUGUUCGCGCCUUUACCCCUCACAAAGUUGGCAUAAAAGACGACAGCCAGAAGAUGCCGUUUUCAGGAAGACAGUCUGAAGAUGUCGUUUUCAGUCUCAUCGAUCCACUUUCCAUAAAAGAACCAUCACCCUUCACCCCUUGGGGCGCCCAUGGAUCUUACCUCUAUCGUCUCUAUCCUUAUCAACUUUAUUCAAGUGAAAUACCAGGCGAAGUUUCACCCUUUAAACUCACCCAGUUGUCACUGGGGUCGCCAUCUGCAGUCUGCUCCUGCAUUCCUUGUUGGCCCGUGUCGCCAAUCGGGCACCACUGUCUAGUGGCCAUGUUCCUUCUUGUGAUGGAGCAUCGCGCCUCCUCACCGACUUCCCUGGUUUGACAUUGGUGGCUUCCCUUGCAUGGAUUCUGCUCCAUGACUCCUUCCACUGCAUCCCUUGGUUCGUGCUGCUCCUGUUGCUUUCUGCGAAUCUGUUGUGCGGAACCAUUCAAAAACUUUGGCUGUGGUUUUAUCGCAAACUUGUUUUCAUGAUUAUCCGUGUGGCGUGGUCUCGUGUAUGGCCUGGUGGAAGAGAGCGGCCACUGUUGCCGUGCACCGUCGUGGAUCUGCGUUUCACCCUAGAAGUCUGAGUGCUGUAGUUGUUCAACCGUUUCCUGCUUGGAAAAAAGUAAUCUUAUUCUAUAUGGCCACUUUGAAACAAGUGAUAAGUACUUCACGAAGCUUGCUAGUUUUGUAUAAGAGGCACUUCGGGCUUUUUCACCUUAUCUGAAGCCAUAAGGAGUCCCCAAGCCGCAUCAUCGAAUUAUCUCCCGACCGUAAGAAAGGAGAACUAGGAACAAGUAAAAACCACCCACGUAUCGUUUCUAUUCCCAGCCAUGAAUGGUGAUGCAACUUGUAGCAAGUAGAUUCGAUUAAGAUAGGCUAAGCCCUCAAAAGAAAUGGGGAUUUAUUUAUUAUCAAAGAGAUUGAAGAGAACCUCAACAAUUGUUACAACGAGAAGAAUGGUCAAUUCUAGAUAUUGUUCUUAAGGCUAAAGCUUUCUGACCUCCUUGAAAACAUCAUGAGUGUUACAGAUUCCCAUCUUUUUCUGAUGAAUUUCUUGGGAAAAUUGCCUGAAAAAAUCUUAACCCUUUUGACAAUUUGUCAAUUUAGCUUUUCACGCUAAUUUAGUCCAAAAAAUGCCUAUCUGAAUGUCCAGCCAGCGCCGGCCAUCCUGCGGCGGGAGGCUGGCACUGAUGUGGUCGCCGGAGAUAAAAAUGGCGGCAUUUUCCACAAUAAUUAAAAAAAAGAAGGCAAGAAGAAGAAGCCGUCACUAUGCUCUUUUCUUGCCCAAAUCAUCAAACGCUCGCCCAACGCCCCAGUCCAAAGAACUCUAACCCGAAAUCAACUGAGAUCUCGUCAAAUCUCUUCAAAUCUCAACUCAAAUCGAACGAUUCUACUCGAGCCCGAGUUGUACCUUUCCACAUUUAAGAGAAAACGCAGACGUUCGUUUUUUCUAAGCAAACCUCAACCCAAACCGCGAAUUACAGUGGAAGCUGCUUUAUAGCUUGGACUUGGAACUGCUCUAAACAUGAUUCGGAUGAAAAAAUCGUUGGCAACGGAAGCCUUGCUAGCGAUGUAAAUUGUGUUUUGACGACUUGAUCAUCAGGUGGGGACAAAUGGUUGUUUCAUUCUCACUUCUGCUAGCAGUUUGUGAAAUGCCCGAGAGAACUUUUGUGAAAAUUUCCCUCUGGAUCUGGAUAUCUGAACGUUCAUCACGUAUCCAACUCGUAAUGAGCACUUUCGAUUCAUUCGUUUACUCUCAUUUUAUGAUGUUGAACUUGCUUCAAUGCAUUAUGAGUAAUUAAAACUCACAACAAUCACUAAGGAAAAUACUUUGAAGUGCACACUUUCUGAUUGUGAUGCAUUUGAAUUCUCUUAUAGCAUCUGUUCAUAUUGGAAGCGUUCAUCUCAUAGCAUCUCUUCGUCUAUUCAUCAUGUUUGCUUAUUGUUUUGACCAUUGGAUGUGUCCCUUCGGAUUCUCUUUGAUCUUAUGCUAUCCUCACUUUUUCCCUUGUAGAUGGUAAAAUCACAAAAGGAAACUGGUGUGUCCAAUUGGCAAGGAGUGUAUCCAAAAGUUUUCACUAGAGCAAAGUUGAACAAGGACCAAUGUCAACCCAUCACGAAGAUGAUACUUGUCUGAUCAGGGGAAGUUGACUUCACCCUUUGAAACUCACCAUGUCACCGCUGGCGUCACCAUUUGCAGCCUGCUCUUGUAUUCCUUGUUGCUGCAUUUCGCUAAUUGGGCACCACCGUCUAGUGGCUGCAAUCCUCUUUGUGAUGGAGCAUUGCACCUCCUCAUCGACUUUGCCGGUUUGAUAUCGGUGGCGUGUGGUUGCUGCUUCACGACUCCAUCCUCUCCAUCUCCUGGUUCAUGCUGCUCCUGUUGCUUUUCAUGAAUGUGUUGUGUGGCCUCAGUUGAAAACUUUGGCUGUGGUUCUACAGCAAAAUUGUUCUCAUGAUUUCCCGUGUAGCACGGUCUCAUGUAUGGAAUGGUGGAAGAGCGCAGCCACCUCAACGGGUGGUCGUGGAUCUGCGUUUCAUGCUGGAAAUUUGAGUGCCGUAGUUGUUCAACUGUUCCCUACUUGGAAAAAGUAUUCUAACCACUUUAAAACAAAUGAUAUGUAAUUUAAGAAACUUGCUAGUUUUGUAUAAGAGGCACUUGGGGCUUUCUCUUUUGUCUGAAGCCAUAAAGAGUCCCCAAGCCUUCGGCAUCAAAUUAUCUCCGGACCACAAUAAGAAAGGAGAACAGAGAACAAGUGCAAAACCACCUUUGUAUCUUUCCUAUUUCUAGCCAUGAAUGGUCAUGCACCUUGUAGCAACUAAAUUCAAUUAAGAUAAGCUAAGCCCUCAAAAGAAAUUGAGAUCUAUUUAUUGUCAAAGAGAUCGAAGAUAACCUCAACAAUUAUUACGACGAGCAGAAUGGUUGACUCUAGUAGCUAUAUUAAGUAGAUAUUAUUCUUGACACGAAAGCUUCUCACAUCUUUAAAAACAUUGUGCAUGUUGCAGGUUUCCUUUUUUUUUAGCGAAUAUUUUGGAAAAAUUGUCAAAAAAAUAUUAAUAUUUUUAAUAAUUUUUCAAUUUAAUUUUUUCGACUAAUUUAGCCCAAAGAAUGCUUAGGUGAAUGUCCAGCCAAUUGGCCCUCCUACGUGGCCCGGACUGGCUGGAGGCCGGUGCUGUCAUGGUCACUGGAGAUCAAAACGGCAGCAUUUUCCUCGAUAUAUAUAUAUUUAAAUUGUGGUUGUGCUCUUUUCUUGCCCAAAUCCUCGAACACUCACCCAACGCCUUAGUCGAAAGAUCUCUAACUCGAAAUCAACCAGGAUCUCACUCAAAUCUCUUCAAAUCUCAACUCAAAUCGAACGGUUCUUGCUCAAGCCCGAGUCAUUUCUUUCCACAUUUAAGAGAAAACGCAGAUGUUUGUUUUUCUAAAUAAACCUCAACUCAAACCACGAAUUACAGUGGAAGCUGCCUUUUAGCUUGGACUUGGAACUGCUUUAUACAUGAUUUGGAUGAAAAAUCGUUUUCAAUGGAAGCCUUACGACCGAUGUAAAUUGUGUUCUGACGACUUGUUCAUUAGUUGGGGACAAAUGAUUAUUUUAUUCUCACGUCUAUAUCCUUGGUUGACGUGCGAACUUCUGUAAAAAAUUUCCCUCUGGAUCUAGAUAUCUGAACGUUCAUCACGUAUCCAAAUCAUAAUGGGCACUUUUGAUUCAUUCAUUUACUCUCGUUUUAUGAUAUUUGAAUCCGAAAGUAAGAACAACGGAAGGAUGUUUGUUUCUCUGUUUAAUGUGCCAUGUCUUGUGGCCUUACAUGGCCGUUCCUGUUGGGAGAUAUGGUCUGGAAUCGUUGAUACGCACGGUGAUUUUCUGGUGAACUUCACGCUCGUAGCACCCCCAACUUAUUUUAUGUUCAUGUACCACGUGUCUCGGUGAUUUAUGACCUGUAAUGUUUGGAAAUCAUCAUGGUGGACGGUGGUGCUGACUGGCGACUCCAGCAGUGGGUUGAUGAUGAGCGUAACAGAACAAUGGUGAUGCUCGGUUUUAAAGGUUUAGAAGUGUAAAUCAUAGAUGAACUUAUCUUUUUGCCUUCUCUGUGUUAUGAGUGAGUAGACGCUCACAACAAUCACUAAGGAAAAUACUUGAAGUGUGCACUUUCUGACUGUGAAUGCAUUUGAAUUCUCUUAUAACAUCUGCUCCUAUGGGAUGCGUUCUUACGGGAAGUGUUUACCUGAUAACAUCUAUUCAUCAUGUUAGCUUGCUGUCUUGACUAUUGGAAGUGUCCCUGUGGAUUUUCUUUAAUCCUAUGCUAUCCUCACUUUUUCCCUCGUAGAUGGUAAAAUCACGGGAGAAUUACCAAAAAAGUCCUAAAUCUAUUGCAAUUGUGUCAAUUUAGUCAUAAACUUUUUUUUUUGGGCCAAUUUAGUCCUAAACCUUUUUACUUUUGUUCCAGUUCAGUCCAUCCGGCCAAAAUUGGUCGGCCGGUGCUGACGUGGCAGCCGGUCGGCGCCGGCGUGAUUUUUUUAAUAAUAUUUUAUUUUCAACAUUUUUUAUUAAUUUUUUUCCUUUUUCCUUUUUUUUUGCCNNNNNNNNNNNNNNNNNNNNNNNNNNNNNNNNNNNNNNNNNNNNNNNNNNNNNNNNNNNNNNNNNNNNNNNNNNNNNNNNNNNNNNNNNNNNNNNNNNNNUAAAAAUAAUAAAAUUAUUAUUAAAAAAAAAUCUCGCAGCAUCGCCAGCUGCCACGUCAGCACCAGCCUGGCUAAUUUUGGUCAGAUGGACUGAACUGGAACAAAAGUAAAAGGUUUAGGACUAAAUUGGCCAAAAAAAAAGUUUAGGACUGAAUUGACAUAAUUGCAAUAGGUUUAGGACUUUUUUGGUAAUUCUCCUGUAAAAUCACAAAAGGAAACUCCAGCAUGUCCAAUAGGCAAGGAGUGUGACCAAAAGUUUUCAUUGGAUCAAUGUUGAACAAGAACCAAUGUCAACCCAUGAUGAGGAUGAUGGUUAUUCGAUGGACGCUGAAGUCAAAGCUCUUAAGGCAUAACGGAAACUUGAGAAACAAGAUUUGGCAAAACUUGAAGAAAGAAAAUUCCAUAUUGAAGAUGAUGUUGGUUGUGUUGUUGAUAUUUAUAGAAAUAACACACUCCAAGUUUGCCAUGGAGUGUGUUAUUUUGAUCAUAUUUUGUAUUCAUCAACAUGUUUUGUGCAUGUAUGUACACUGUUUGUGGGAUAAAUGAAGGCUUUUUGCAUCUGAAAAGCACAUAUGUUUGUGACAAUGUUCUUUGUGAUGUUUGGGUUUUUUUUAACAGUUCAAAGGGUUACAACCCCUGUUUAAAAAAAGGUUUCUACAAUCUCAAUGGUAAAUAUGGAAUUGCGGAUUUGAUUGAGUCAAUUCUUUUCAACAGCUGCAGACUUGCGUUUCUAUCAUGCACCUAUCACAGCAAGUUUGUUGUUGGUGGUGAAGAUAAAAAAUCUCAUUCAAGAUUGUUCUUGUUUUUCAUCCAUGAAAUUUGAUAUACAUUUUAUUCUUAAUAGCUCGAAUGUGGAAGAUUCACAUGGAAGAAUCAUGUAAAAUCUAGAGCAAUCUUUGCUGACAGUAAAUUGUAUUUCUUCUCCUCAGAGCAAUCUGUCCUGAAAAUACCCGCAAUACUAUAUUGUGCCGAUAGUGUAUAUUGAUCCCCCAACAAAAAGAAACUAAACCAAGUUUGUUGUUGAUGACAGUAUAUUAGUGCUGACAGUAUAUCGAUCCUCCAAACCAAUGAGCCAUCAUCGAGCCAAAAAAAAAAAACCUCAACACUACUUCAUUGGAAUAUCCUAUCUUUGACAAACAAAAGCAUGGGCGAUAAUGCCACUUCAUUGAACCCAUUAGCAACAAACAAAAACACAGCCACAACACUACUUUCUUUCACUUCUUCUUGUACGUUGGAGUCGCUUCCUCCCCCAUUGAUGCCAUCAGCCAAGUCGCCUGCGCUAACCGAGCCGACCAGAUCUGGCCAAACAAUGCCGACGAUGGUCAUGGACGAGCACGCGUCACUAGCAAGCCACUCGUCCUGGUUUGGCCUCCCCUAAUCUCUGUCUCUGAACGCCAUUCAAGCUUCACCUUUCCUCGCGCCCCUCUUCGCCAAAACGAACUUUCGAUCUCAAAUUCUGUUCCUGGGGUGCAAUUACUCGGCUACCGCAAGGGAAUUGGCCACUUUGGGGGAUCUUGGAGAUCUCUCUUUUCUUCUUGGUAGUCUCAUGGUGGGAAAUGGACACGCGCCGUGAAGGACGCACGAGUAAAGGAGGUAAGGGGGCGAUGGAUAAUCGAGAGGGAGCAAAGUAUAAAAUCUCCAUCAGAUCAGAGAUUCCAGAGGCGGCUUCUCCAUCAGUAUCCAUCGUCCAUCAUCUCCGGUUAGCGUCACCUCGCUGGCCUUCGGAUUGAUUUCCAUGAAACCAGAGCACAUUCAAGAAAAUUGGUUCCAGAAUUAUAUUAGAGGGAAAGUUAUAUGUUGAUUGGGCAAUGUCCAAAAGUUACAUUGGACUGAAGAAUUAAUAAAAAUUAGUCACGUCGAAUUUCCAACUAUCAUCAAAAUUAGUAUAUGUGAGUUUUUUGGGAUAAAUAUGUUGUUAACAAAGUAUAAUUUAAUUCUAAAAUUUUGAAAACGUGCAAUUAAAUUUUAAAACUAUCAUAAAAGUGCAAUUAAGUUAUAAAUUUUUUAAAAAAUACAAUCAAAUUCUAAAAUUUAUCAAACUAGUCAAAUCAAAUCCUUCUGUUAAUAAUACUUUUUAAAAAAUUUAAAAUUUAAUUGUAUUUUAGUAAUAAUUUUUAGGAUUUAAUUAUAUAUUCUUUUAAAUUUUAUAACUUAAUUAUCUUUUCUUGAUAAAUUUUAUAAUUUAAUUAUACUUUUUAAAAAAUUUAGGAUUUAAUUGAAGUAUCGUGAUAAUUUUAGUACUUAUACACGUCUCCAAUUUUUUUAAAGUGGUUGGCAUUUAAAUGAUUAAAAAAUGUUUUAUAAUAAAAUAAAAGCCUUGCACAACUUUUAAUGUUUCACUUUUAGUUGUCAGAGACUUUUCAUGAGUCUUUUCUCAGCAUAAAAGUUUCAGAGACUUUCCAUCAGUCUUUCGAGAAAAAAGUUUCUGCCACGAAAGUUCCAAAAGACUUCCCCAUAAAAGGACCAUCAGUGAUGUCCCUACCUUCACCCCUCCUAACGGCGCCAUGGAUCUUACCUCUAUUGUCUCUAUCCUUGUCAACUUCGUGGAAGUGAAAUACCAGGGGAAGUCGAUUUCGCCCUUCGAAACCCACCCGGUCACCUUCGGCGUUGCCAUCUGCAGCCUGCUCCUGCAUUUCUUGUUGGUGCAUGUCGCUGAUCGGGCGCCACCGUCUAGUGGCCGUGCUCCUCCUCCUUGCGGUGGAGCACAGCACCUCCUCAUCGACUUCACCGGAUCGAUAUCGGUGGCUUCACUUGCAUGGUUGCUGCUACACUCCAUCCCUUGGUUCGUGCUGCUCCUGUUGCUUUCCAUGAAUCUGUUGCACGGCCCCAUUCAAAACCUUUGCCUGUGGUUUUACCGCAAACUUGUUCUCAUGAUCAUCCGUGCGGCGCGCAGUCGGGUGCGGCAUGGUGGAAGAGCGCAGCCACUUUUGCCACGUGCGGUCGUGGACUUGCGUUUCAUGCGGGAAAUCUGAGUUCCUUACUUGGAAAAACUAAUCUGACCACCCUAAAGCAAAUGAUAAGUACCUAAGGGAACUUGCUAGUUUUGUAAAAGAGGUAGCUGGGGCUUUCUUCUCUUUAUGGGAAGCCAUAAGGAGUCCCCGAGCCUUCAGCAUCGAAUUAUCUCCUGACCAUAAGAAAGGAGAGCAGGGAACAAGUAAAAACGACCCAUGUAUUGUUCGGAUUCCUAGCCAUGAAUGGCGAUACACUGUGAAGCAACUAAAUCCGAUUAAGAUAGGCUAAGCCUCAAAAGAAAUCGGGGUAUGUUGUUAUCGAAGAGAUCAAAAAUACCUCAACAAUUGUUCGGAAGAGAAGAAUGGCCUUUUCUAGUAGCCAUAUAAAGAGUAGAAAUUGUUCUCAAGGUUAAAGCUUCUGACCUGUUUGAAAGCAUUGCGGGUGUCGCAAAUUUGGUUCUUUUUUCUUUUCUUUUCUUUUCUGGUGAAUCUCUGUGUAGCUUUCUGUUUGGCCAGCUGAUCAAUAUGUGUCAUUUUACAUUCUUUGCUGGUAUACUAUGGUUUUGCUCAUAUGUCCGUAUGAACUGGGAUAAAUAGAUGCCUUGGAGACACGAGCACAGCUGCAAUUUCGAAAGCUUUCUUCUAACACUAACAUCAUUAAGUAAUCCAAAUCAAAAUGAAAGAUGUCAGCUUUUUCAUCUCUUUCCCAUAUCAACACAGUUGCUGCUUACUGGCCAUCCUGUUGAUAAUAUAGUUGAAGUUUGUCAUUGCAGAAUGAGAGUCGUUACAUCGUAUGGUCUUCAUUUUACCUUUGAGAGGUGACAAUUACAAAUUUGCUGUGGCAAAGGCAUCAAUUUGCAAUCUAAGACUACGUCGUCUCACUGGCUGAUGUGUUUUUGGCCAGGAGCUUGAAUUGUUGCUUCAGUCGGACAUUCAAGUUGCUGGGGCCAAGGUGAGAAAAAAAAUGCUGAAAUGUAGAUUUUCUUUUCAGGAGGCUUUAGUUCAAGAUAACUGAAUUUUGGUUGACUGUAGAUGUUAGAACCAAACUUUUCCCACUCUUCGUGUGCUAAAGAAUUUACAGUUCGUGUAUGCAAAACUAGAUAGAUACUAUGCAGAUGCUCGAGACAAGUCUGUACAAACUACACACAUCUGAUGUUUGUAUUUGAGGAAAUAAUUAGACCCGCAAGCUUCCUGACUAGUUGAUUCAUAAUCAAAUUAUGCAUCCCAAUAGUAACGUUGAUACAUGACAGAGCACCCAAGUCUUGCACUUCAAAAAUAUGAUAUUUGUCUGCUGUUACUGCAGAGAACGACAAUCUUAGAUGUCAACUAUAGCAUUGAGUCCAAUUGACUUGCAUAAGAAUGCAAGUUGAAACAUCUAACCGAAAGGUGUUCUCCUGACUCUCGAAUUCUUUUCAUCUUGGUAAGUGCCUGCCCAACUCUGCAACUACAUGCACUUCCCUUGCGGCUUUUGGAACCAGCAGUGCACGCAUGUGGUUCUUCUUUCCGCUUUUUCCUGUAGAAUUGCAAUUUUUUUCAUCUAAUUCAGCUAUAGCAGGGUUGUAGGGUACUUCCACUAUUCCAGCAACCUGUAUUAAAAAAUGUUUGGUAUAAGCGCAUUUUCUGUUGAUUAUUAAAAAAAUGUUUGGUAUUGUGGAGGAUGAGUCCAUUUAUAUGACGUUCAAAAAGGAAUAUGGCUAUUUAGCACAUUUUAUGGCAGCAUCUUGUAUCCAUUUGUUGGCUAAAGUCUGUUUAGUAAGAGAGCCCUUGUGUGAUGGAAGUGCAUCGUGGGUCAAACACAUUUGAUAUGAGUAAUCAAUGGGCAACGGAAUUCAUUGGAGUCCUAAGCACCGAGAUUUGGGUCCCUUAUCAUCUUGCGAAGGUCACAUUAGUACUCACUGGUAUCAUCUUUGAUGAACGAAGUGUAAAAUAUGAGUUGAAGGAAGUUGGUGGCAAUCUUUUACUGUAGUGGAGGUUAAUCUGUGAUGAUUAAGAUUGCACUGCACACUACCGUAAAAGUCAAACCUGUAAAAUUUACCACAGAUGCUGCAUAGGAAGCACGGUUUGGUAGAUCUAAUAUAAGCACGGUUCUGUCCCCUCUGCAUUCCACAGGCAAGGGUGAGUCCCAUGCAUCAGUUUGUGGAUCGCGCUUUCACACACUAAUCCCUACAGAUUCCUGUGGGAGGACCAAAUCCUAUUGAUUUUAAUUUUCAGCAGGUUCCUUUAUCAUUUGAUAUGAACUUGGAAGUUAAUCAUCUUCUCAGGUUUAUAAAAGCCUGAAUGCUUAUUGUGGAAAACAAUUCCCAGGAGACUUGUCAUUAUGCUAAGUCAAAUAAUGAAGCUAAGUACAUGAUCUACAGAAGAACUUAAGACUGCAGGACUGUCAAAUGCUUCUGCUAAUUCAAUAGCAGAUACUUAAAAAUUGUAACCUUUAACUGGAGUGCGAAUGUUACUGAAGAGACCAAAAAUACUAUGACAAUCAUUACAACGAGGAGGUUGGGGAGAUGUUUCAUUGUUUGUUUCAAUGUUACCAAAGAUCCUACUAGAUCAAAAGAUUUGGAAGUUUUUUUCUUUACUGAAAAGAGAAAAAAGAGGCAUGUUAAUGAAAAAUGGUGCUUUUUACUAGCAUUUUCAGAUGUUGACUCUUUAUUAUCACAUUGGCACGUGUCAAAUGUUGUCAUAUGGCCGUUUCUAGUUGCCAAAAUAAGGUUUUGAACUAGGAUAAAUAGAUGCCUUGGAGACGCGAGCACAGCUGCAAUAUAGAAGUUUUGUUCUAUCGUGACAAAGUUAUCCAUAUCAAAAUGAAAAAUGUCAGUUUUUUCAUCUCUGUCCCAUAUGCACGGGUACUGCUUCUUAGCUAUUCUGAUGAUAAUUUUGUUUGAGUUUGUCAUUGCAGAAUGACAAGAGUGAUUAUGUCAUAUAGUCAGCAGUUUACCUCUCAGAGGUGACAACUAGAUCUUUGUUGCUGCGAAUGCGUCAACUUGCUUUGGCAAAUAAUAUUUAUAAAGGCAGCGACUUCUUUUUGUGAUAUAUCCUGUUUGUAUCUGGAAGCUCUUGGAUCUGGGUGAUGCAAUCUAAGACUAUGUUGUCUCACAGGCUGAUUGGUUUUCGUGGGGAGCUAGAAUUGUGGCUUCAGUCAGAGAUUCAAGGUGCCAGGGCCAAGGUGAGAAAAGAAUGCUGAAAUAUGGAUUUCUUUUUUGGGAGGCUUUAGUUCAAUAUAACCGACUUUUGGUAGACUGCAGAUGUUAGAACUGAACUUUUCCCAUCGUCAUGUGCUGGAAAAUAAUUUUUGUAGUUCAUGAAUGCAAAGCCAUAUAGAUAGUAUGCAAAAGCUUGAGACUAGUCUGUGCAAACUACUUACAUCUGAUAUUCUUUUUUCGAGGAAAUAAUAAGACCCACAGGCUUCCUGACAAGUUGAUUCAUAAUCAAAUUAUGCAUCCCUUUGUUAGCACUCCAACUCAUAACAUAGACCAAACAAGUUUUUUUUUUUUUGGUAAAAAGACCAAACAAGUUUUACACUCAAAAAUAUGAUAUUUUUGUGCUUUUGCUGCAGAGAAUAACAAUCUCAGAUGUCGAGUGUCAGCAGUGAUUCUGCGUAAGUUGACACAUCAAACAGGAAGGCGGUCUCCUGCCUCCCCAAUUCUUUUCUUCUUGAUAAGUGCCUUCCCAACUCUGCAACUACAUGCGCUUUGGUUGCAUCAUUUUGAGACCAGCAUUGCACAUCUUGUUUUUAGUACCCCCAGUCGUGUGCUCACUCUGUCCUCUUUUUUCUGCAGAGUUGCAAUUGUUUCAUCUAGUUCAGCGAUAGCAGGGUCUUCAGGUACUUCCACUUUUCCAGCAACCUGUAUCUGGUACUAGCAAGUUUUCCGUUAAUGGCACUGGUGGCAUCUUAUUGUGGAGGAUGAGUCUAUAUAUAUAUGACGUUAAAAAGGAACAAGGCUAUUCGCUGCAGCAAAUGGCACUGGUGGCAUCUUAUAUCCAUUAGAUAGCUAGAGUCUGUUUGGUAAGAGAGCACUUCUGGGAUGAAAAUGCACUGUGGGUAAAACGCGUUUGAUAUGAGGAAUCAAUGGGCAAGGGCAAUCAUUGCACUUGUAAGCACCCGGACUCAAGUCCCUUAUCUUCUUGCAAAGGUCACAAUGGUAGUCACCGGUAUCAUCUUCAAUGAACGAAGCAUAGAGUGUGAGUUGAUGGAAGUUAAUGGGAAUCCUUUACUGUAGUGCUAGGCAAUCUGUGAUGAUUAUGAGUGCAAUGCACACAACUGUAGAAGUCGAACCUGCAAAAUUUACCACAGACAUUGCAUAGGAAGCACGGUUCGGUAGGUCUAAAUUAAGAAAGAGUAUUUGGUUGUGGAGGUGAUGUUUCAAAGUGGGCCUGUCAAAAGUGCAUGGAAUAUUGAAGCCGUAGUCACUUUCCGUGCAGUGAAAGAGCGUCGACAAUCUUUACGACAUAUUUCAACAAUGCUCCUUCCUGAUACUAAAAGAAAAAGGAUGUGCGGGGUGAAAGGUUAUUGCAUAACAGAGGGCAAUUCAUCACAAGAAUUAUGGAGCUGAAAAGAGCUGCUCUGCUCCAGCCAGUGAUAGGCUAAACAUUUGACGCAUUCAUCACGAGUCUUGCACAGACCAUCCUUCAUAUGACAAUACCAGCGGCAGAGGAUGAACGUGAGAAAGAAGAGGCAAUCAAGACAAGCAGAGACCUCACCUGGUAUGUUCUCUUCGCAAGCUUUGCACUGGAUUCUGCUCUCGAGCUUUGUGUGUAAGACCAGUCGAUGCUGAUUGUUGAAAUGGUUAAAAACCUAGUCCUUAUUGGCUCCAGAUCUUGUGAACGUAGCCGUGCAGUCCAUGUCGAGGCUGAAUUUGCAUUCGCUGCAGGAGGAAACCACGGUAAGCAUUACAUUUAGCUCCUCCAAUCGAUCGAAAGCAAGAGAGGGUGAUCAUGGAGAGACGGGUGUUGCAUCUCUGUGGGGGAUUCGGCACAGUGUUUACUCAUUUCUCAUUCCCUGUUUGUCCCUUUCACGUGGCCUCCCCCCUUUUCCGUCUCCUCUCUAAAAGUUUCCACAAAUAUUCCUCCUCAAUUCCUCAUUCUUUCUCUGUCACGAAAAGAUGACAUAUAUGAUGAAAUUUGGACGAUGCAUAGGCAUUUUUCAUAUGUGGCGAUCAUCUUCAUUUCACUAGUUUUUAUGAUUUUUUUGCUAAAAUUCGAAUUUAUUAUGGUUUGACGAACCGCAUAGGGUUGGACGAUGCGGCGUCACGUGAUGAUCUUAUGUCCCCAAGGGGCACAUAUGAGAUCUCAAUUGAAGUUGAAGAUUUUUUUUAACAAAAAAAAAAAAAUUGAAGUAAAAUUGAGAUUAGAAUUAAAGUUGUGCAUCUUUUUAGGAAAUUAGCCCAUAAUGAUUCAUGCUUCCAUCAAAAUAAUCCAAAGUGUCUCACAUCGAAGAAAGUGGGAUCUUUUUUUAUUUAUUUUUUCGUGCUCCUCUUGACCAGACUCUGUUUUCAUUUUUUCUCCCUUUUUGCUCUAAUAAUUCCCUUACCACGGCGUCAACUGAAGCAAGACUAAAGAAAGGGCUCUAACGAGAUACUUGGUCUGGGCUUACUGUUAUGCUCUUAUUUAUUAAUUUUGCCAGCCCGGUUAUUGAAACUUUAUUCUUGUACAUGAAUCUUCCGGGUUAAUUGCACACACUGCAGAAACACAGUAAAAACUAAAUCGGCAAGUUUAAAGGCGUCUCCCCACUGUCCACCCCAGCAGUGGGGUGAACGCAGGGACAUGAUUGAUGUUCCUGCUUCUUUUAUUCGAGGUGACAUUUGCACCUAUUCAUGCUGUGAAUAUUAAUGAUGUCCAAAUUUCACUUCGAAUAAAAGAAGCAGAAGCGAAGCAUCAAUGAUGUCCCUGCCUGCGCCCAACACGGCGCCAUGGAUCUUACCCCAUCGUCUCUAUCCUCGUCGAUUUCAUCCAAGUGAGAUAUAGGGGAAGUCGACUUCGCCCUUUGAAACCCACCCCGUCGCCAUCGGCGUUGCCAUCUGCAGCCUGCUCCUGCGUUUCUUGUUGCUGCGUCUCGCUGAUCGGUACCACCGUCUAGCGGCCGUGCUCCUUCUCGGGAUGGAGCAUGGCACCUCUUCAUCGACUUCAUCGGUUCGAUAUUGGUGGCUUCGUUCGUGUGGUUGCUGCUCCUGACUCCUCCCACUCUGUCCCCUGGUUGUUCGUGCUGCUCCUGCUGCUUUCCGUGAGUCUAUUGUGCGGCCUCAUGCAAAAACUUUGUCUGUGGUUUUACGACAAAAUCCUCAUGAUGAUCAUCCUUGCCGUGCAGCGUGGUCUCCCGGUCGUGGAUCAGCGUUUAAGGCCGCAUGUCUAAGCUAGUUUUGUAUAAGAUGCACUCGGGCCUUUCUUCCGUUUAUAUGAAAACAUAAGGAGUCCCCAAGCCUUUUGCAUCAUCAAAUUAUCUCCCAACCAUAAGAAAGGAGAGCAGGGGACAAGUACAAACCACCUAUGAACGGUGAUGGACCUUGUAGCGACUAGAUCUGAUUAAGAUAAGCUAAGCCCUCAAAAGAAAUUGGGAUCUACCGUUAUUGAAGAGAUCAAAGAUAACCUCAGCAAUCGUUUUGACGAGUAGUUCUACUCUAGUAGCCAGGUAAGAGAUAGUAAUUGUUCUUGAGGUUAAAGCUUCUGACCUCUUUGAAAACAUUGUGGAGUGUUGCAGAUUUUCCUUCUUUUUCUGGUGAAUCUCUUCGUAGCUUUCUGUUUGGCCAGUGGAUGGAUAUGUGUCAUUUUACAUUCUUUGCUGGUGUACUAUGGUUUUGCUCAUUUUUCCAUAUGAACUGGGAUAAAUUGAUGCCUUGGAGAGGCGAGCACAACUACAAUUUCAAAAGCUUUGAUCGAACGCUAACAUCAACGAGUGAUCCAAAUAAAAAUGAAAGAUGUCAGCUCUUUCAUUUCUGUCCCAUAUACACCAUUACUGCUUAAUAGCUAUUCUGAUGAUAACAUAGUUGUAAUUUGUCAUUGCAGAAUGUGGGAGUCAUUACAUCAUAUAGUCUUCAUUUGACCUCUGAGAGGUGACAACUAGAUCUUUGCUGUGGCAAAAGCAUUAACUUGCAAUCUAAGACUACAUUGUCUUGCUGGCUGAUUGACAUUCAAGUUGCCAGGGCCAGGUGAGAAAAGAAUGCUGAAAUGUUGAUUUUUUUUUUUUUUUUUCUGUAGGCUUUAUUUCAAGAUUACUAAAUUUUGGCAGACUGUAGAUGUCAAAACCAAACUUUUCCAUCUUCAUGUGCUAUAGAAUUUACAGUUUAUGUAUGCAAAGCUAGAUAGAUAGUAUGCAGACGCUCGAGACAAUUCUGUACAAACUACACAUCUCUAAUGUUCGUAUCUGUGGAAAUAAUUAGACUGGCAAGCUACCUGACAAGUUGAUUCAUCAUCAAAUUAUGCAGCCCAAUGUUAAUACUCCGAUUCAUAAAAUGGAGCACACAAGUCUUGCACUUCAAAAAUAUGAUAUUUAUCUGCUUUUACUGCAGAGAACAACAAUCUUGCAUGUUGACUCUAGCAGCGAGUCCAAUUGACUUGCAUAAGAAUGCAAGUUGAAAAAUCAAACAGAAAGGUAGGUUCCCCUGACUCCCAUAUUCUUUUCAUCUUGUUAAGUGCCUUUCGAACUCUGCAACUACGUGUAAUUUGCUUGUGGCUUUUGGAAACCAGCAUUGAACAUCUUUUCUUGAGUACCUCCAAGUAUGUGCCCACUUUUUUCUGCAGAAUUUUAAUUUUUUUCAUCUAGUUCAGCAAUAGCAGGGUCUUCAGGUACUUGCACUAUUCCAGCAACUUGUAUUAAACACUGUUUGGUAUUGGUGCAUUUUCGGUUGAUUAUUACUUACUGUGGAGAUUAGUCUCUAUAUAUGAUAUUAAAAAGGAACAUGACUAUUCACCACAUUGUACGGCAGCAUCUUGUAUCCAAUUUUGGCUAGUCUGUUUAGCAUGAGAGUUCUACUGUGAUACAAGCGCACCAUGGUAAAACAUAUUUGAUACGAGUAAUAGAUGGGCAAGGGCAUUAAUCACAUUCAUAAGCACCCAGAUUCGUGUCUCUUAUCUUAUUACAAAGGGGACAAUAGUACUGCUAACUGGUAUUAUCUUUGAUGAACAAAGCAUAACUGUGGGUUGAUGAAAGUUAAUGGCAAUCUUUUACUGAAGUGGAAGGCAAUCUGUGAGGAUUAAGAUUGCACUGCGCACAACUGCAAAAACCUAAUUUACAGUUUAACUACAAAAACUCUUUAAUUA
rnacentral:lncRNA from 1 species